AUUACACAAUAAAUAAUACUCCUUCCGUUCCCAAAUACUUGUUGUGGUUUUAGUUCUAUUUACAAGCCACACUUUGCUUUGUAGAAAUACGCAAUUAAUUCUAUGCUGAAGCUCCAAAAUCCUGAUAGUAUCUUCUUUUGUUCCUGCGGCUUUGCUCUUGUUGUCUCAUCGGAUGGGCUUGUCCCCUGUCCUGCCCUGUUACAAGUACGCGCGCUUCUGUGCUAUGGGAACAAUGGGGAGAGGAAGAUGGCCCUUUUUCUGCAAGCACGUCACUGUCUCGUACAAGCUCUCUUUCAACGGAGUGAACUCCAAUCCCAGGUCCCUGAGCCUUUGGUUCGAGAACUUGUACGGCUUCGCCACGGGUUUGACGUCCUCUUCGCACCUGUCAUGCCAACGAAAUCCAUGGUGAGCAAACAAGCAAGCAAUGCCCAGUAUUGAAUUAAACAUGUUCAAAUUAUUAUAUUACGUCCUCUUCGCUCCAGAGUUCGUCAAGUUGCACGACAGAGAGUGCCAUCGCUGCCUACUGAAGGGGCACUGCAAGGCAAGCUGUAGAAAUCCAUUCACAUGCCGGAGAUGUCGCCAGUUUGGGCAUAGGGCGAGGGGCUGCACCAACUCUCCGUCCCCCUCCCCCCGGUCCCCUUUUGCUGCCCUCCUUCCACCAUAGUGAGGUCCCCUGCUGCGUCCAGAGAAGUCGUGUUCCCUGCAUCGACUCUUCCGACCUGAAGGAAAUAUGCCCUAGAGGAAAUAAUAAAGUUAUUAUUUAUUUCCUUAUAUCAUGAUAAAUGUUUAUUAUUCAUGCUACAAUUGUAUUAACCGGAAACAUAAUAUAUGUGUGAAUAUAUAGACAAACAUAGUGUCACUAGUAUGCCUCUACUUGACUAGCUCGUUGAUCAAAGAUGAUUAUGUUUCCUAACCAUAGACAUGAGUUGUCAUUUGAUUAACGGGAUCACAUCAUUAGGAGAAUGAUGUGAUUGACUUGACCCAUUUCAUUAGCUUAGCACUUGAUCGUUUAGUUUGUUGCUAUUGCUUUCUUCAAGACUUAUACAUGUUCCUAUGACUAUGAGAUUAUGCAACUCCCGUUUACCGGAGAAACACUUUGUGUGCUACCAAACGUCACAACGUAACUGGGUGAUUAUAAAGGUGCUCUACAGGUGUCUCCAAAGGUACUUGUUGGGUUGGCGUAUUUCGAGAUUAGGAUUUGUCACUCCGAUUGUCGGAGAGGUAUCUCUGGGCCCUCUCGGUAAUGCACAUCACAUAAGCCUGGGAAGCAUUGCAACUAAUAAGUUAGUUGCGGGAUGAUGUAUUACGGAACGAGUAAAGAGACUUGCCGGUAACGAGAUUGAACUAGGUAUUGAGAUACCGACGAUCAAAUCUCGGGCAAGUAACAUACCGAUGACAAAGGGAACAACGUAUGUUGUUAUGCGGUCUGACCGAUAAAAGAUCUUCGUAGAGUAUGUAGGAGCCAAUAUGAGCAUCCAGGUUCCGCUAUUGGUUAUUGACCGGAGACGUGUCUCGGUCAUGUCUACAUUGUUCUCAAACCCGUAGAGUCCGCACGCUGAACGUUAUGAUGACAGUUUCUUUAUGAGUUUAUAUAUUUUGAUGUACCGAAGGUUGUUCGGAGUCCCGGAUGUGAUCACGGACAUAACGAGGAGUCUCGAAAUAGUCGAGACAUAAAGAUUGAUAUAUUGGACGACUAUAUUCGGACAAAGGAAUGGUUCCGGGAGUUAUCGGAUAUAAAACGGAGUACCGGGGGUUAAUGGGCCUCAUGGGCCCAAAGUGGAGCAGCGGAGGGGCGGCCAGGGCAGGCUGCGCGCCCCCUCCCCCUCUAGUCCGAAUUGGACAAGGAGGGAGGGGCGGCGCCCCCCUUUCCUUUCUCUCCUCUCUCCCUUCCUUCCCCCUCUCCUAGUUGGACAAGGAAAGGAGGGAGUCCUACUCCCGGUAGGAGUAGGACUCCUCCCUGGCGCGCCUCCUCCUGGCCGGCCACCCCUCCCCCUUGCUCCUUUAUAUACGGGGGUAGGGGGCACCUCUAGACACAACAAUUGAUCCUUGAGAUCUAUUAGCCAUGUGCGGUGCCCUCCGCCAUCAUAAUCCUCGAUAAUAUUGUAGCGGUGCUUAGGCGAAGCCCUGCGACGGUAGAACAUCAAGAUCAUCACCACGCCGUCGUGCUGACGGAACUCUUCCCCGACAUUCUGCUGGAUCGGAGUCCGGGGAUCGUCAUCGAGCUGAACGUGUGCUAGAACUCGGAGGUGCCGUAGUUUCGGUGCUUGAUCGGUCGGGCCGUGAAGACGUACGACUACAUCAACCGCGUUGUGCUAACGCUUCCGCUUCCGGUCUACGAGGGUACGUAGACAACACUCUCCCCUCUCGUUGCUAUGCAUCACCAUGAUCUUGCGUGUGCGUAGGAAUUUUUUUGAAAUUACUACGUUCCCCAACAGUGGCAUCCGAGCCUAGGUUUUAUGCGUUGAUGCUGUGCACGAGUAGAACACAAGUGAGUUGUGGGCGACAUAAGUCAUACCGCUUACCAGCAUGUCAUACUUUGGUUCGGCGGUAUUUUUGGAUGAAGUGGCCCGGACCGACAUUACGCGUACGCUUACGCGAGACUGGUUCUACCGACGUGCUUUGCACACAGGUGGCUGGCGGGUGUCAGUUUCUCCAACUUUAGUUGAACCAAGUGUGGCUAUGCCCGGUCCUUGCGAAGGUUAAAACAUCACCAACUGGACAAACUAUCAUUGUGGUUUUGAUGCGUAGGUAAGAACGGUUCUUGCUAAGCCCGUAGCAGCCACGUAAAACUUGCAACAACAAAGUAGAGGACGUUUAACUUGUUUUUGUAGGGCAUGUUGUGAUGUGAUAUGGUCAAGACAUGAUGCUAAAUUUUAUUCUAUGAGAUGAUCAUGUUUUGUAACCGAGUUAUCGGCAACUGGCAGGAGCCAUAUGGUUGUUGCUUUAUUGUAUGUAAUGCAAUUGAGCUGUAAUGCUUUACUUUAUCACUAAGCGGUAGCGAUAGUCGUGGAAGCAUAAGAUUGGCGAGACGACAACGAUGCUACGAUGGUGAUCAAGGUGUCGCACCGGUGACGAUGGUGAUCAUGACGGUGCUUCGAAGAUGGAAAUUACAAGCACAAGAUGAUGAUGGUCAUAUCAUAUCACUUAUAUUGAUUGCAUGUGAUGUUUAUCUUUUAUGCAUCUUAUCUUGCUUUGAUUGACGGUUAGCAUUAUAAGAUGAUCCCUCACUAAAUUAUUAAAGUAUAAGUGUUCUCCCUAAGUAUGCACCGUUGCGAAAGUUCUUCGUGCUAAGACACCACGUGAUGAUCGGGUGUGAUAGGCUCUACGUUCAAAUACAACGGGUGCAAAACAGUUGCACACGCGGAAUACUCAGGUUUAACUUGACGAGCCUAGCAUAUAACAGAUAUGGCCUCGGAACACGGAGACCGAAAGGUCGAGCGUGAAUCAUAUAGUAGAUAUGAUCAACAUAUUGAUGUUCACCAUCGAUACUACUCCAUCUCAUGUGAUGAUCGGACAUGGUUUAGUUGAUUUGGAUCACGUGAUCACUUAGAGGAUUAGAGGGAUAUCUUUUUAAGUGGGAGUUCUUAAGUAAUAUGAUUAAUUGAACUUAAAUUUAUCAUGAACUUAGUACCUGAUAGUAUCUUGCUUGUCUAUGUUUGAUUGUAGAUAGAUGGCUCGUGCUGUUGUUCCGUUGAAUUUUAAUGCGUUCCUUGAGAAAGCAAAGUUGAAAGAUGAUGGUAGCCAUUACAUGGACUGGGUUCGUAACUUGAGGAUUAUCAUAAAUGUUGCACAGAAGAAUUACGUCCUGGAAGCACCGCUGGGUGCCAGGCCUGUUGUAGGAGCAACACCAGAUGUUAUGAACGUCUGGCAGAGCAAAGCUGAUGACUACUCGAUAGUUCAGUGUGCCAUGCUUUACGGCUUAGAACCGGGUCUUCAACGACGUUUUGAACGUCAUGGAGCAUAUGAGAUGUUCCAGGAGUUGAAGUUAAUAUUUCAAGCAAAUGCCCGGAUUGAGAGAUAUGAAGUCUCUAAUAAGUUCUAUAACUGCAAGAUGAAGGAGAAUAGUUCUGUCAGUGAACAUAUACUCAAAAUGUCUGGGUAUCAUAAUCACUUGACUCAACUGGGGGUUAAUCUUCCUGUUGAUAGUGUCAUUGACAGAGUUCUUCAAUCACUGCCACCAAGCUACAAAAGUUUCGUGAUGAACUAUAAUAUGCAAGGGAUGAAUAAGACUAUUCCUGAGCUCUUCGCAAUGCUAAAAGCCGCGGAGGUAGAAAUCAAGAAGGAGCAUCAAGUGUUGAUGGUCAAUAUGACCACCAAUUUCAAGAAAAAGGGCAAAGGGAAGAAGAAAGGGAACUUCAAGAAGAACAACAAACAAGUUGCUGCUCACGAGAAGAAACCCAAGUCUGGACCUAAGCCUGAGACUGAGUGCUUCUAUUGUAAGCAGACUGGUCACUGGAAGCGGAACUGCCCCAAGUAUUUGGCGGAUAAGAAGGAUGGCAAAGUGAACAAAGGUAUAUGUGAUAUACAUAUUAUCGAUGUGUACCUUACUAAUGCUUGUAGUAGCACCUGGGUAUUUGAUACUGGUUCUGUUGCUAACAUUUGCAAAUCGAAACAGGGGCUACGGAUUAAGCGAAGAUUGGCUAAGGACGAGGUGACGAUGCGCGUGGGAAAUGGUUCCAAAGUGGAUGUGAUCGCGAUCGGCACGCUACCUCUACAUCUACCUUCGGGAUUAGUAUUAGACCUAAAUAAUUGUUAUUUGGUGCCAGCGUUGAGCAUGAACAUUAUAUCUAGAUCUUGUUUGAUGUGAGACGGUUAUUCAUUUAAAUCAGAGAAUAAUGGUUGUUCUAUUUAUAUGAGUAAUAUCUUUUAUGGUCAUGCACCCUUGAAGAGUGGUCUAUUUUUGAUGAAUCUCGAUAGUAGUGAUACACAUAUUCAUAAUGUUGAAAUCAAAAGAUGUAGAGUUGAUAAUGAUAGUGCAACUUAUUUGUGGCACUGCCGUUUAGGACAUAUCGGUGUAAAGCGCAUGAAGAAACUCCAUACUGAUGGACUUUUGGAACCACUUGAUUAUGAAUUACUUGGUACUUGUGAACCGUGCCUCAUGGGUAAGAUGACUAAAACGCCGUUCUCCGGUACUAUGGAGAGAGCAACGGAUUUGUUGGAAAUCAUACAUACAGAUGUAUGUGGUCCAAUGAAAGUUGAGGCUCGUGGCGGAUUUCAUUAUUUUCUCACCUUCACAGAUGAUUUAAGCAGAUAUGAGUAUAUCUACUUAAUGAAACAUAAGUCUAAAACAUUUGAAAAGUUCAAAGAAUUUCAGAGUGAAGUUGAAAAUCAUUGUAACAAGAAAAUAAAGUUUCUACGAUCGAAUCGUGGAGGAAAAUAUUUGAGUUACGAGUUUGGUCUACAUUUGAAACAAUGCGGAAUAGUUUCGCAACUCACGCCACCCAGAACACCACAGCGUAAUGGUGUGUCCGAACGUUGUAAUCGUACUUUAUUAGAUAUGGUGCGAUCUAUGAUGUCUCUUACUGAUUUACCGUUAUCGUUUUGGGGUUAUGCUUUAGAGACGGCUGCAUUCACGUUAAAUAGGACACCAUCGAAAUCCGUUGAGACGACGCCUUAUGAACUAUGGUUUGGGAAGAAACCAAAGUUGUCGCUUCUGAAAGUUUGGGCUGCGAUGCUUAUGUGAAAAAGUUUCAACCUGAUAAGCUCGAACCCAAAUCGGAGAAAUGUGUCUUCAUAGGAUACCCAAAGGAGACUGUUGGGUACACCUUCUAUCACAGAUCCGAAGGCAAGACUUUUGUUGCUAAAUUCGGAGUUUUUCUAAAGAAGGAGUUUCUCUCGAAAGAAGUGCGUAGGAGAAAAGUAGAACUUGAUGAGGUAAUUAUACCUACUCCCUUAUUGGAAAGUAGUACAUCACAGAAACCGGUUUCUGUGAUACCUACACCAAUUAGUGAGGAAGCUAAUGAUAAUGAUCAUGAAACUUCAGAUCAAGUUACUACCGAACCUCGUAGAUCAACCAGAGUAAGAUCCGCACCAGAGUGGUACGGUAAUCCUGUUCUGGAAGUCAUGCUACUAGAUCAUGAUGAACCUACGAACUAUGAAGAAGCGAUGGUGAGCCCAGAUUCCGCAAAAUGGCUAGAAGCCAUGAAAUCUGAGAUGGGAUCCAUGUAUGAGAACAAAGUGUGGACUUUGGUUGACUUGCCCGUUGAUCGGCAAGCAAUUGAGAAUAAAUGGAUCUUCAAGAAGAAGACUGACGCUGACGGUAAUGUUACUGUCUACAAAGCUCGACUUGUCGCAAAAGGUUUUCGACAAGUUCAAGGGAUUGACUACGAUGAGACCUUCUCACCCGUAGCGAUGCUUAAGUCUAUCCGAAUCAUGUUAGCAAUUGCUGCAUUUUAUGAUUAUGAGAUUUGGCAGAUGGAUGUCAAAACUGCAUUCCUGAAUGGAUUUCUGGAAGAAGAGUUGUAUAUGAUGCAACCGGAAGGUUUUGUCGAUCCAAAGGGAGCUAACAAAGUGUGCAAGCUCCAGCGAUCCAUUUAUGGACUGGUGCAAGCCUCUCGGAGUUGGAAUAAACGCUUUGAUAGUGUGAUCAAAGCAUUUGGUUUUGUACAGACUUUUGGAGAAGCCUGUAUUUACAAGAAAGUUAGUGGGAGCUCUAUAGCAUUUCUGAUAUUAUAUGUGGAUGACAUAUUAUUGAUUGGAAAUGAUAUAGAAUUUCUGGAUAACAUAAAGGGAUACUUGAAUAAGAGUUUUUCAAUGAAAGACCUCGGUGAAGCUGCUUACAUAUUGGGCAUUAAGAUCUAUAGAGAUAGAUCAAGACGCUUAAUUGGACUUUCACAAAGCACAUACCUUGACAAGAUUUUGAAAAAGUUCAAAAUGGAUCAAGCAAAGAAAGGGUUCUUGCCUGUGUUACAAGGUGUGAAGUUGAGUAAGACUCAAUGUCCGACCACCGCAGAAGAUAGAGAGAAAAUGAAAUUUGUUCCCUAUGCUUCAGCCAUAGGCUCUAUCAUGUAUGCAAUGCUGUGUACUAGACCUGAUGUGUGCCUUGCUAUAAGUCUAGCAGGGAGGUACCAAAGUAAUCCAGGAGUGGAUCACUGGACAGCGGUCAAGAACAUCCUGAAAUACCUGAAAAGGACUAAGGAUAUGUUUCUCGUAUAUGGAGGUGACAAAGAGGUCAUCGUAAAUGGUUACGUUGAUGCAAGCUUUGACAUUGAUCCGGACGAUUCUAAAUCACAAACCGGAUACGUGUUUUUACUGAACGGUGGAGCUGUCAGUUGGUGCAGUUCUAAACAAAGCGUCGUGGCAGGAUCUACCUGUGAAGCAGAGUACAUAGAUGCUUCGGAAGCAGCAAAUGAAGGAGUCUGGAUGAAGGAGUUCAUAUCCGAUCUAGGUGUCAUACCUAGUGCAUCGGGUCCAAUGAAAAUCUUUUGUGAUAAUACUGGUGCAAUUGCCUUGGCAAAGGAAUCCAGAUUUCAUAAGAGAACCAAGCACAUCAAGAGACGCUUCAAUUCCAUUUGGGAUUUAGUCCAAGUGGGAGACAUAGAAAUUUGCAAGAUACAUACGGAUCUGAAUGUUGCAGACCCGCUGACUAAGCCUCUUCCACGAGCAAAACAUGAUCAGCACCAAGGCUCCAUGGGUGUUAGAAUCAUUACUAUGUAAUCUAGAUUAUUGACUCUAGUGCAAGUGGGGGACUGAAGGAAAUAUGCCCUAGAUGCAAUAAUAAAGUUAUUAUUUAUUUCCUUAUAUCAUGAUAAAUGUUUAUUAUUCAUGCUAGAAUUGUAUUAACCGGAAACAUAAUACAUGUGUGAAUACAUAGACAAACAGAGUGUCACUAGUAUGCCUCUACUUGACUAGCUCGUUGAUCAAAGAUGGUUAUGUUUCCUAACCAUAGACAUUAGUUGUCAUUUGAUUAACGGGAUCACAUCAUUAGGAGAAUGAUGUGAUUGACUUGACCCAUUCCAUUAGCAUAGCACUUGAUCGUUCAGUUUGUUGCUAUUGCUUUCUUCAUGACUUAUACAUGUUCCUAUGACUAUGAGAUUAUGCAACUCCCGUUUACCGGAGGAACACUUUGUGUGCUACCAAACGUCACAACGUAACUGGGUGAUUAUAAAGGUGCUCUACAGGUGUCUCCAAAGGUACUUGUUGGGUUGGCGUAUUUCGAGAUUAGGAGUUGUCACUCCGAUUGUCGGAGAGGUAUCUCUAGGCCCAGUCGGUAAUGCACAUCACUAUAAGCCUUGCAAGCAUUGCAACUAAUGAGUUAGUUGUAGGAUGAUGUAUUACGGAACGAGUAAAGAUACUUGCCGGUAACGAGAUUGAACUAGGUAUUGAGAUACCGAUGAUCAAAUCUCGGGCAAGUAACAUACCGAUGACAAAGGGAACAACGUAUGUUGUUAUGCGAUCUGACCGAUAAAAGAUCUUCAUAGAAUAUGUAGGAGCCAAUAUGAGCAUUCAGGUUCCGCUAUUGGUUAUUGACCGGAGACGUGUCUCGGUCAUGUCUACAUUAUUUUCGAACCCGUAGGGUCCGCACGCUUAACGUUACGAUGACAGUUUCAUUAUGAGCUUAUAUAUUUUGAUGUACCGAAGGUUGUUCAGAGUCCCGGAUGUGAUCACGGACAUAACGAGGAGUCUUGAAAUAGUCGAGACAUAAAGAUUAAUAUAUUGGACGACUAUAUUCGGACACAGGAAUGGUUCCGGGAGUUACCGGAUAUAAAACGGAGUACCGGGGGUUACCGGAACCCCCCCGGGGGUCCGGGGGUUAAUGGGCCUCAUGGGCCCAAAGGGGAGCAGACGAGGGGCGGCCAGGGCAGGCUGCACGCCACCUCCCCUUCUAGUCCGAAUUGGACAAGGAGGGAGGGGCGGCGCCCCCCUUUCCUUUCUCUCCUCUCUCCCUUCCUUCCCCCUCUCCUAGUUGGACAAGGAAAAGAGGGAGUCCUACUCCCGGUAGGAGUAGGACUCCUCCCUGGUGCGCCUCCUCCUGGCCGGCCGCCCCUUCCCCUUGCUCCUUUAUAUACGGGGGUAGGGGGGCACCUCUAGGCACAACAAUUGAUCCUUGAGAUCUAUUAGCCGUGUGUGGUACCCUCCUCCAUCAUAAUCCUCGAUAAUAUUGUAGCGGUGCUUAGGUGAAGCCCUACGACGGUAGAACAUCAAGAUCGUCACCACGCCGUCGUGCUGACGGAACUCUUCCCCGACAUUCUGCUGGAUCGGAGUCCGGGGAUCGUCAUCGAGCUGAACGUGUGCUAGAACUCGGAGGUGCCGUAGUUUCGGUGCUUGAUCGGUCAGGCCGUGAAGACGUACGACUACAUCAACCGUGUUGUGCUAAUGCUUCCGCUUCCGGUCUAUGAGGGUACGUAGACAACACUCUCCCCUCUCGUUGCUAUGCAUCACCAUGAUCUUGCGUGUGCGUAGGAAUUUUUUUGAAAUUACUACGUUCCCCAACACGACCCCCCCCUGUCGCCUCCGUGGAGCACCAUGCCACGUCAGGAGCCCCGCGUUGGUGACCCGUCGCUGCGUCCCGAUGAGGGGAGAGUCGUCAUCAUCUCCACGCCCGAGAUGGACACCAACGCUGCCAGCCUCGCCUCCUUGGGAGCCUUCCUCUGGCUUGGAGGCAGCAGGCCAGCCGUGAGUCAAGAUGGCAACGGGGACGAAACCCACCAGGUUUUGCUUACCCAAACCCAUCCCCACGAGAAAAUCGCAAACCCAUCCCCGUCCCCAUCAACAUGCGCGGGGUUAAAUUUUUGCCCGUCCCCUAAACCCAUCGGGUUUUCAAAACCCACGGGGAACCCGUCCCCAUGAGCAGCCAAUGAAAACAGCAACAUUUGGAAGAAAAACCGGAGCAUAUUACAGCAACAGGCGACGGCUGGGGGACCUAGGUUUAGGUUUAGGUGUCAUGUUGUGCGGGAGAGAGAGUCCUAAAGAGCGAGCAACACUGCAGCGACCGAGUGAGGGGUUGGUUUGUACUCCAGGGCCUCGAUGUUGUGGGGCUCGGCUCCUCGGGCACUGUGGCUUUGGGCCACUUGAGUCAAGAUGGAUCGGUGCGUGCUAAAUAAUGUAUUUUGACGGGUUUUGUCGGGUUUCGGGUUCGGGUAGUACUCAAACGGGUUUAAACCCGUGAAACAUGCCGGGUUUAAUAAUGUACCCAUGAACAGCCCCGCGGGGAUAGAAAGUCGCCCAUCCACGUCCCCUAAUUGGGUAAAAACCCACGGGGACGCGGGUUUCGGGGCCCCAUUGCCAUCUUGAGCCGUGAGCGCUGCUGAGAUCAAGGAGGCCAUCGACGUGCAGUUCGGUGUGCGGCUAUCAAGGUGGUGCCACACUAUCCGGAGGACUUCUUCGCCCUCUUCGACUACCAGCACCAACGCGAUAGGGUCACGGCGCCAGGCCAUUUCCGGAACAAUGGGCUCAACAUCCACUCCGCCAACUGGCGCCUUGACGCGCACACUGAUGUGAUCCGGGCGAACUACCACGUCCAUCUAUGCAUCGAAGGAAUCCCUCUCAGCGCUUGGUGCGACUCCGUGGCGGCACAUGUGCUCGGGCCGGACACCUUCGUCCACUAGUUCGACGUCGACACUCUACAACGUGAAUAUGCUUCUAGUUUCAAGCUAUGGGCCUGGUCGGCGAACCCCUCGGCCAUCCCCAAGGUGCAGCAGGUCACCAUCGCGUUGCGGGUGGCCACAUGCGUUGGUGGGGCUCCAUCAACGAAUGAUGGGCAUCGUGGUAUCCGACGUCACGCCAUUCUUCAUCUCAACCAGCUGGAGGACUACACGCCCGAUGCUUUCGGCAACAUCCCUCGCCGCCUGCACUCUAAGCCUUUCACCUGGUGCUACGGCGUGGUGGAUGGCGAGCGCCGGGUGCGGGAUAGGCAGGAACCACCGCCUCGCAGCCGUGACGAUGAAGACAGGCACCGCCGCGACGACGAGCAUGAUAGAGAUGACCGGCGGGGUCGGGACAAUGACCGGCCGCGAUCCUCCUGGCAUGACCAUUUCUUCAGGAGCCGUUCCCGCGCUCCAGAACACCGAGCUGAUGAAGAUCACCAUGGUUCGCGUUGCGAGGAGCAUCGUCGGAACCGUGGCAGGGAUGAUCGCGGAAGGGACGGCUGACACUAUUCUGGUUCAGGCAAGAUGAUUCAAGGCCGCUCUCCCCCGCCCUCCCCUCGCACCACCUCAUGCGACAUCAUCGAGCUCGCCCCCUCUGGUUCGGCCCUGGGCUGGCUCUGCGGCGUGGCUCGCAUGGUGACUAAAGUGCAGCCUUCCUUAACUCUCAAUGCACACCAGGCAAUGACAGAGAUGAUGCCGGCACAGCUGCCGGCCAUGUCCACCUGCUCCCCUGAAGUUGUGCUUGCUCCACGACAAGAAGCCCUGCUUGAAGAUCCACACGUCCUCAACUUCACUCCCAUGCCGGAGUUUGUCCCUGCUACGCCCACGCUGCCGUCCAAACCCGAUGUAUCUGAUGAUGUCAGUUCUGGCCAUUUGUCCCCUGUUGUAGCUCCCACCACUUCACCUGAGAUGCCCACUCCUAUCUUCAUCCCAAGCAUGCCGGCCCUGCUCCCCUCACCACACUCAACGCCGCCCAGGCCGCCUACAGCUCGACGGAAGACACUUGCUGGAGUAACUGGCUUCCAGCUUCCUAGGCAAAGUCCGCGUCUCCAGGCAAAAAAGAGGAGUGUGCCCAUUGCCAAGCUUGUAGAGCAGCUGCUCUGUCGAUGUAUGAACAUCGUUGCUGAAGAUGAGCAAGUAACAGAAGCUGCGAUUACAAAGUUCACUCAUAUGUUUCAUGGCCAGCUUCCAGAUGUUGCUAUGGCUGCCCUUCGUGCACUAUUUCAACUUGAUUGUGAUCUCUCGUCGGCGGUUGAAGAGGCUCUGGUGUAGCAUGGUGGAGAAGGUGGACCGGACCUGGACGAGGCUGCAUCUGCAACCACUUGAACCUGCUGCCAGUUAUCUGAUGUACUCUAGUUCCUUAUGAUUGUACACCAAACCAAUGCCAGAUGUACGCCUGUUUGUAGCUGCUGUAGAUUGCUACUGCCCCUGGUCCUGGUGAGACCUCUAUUGAUAUGCUUGUUUCAAUCCAUGUUGCCCCUUUUGCAAUUCUGUUGAUGUACCCUUGGUGAAUCAAUGUUAGAGCAAAACAUCUCAAUACUGUGUUGGAAUGUGCGUGGCUUGAACUGCCCAGACCAUAGAGCCACUGUCCAUGAAACAAUUGCUACAUCCUCCUGCCAUCGUGUUUGCCUACAGGAAACAAAGCUUCAAGUCAUUGGCAGUUUCAUCGCUACAUACCUUGGUGGUUACCGAUUGUAGAAUUUUGCUUACAAACCUGCUGAUGGAACUAAAGGAGGCAUAUUACUCCUAUGGGAUGAUAAUGUGGUGAACAUUUCCAAUGUCCAGAUUGGAUCAUAUUUUCUUUCCGGAGAUGUUGCUGUCAAGAAUACCGAGAGAAAUAACUUCAAGCUUACCACUGUAUAUGGGCCAACUAGAAGCAUUCACAAAGAUGCCUUUUUUCUCGAGCUAUCCUCCCAGAAACCGUCGCCAGGGACAAAAUGGCUGGUUAAUGGGGACUUCAACCAGAUUUACCGGGCCAGAGAUAAAAACCGCUCCAAUGUUGAUCGUAGCAGAUUAGUUCGCUUCCGCAACACUAUUACAUCUUGUGAGCUCUAGGAGAUCCCCCUCCAGAACCGGAAGUUUACUUGAAGUAACGAGAGAAACAAUUCGACGCUUAGUAAACUUGACAACUUUUUUUGCAAUGAGGAUUGGGACAUUGAAUUCGCCAACCACAUACUUCAUGCCAUGUCCUUCUCGCUCUCAGAUCAUUGUCCGUUGUUGCUCGCUUGCACGGACGGCCCCAAGAAACCCAGGUCCUUUAGGUUUGAGAACCAUUGGACCAAGAUGCCAGGCUUCCAAAAGACGAUCAGCGAUGCUUGGAACGAAGAUUCGAGUCACCAAGAUCCCUACCAAAGACUUUUUCACAAGCUAAAAUCUACUAGUCGACGAUUACGUUCCUGGAGCAAAACACUCUUCGCUAAAUCUAAGGUCCAGCUGCAUAUGGCCCUUGAAGUUAUUCUCCGUCUCGAUAUGGACCAGGAACAAAGAGAAUUAUCCGAACAGGAAAUUGAUCUUCGGAAACGGCUCAAGAGGAAGAUUAUUGCCUGGGCUGUGCUUGAGAAGUCCAGAAAGAGGCAAAACUCAAGAAUCACCAAUUUGAAGGACAGCGAUGCUAACACCCACUACUUUCACCUGCGUGUUAACCACCGAAGGAGGAAGAACUUUAUCCAUCAUCUCAAGCAUAACAAUGGUUGGAUUAUGGAACACAAUUUGAAGGAGCAGGUCAUACACCAUCAUUUUGAAAGCAUUGCUAAGAAGGGGCCUUCACGCAGAAUUGACAUCAAUUGGGGAAUCAUUCCGGCCCCCAAUUGUGACCUUCAGGAAUUGGAUGAGGCUAUCACGAAAGAGGAGGUGAAGGCUACCGUUUUUGCUAUGCCAAAUGACAAAGCUCCAGGACCGGAUGGCUUCACUGGUGCUUUUUUUAAAGCAUGCUGGAGCACAAUAAAGGGAGAUCUUAUGUCGGCUAUUCAUCAUUUCUCUGACCUGCAUGCCGCCCAUUUCCACUGGCUAAAUUAUGCGGAUGUUGCCCUCAUCCCCAAGAAAGAUGGUGCCGAGGAUAUUGUUGACUUUCGACCCAUCAGUCUUAUUCAUGCUAUUGCGAAGAAUAUUGCAAAAGUGAUGUCCAACCAGUUAGCCCCCCACAUGAACGACUUGGUCUCCCAGGCCCAGAGUGCGUUCAUGAAACGGAGAUGUAUCCACGAUAAUUUCAUGUAUGUGCGCAAUCUUGUGAGAUGUUUCUACCGCAAGAAAACCCCGACACUGCUCUUCAAGCUAGAUAUCAAGAAAGCCUUCGACUCUAUUCGUUGGGACUAUCUUCUUGACCUUCUUCAGCACCUUGGUUUUCCUCCACGCUUUAGAGGAUGGAUCUCAACUCUCCUCUCCUCGGCUUCGUCGCGAGUUCUGCUCAAUGGGGUUCCUGGCACUCCUAUCAAGCUUGGGAAGGGCCUGAGACAAGGAGAUCCUUUAUCCCCACUCCUUUUUGUGCUGGCCAUCGACCCACUACAUCACAUUCUCAAGAAAGCCACUGCUCAAAGAAAGCUGCACCCUCUUGCUGGCAAUGCCAUGCCUACCAGAGCCUCCCUCUACGCGGAUGACGCGGCGGUUUUCCUUGCGCCCAUCAAAACCGAGGUCAAGUUUUUUGCGGAUACGCUUGCACAGUUUGGGGAAGUGACGGGGCUAACAACGAACUGCUCUAAAAGUCUUGUUGCCCCCAUUCGAUGUGACUCCUUGAAUCUUGAUGAUAUACUCAGCUCCUUCCCCGCCAACCGCACCUCCUUCCCAAUGAAAUAUCUUGGGCUGCCGUUGUCAACUAAGAGGCUCAAAACAAUCCAUUUUCAGCCUCUCGAAGAUAAGAUUGCUACUCAACUUACGCCUUGGAUGGGCAAGCAUGUUGCGCAGCCGGGACGGGCUGUGUUGGUCAAGUCGGUCAUCACGGCAAUUGCCAUUUACUACUUGACGGCGCUAGACCUACCUGCUGAGGUUAUGAAGAAGAUCGACUCCCUUAGGCGUGCCUAUCUUUGGGCAGGUUGUGACAAGGUCACAGGUGGCAAAUGCAAGAUUAAUUGGGACCAGGUGUGCAAAUCAAAAGUGCAUGGUGGGUUGGGCAUUCUAAAUCUGGAAAAAUUUGUAGCGGCCCUCCGAAUUCGUUGGCUGUGGGCUGCUUGGACGGAUCCGGCCAAACCUUGGGUCAACUUGGGAAAUCCUUGUGUACAAAAGGACAAAGAUAUUUUCGCGUCUGCCACAAAGGUUGUUGUUGGAGACGGUCGUCGAGCAUCAUUUUGGGAUUCUUCCUGGCUGGAUGGUAUGAGACCCAAGGAUAUCGCGUCCACGAUCUUUGAACUUUCUACAAGAAAAAACUGCUCUGUGAAGAAGGCCUUGCACAAUAACUUCUGGGUUUCUAAGGUGGAUAUUGGUGGGAACCUCACUGUCAGCCACAUAUCCGAGUUCGUCAACCUUUGGGGAAAGCUCUCGCUGGUCAAUCUCAACCCGGAGGAGACCGAUUCAAUUACGUGGAAGCUCACCAAUGAUGGCCAAUAUUCAGCGGCGUCGGCAUAUAAUACACAAUUCCUUGGGCUAGUGGACACGGACAUGCCUCUGUUAGUGUGGCAGAACUGGGCUCCUCCCGAAUGCAAUUUUUUUGCUUGGUUGGUCAUCAACAACAUAGUUUGGACGGCUGACAGGCUUCAGCGAAGGGGUUGGCCAAAUUGUAAUCUUUGUCCUCUUUGCAAGCAAACUCCGGAAUCGGCGGCACACCUUCUUUUCCAAUGCCGCUACACCAUCCGCGUGUAGGGAAUGAUUGAAUCUUGGCUCGGUUUACAAGACGUACACCCAGCGAACUGGGGUGGUUUGACUUCGGUCAAAGAGUGGUGGCGCGCCAAUGCUUCUGGGACCUCACGACCACGAAGGGCGCUGACUUCCAUCAUACUACUGAUUUCUUUGGAAAUAUGGAAAGAGCGAAAUGCACGUGUGUUCCGUAACAACGCAGUUCCAGUGGGUGUGCUUGUUGCUCGAAUCAAAGAGGAAGCCUUAUGGUGGUGCCGUGUCGAGGCAAAAUAUUUGUGUAAUGUAAUGCUGCGAGAGUGAGGAUUGUAGCUGGCCUCGACUCUAAAACAUUCUUCUUAUUCAAUGAAAAUGGCAAGUCUUUUGCCUUGUUUCAAAAAAAAUAAUCGCUCCAGUACGUCUCGUGGAGCACUGCGUCGGGCCUGUGGUUGGGGUCCAUGUGCACGGCGCCGUAGGACGACGUGAACACCACCCGCCGCACGCCCACGUCCGCCGCCGCUCUGAUCACGUUCCUCGUCCCCUCCACGGCGACCGGCACGAGGUCCUGCAAGACAGCAUAGCAGAGCACGAGGUAAGCCACCCAGUACGCGGCGCUUGUUAGAAUCGCAAGAAGCGAGCGGAGCAUAGGAAGUGAACUGACGGGGAUGUUGGAGACGGGGGAGGCAACGUGGAAGACCCCGCGGCAGCCGCGGAAGGCGGCGCGGAGGCCGUCGUAGUCGAGGACGUCGGCGCGGCACAGGGUGAGCCUCUCCUCGGCGCCCUCCAGCGCCAACAGGUGCGCGUUCUUUUGGUCAGCUGCAGAAACCACGCCACCAGUAGACGAGCCACAGAAUUCAGCGAUAUCGAUCAUGGGCCGACCGCACGGUGCAAGUAAACAGUGACUUACCGGGGUCCCUGGCGGUUCCCCUGACGCGGUAGCCGCGGAGGAGGAGCUCCUUCACCACCCACGAGCCGAUGAAGCCUCCCGCGCCCGUGACGCAGACCAGCUCCAGCUCCGGCCGCCUCUGCUUCAGCUCGCCGUUGUCGGUGGCCUUGUCAAUCGACGGCAUGGUCGAUCAAUAUGUGGAUGUUGAUGCGAGAUUGCUAGUUGGCUAACUAACACGGGCUAGCUAGUACUACCAAACUGCCUUUGCUUGAUGCUUGCUGAUGAUGAUGCUCAGUGGAUCGAGAGCUUGUGUGUUCUGUCCGGUUAACGCGCUCCACUAUUUAUACUGAAAAAAGUAGUGGCACCGUUGCACGACAGCACAACAAAACUGCGAUGCGAUGCAAUACUACCUGGGCUGCAGUGCGUGUGCGGGAAGUCGAGGGGAGGCUGCAGCUCGUUUUGUUUUGUUUAUGGAGUGAUACAGCCAGCCAGCCAACGACUGAAUAUUCAGCGGCGCGACCGGAUGGGCGGGUUUGGGGCUCAGCCGACAUUGGACUGGAGCACGGCAAAUUCCGUUUCCGCGAAGCGAAUCCUUCCUCCUGCCACGGAAAGGUCCACCACCUUGCGCGUCAUCGUUGCAUGACAAAACCUAUGAUGGUUUUCCUUGCGCCGUAUUACUAUUGAAUUAUGUCUUGGAUUCCUUUUUUGCGAUCUACUCCCUCCGUAAACUAAUAUAAAAGCGUUUAGAAUACUAAAAUAAUAAUCUAAACACUUUUAUAUUAGUUUACAGAGGGAGUAUGUUUGAAUGUGACUUCCCGUUCAGGUAAAGAAGUAUAUGUUUUUAUAGCUAAACGGGUCUAACUUUAUUAACUCUUUACAGUGUACUUUGCCCGCUACAAAAACCACUAAAGUUAUUUUCAAGGGGAUGAAAACUGACGCAACUUUUGCUAAGUGCGUACUCAGGAUCAUAAAGUGUUAAAUGAUGUAAUUAGCGUAAAAAAACAAUAAAGUGGGGGAGAAAAAACUAAAUUCACUCAAAAAUAAAUUAUGUUAUGAUAACUUUUUUGCGGGAGAAACUUCUGAUCUAUUUAUAAUCAAUUAUGGCAGUACAAAGACACUAGAGGUAGCAAAAAUUAUAACGAGGUCCAUGGACCACCUAGCGACUACUGAAACGUGCUUUGCAAUAAAUAUUUUCGUCAUGUUGAAUGAUAAUAUGUUUUGCGGUUAGCUAUCUCAAAAAAGAAAAGAAUGAUAGUAUUUUUGAAGCCAUGUUCUUUCUUUAAUCCCAGGCACUACCACAGUGAUCUAUGGUGUCGGGUUGUGUUUUGUAAAGAAAUAUAUAGCCAAGUGAGGUGGUGGAGCACCCUAGGGUCAUCACCAUGGUAUUGGCUCCAUCAAGACAUGCUCAUCACACGUAUUAUGAUGAAUUAUAACAAUUAUGCGUGUCUAUUUGUUUCUCUCACAAAUUGUAUGCUAGUUGACCCUCCUAUCCUUUGCACCUUUAGGUUUGAGUCGAAUGACGAACAUGCAAUGGAGGAGACCAGGCACAAGGAAGCGCCAACACCAUCCACAAAGAAGCUUGUAAGACGAGAAAGAAGAAGCAAGGAGUACCUCAGACGAAGUCAACCAACAGCCAUCGGGAAAGUUGGACAUUCUGACAGAAUGUCCUACCCAACAUCGGACUUCACGUUUGCUGUUUGGACACUGUUGGAAUGUCUGACAGGAAUAUACGACAACCUUCGACACGUCGGACAAGACAUCAGACCACCUGUCUGACUUAUCCAGAGCCCUUUGAACCUUAUCGGUCGUAAGUCGAAUAGAGGGUGCCAUAUGCCUGUUACCUUUCCCCGCGUACCUAUCUCUUCGUCGCUAAACUACACAUACCAUACCCCUCCUCCCAUCUUGGGUUAACAAAAUAUAAACUAAAUUUUGAGAGAGCUUUGUUCAAUCUACCUCGGCCUUCGGGACUAAGACCCCUUGCGAGAGAAGAAUCUUACAAUUACAAGACCUCUUACGAGGGAAGAUUCCUGUAGGAAUACAAGACCCCCAUCUCUGCUACAUAUUUGGGAAUACUAUUUCUCAGGAGCUCCAAUUCCCCUGGAAUUUGGAGAGGAACCUACCUUGGUAAUUUUUACUUUGUUAUUGUUUGGAUCUUGGAGUUUAUCACCUUUUGCAUUGGGAUUUGACUAGUUGUGUGUGAAUCUUGACUAUGAGAGCAAUUUCCUUUGAGUGUUGCCCCUUGUUCCUCGUGUUCAACCUCAAUUCCACCCUUAAUUCGUGAAGAUCGGGCCACUCCGACGGCUUGCACCAUACCACGACGACAGAUGGACGAACGAGCUACCACAUGGCCCUAGGGCCUAUAAGUAUGUGCUGUUGCUGAAUAUGUGUAUGUCGCCGGUUAUCACAAAGUCAACUAAAGCUCACUGUACCCUGUCUUUUUACAAGACUCACUGUGCGUAUAGACGGGGUGUAUAUAGUGCACCGGAGCAUCUGAUGCCACAGACGCACCCAAUCUCCAUAGAUAUCAUUUGAAACAUUGGAUGACUAGGAAAUUUCAUGAGGAUAUAAGUAAAAUGCAUAUCUAGCACGGUAUAAAAUUUCGGGUCUAAAUUCAAAAUACAUAUCUAGAAAGUGGGAAAAAUCGAAUCACAAAGCAAAUAGUAGCAAAUGCUGACUGGGCUUAAAUACGGCCCAUUUUCUUCAUGUAAAUGGAUUCAAUAUUUAUGUUCAAAAUUUAAAUGUAAAAUCUAUGGUACAACAAAUUCAAUUUUCGUAGCAUCUCUUUAAAUGACUGGUUUCCCAUAAAAAAAAUACCUGACUUUAAAUCGGGUACAUGGGUACACAUUUUUAGGACAUGCGGGUACCAUCAAAUGCUCGCCAGUGCACUUGCCUGUGUGGUGGACUUGAGCUGCGCCCGCCGGAAAAAAGAUCGGCGGGAACGAGCUACCAACCAACGGAGAGAUAUGGGCCGCGGUGACAACCCACCGGAGCCGUCGUUGAAGGAGCAGCACGAGUUGCUUCUUGCUUCUUGGCAGGCGCGAGGAACAAGCCGUCAAAGCACGCCAGACCAGAACAAAACUGGUAUUCUUUCAGUAUGUUAAGGUGGUGUUUGUUCUCUAGUUUUAGGACUUUUUCUAGUCUCUAGAACUUUUUGAAAAAGACUCUCAAAAAGAUGUUUCUAAGGACUUUUAGCAAAAAGUCUCAAAAAAGUCUCACCCUAUUUGGUUUGCUAGGAAUUUUUUCUAGUCCCAACACAAAAAGUCCAUGGAACCAAACACCCCUUAAGAAAAAGGGUUUCCCCCGCUUUGUAUUACAAAGCAACCAUCCAUAUAUCCAACGAUAGGUGCUGAGGCCGCAGCACAAACAAGUCCAAAGGAAAAACAGAGAAAAAAGGAAGAGAAACAAAUGCCAACAAUGGCAGAUCAACAAAACAAAGAUGACCGGCGACCGCUGCAUCCUCCAGAGAAGUACCACCACGUUCCCAGCACCCGAAGCGCCGCUUACCAAGCAACACCUUCAAGAAGGAGGCGACGACAACGCCGCUGCUGCCCGGACUAGUCCUAGGGCUUCCCCCAGUACGCGGGGGGCAGUGAGGGGAGGGGUGUACCCGACACCCUUCAGGAAGGUCCGGCGGCACCCACAGACGUCGCCGCGUCGGGGCCGGACGAGUCGCCAGAGAUUUCUCCCAACCCAAAUCCCCACCACCACCCUAGACGAAUCAUAGUGCACCACCAUCACGCCGCCCAGCAACAUGUGCCACCACGGUCACCGAAUCAACUUCGUCGUCUCCCUGAGGUCAUCGACACGAGACCUGGAGGACGGGGGAAGGGAGAGUGGCCUCGGGGGCAUCCGCAACAUCACCGAUGUGAGGGGACAACCACCACCGCCACCGCGGAGCUGACCGGACGCACGGACAAGGGGCCUGCCAAGCGCCGAGGCCCGGCAGGACCCAAAAGGGUCCAGACAGCCCCUGCCGUCACGCUGCAGCUCGCCGGCCGACGAAGCCGCCACCACCCGCAGACCACCGCCACUUCACCACCAACCAGGGAGCAGCGUCGCCAUACACCGAGUCGUCGGCCCGCCCUAGCCCAGAUGGAGCCCGAAAGAGCCCAGAUCUGGGCCGCGCGGGUGUCGCUGGCCACCAGCACCAUCACACCGCCCCGCGACCAACAGCCGCGCCGCCGCACCGAGUACCACGAAGCUUGCCGGAAUCCCGCCGCCGAACCACACCGCAGUUGGUCAAGCUGCACCGCCGCCAUCGGGAGGCCCCGACGCCCCCCAUGAGCAUGCGGGGAAGGGACGGCCCGCCACCGCCAGCGCCGCGCGGGAAAGGCCCGGCGGAUCCAGCCGGCGGCGGUAGGGAGGGAUAUGGACGGGGAGGGGCCGAAGGAGAGGAGGCAGGGGCCCGCCCGUCGCNNNNNNNNNNNNNNNNNNNNNNNNNNNNNNNNNNNNNNNNNNNNNNNNNNNNNNNNNNNNNNNNNNNNNNNNNNNNNNNNNNNNNNNNNNNNNNNNNNNNNNNNNNNNNNNNNNNNNNNNNNNNNNNNNNNNNNNNNNNNNNNNNNNNNNNNNNNNNNNNNNNNNNNNNNNNNNNNNNNNNNNNNNNNNNNNNNNNNNNNNNNNNNNNNNNNNNNNNNNNNNNNNNNNNNNNNNNNNNNNNNNNNNNNNNNNNNNNNNNNNNNNNNNNNNNNNNNNNNNNNNNNNNNNNNNNNNNNNNNNNNNNNNNNNNNNNNNNNNNNNNNNNNNNNNNNNNNNNNNNNNNNNNNNNNNNNNNNNNNGGGGGAGGGGGGAGAGGGAGGCGGGGUGCGCGCGGCUGGCGGCCGGCGGCGGCGGCAGGGAGAGCGGUAGGGGAACCCUAGUCGCGGGAGCGGGGGAGCGUUUGCGACAGGGCACAGAUCGCCCUUCUUCCAGUACGUUCUGAAAAGAAUAUCAAACAUGGGACAGCAGUACCAUCAGUGUCACUACGAAACCAUCAGCAGUUUCCGUCACGCUCUCGGCUGCUGGAACUGAAAGGCAGGCCAUCCCAGUCAACUCGACUAAACACCACUUUUGGAAUAUUGUGGCGUAUUGGUCCGACUGUUUUGAUCAGCAGACGGGAUAAUAUAUAAUACACACCUCGAUCCAUAUUUUAAAGUUGUACUAAGGCCGUGACAAAGAAUGUUGAUGAAUGGAAAUGCGGUCUUUUCAUAAGAGCAACUCUAGCAGAUCCCGCAAAAAGGCUUGACCCGCAAAAUAACCGCCAAAAUGUGGGUCUGCGCGGAAAAUCCUGCCCGAGAAGACCCCGCAAACGCGGCCGGCCCGCAAAAACUUUUGAGGGGCGCGGCAAAAUCUCGGCCCCAACCUGCGAAUACGCGGGUUUCCCCCUCGCCGCCGCGGUGCCCCGCAUCAUAGAGAAGCGGUUGGCGGGAGGGCCAUUUCAGCCCGCGCACCUUUCCCCACCUCCUUCCGUCGUCGCCCGCCUUUGCUUCCGCCCGUCCGCCACUGGUGAUUCCGGCCAAAUCUACGGGCGGAAUCGCGCCGCGGGGCCGUUCCCCACCCUCCAGCGCUGAUACGCUCCACCGACCCCCCCGGAUCCGGCGAGAAGAGCCGCCGCCUCGUCGCUGUCGCCGCCAGGGAUCGACCACCGUCGAGCCCGCCCCUCGUCGCCGCCCGGGAUCACCCGCCGCCGGUUAGUGUUUGUUUUGUGAUAUUUGCGAGCGGUAUGCAUAGUUGAUUGGCGUGUCAGUAUGCAUGUAGAUGGAAUUGAGCCCGUGCGAGAAGUUCUUGCUCUCAGAUUCGUUCGAUUCAGACGACUCGGAUGUUGAGACCAUGCUUGCGACCUUUCGGCAGCAAACAUUAAUGAUGGCACUUGCCGUGAAGGGGCACGAAAACGAGAACCGGAAGAGGCGGCGAGGAUCGACCGUCGGGCGUCUUUGCACUCCUCAGAAUCACCAUCUUGGGAACGAGAUGUUGAUGCAAGACUACUUCACAGAGAAUCCAACAUAUCCAUCGCACCUUUUUCGGAGAAGGUAUCGAAUGCGCCGAUCCCUCUUUGCGAAAAUUGUUCAAGCUUGCGAGGCAAAUUGUCGGUAUUUUACUCAAAGAAGAAAUGUUGCGGGCUUAAAGGGAUUUAGUGCAUAUCAAAAAAUCUAUGCAGCUAUGCGGGUGAUUGCAUAUGGCGUUCCGGCUGACUAUGCCGAUGAGUACCUUCGAAUUGGUGAAGAUACUACAUUUGAGUCAGUGCGUAGAUUUGCAGAAUUGAUCAUCCGUGUCUUUGGUCCUGAGUAUCUUCGGGCACCCAACGAGGAUGACACAAAGAAAUUGAUGGCAUCUAAUGAGAGGAGAGGUUGGCCUGGCUUGAUAGGUAGCAUUGAUUGUAUGCAUUGGACUUGGAAAAAUUUCCCAAAGGCAUGGCAAGGAAUGUAUUGUGGCAAGUCUCGUGAUGCAACAAUUGUGCUAGAGGCUGUAGCAUCCGAGGAUUUAUGGAUUUGGUAUUGCUUCUUUGGUAUGCCAGGCACUCUCAAUGAUAUCAAUGUAUUGCAACAGUCUCAUUUGUUUGCUAGGCUUGCUAGUGAUGAUGCUCCUGCUUGCAACUACAUUAUCAAUGGGCGUGAAUACACAAAAGGGUACUAUCUUGCACAUGGUAUAUACCCUCCUUGGUGCACCUUUGUGAAGAGCAUCAAAGAUCCAAAACUAGAAAACAUUGUGAAUUUGCAAGGGUGCAAGAGGCAACCCGAAAAGACAUUGAAAGAGCAUUCGGUGUUUUGCAAUCUAGGUUUGCCACUGUCCGUGGUCCUGCUCGUUUUUGGGAUAAAAGAACCUUGAAAAAUAUCAUGACAUGAUGUGUUAUCCUUCACAAUAUGAUUCUUGAAGAUGAGAGAGGAAUGAACUUGGAAUUCUUCUACGACAAUACGGGUAUCCUUGUCAAACCAGCUAGAGACGCUAACCGCAUUAGAGUUUUUCUUCAGACAUGCAAGGAGAUUGAAAAUGCAAACACACACUUUCAACUUCAGGAGGAUCUCAUUGAGCACUAUUAGCAAAGGGUUUGACAGUGGAUCAUGCUACCUCUUGAGCAUGUAUUGGUUUUCCUUUGAAGAGGAAAGGGUGAUGCAACAAAGUAGUGUAAGUAUUUCCCUCAGUUUUUUAGAACCAAGGUAUCAAUCCAGUAGGAGAUUACACGCAAGUCCCUCGUACCUGCACAAACAAACAAGAACCUCGCAACCAACGCGAUAAAGGGGUUGUCAAUCCCUUCACGGUCACUUACGAAAGUGAGAUCUGAUAGAGAUAAUAAGAUAAAUAUUUUUGGUAUUUUUGUUGUGUAGAUUGGAAAAUAAAGAUUGCAAAAUAAACGACGACAGAAAUGGCUUGUUGACGGGAGAAUAAUAUAAUGGAAGAUAGACCCGGGGCCAUAGGUUUCACUAGUGGCUCUCUCAAGAUAGCAAAUUCUACGGUGGAUGAACAAAUUAUUGUCGAGCGAUUGAUAGAAAAGCGCAUAGUUCUGAGAAUAUCUAGGCAUGAUCAUGUAUAUAGGCAUCACGUCCGCGACAAGUAGACCGAAACGAUUCUGCAUCUACUACUAUUACUCCACACAUCGACCGCUAUCUAGCAUGCAUCUAGAGUAUUAAUUUCAUAAAAACCGAGUAACGCAUUAGGCAAUAUGACAUGAUGUAGAGGGACAAACUCAAGCAAUAUGAUAUAAACCCCAUCUUUUUAUCCUCGAUGGCAACAAUACAAUACGUGCCUUGCUGCCCCUGCUGUCACUGGGAAAGGACACCAUAAGAUUGAACCCAAAGCUAAGCACUUCUCCCAUUGCAAGAAAGAUCAAUCUAGUAGGCCAAACCAAACUAAUAAUUCGAAGAGACUUGCAAAGAUAUUAAAUCAUACAUAAAAUAUUUCAGAGAAGAAUCAAAUAUAGAUAAUCUUGAUCAUAAACCCACAAUUCAUCAGAUCUCGAAAAACACACCGCAAAAAAAUUACAUCGAAUAGCUCUCCGAGAGAUUCGAGGAGAACUUUGUAUUGAGAUCCAAAGAGAGAGAAGAAUUCAUCUAGCUAAUAACUAUGGACCCGAAGGUCUGUGAUAAACUACUCACACAUCAUCGGAGAGGCUAUGGUGUUGAUGUAGAAGCCCUCCGUGAUCGAUUCCCUCUCCGGCGGAGUGCCGGAAAAGACCCCAAGAUGGGAUCUCACGGGUACAAAAGGUUGCGGUGGUGGAAAUAGGGUUUCGUGGUGCUUCUCGAUGUUUUCAAGGUAUAUGGGUAUAUAUACACUACUAGGAAAAUGCCUGCUAGUGGCGCACUUGUUUUGGCUACUAAUGGCGCACUACAGGUGCGCAACUAGCAUCACACCAUUAGAAUUUUUUACUAAUGAUGCACCACACGUGCGCCAUUAGUAUAUCCCACGGUGCGCCAUUACUAUCUGGCUUAGUAAUGGCGCACCACAUAGAACUGAAAAGGCGGUCGGGGGGGGGGGCAUUUAGCACCAGGGUUACUAAUGGCGCACCUGAUGUGUGGUGCGGCAUUAGUAGUUUUGAAAAAAUAUAAAAAAAAUUUGUUAGUAAUGGCGCACUAUCUCGUGGUGCGCCAUUACUAACAUUUUUUAUUUUUUCCAAAACUACUAAUAGCGCACGGUGGGUGUGGUGCGUCAUUACUAUGUCAACUAGUAAUGGCGCACUAUCCCAUGAUGCGCUAUUACUAACAAUUUUUUUUUCAAAACUACUAAUGGCGCACCACACACCAGGUAUUACUAAUGGCGCACGUGUAUCUGGUGUGCCACUGCUAUAUAGCAGUGGCGCAUCACAUACACGUUGCGCCAUUAAUGCCCAUAUCAUCUAUAGCCUUUUUCCUAGUAGUGAUAGGAGGAAGAAGUAGGUCGGUGGAGCUGCAAGGAGCCCACGAGGAUGGGGGCGCGCCUACCCCCUGGGCGCGCCCUCCUGCCUCGUGGCCGCCUCACUUCUUUCUUGACAUCCAUUCCAAGUCUUUUAGAUCAUGUUUGUUCCAAAAAUAACUCUCCCGAAGGUUUCAUUCCGUUUGAUAUUCCUUUUCUGCGAAACACUGAAAUAGGCAAAAAAAACAAAAAAUUGCACUGGGCCUUUGGUUAGUAAGUUAGUCCCUAAAAUAAUAUAAAAAUGUAUAUUAAAGCUCAUUAAACAUCCAAAACAGAUAAUAUAAUAACAUGUAACAAUAAAAAAAUAUAGAUAUGUUGGAGACGUAUCAGAUCAUUUUUGUAUUCAUUUGUAUUUGUAUUCAUGACAAGUUUUAUAUUGCAUUAUUUAAGUUUGCUUCGGUGAUUUUAAUAAUUAUUUGUAAUGUGGAUGAUUAUUGUAUCAUGUUGGAUUUGAAUAAGUAUUUAGUUUGCUUUCAUUUGUUGUACUAUGUUGGAUUUGAUAUUUGCGGACUGAUGAGAUGUGGGAUGCAGCGGCGCAAGAGCAGACCCUGCAAAGCCGACCCGUAAAAAAACAUAUUCCACAAAUAUACUUUUAUACGAAUCCGUUUGGGGGUUCUGCAUUUGCGGCCGUCCGCGCCGGCCCGCAAAUGCCGUUUUCUGCGAACUGCAAACGCGUUUUAUGGGCCGGCGAGAUGCGGGGUCUGCUAGAGUUGCUCUAAACAUGAACCGAAUAAAGUCGGGAGGAGCUUUCAGAUUCACUACAGGGGCCAAGAAGUUUGAGUGCCAGGUUGCUAAAGUAUGUGAGUGAAGUGAGUCAACUUGAGUCAGACCAUCUCCAACACGGAUCAUUCCCACCGCUCGUUUGAACAAUUUUAGUACAAAUCACCAAAACGGAUGGUAUCCGUCCAAAUCUCCGAAAUCCUAUAACUGGCUCCAAAUCGAGAAGCUCUGGGGAGUUUGGACGGCUGCCAGGUCAGACUCCGACACCCUAGACUCAUCCCAAAAACCCUUAUGGCCGGCCUUUAAACCCUUAGCAUGUCAGCAUUCACACAACGUAGUCAUCCGCCUGCUUACCCGCAUUGACUUUGUUGUCCGCAUUGAACCUUCAUCAUCUCCCUGCCACGACUAUUUAAAGCCAGCCGACCUCCCCCAAAAUAACACCUCUGAGUCCAUACUCCCACCGUUCGCAUCCAACUUCAGAUCCAUCUGAGCCCCUUGUCCACUCCAUGUCAUCCGUCAUCGUGCAUGGUGCGGUCCUUGCCUACGUGGUAUAAUCAGCUCACACUGGAGUGACCCCAAAAUCACGGCGGAGGUACAUGCCCUGGACACCCAAUGCUAGGCCCGCAUUGAGGCGGCCCAACAUCCGCUCUCCGAGCCGAGUUCAAAGGAGGAGAUGGAGGAUGAAUAGGAGGCCUAUCUCAUGGCCAAACCCCGUGUCUGAAGAGAAGGGGCGAUGGCUGUCGGCACAAGGCCGGCGCCCGACUUCAUCAUGCUGGAGGUGGAGCAGCAGUUCAACCUUGUUUUCUUGGGUGAGCAACAACUCAAGGCGGAGCGUGUGGAUGCCGCCGCCGUGGCGGAGCUCCUCGCUAACCCAGUCGUCCACAACAAGAACAGGGUGAUGCUCGCAUCUAUGUGAAGCCGCCGCAAGGACUGCAUCAACCGCGCACAUCGGUAGUGGCUCUGCGAGGACCUCGAGGCCGAUGACUAACAUGUAUUGGAGUAGAAGAACAAAAAUGUCAAAAUGACACCUGUUGGCGACUCUGGCUGGUUCGCGCUGGCCGCCAACAACAAUGAGGCUGGCUGCUCCAGUGUAGAGGUCGUUGACCUCACCUACGACAUGGAGGAGCAUUUCUUUAGUUUUAGAAUUUUAUUUAGCUCGGUGUCUAGUUUUGUGAUGUGAAAAAAUUUAUGUUUGUUUUUAUUUGAUGACCAACAUUGGAUGGUCGACGCUUGGCCGGCUGUCCACGAAUAUUUGGUGAUUUCCAUUUGAUUAUCCGCGUUGAAGAUUCCCAGAUACCUCCUCUCAGAAUAUAAUGUUGCGUGUUGUUUUGGGCAGAAGACUCAAGGCAAUCACUAACUAAGAGCAAAUUCAGCGCCGUGCACCAAAUCUGUUGGACAUAUGCCCAAUAAUAAAAUAUUAUUAUUUAUUUUCACCUUCAUAAUUAAGCUUACAUUUCUGCACUGUAAUUGUAAUGGUUUCAGAAUAUGAGAUUCAGAUGAAAAUCCAGUUUCAUAUGUAGAAAGAUAAACACUAACUAAAUUCAUAAUAUUGCCUCUUAGACUAGCUCAUGUAUUGCAGAUAAUCUAGUUUUCUUGAUUAUGGUCAUUGUUAAAGUAACAAGGAUGCCACCAAUAAUGAGAACACAGUGUUAGCAGAACAAUGUGUUAGAACCAACUAAUGAUAUAGUUCAAGUUGUUAUCAAUAUUAUUAUGUCAAGUGUUAAUGUAUACUCACAUCACAUCCUUAGACCAUGAGAAUGUCAGGUACCUUCAUAUCGUACGGUUAAUUUGGGCUUGCCAAAAGUUACCACUAACAGGAUGAUCAUAACGGCAACUUUCGGGUACAUCGAAACAAAUGCCUAAGGACACGAUAGUUUAAGAAUGUGAUUUGCUCCUCCAACAAUGAAGAGGUACUCCCUGGGUCCACUCAAUAUUAUGGUAUACAUCAUCAUCUAGACACACCGUUUAUAUGAUCACGGUGAUACCGGAAUACGGAAACGAGAAAAGAGAGCUAAACCAUGACGAGAAUAACUUGCUAUUGCGAUCAAGUAAUUGCUUCACAAGGAUACCGCUAAAAGUCUCACCUCGGGUUUUCUUAAGUAUUAUGAAACAAAGGAAAAUGUGUACGUAAACAAAAGUUUCACUCGAUAAAUAUUUGUGUGUGUAUAUGUGAAUCAAUAUUGGUGUCUAGACUCCACUUUUGAUUAUUGAAGGUGUUCCGAGUCAUGUCCACAUAUUAUCGAAUCUGUAGGGACACACGCUUAGCGAUUAACAGUUUGAUAAAGAACUGGGAAGUGUUAAGAGUAAGAUAGAAAUGCAUCGGAAAUGUAUAUGAUGAAACCAAAAAUGUUCCGACGGUCCCAGAAGUGUUCCAGUGAUACCGAGAAUGUCCUGAAGGUACCCUAAAAGGUUCGAAAAGGUUUUCAAACCUUCUGGAAGGUUCUAUGUGGUCGUAGUGGCUGCCUUCUUGGUUGUACCAAGGGGCAAUAGCUGCAUGGGCUCAUAGUGGUACACCCCGCCUUGACUUGGGUGGCAAGACACCUGUGGAGUAGAGAAGGAAAGGAUCUCUGGGAGGAUCCACCUCCUUGGUGCGGCUCACUCUAGGACACUGAUUCGGGUUGAGUACUAUGCCAGGUAACAUUGGGACUAAGCCUUUCUUGGCGUUCUCCAUAUUAUGCCUUUUUAAUACCUUAUCAAUGUACAUGAUUUGGCUAAGCGCUAUCAGGCGUCUUGAUCUAUCUCUACAGAUUUUGAUGCCCAAUAUAUAUGCUGCUCCGCCAAAGUCUUUCAUUGAAAAGCUCUUCUUUAAUGCCUCUUUUAUUUCGCUAAGAAAAUUCACAUCAUUACCAAUCAAUACUAUGUCAUCCACAUAUAAGAUUAGAAAUGCUUUUGCGCUCCUACUAAACUUCUUGUAAACAAAAGAAUAUUCAUCAUUCCUGAUGAAGCCAAACUCUUUGACCACUUCAUUAAAAUGAAUAUUCUAGCUCCUUGAUGCUUGCUUCAAACCGUAUAUGGCUGUCUGAAGCUUGCACACCUUUUUAGCAUCCUUUGGAUCAACAAAACCUUAAGAUCGUAUCAUGUACACAUCCUCAUUGAGGUUUCCAUUUAGGAAGGCUAUUUUAACAUCCAUCUGUCAUAUUUCGUAAUCGUCAGCAGCAAUUGCUAACACUAUCCGCACAAACUUAAGUGUAGUUAUGAGGCCAAAACGGCAUGGGAGCGGCUCGGGAUUGGUUUCUGGCGAGGCAUCGAUGGUGGGAGGCAAGGUGACCACGUGGCGAUUCGGUCGGGCAGGUAGGCCCCGCGAUCGAUGGGCGAAAGGGGGAUCAGAUUGGAUCAAGCAACCGAUCCCAUGACGACUCGGCGUGGUGGGCUGGCCGUUUAGGUGGGCCACGGCGAUAUAUUUCCUAUACAUGAUUUUUAUCCUAUUUUAAUUAAACGAAGAGAAAAAAUAAACAAAAAGGAAAAUAAAAGAAAAAGACAACCUAGACAUAUGAUAUACUAAAAUGAUCACGAGGGAAAAUGGAAAAUGAUGAACUAUUUUCCGGAGGCAACUAAAAUACUUACAAAAUCUCAAAAUUCAAACAGUGCUAUUGUUGCAUUAAAGCCAAUAAAAAUCAUUUUUAAAAUACCAAACAGAAUUCAAAUUUAUUUUCUCCUAAUUAUUUCUUGGAAGGAAUCAUUUUACCUUCUUUUCCAUAUUUUAUUAUUAAGAGACAAUUAAUAAAAACAAAUAACUCAUAAUAAGGUUUGAAUUUGAAUUUCAAACCAAUCUCAAAUCUUCUCUGUUUUUCCUUAUUCAAAUAUACUUCAAUUGUUACUAAAAAUUUGAAGGUUAAAAUUACUUCUCUCAUUUGAUUAAGUUUCUAGAGGAUUUGAAAUUUCAAAACUCCACUUCAACUAAAAGAAAAAUGAAAUUUAAAAAUAACUAAAGGGGCUUUCAAAUUCAUUAUUUUAAACUUUCAACUCUCUUUCUCAAAAUUUGAAGAAGUCAUUUUAUCUUCUCUCAUGAAAAUCAUUGAGUUGCAUAAAGUUCCUGAAUUCAAUUAUUUUCAAUUGGAAUUCAAAUCUUUUCAUAAGCCCUUUCAUUUAUUUAAUGGAAGACCUUCACUCUAGGGUUUAGUGUUUGAAUUGAAUUUGAACUCAUGGAACCCAAAUGCAAAAGGAAAGUUUGGGAAAGUCCAUUUAUUUCCUCUCAUCUUACUUUCAAAAAGUUUCAAUUCCACUCAAUUUCACACAAUCUAUCACAACACAAUCACAAAUACUUAUUUAAUAUAACAUUUCAAAAUUUAGAAUUUUGAGAUGUUACAUAAGAUGUAUGUGCGUACAUUCACAAGGGUAAGUGUACACUCGUGUAUAUGCACGAUUUUGAUUGUACCGUGUUCAAAAAUAUAUACAAAUGAGGCAAUUGGCAUAAUAACGACGAAUGAGUGGUAAAAACUAAAAUUCACUCAAACAUAAAUUAUGUAUUGACAAAAAUAAUUGCGGGGGAAACUUAUGAUUUAUUCAUAAUCAAGCAUGAAAGUGCAAAGAUAAUAGAGGUAACAAAAACUAUAAUGAGGUCUGAUGUCUACUACACAACCUUCUUCUUGUAGACGUUGUUGGGCCUCCAACUGCAGAUGUUUGUAAGACUGGCAAAUUUCUCUCAAGUUGAUGACCUAAGGUUUAUCAAUCCGUAGGAGGCGUAGGAUGAAGAUGGUCUCUCUCAAGCAACCCUGCAACCAAAUAACAAAGAGUCUCUUGUGUCCCCAACACACCCAAUACAAUAGUAAAUCCUAUAGGUGCACUAGUUCGGCGAAGAGAUGGUGAUACAAGUGUAAUAUGGAUAGUAGAUAUAGGUUUUUCUAAUCUGAAAAUAUAAAAACAGCAAGGUAACUAAUGAUAAAAGUGAGCACAAACGGUAUUGCAAUGCUAGGAAACAAGGCCUAGGGUUCAUACUUUCACUAGUGUAAGUUCUCUCAACAAUAAUAACAUAAUCGGAUCAUAUAACUAUCCCUCAACAUGCAACAAAGAGUAACUCCAAAGCCACUAAUAGCGGAGAACAAACCAAGAGAUUAUGGUAGGGUACGAAACCACCUCAAAUUUAUUCUUUCUGGUCGAUCUAUUCAAGAGUCCGUAGUAAAAUAACAUGAAGCUAUUCUUUACGUUCAAUCUAUCCUAGACUUCGUACUAGAAUAACACCUUAAGACACAAAUCAAUAAAAACCCUUAUGUCACCUAGAUACUCCAAUGUCACCUCAAGUAUCCGCAUGUAUGAUUAUACGAUACGCAUCACACAAUCUCAUAUUCAUCUAUUCAAACCAACACAAAGUACUUCAAAGAGUGCCCCAAAGAUUCUACCAGAGAGUCAAGACGAAAACGUGUGCUAACCCCUAUGCAUAAGUUCAUGGGCGGAACCCGCAAGUCGAUCACCAAAACAUACAUCAAGUGGAUCAAUAGAAUACCCCAUUGUCACCAUGGGUAUCCCACGCAAGGCAUACAUAAAGUGUUCUCAAAUCCUUAAAGACUCAAUCCGAUAAGAUAACUUCAAAGUUAAAACUCAAUCCAUUACAAGAGAGUAGAGCGGGAGAAACAUCAUAAGAUCCAACUAUAAUAGCAAAGCUCGCUAUACAUUAAGAUCGUACCACCUCUAGAACAUGAGAGAGAGAGAUCAAACACAUAGCUACUGGUACAUACCCUCAGCCCCGAGGGAGAACUACUCCCUCCUCGUCAUGCAGAGUGCCGGGAUGAUGAAGAUGGCCACCAGAGAAGGAUUCCCCCUCCAGCAGGGUGCCAAAACGGGUCUAGAUUGGUUUUCCAUGGCUACGGAGGCUUCUGGCGGCGGAAAUCCCAAUAUAUUCUGCUCCCCGUAGUUUUUAGGGUAUAUGGGUAUAUAUGGGAGGAAGAAGUACGUCGGUGGACCUCCGGGCUGUCCACGAGGCAGGGGGCGCAUCUAAGGGUGUGGGCGCGCCCCCCACCCACGUGGGCAGCCCGGGACUCUCCUGGUCCAUCUCCGAUACUCCGUGGGCUUCUUCUGGUCCAAAAAUAAGUUCCGUGAAGUUUUAGGUCACUUGGACUCCGUUUGAUUUUCCUUUUCUGCGAUAAUCUAAAACAAGGAAAAAACAGAAACUGACAUUGGGCUCUGGGUUAAUAGGUUACUCCCAAAAACAAUAUAAAAGGGUAUAAUAAAGCCCAUAAACAUCCAAAACAGGUAAUAUAAUAGCAUGGAACAAUCAAAAAUUAUAGAUACAUUGGAGACGUAUCAGCAUCCCCAAGCUUAGUUCCUGCUCAUCCUCGAGUAGGUAAAUGAUAAAAACAAAUUUUUUGAUGUGGAAUGCUCCCUAUCAUAUUCAUCAUGUAUUUCUCUUUAUUGUAGCAAGAAUAUUCAGAUCCAUAAGAUUCAAGACAAAAGUUUAAUAUUGACAUAAAAAUAAUAAUACUUCAAGCAUACUAACAAAGUAAUCAUGUCUCAUCAAAAUAACAUGGCCAAAGAAAGCUAUCCCUACAAAAUCAUAUAGUCUGGCUAUGCUCCAUCUUCAUCACACAAAAUAUUUAAAUCAUGCAUAGCCCCGAUGACAAGCCAAGCAAUUGUUUCAUACUUUUGAUGUUCUCAAUCUUUUUCAAUCUUCACGCAAUACAUGAGCGUGAGCCAUGGAUAUAGCACUAUAUGUGGAAUAGAAGGGUGGUUGUGGAGAAGACAAAAAGGGAGAAGAUAGCCUCACAUCAACUAGGCGUAUCAACGAGCUAUGGAGAUGCCCAUUGUUGGUGUCAAAACCGGCGGAUCUCGGGUAGGGGGUCCCGAACUGUGCGUCUAAGGCGGAUGGUAACAGGAGGCAGGGGACACGAUGUUUUACCCAGGUUCGGGCCCUCUUGAUAGAGGUAAAACCCUACGUCCUACUUGUUUAUUCUUGAUAAUAUGAGUAGCACAAGAGUUGAUCUACCACGACAUCAGAGAGGCUAAACCCUAGAAGCUAGCCUAUGGUAUGAUUGUAUGUUGUCCUACGGACUAAAACCCUCCGGUUUACAUAGACAGCGGAGGGGGCUAGGGUUACACAAGGUCGGUUACAAAGGAGGAGAUAUACAUAUCCGUAUUGCCUAGCUUGCCUUCCACGCCAAGUAGAGUCCCAUCCGGACACGGGACGAAGUCUUCAAUCUUGUAUCUUCAUAGUCCUACAGUCCGACCAAAGGAUAUAGUCCAGCUGUCCGGAGACCCCUAAUCCAGGACUCCCUCAGUAGCCCCCGAACCAGGCUUCAAUGACGUCAAGUCCGACACGCAGUAUUGUCUUCGGCAUUGCAAGGCGGGUUCUUCUCCAAAUUUCAAAUGUUUGUUUAAGCAGUGUCCGGCCCCAUAAAUGUUGACUUCUUUGGCUUCUGUGCCCAACAAGGGCUAUCUUCCACGUGUCGAAUGAAUAUGAGGAGCCAGGGCACUUUUACAUUCACCCCCCUAGCCAGAUAAAUAAAUUGUCUAUUAAAGGGAUGGGGAUGCUUAGACCCAAUCCAUAUCAUCCUCCCCCAGCGAGAAUCCAUCGCAGCGCGCUUCGGAAAAAUCCACUCCAUCAUGGCCGACAACCGCAGCUCCUCCUCCCGCCCCCGUAGCCCUAAGCCCGGUGAUUGGGAGAGGUGUUCUGUCCCACACAUUCGAUUAGUUGAACUGUAGACUAAGGGAUUUCUCCCUCCAGCGUAUAAGGUCCCCAUCCGAGCCGGGCUCGCCACCUACAAUGGCGGGGAGCAAGCGGAGAGCUUCCCCAGUCCCUCUACGAGGUAGCAGGUAUGCCUUGUUCCUUACUUAUUAAGGGGACUCGAAUUUCCAAUUCAUCUGUUCCUCCGCGGGCUCCUGGAGUUUUACGGCCUCCAACUGCAUAAUUUCACCCCUGCUUCCAUAUUACACAUCGCCGGCUAUGUUGCCCUCUGCGAGUUAUUCUUGGGCUGCGAAGCUCAUUUCGAGUUGUGGAAAAGGUUGUUUUGCCUCGUCCCUCGCACACAGAAGGGGUCACUUUAUCAAGUGGGCGGAGCCGAAAUAUGGCGCAUCACCGAAACCGGAUACCUAUCCGGUACUCCGAAGAAGAUGUCCAAAGACUGGCCUUCGGAAUGGUUUUAUAUGGAGGACGUCACCCUUUCGGAUCCUAUUCGGCGGGGUCUUCCUGAGUUCAACAAUGCUCCUCUGAUGAAACGCUGAAGUUGGCGCCCACAGAGCCCCCAGGAGGAAGACAGCGGAGAAGUCCUUUACCUGAUGAACCAGAUUAAAGCGCUGGCUCAAGUAGGAUUGACAGUAAUCGAGGUUAUGUCAACAUGCAUAAUGCGGGGAGUGCGGCCACUUCAAUAUCGAGGGCACCCCCUGUGGUGUUUUAAUGGGGAAGAUGACGCCACCCGUUGCGGGCGUAAGGGGCUGGACAACGCUGCCGCUUUAGCAAAAACUCUGUCCGAAUUGUUCAAGGGAGAGGAAGAGGAGUUCAUCCGCAUCAAGCCACGGAAUGGAUUCUCCAUGUACAACCCUCCAGGCUGGGUGAGUUAUAUCUCCUUACUCCCAUUCUUCCCGCAUUCUUUGUCGUAGGUACUCACCUUGCCAUUUUGCGGCAGGAACUGCGAAAAGCCAUCAGGGAGGUCAGCAGCCCAUCUCCACAACCAGAGGACCCUGACCAGGCCCUCGGUCCCGGACUCGAAGAAGAUCCGGACAUAUUCGUGGAGCUGAUAGACCAGUAGUUCUAUCAAUUAAGCUGUGAUGAUGCCAUGGUGGCCAUUACGGCCGACUAUCUCGGAUUGCUUCCUGUGUCGCACGUAAGAAAAACCAAAAAUCCCAACUCUAAAAACUAGGAUUCUCUUUUAGACACUUCACCUACCAUAUAUAUAUGGUGUUUUAUAGGGAAGGCAUUCGGGACGCCAUGUCGAACCCGUAGCAACUCGCCAACAAGAGGCACCGAGGCCGGGCAGGCAAAAAGGAAGGCGGUCAGGACGGAGACGCCGGUGCAGAGGUAUGACAGAAACUCCGCUCCGUGGUUGUUGUCUUUCUCGAAAUGUAAUGACGUCCAUGUUUCUUUAACAGAAAACACGCUCGCCGGAAUAUGUCCGGUGAUGCUGCCGAUCACGCUUCCACCAGUCGGGCUCCAGGACCGGACAUAGAGGCGGAAGCCGACAUGGGGCGGACGCCGGAUACUCCCCCUACAGAGGAUGCGGAUAGACUAUCCGCUACAAAUUCAGAAGUGGAGAGCGCCAUGAAUCAUAGGCGUCGUCGGGCCAUACUCCGCGACGCUUGCUUCUCACUAGAGGCAUUUGAUGCCUUCAAUUCUGGAGAGGCGUACCUCUGUGCUGCUCAAAAUGGUCUAGCCAGAGCCACAGACCAGUAUGUAAAGGAUGUACGGGUAAGCAAAUCUGACGAUUAUAUGUAUCAGCAGCCCCUGAGACUUGAAACAGUUUGCAGAACUGAUUUAAGGAUCAUCUUGUUGUGCAGGUUCUUACAGAGAAGAAUACUCGACUGUCACAGGAGCUGGAGGAAUGCAAGACCCAACUUCGGGCCGCUGUUGCCGCAUUGAAGGAACCUAAAAAGUCCCCAGCUGGUAACAUUUCUUUCAAAUAAUGAUAGGUACCAUAUAGCAUGCGGCAUGACUGCAGAUCUAACAAUAUAUGUUGCAGAUGAGAGGACCAGCAUGUCGUACGACAGAUAAAGGCUGGCGAACGCGUGCUGACUGAGGUCAUGCGGGAGAAAAAGAAUCUCCAAGACGCCAAUACCAGGAUGAGCGUGGAACUGAAAGAUGUUCGAUCCCACCUUGCGGACUCCGCGAAGGAGAAUAAACGGCUUCGACGCGACAUUUUUAGUAAGUGCUUGAACGAACCCUUAAAAAAGGGGUCGGUGGAGAAGCCGGCUAACAGUAUUAUGUCUGCAGGUAUGCUGACGGGUCGUCCCGCGGAGGAGAUGCCCGGGUCUGCAGGUGAUCUUCUAUCCGAGCUCUCACAACUGCACGAACAAGUUCGACAGGUGAUGCAAGGUAUCGCCCAGGCCUUGUGGCCAUCCGUCUCCCUGCCAGAAGGUAUUGGAGAGCUUGCGGAGAAGCUCAAGGGAGCACGGCGGCGCUUCCGAUUAUGGAAGAUAUCUGCCUGCCGUCAAGGUGCCAGGGAAGCCUGAGCCAUGGUGAAGACGCGGUAUACCAAGGCUGACCCAAACCACAUGGCCAAGGUCGGACCUGUGGGGCCCGAUGGGAAAGAGAUCCCUGUUAGCUUAGUCUAUGGGCAAGUAGAAUUAGUCGCAAAGUAUUCCCAACAGGAUUGUAGGCUAGACCGCCUGUUGGAUGGUAUAGAAGAGGAAUUUAGUCAGUCUACAUGACUAUGUAAUUAAAGUGACAUGUAUAAUGCCUUCUAGCCGGAUUGUAAAUUAUUUGUCAUGGCGGACCUUUUCGCUUCAACCUUGGGACCCGAUAGUACGGAGUGUGUCCGAAUACCCGCUCAGUUAUGUAAGAACCGGGGUAUGCGUGGAUACCAGGCGUAGGGGUCAUUAGUGCUUGAACAGACAAGUGCCCAACUAGUUAUGUUAUAUUACAUGGGUAGUAAGAAACAUCUUCCAGGGAGAAUGGUUCCGUAAGGGUUCCUUUCCCUGGGUACGCAUGCCCUAAAGUGCAUGUCCGAACUGCGAGAGGAAACGCAGGCAAAAACAUCUGGGGGCACAUAUGGAAAAUAAAAAAAUCAUCUUUUGUUCGCCGACCGAAUAUUCCCAUAAGAACGCUAGCUUUCGGCUUCACCCAGUCUGAGGUACACAUCUGGCUGACCCGGCAGUAAUAAUCGCAGAGGUGCUCCCCUUAUGCCCUAGCCGAAUUAACGGGAACGUAGGGCAUAAAUACAAGAGCCAGGCAACCCAGCUUGGCCAAAACUUAAGUCAUAUCGAUGCAUAUAAUGGCGAAGAAAAGGUACAUGCGGAAGAAUAACACAUGUGCGGGGCAUGAAGCCUAGAUAAAUAAUUAAGCUUCUGUGUAAGAAGCCCCCAGGUAUAAUGAGCGCGGUUAGUGCGUCAAUAGUGUGCAAGCAGGGCACAAGUUGGCCCUUGAAGGCCUGGAGAAAGAAUAAAAGAAAGAAAGGGAAAAAAGGACAGAUAAUGUAUAUGCAAAAAAUGGACAGAGGAAAGAGACGAACAUGGAGUCCGACGCUAGGCAUAGAAUCUUCGGAGUCUGGCUGCGUUCCAUGGGUUCGGCUCAAGUCGAUUAUUCCAUGCAUCCCGCAGACGGUAUGCUCCACCGGUUAGAACUUGGUCAAUAAUGAAGGGACCUUCCCAUUUGGGCUCGAGCUUGGUCUUUUUCUUCUCCAGCAGGCGUAGAACUAACUCGCCAACAUUAUAAGUUUUGGCACGUACCUUCUCUGCUUUGGUAUCUGCGAGCCUGUUGCUGAUAGAAUGCGGAACGGGCUUUUGCCACAUCGCGCUCCUCCUCCAGUGUGUCCAGACUGUCCUGCCGAUCGAGCUCGGCAUCUCUUUCUUCGUACAUGCGCACUCGAGGUGAGUCAUGAAUUAUGUCGCAGGGCAGAACUACCUCUGCGCCGUACACCAUAAAGAAGGGUGUGUCUCUGGUAGUAUGAUUCGGCGUGGUCCGCAGCCCCCAGAGUACGAAGUCGAGCUCCUCUACCCAAUGUGUGUUAGACUCCUUUAAGGACCGCACUAGUCUGGAUUUGAUGCCGCUCAUGAUAAGACCAUUUGCUCGCUCAACUUGGCCAUUGGUUUGUGGGUGAUAGACAGAAGCAUAAUCGAGCUUGAUGCCCAUGUUGCUGCACUAGAGUUUUACCUCGUCGGCCGUGAAGUUCGUGCCAUUGUCAGUGAUGAUGCUGUGGGGGACGUCAUAAUGGUGUACAACCCCGGAUAUGAAGUCUAUUACCGGUCCGGAUUUGUCCGUUUUAACAGGUUUGGCUUCUAUCCAUUUGGUGAAUUUAUCCACCAUGACCAGUAAGUAUUUUUUCUUAUGGGUUCCCCCUUUAAGGGGUCCAACCAUGUCAAGCCCCCAGAUCGCGAAGGGCCAGGUAAUGGGGAUUGUUUGGAGGGCGGUGGGUGGCAUGUGGCUUUGGUUUGCAAAAAGCUGGCAACCGGCGUAGCGUUGGACCAAGUCCUGUGCGUCUGCCUGGGCUGUCGGCCAUAAAAACUUGUACGGAAGGCCUUGCUUACAAGGGCCCGGGCUGCGGCGUGGCGGCUGCCGGGUCCGGCAUGAAUUUCUGCCAAAAGCUCCUGCCCUUCCUCUUCGGAGAUGCACCUUUGAAGGACUCCGAUAGUGCUUUUUUAUACAGCUCUCCCUCGUGGACCCUGUAGGCUUUAGAUCUCCGCACUAUGCAGCGUGCCUCAUUUUGGUCCUCGGGAAGUUCCUGCCUAGUUAGGUAGGCCAGGAAUGGUUCUGUCCAUGGGGCGAUGAUGGCCAUUAUUACAUGGGCUGAAUGUGUUAUUUCGGUGGCAGAGCCUCUGAUUGUGUCAGAGUGAUCGGUGUCGGGCAUUUUGGCCCGGUCCGGACUAUUGUUACCGGUGUCCCCUUCCCAUACCACGGAUGGCUUAAACAACCUCUCCAAAAAGAUGUUGGGGGGGACCGCAUCGCGUUUUGCGCCGAUGCGGGCAAGCAUAUCUGCCGCCUGAUUGUUUUCCCGAGCCACAUGGUGAAAUUCGAGCCCCUCGAACCGAGCUGGCAUCUUUAGGACGGCGUUUCGAUAGGCCGCCAUAUUCGGAUCCUUGGCAUCAAAGUCUCCAUUUAUUUGGGAUAUUGCAAGGCUCGAAUCCCCACGCACCUCCAGGCGUUGAAUGCCCAUGGAAACUGCCAUCCGAAGACCAUGUAACAGGGCUUCGUAUUCGGCUGCAUUGUUGGAGUCUGUAUACAGUAUCUGCAGUACGUAUUGAACUAUAUCUUCGGUUGGGCACGUCAGGACGACGCCAGCCCCCAGACCAGCCAGCAUUUUGGAGCCGUCGAAGUGCAUGAUCCAAUUGGGGUAUGCACCGUACUCUUUAGGGAGUUCGGCUUCCGUCCAUUCGGCGACAAAGUCGGCCAAUACUUGCGAUUUAAUGGCUCGCCGAGGUUUGUAUGUUAUGUUGAACGGGAGGAGCUCAAUGGCCCAUUUGGCAAUCCGGCCCACGGCGUUGCGAUUGUUUAUAAUAUCAUUGAGUGGCACUUCCGAGGCUACUGUAAUCAAACACUCUUGAAAGUAGUGUCCCAGCUUCCGGGAUGCCAUGAAUACCGCAUAGGCUAUCUUUUGAUAAUGUGGGUACCGUGAUUUGCAUGGAGUGAGGACAGUGGAUACAUAAUAUACCGGCUUUUGAAGGGGGAUUUAUGUCCGUCCGCUUCUCGUUCGACGACGAGCACUGCGCUUACGACCUGAUGAGUUACCGCAAUGUAUAACAGCAUUGGUUCACCGAUGUUUGGCGCGGCUAGGAUUGGGUUGGUUGCCAGUAUGGCCUUUAUUUCCUCCAAUCCGGCUGUGGCAGUAUCCGUCCACUCGAAGUGUUCAGUGCGCCGAAGGAGGCGAUAAAGGGGUAAUGCCUUUUCUCCUAAGCGGGAGAUAAAGCGGCUUAGAGCCGCCACACAUCCAGUUAAUUUCUGGAUUUGUUUGAGGUCCGUUGGGAUGGCCAACUGUGAUAGAGCUCGGAUUUUGGCCGGAUUAGCUUCAAUUCCUCUACUGGAGACAAUGAAGCCCAUGAGCUUUCCGGCUGGUACGCCGAAAACGCAUUUUUCCGGAUUGAGCUUGAUGUCGUAUGUUCGGAGGUUGUCGAAUGUGAGCCUCAAGUCGUUUAUUAAAGUGUCGACGUGUUUGGUUUUGAUGACCACAUCAUCUACGUAUGCCUCCAUUGUUUUGCCGAUCUUUUUCUCCAGACAUGUUUGAAUCAUGCACUGAUAUGUUGCGCCAGCGUUUUUGAGCCCAAAAGGCAUUGUGUUGAAACAGAAGGGGCCGUAUGGUGUGAUAAAUGCCGUUGCAGCUUGGUCGGACUCCGCCAUCUUGAUUUGAUGGUAGCCGAAGUAUGCGUCGAGGAAACACAAUGACUCGUGUCCUGCGGUAGCAUCGAUAAUUUGAUCAAUGCGGGGGAGGGGGAAGGGAUCCUUUGGGCAAGCCUUGUUGAGGUCCUUGAAAUCGACACAUAGGCACCAGGAUUUGUCCUUCUUUGGUACCAUCACCAGGUUUGCUAGGCAGUCCGGGUGUUUUAUUUCUCUAAUGAAUCCGGCCUCCAAUAACUUGGAUAGUUCCUCUCACAUAGCUUGUCUCUUAGAUUCAGAGAAACGCCGAAGAGUCUGCUUGACCGGCUUGAAUCCCUUUAGAAUAUUGAGGCUGUGCUCGGUCAGCUUGCGUGGGAUUCCUGGCAUGUCUGAGGGUGCCAGGCGAAUAUGUCCCAAUUCUUGCGCAGGAACUCUCGUAGUGCAGCAUCCACGGCGGGGUCUAACUGUGCCCCGAUGGAGGCUGUUUUUGUAGGGUCCAUUGGAUAGACUUGGAAUUUGACUAUUUCAUCCGCGGGUUUAAAAGAGGUGGACUUGGAUCUCUUGUGAAGUAUCACGUAGUCCCUGUCCACUGUGGAGCGUAGCGCAGUUAAUUCCUUGGCCAAAAGGGCUUCGGAUAAUGCCUCGAGGGCCAAUGCGACUAUUUUGUUUUCGGCGCGAAGCGCUGUGUCCGGAUCACUAGCGAAAGUGAUGAUUCCGUUGGGCCCAGGCAUUUUGAGCUUCAUGUAACCAUAAUGGGGUAUGGCUUGGAAGAUUAUGAACGCCUCCCGCCCUAAAAGGGCGUGGUAUCCACUACUGAACGGGGCCACUUGGAAUGUAAUUUCUUCGGACCUAUAGUUCUCUGCCGUGCCGAAUACCACAUCUAGUGUGAUUUUCCCAGCACAGCGUGCUUCCCGACUGGGGAUGAUUCCUCUGAAGGUUGUGCUACUUUGCUCAAUGCGGUUCCAGUCUAUUUCCAUUUUUUGAAGAGUUUCCCGCCAUCCAUGAGUACUUUGGUGAGUCGAAAGCCGUCCACGUUUGGACUGAGGACCAGUGCAGCUGGUGCUCAGGCUGUUCGGAAUUUAGGUUCAUCACUGGCAUUGAAGGUAAUAGCCGUGUCGCUCCAUGGAUUUAUUGUUGCCACGUGGCAGAUUUUGGCAAUGUUGCGGAGUGUUCGCUUGCGUCUAUUAUUUGAUGCGAAUGUCUCAAAGACUGUUAAUACCAUAUUGUUAUCCCUGGGAUGGUGCUCUGUGGCAUCUGGGAUGAGAAGGUCCUCGCCGCUUUUGGCCACCUGCCGGAGUAUCCAACAUGCUCUAAGGCUGUGUGUUGGGAUGGUAUCCGCUGUACUAUGAAUUUUGCAGGGUCCAUUGAGCCAUCCCUCCAAUACGGUUCCAUGCCCUGUAGAGGGUUUUUUCUUCUUUGUAAUUAACUCGGGUGUCUUAUGAUAGUGCCCCCUUUUACUUCGGACUGGGUGUAUUUUCGGAGCCGGAUUAUCCCAAAAUUUCGUUUCGGUUUUCCAGGCACUUUGCAUCGCACAGUACUUUCGUACUAUGGACACCAAGUCGGCGAAGCGUGAUAUCUCACGGCGACUUAUGGCGUUAAGGAUUCCAUUGUCCAUGCAGUUAUUGCAGAAAAAUGAGACUGUGUCUUCCUCGCGGCAGUCCUUAACCUUGUUCAUCACAAGGAGGAAUCUAGCCCAAUAAUGAUGUACUGUUUCAUGGGGCUCUUGCCUAAUGUGGGAAAGAUCGUUUAUGCCUUGGAGGGUGGGUGGGUUUGAGUCUGAACCCCUACCCGAUCUGAGACCCAGGGGCUGAGGAGUUUCCAAUCUUGGAAGUUCGAAUUCCGGAGUGUUGCCCGAUAAGUCUGGCCCGCUGCCUGACUCUAGGUUCAAGGCUUGGGUGAUGUCCUCCCGUGAACGGGUAUCCGGCUCGGAGAGCUCAGGAAUCUGGACAUAAUUAGUCCUCAAGAUAGAGGAAGAAUCGCCGCAUUGUUCCUCCACCACCGCAACAUGAUGGGUGACCGGUGGAGAGUUAAUCUCCCUUUGAUCGGGUUUAAGCCAAAUCCGAUCGUAGUCCGUAGUGACUCCCAAGGCGGCGAUGCGAUCCAAGAGCUCGUUUAGGGAAGAGAGCUCCAUUGGAUCCAUCUGCUCGGCGAAUUCCGAGCCGACGUGGAGGCUGUUUUCGAUGACCCGAGAAGUCAUCGUCGGUGCAGCAGCCGAACGGGCGGUCAUGAUGAAACUGCCCAGCCGGAGAGUUUGGCCGACAGCCAGGGCUCCCCCGGCGGUAAUGUUGUUUUUAACAACGAGAUGAGGCAUCCUUCCUUACGGCGACAGCACAGUGGAACUCUCAAUGAAAGCACCAAUGUCGGUGUCAAAACCGGCGGAUCUCGGGUAGGGGGUCCCGAACUGUGCGUCUAAGGCAGAUGGUAACAGGAGGCAGGGGACACGAUGUUUUACCCAGGUUCGGGCCCUCUUGAUGGAGGUAAAACCCUACAUACUGCUUGUUUAUUCUUGAUAAUAUGAAUAGUACAAGAGUUGAUCUACCACGAGAUCAGAGAGGCUAAACCCUAGAAGCUAGCCUAUGGUAUGAUUGUAUGUUGUCCUACGGACUAAAACCCUUCGGUUUAUAUAGACACCGGAGGGGGCUAGGGUUACACAAGGUCAGUUACAAAGGAGGAGACAUACAUAUCCGUAUUGCCUAGCUUGCCUUCCACCCCAAGUAGAGUCCCAUCCGGACACGGGACGAAGUCUUCAAUCUUGUAUCUUCAUAGUCCUACAGUCCGGCCAAAGGAUAUAGUCCGGCUUUCCGGAGACCCCCUAAUCCAGGACUCCCUCAUCCAUCAAUAGAUAUCAAUGUGAGUGAGUAGGGAUUGCCAUGCAACGGAUGCACUAGAGCUAUAAAUGUAUGAAAGCUCAACAAAAGAAACUAGUGGGUGUGCAUCCAACUUGCAAGCUCACGAAGACCUAGGGCAUUUUGAGGAAGCCCAUCAUAGGAAUAUACAAGACAAGUUCUAUAAUGAAAGAUUCCCACUAGUAUAUGAAAGUGACAACAUAGGAGACUCUCUAUCAUGAAGAUCAUGGUGCUACUUUGAAGCACAAGUGUGGUAAAAGGAUAGUAGCAUUGCCCCUUCUCUCUUUUUCUCUCAUUAUUUAUUUAUUUUUUAUUUGGGUCUUUUCUCUUUUUUUAUGGCCUCUUUUUUUUCCGUCCGGAGUCUCAUCCCGACUUAUGGUGGAAUCAUAGUCUCCAUCAUCCUUUCCUCACUAGGACAAUGCUCUAAUAAUGAUGAUCAUCACACUUUUAUUUACUUACAACUCGAUACUUAGAACAAAAUAUGACUCUAUAUGAAUGCCUCCGGUGGUGUACCGGGAUGUGCAAUGACUCAAGAGUAACAUGUAUGGAAGAAUUAUGAACGGCGGCUUUUCCCCAAAUACGAUGUCAACUACAUGAUCAUGCAAAGCAAUAUGACAAUGAUGGAGCGUGUCAUAAUAAAUGGAACGGUGGUAAGUUGCAUGGCAAUAUAUCUCGGAAUGGCUAUGGCAAUGCCAUGAUAGGUAGGUAUGGUGGCUGUGUUGAGGAAGGUAUAUGGUGGGUUUAAGGUACCAGUGAAAGUUGCACGGCACAAGAAAGGCUAGCAAUGGUAGAAGGUGAGAGUGCGUAUAAUCCAUGGACUCAACAUUAGUCAUAAAGAACUCACAUACUUAUUGCAAAAAUCUAUUAGUUAUCGAAACAAAGUACUAUGCGCAUGCUCCUAGGAGGAUAGAUUGGUAGGAAAAUACCAUCGCUCGUCCCCGACCACCACUCAUAAGGAAGACAAUCAAUAAAUAAAUCAUGCCCCGACUUCAUCACAUAACGGUUCACCAUACAUGCAUGCUACGGGAAUCACAAACUUUAACACAAGUAUCUCUAAAAUUCACAACUACUCACUAGCAUGACUCUAAUAUUACCAUCCUCAUAUCUCAAAACAAUCAUCAAGUAUCAAACUUCUCAUAGUAUUCAAUGCACUUUAUAUGAAAGUUUUUAUUAUAUCCCUCUUGGAUGCCCAUCAUAUUAGGACUAAAUUCAUAACCAAAGCAAAUUACCAUGCUGUUUAGGACUCUCAAAAUAAUAUAAGUGAUUCAUGAGAGUUCAUCUAUUUCUAUAAAAUAAAACCACCACCGUGCUCUAGAAAGAUAUAAGUGAAGCACUAGAGCAAGAACAAACUACUCCGAAAGAUAUAAGUGAAGAUCAAUGAGUAGUCAAAUAAUUAUGCAACUAUGUAAAGACUCUCUAACAUUUAAGAAUUUCAGAUCUUGGUAUUUUAUUCAAACAUCAAGGAAAACUAAAUAAAAAUAAAAUGACGCUCCAAGCAAAACACAUAUCAUGUGGUAAAUCAAAAUAUAGCUCCAAGUAAAGUUACCGAUGAACGAAGACGAAAGAGGGGAUGCCAUCCGGGGCAUCCCCAAGCUUAGGCUCUUGGUUGUCCUUGAAUAUUAGCUUGGGGUGCCUUGGGCAUCCCCAAGCUUAGGCUCUUGACACUCCUUAUUCCAUAGUCCAUCGAAUCUUCACCCAAAACACUACUAGAAAAAGGGCUGCUAGUGGUGCACCUGUUUUCGCUACUAAUGGUGCACCACUAAUGGGGCACCACGCAGGAGUGCGCCAUUAGUAGCAAUUUUUUUUCAAAUUUAAAAAAAAAAUUCAAAUUUUUUUCAAAUUUUUUAUUUUUUUCUUAAUCUCGGGUCAAAUCGCACUCUGUGGUCAAACUUCCCGGAAGGUCACCCAUCCUCACACUACUCCAGUCCGAGCAUGCUUAACUUCAUAGUUCUAUCCAACCCCAGCACCACCUCAAUUCACAGGCACUUGUGGAUAUAUCUAUCAUAUCAAUCCUAUUAAACCUUGCUGAUGUCUAGGACUUAGUUCAUGAGUAUGAUGAAAUUUUGAAAAAAUAUUUCAAACAUCCCGGUCAUAUUACGUAUCAUAUUUUGAAAAAUAAUUCAAAAAAAAAUUCGAAACCAAUUUUUUUCUGUUACUAGUGGCGCACCUAGCAUACGGUGCGCCACUAGUAAGUUUUAAUUUUUUUGAAUUUUUUUGCCUCCGGAUCUUAAAAGCCUCGUAACUUUUUUUCUGUUAGGUUUUUAGGGAUUUUGAAAAUGUUUAACGGGGUUCCCCCCAAUUAAAUUUGGAUGUAACUUUUCGAGUAGAUGCUUUUUCAUAUAGAGAACUUUUCAAUCCGAGUUCGUAUGCAAAAGUUAUGCCCAUUUUACAAAUUCCAGAGAGAUAUUGCAAAUAAAGUCGAAAUUCAUAUUUGUAAAUUUUCCCAACAACUAGACCACAUAUCACAUGAGAAACUUAAUUUUUUUUUUUAUUUUUUUGACAUUUCCAUCAAUUUCUUUUAUUUUUUUAAAAAAUGAAAAGGCGGUCCACGGGGAGGGGGGUGUGCAUUCGGUGGAAGUUUUGGGCCAAGUUAGUAAUGACGCACCAUGGGAGUGGUGCGCCAUUACUAGUUAAACUAGUAAUGGCACACCACACCCACGGUGCGCCAUUACUAGUUUUGAAAAAAAAUAAAACAAAUUCUGAAUUUUUUUUUGAAAAAAACUUAGUAAUGGCGCACCAGUUGACAAUGCAUCAUUACUAGUUUUAACUAGUAAUGGCGCACUGUCCACUGGUGCGCCAUUACUAGUUUUGAAAAAAUAAAUAAAAAAAAUUUGAAAAAAAUUUACUAGUGGCGCACCGUGGAUGUGGUGCGCCAAACUAGUAAUGGCGCACUGUCCACUAGUGCGCCAUUACUAGUUUUGAAAAAAAAAUGAAUUUUUUUUACUAAUGGCGCACCAUGGAUGUGGUGCGCCAUUAGUAUUUGGACACUAAUGGCGCACCUACACAUGGUGCGCCAUUAGUAUAUACUAAUGGUGCACCACAUGUCUGGUGCGCCAUUAGUGGCCAUAUCAUCUAUAGCCCUUUUCCUAGUAGUGAAACUUGAAAACUUCACAACACAAAACUUAACAGAAAAAUCUCGUGAGCUCUGUUAGUAAAAGAAAACAGACCACCACUUCAAGGUACUGUAAUGAACUCAAUCUUGAUUUAUAUUGGUGUUAAACCUACUGUAUUCCAACUUCUCUAUGGUUUAUAAACUCUUUUACUAGCCAUAGAUUCAUCAAAAUAAGCAAACAAUACACGAAAAACAGAACAGUCUGUAGUAAUAUAUAGGUUUCGACCACUUCUGAAACCCCAAAAUUCUAAAAUAAAUUGCUGGACGUGAGGAGUUUAUCUAUUAAUCAUAUUCAUAAACAAUUAACUAAAUAUCACUCUCGAGUUAAAAAAUGGCAGCAAAUCUGAUGAGCGCUAAAGUUUCUGUUUUUUACAGCAUGAUCUCAAAGACUUUCCCCAAGUCUUCCCAAAGGUUCUACUUGGCACAAACACUAAUUAAACACAAAAACACAACCAUAAUAGAGUCUAGAUAAAUUAUUUAUUACUAAACAGGAACAAAAAGCAAGGAACAAAAAUAAAGUUGGGUUGCCUCCCAACAAGCGCUAUCGUUUAACGCCCUAGCUAGGCAUGAUGAUUUCAAUGAUGCUCACAUAAAAGAUAAGAAUUGAAACAUAAAAAGAGCAUCACGAAGAAUAUAACUAGCACAUUUAAGCCUAACACACUUCCUAUGCAUAGGGAUUUUGUGGGCAAACAAAUUGUGGGAACAAGAAUCAACUUGCAUAGGAAGGUAAAACAAGCAUAACUUUAAAACUUUAAGCACAUAGAGAGGAAACUUGGUAUUAUUGCAAUUCCUACAAGCAUAAGUUCCUCACUCAUAAUAAUUUUCAGUAGCAUCAUGAAUGAAUUCAACAAUAUAACCAUCACAUAAAGCAUUCUUUUCAUGAUCUACAAGCAUAGAAAUUUUAUUACUCUCCACACAAGCAAAAUUCUUCUCAUGAAUAAUAGUGGGAGCAAGCUCAACUAAAUAAUUAUCAUGUGAGGCAUAAUCCAAUUGAAAACUUAAAUCAUGACGACAAGUUUCAUGGAUAUCAUUAUUCUUUAUAGCAUACAAGUCAUCAUAAUAAUCAUCAUAGAUAGCAACUUUGUUCUCAUAAUCAAUUGGAACCUCUUCCGAAAUAGUGGAUUCAUCACAAAAUAAAGUCAUGACCUCUCCAAAUCCACUUUCUUCAAUAUAAUCAUCAUAAAUAGGAGGCAUGCUUUCAUCAUAAUAAAUUUGCUCAUCAAAACUUGGGGGACAAAAAAUAUCAUCUUCAUCAAACUUAGCUUCCCCAAGCUUGUGGCUUUGCAUAUCAUUAGCAUCAUGGAUAUUCAAGGAAUUCAUACUAACAACAUUGCAAUCAUGCUCAUCAUUCAAAUAGUUAGUGCCAAACAUUCUAAUGCAUUCUUCUUCUAGCACUUGAGCACAAUUAUCGGAAUCCUUAUUUUCAUGAUAGAUAUUAAAAAGAUGAAGCAUAUGAGGUACCCUUAAUUCCAUAUUUUUUUUUAUAAUUUUCUUUUAUAAACUAAACUAGUGAUAAAAAAAGAAACAGAAAGAUUCGAUUGGAAUAUCUAAAGAUAUACCUUCAAGUGCUAACCUCCCCGGCAACGGCGCCAGAAAAGAGCUUGUUGUCUACUACACAACCUACUUCUUGUAGACGUUGUUGUGCCUCCAAGUGCAGAGGUUUGUAGGACAGUAGAAAAUUUCCCUCAAGUGGAUGACCUAAGGUUUAUCAAUCCGUAGGAGGCGUAGGAUGAAGAUGGUCUCUCUCAAGCAACCCUGCAACCAAAUAACAAAGAAUCUCUUGUGUCCCCAACAUACCCAAUAUAUUGGUAAAUUGUAUAGGUGCACUAGUUCGGCGAAGAGAUGGUGAUACAAGGUUAAUAUGGAUAGUAGAUAUAGGUUUUUGUAAUCUGAAAAUAUAAAAACAGCAAGGUAACUAAUGAUAAAAGUGAGCACAAACGGUAUUGCAAUGCUAGGAAACAAGGCAUAGGGUUCAUACUUUCACUAGUGUAAGUUCUCUCAACAAUAAUAACAUAAUCGGAUUAUAUAACUAUCCCUCAAUAUGCAACAAAGAGUCACUCCAAAGCCACUAAUAGCGGAGAACAAACGAAGAGAUUAUGGUAGGGUACCAAACCACCUCAAAGUUAUUCUUUCUGAUCGAUCUAUUCAAGAGUCCGUAGUAAAAUAACAUGAAGCUAUUCUUCCCAUUCAAUCUAUCCUAGAGUUCAUACUAGAAUAAUGCCUUAAGACACAAAUCAAUCAAAACCCUAAUGUCACCUCAAGAAUCCGUGGGUAUGAUUAUACGAUAUGCAACACACAAUCUCAGAUUCAUCUAUUCAAACCAAAACAAAGUACUUCAAAGAGUGCCCCAAAGAUUCUACCGGAGAGUCAAGACGAAAACGUGUGCCAACUCCUAUGCAUAGGUUCAUGGGCGGAACCCGCAAGUUGAUCACCAAAACAUACAUCAAGUGGAUCAAUAGAAUACCCCAUUGUCACCACGGGUAUCCCAUGCAAGACAUACAUCAAGUGUUCUCAAAUCCUUAAAGACUCAAUCCGAUAAGAUAACUUCAAAGGGGAAGCUUAGUCCAUUACAAGAGAGUAGAGGGGGAGAAACAUCAUAAGAUCCAACUAUAAUAGCAAAGCUCGCGAUACAUCAAGAUCGUACCACCUCAAGAACACGAGAGAGAGAGAGAGAUCAAACACAUAGCUACUGGUACAUACCCUCAGCCCCGAGGGAGAACUACUCCCUCCUCGUCAUGGAGAGCGCCGGGAUGAUGAAGAUGGCCACCAGAGAAGGAUUCCCCCUCCGGCAGGGUGCCGGAACGAGUCUAGAUUAGUUUUCGGUGGCUACGGAGGCUUCUGGCGGCGGAACUCCCGAUUUAUUGUGCUCCCCGAAGUUUUUAGGGUAUAUGGGUAUAUAUGGGUGGAAAAAGUACGUCGGUGGAACUCUGGGCUGUCCACGAGGCAGGGGGCGUGCCCAGGGGGUGGGUGCGCCCCACCCUCGUGGGCAGCCCGGGACUCUCCUGGUCCAUCUCCGAUACUCCGUGGGCUUCUUCUGGUCCAAAAAUAAGUUCCGUUAAGUUUCAGGUCAAUUGGACUCCAUUUGAUUUUCCUUUUCUGCGAUACUUCAAAACAAGGAAAAAACAGAAACUGGCACUAGGCUCUGGGUUAAUAGGUUAGUCCCAAAAAUAAUAUAAAAGUGUAUAAUAAAGCCCAUAAACAUCCAAAACAGAUAAUAUAAUAGCAUGGAAUAAUCAAAAAUUAUAGAUAUGUUGGAGACGUAUCAAGGUCCAUGAAGGUGUAGCGCCGUCAUCGCCCUUCCCACACUUGAGUGACGCAAACCUUGUUGUAGCUAGUAGGCAGUCAAAAAGUUGCCAUGUUAAAGCCCUAUAGGACCAGCGCACCAGAGCAGCAACCGUCGUUGAUGAAGGGAGUCGUAGACUGGAAUGGUCAAACCUGUAAACAUACAAACGAAUGAACGAAUCGUCGCCGCCACACAGCCCCAACCAAAGAAGUUGACCCUAACAAGAAUGAGAGUGAUGUCCAUUCCGCCGGUGAGGGCAAGGUCCUCUAAACCGCUACGGCCCAAAGGCUAUCAGAGGCGAGGCAGACUAGCGGCAACACCGAUGGGAGGAGGACGAAACUUAAUCGUUUGGAAAGAACGUGAUGAUUUGGAGUUAAGUCUAGAAAUCACUCAUUUACCUACAUAGUUCUUCAUCCAAUUGGUUUAGACAAAUAAUAUAUUUUUAAAUAACUCAAUCAUUUACGCCAUCUUAUCUUAAUUACCUCAUCAAUCCGACUUGCAUCAAUGCAUGCAAUUUGUUGUUCACAACCUAUUUCUCUAUCUUUCUUUGGAAAAUAAGUCCCCUUAUUUUGAGUUAUGUGUGUGGUAUUUUUUAAAAUAAUUAUUAAUAUGUGUACUUAUAACCCUUUUUUGCACGUAACGCCAUGUUAAUUAAUUUUUUUUGUUUCGCAUCGGCAAUACUUCUGGUAAAAAUGAAUGAAAGCAGCUAUCUAAGAUGAUUGGAAGCAGCUCGAAGCAUGGGAGUUGUGCCAACGUGAAAGAAAGGUGAGCAAAGAUGAGUGGGCACGUCCUAAACGCACGGGCAUCUGCACCGACUUAAAAAAAGCAUUUUAAGUGUGUUUUAAAAUGUCAAAAAAUAUAAAAAAAAUCAUGCAUACAUUUUCGCAAAUGUAUGUGCGUGGCAUAAAGUUUUGUGAAAAAAAAUAUUUUUUGGUUUGCUUUGCAAAAAGACAAAUUUUAGUGCUUCUAAAUAGCAUUUGAUGACACAAUUUUUCGUCUGUUUUUGCACGGGCCACAAAAAAGGUUAUUUUUCUGUGAAAUUUUAUGCAUGUACAUAGAACAUGGAGACGUACCCGUGCAAAAAAUUUCAGAUUCUUUUAGCAUGUAAAAAUGUGUUUUUUAAAGUGGGUUCAUAUGUACCCGGGUUCAUCCACGCACUUCCCGAGCAAAGAUCCAUCAAGUUCAUAUGUGCUUUAUGUUCAAGCGGCAAGUAGGGGUCAAAGUAUAUAGAACAACCAACUUCUAGCAACGAGGCACGCUCCCUCGUUUGGUAUAACGAGGUCGGCAUGGACAAUUGGACAUAGAGAAGUGUUACGGAGGUUGGUUGUAAUUUUAUUUGACCACUUGUAUUGAUUAGUCAGGGUUUAUGUUACUACCAUGAUCUCAUGCAACUUACCACUUAGCUUUAUGUAACCUUAACAUCUUGACCGCCCGGUCAUUGCAACUUACCAAAUGAUCAUGUUUAUGAUCCUUGUCCCCUAGAUAGGAGCUUUUUUUGGCUUUAAGCUUAAGAGAAAAAGGCAUGAAAAGGCCCAACCAAACACCAUAUCCCAAUUAUGGUGAUACAAAUAAGAGGCGCGUGAAUAGAGCAAGCUACGGCCUUCCCAAAAUAAGACAAAUGUGGUCACACUAUGAUGAGUUCGGUUCGGUGGCACCAUGGCUCGACCAAACUAAUGAAGGGUCCCAUUAAAAAAGUUUAUUUAUGUUCAAGUGGAAAUCUGGGGGUCAAAGUAUAUAGAGAAACCCACAUCUGGCAAUCAUACCCUCUCCCUCGCUUGGUAGAACGAGGUCAACAAGGGGAUGGAGCGGGGUUACAACGAUUGGUUGCAAUAUUAUCCAACCUCUUGUCUUGAUUAGCAAGUUUAUACUUGUUAUAAUCUUACCUUCAUUUCAUCCACUAAUUAUGUGUUGAUCCAAGUGAUAGCCAUAUUUAUUUGCAACAUUAUCCAUGUCAUAUUUUGUAUGCAACCAUGAGCAUUGCCAUUUGUUAGCUUAGCAUGAUUAGACAUGUAUUCUAGUGUUCAUGAGGUAUACAUGCAAUGCCUUGAUGGAACCAUAUCAACAUGAGCCUAGAAACAAUAAGUACUAAUAAAAGCAUUGUAAUAAUGCAAAAUAGUAAAAAAAUGCAUAUUGAAAACCAUAGGUUUAUCAAGUCAUCCAACCCUACAAGUGGUGGCUUGCCUUGAUAAAAUGGAGUGCCAAGACCGUCUACAUCUUCAACACUGAAGGAAAAGCUGCUACAAAAAUCAAAUAAAGAAUUUAGGAAAAUCUCCAUAAAGCCAUUGUGACUACCCAGCCUACCUAGGUACAUCACAAAAUUGCAACAAGCGUUAGAACAUGUCCACGUUUGGUCAAAACAAUGAUUUAAUUGAUUUUAAAAGAAAUUUACAGAACGGCUAACUUUGAAGGCGUAUUUCCUGGAGGCACUUUCACUUGUACCGCUUCAACCUGUGGCAUAAGCCGAUGACAGGUGGGGCCGAUGGUAAGGUUUAAAAGACGUGAAGGGGAGACAUGACGACAACAAGGCUCACCGGUGGCUAUCGACAAUGGGAGGACGCGACCGCGUGAAAUGAGGGCGUCGAUGGCCGCAAUGCUUGAUGACAAAUCUGGAGUUAGUUAUCUGGCCGUGAGGGAUGGGCGGACGAUGAGGCUCCUCCUCCAACGUGUCUUGUGUACCACGCUCGGCGUUGGAGGUACACGAUGACGUGUUUGUGUUUGAAUAGUUUGGAUAUCUUAUAUGUGUGAAGGAAUUCUAACUACAAAGUAUAUGUCCUAGUCGUACGUUUGAUUAUGGUUGCACUUGUCCAUCUAGAAUUGAUGGUCAUCUAGCGUGCUAGAAUGAACAAUCCGUUUGUACAUAUUAGAUGUGUAGAAGACUUUAAAAAAGAAAGUACGUCUGCUUUCGUGUAUCUUCUCUCCCGGACUCUACCUUUUAUUUUAAGUCCAUUUUCUUUGGGGGAAAAUGCCCGCUUGAUUUCUUCUCUCGAACUCCCUAGAAACUCGCCGAUACGCAGGUGCAAGGGCUGCCCGACCUUGCCGGCUGUCAGAUUGUAUCGUGAUCCACAAAGUCAUUGAAUUUCGCACGAUGGCGCACCAAAUUUUAAGUUUUAGUUUCUGAAACAUGCGAUUUUGGCGUUCGCUUGUACCAAGUUUCAGCGGUUGAAACGUAAUGAAGUUUUAAAAACUCAUCAAAACGUAUUCAUAAUGGAUCUUAUUUGAAAUCCCUCAUCAAAAAAAAUCACGAAUAUGCAAUGAAACUUAAUUUGGACUUUUGGUUCAAAAGAUAUAAAAGAUUAAAAAUCGAAACGAAAGCGGAAAAAAGAUUAGCAUGCUCCCUCUUACCUCCCCUUUGACAUGGGUCAGCGCCCUUGCCCGUGUGUGCCGCAAAUAUCCAGAGCCGAUCCGUGAAGCUGGAAGGUUGCGAACAGGGGGGGAAGAGUUCCAACUUUGAAUUAAAUUAAUUUGCCUUUCAACUAUUUAACUAAUUACGCAUUUUCACAAACAAAAAGAAAAUCCAAAUUCCAACUAAUUUUUUUCACCCUCCAACCAUGUCAUCAUCAGAUAUUAUCAAUCUAAAAACACUUCAUAUAUUUAAACUUUAAACUACUUUAAAAUCUUUCUAGUAUACUUCUGACCCCACAGCUUUUGUGAAAAACUGCCUAAAAACACGGUAUAUUUACUGUCUAUCAUGAAGAAAUUAUCAAAAGAAAAAUACCAGUAACCCCACAAAUUCUUGAGGCUGGCUUCGCGGCUGGUUGUACGUGAUAUGAAGGUUAGGCUACCAUGUGUUCUCGCCAAACAAAUCCCAUUACAAUCACCUCCAGCUACACAGUACUACACCUGCAUCAAACAUGCACCCAGGUAGAAUACCACACUGUAAACGAGUACAUAACCUGCACAAGAGAAGAUAUUAAUUCUACAAAGCCAAAAUGACCAACAAAAAGCAGUUGCUACACAUAUUGGUAACGCCUCAAGAAAGCUACCUUACAUGGAAAAAUACGUUGCAUGACUAUAAUAAGAUUACAAUUAAAAUAGACACUUAAUUGUUUCAUCGUCAUUACAAAAGCAACACUUUUGAUUGGUGUGCCAAUUUCAUUUACUGAACAAAAUCCCUCGAUUUAAUUGGAAUUUUUAGUUGUCGAGCAAUUUUAACAUUCUCCCUCUUACCCUCUCUUUUCAUAUGAGAGGUAAGAAGAUAAGAGUUAAUCAACGGUUCAGAUCUGUUUUAUACUCUUACCUCUCACUUACCUCCCAUGUGGAAAUCGAGGCAUACGUAGUAAUCGAGGCAUAGUCAUUCUGCUGUAGGUUCUACCUAACUGUCCUUUUCGUCCACUAACUCAAAAUUGACUGGGCGAGCUGAUUGUUCUAUAUAUAGCAAUCUAGCAUGUGAUGUGCUCUAAUACCCAUAACUGUGUAGUUAGAAAAUUGUUGAAGGGUUAACUAAAAGAUUUGCGACAUAGGGGGUCGCCAUGGCUUCCUAUUCGGAGAAGCAGGCCAACGACAAGGGUGAGAAACAUCAUGAGCUAGUUUGUGUGACUGGGGCAGGAGGCUUCAUUGGUUCAUGGGUGGUGAAGGCGCUCCUCCUCCAUGGCUACCGUGUCCGGGGAACUGCCAGAGACCCCGGUAAGUAAUAGCAUCAUAAUUUCAUAUCUAUGGCAUAUAUUAAUUAGAUGCUAACCGUUCUCUAAAUAUAUGCCUAUUUAAAAGCACUAUUUAUCACCACUUACAGAGAUACGAAUAUGUAGUUUAGUUGUUUAUAUUAAACAACAAUAUACAUGAGAUAACUCAGUCAUAAAACACAGAAAUGCCAAAACAAUUUAUGAUGAACAAUUGGAUUGAAAAUGGAGGAGUGCUUCAUUAUACCAUUCUUUGAAAUGUUUACCACCAUUGGGAAAAAGUAACGGUGAAGACUAAAGUUUACCAUUUAGUUUAAGAGGGUAAUAUAACAUAACACCUCACAAAUGUAAACACUUACACACACACUCACGAACAAACAUCUCGAUGAAUGCAUGCAUGCACGCCAUACCUCUAUGAGCACCUCCUAGCGACUGAUCCGACAAAUUUUGGGAUUGACAAGUCACCACAGACAUCUAGUCGAAGAGAACGCCAUGUCCCAAUGAACGAGCUUUGUCGGGAAACCUGGAAUAAUUCUUAUAAAAUACGAGCACCAAUGCGAAGUAUAGGACUUAAACCAGUGUUCUGCUGGUAAUAUAGCAAAAUCACUUCUUUAUCCAUGCCCAUGUUAUUUGAACAUCCAUGCAUGCGAGCACCAGCCUGGGAGUAUCACCAUGAUAGCUCCUGAAGUAUUUUGUUUCCUAGGCACAAAGGAAUAUAUUCAUACAGUAAAAUCGUUUGGGUCAAGGGGAGUUCUUUUUAGCUUGAGAUCUCGCACGGUUGGCAGAUAUAACUCAGUGAAGUUGUUAGGCAUGAUUAUGCAACUCAUUUGAUUUGUACAAAGUAUGAAAGUACCCCUUUAAAAGUAAACCAAAAGUGUACCAAGGUUCAACCGAUUUUUUGAUUGAUAUAUUUAUAAGGGAGAAGUAUAUUUUGUAUCCCCCAACUUUACCCACAGCUUAGAAAUGGUCCUUCAAUUAUACAACUAGACAAACAUAGUCCCUCAACUCUCAAAAUCGGAUAUCGGAUAUUUUUCGUCCCUUGUGCCACUCUGGGUGGUUUGGUGCUGAUCUGAACCCGGUAUUGACCGUUGACCCCACCGACUCACCCUUCGUCAUCUUCCUCUUGCACCAGCACAUGCAUGGCGGUCAGUAUGUCACCACCAUGUCCACGCUGUCGGCGAGGUCGGCAAUGUCCAGUUUGUUGGAUGGCCAUGUCUCGCGGCUAUCGUGCUACCGCCAGAAGCCCAUAAAGACCAGCUCUUCGAUCGGACACGCUGACCCAUGUCGAGUGGGAGAUUUGCACCCAUGUGUCUGGUGUGGUGCUGAUGUGGUGAGGUCAAUAGUCAAUAUCAGGUCCACGUCAGCCCAAAACCACUCAGAGUGGUUUGAGGGAUGAAAAAUAUCCGGUUUUAAUAGUUGAAGGAUUAGUUUUUUCUGGUUUUAAUGUUGAAGGACCAUUUCUACACUAUCAAUAAAGUUCAGGGACGAAAAAUAUUAUUCUCCCUAUUUAUAAUGUAAGAUGGUAUAUUGUGUGACACCGUAUUUUAAAGUGGAAAUAUGAAUGAUUUACAUAUGGGACACGCCGGCAUUUUCUCACGGGGUUAACCUUGAGUUCCUCUUGAAGAUGUACAUUUUAUACGAACAUGCAUGCAAAAAAAAAACAUGCAUAUAAUUGCAUAUACGNNNNNNNNNNNNNNNNNNNNNNNNNNNNNNNNNNNNNNNNNNNNNNNNNNNNNNNNNNNNNNNNNNNNNNNNNNNNNNNNNNNNNNNNNNNNNNNNNNNNNNNNNNNNNNNNNNNNNNNNNNNNNNNNNNNNNNNNNNNNNNNNNNNNNNNNNNNNNNNNNNNNNNNNNNNNNNNNNNNNNNNNNNNNNNNNNNNNNNNNNNNNNNNNNNNNNNNNNNNNNNNNNNNNNNNNNNNNNNNNNNNNNNNNNNNNNNNNNNNNNNNNNNNNNNNNNNNNNNNNNNNNNNNNNNNNNNNNNNNNNNNNNNNNNNNNNNNNNNNNNNNNNNNNNNNNNNNNNNNNNNNNNNNGAAGUAGGGAUGUAUAGACUCGGCCGUGUACUUUGGUUCGUUGCAUUAUAUAUAAAAGUGUAUUUUUUGAUUUGCUUUAAAAGGGGACCUUCCCUUCAUAUUGUAUCGGUCGGCCGUGUACUUUGGUUCGUUAUUUUAUAUAUAAAGCGGGGCGAAAUCCUGUUUCAAAAGUUGAUAGUUUAUUAUCUUUGAUUUUUUAUUGAACUGUUAAACCCAUAAGUUGGCUUAAACAAGACCGUUUAUACAUCUCUAAAGCGAAGUAACUGAUUCGUGCCUACUAUGAACGUGAAGCUGAUCACAAGAACGCGCACCUGCUUACCCUGGAGGGAGCCCAGGAGAGGUUAGCCUUAUGCCGCGCCGAUCUCCUGGACCGUGACAACCUCUGUUCAGUGUUCAGCGGAUGCCAUGGCGUUUUUCAUGUCGCCUCCCCGAUCUCGGAAACCGACCCUGUGAGCCCACAAACUCUCUGGAGAUUCCGUACGCAGCUCCGAAUAUAUACAUGGAGUGUAUUUACUUGCAUAUGAAUCUAAUUUGUAGGAGCUCAUGGUGGUCGCCGUGGAGGGAACCAGGAACGUGAUCAACGCGGCGGCUGACGCGGGCGUGCGGCGUGUGGUGUUUACUUCCUCCUACGGCGCCGUGCACAUGGAUCCCAACAGGAGCCCGGACACGGUCGUGGAUGAGACGUGCUGGAGCGACUAUGACUUCUGCAAGGAGACUGGCGUAUGAUCUGGCUCAAUUUCAUCUGCAUAGCCUGCCCCAUCGAUCACGCCCGAUCUUCCUUGUAAUUGAAGUGAGCUUAACAAUCCUCGAUCGUGUGCAGAACAUGUACUGCUGCUCGAAGAUAAUGGCGGAGAUCACGGCGAAGGAGGAGGCGGCCAACAGGGGGCUGGACCUGGCAGUGGUGGUGCCGUCGAUGACGAUCGGCCCCGCGCUGCAGCAGAAGCUCAAUCUGGGCAUCGCCUUUAUCAACCGCUACCUCACGGGCGCCAAGAAGACCUGCCCCAACGCCGUGGCCGGCUACACCGACGUCCGCGACGUCGCCCGCGCCCACGUCGUCGUCUACGAGCGCCCGGACGCACGCGGCAGGUACCUCUGCAUGGGCGCCGUGCUGCACCGUGCCCAUUUCCUCCAGCUGCUCCGAGACCUUUUCCCGCAGUACCCCAUCACCGACAAGUACGUACAUAAUCAAUUUCCACCGGCGUACGUCCGUGCAUGCAUUGCUUGCUCUCUUCCCCCGAAAGUGAUUUGUAACGACGAGCGUUUAAUGGUGUACGUGCAUGUGUGGCAGGCGUGAAGAUGACGGCAAGCCGAUGGCCAAGCCGUACAGGUUCUCCAACCAGAGGCUGAGGGACCUCGGGUUGGAGUUCACUCCCCUCAAGGAGAGUUUGUACGACAUGGUGGUAUCCCUGCAGCAGCAUGGUCACCUGCCUGUUGUUCCGGGGCCAGAUGGUCCACGCCUCUAAAAAAAAAAGAUGUGCACUACUGCUGCAUUAGCCCAAUAUCAAUAAUGUGAAAUAAUACAAUAAUGAUCCAACAAUAACAAGCAUGGUGUCUCGCCCUAUUGUUCAAUCAGACUCCUCCUUCUGGUGAUUGUUCAAUCAGAUUCCCCGGAGGCCUUGCAGGCACUAUCAAAGUUCGGAAUGGACCGUCCAACACUUGGACAUGUGACAAAGAUUAGAUAAUUGAUGACAGAAAGUGAGUUUAUUCCACAAAAGAUUCAUCGAACAGAAUAGAGUGGCAGAACGUAUGGCAAACUAUAGUCACACAGAUUGUACUAUGUCGGUGUGGCUUAACCAAAAUCCCACUUGUAUUGAGAAACUUGUGCCUCUCCUUUGUAAUACUAUACCAUCUUAAAUGAAAUUCCAUUUACCCCGCAAAUAAAGCAUGAUGUCUCACCCUAUUGUGUGCAAAACCUCUAAAUGCUGGACAUGAAGUAUGUAAGCUUGAGCUCACAUGAUCUUGGAUGAACAGUAAAAUCCAAAAAAUAGUAAAAAAAAUAAAAAAAACUGAUUUUUUUGGCGAGAAACGUUGAUGUUUUUUUUUACAUCCAUGCAAAGUUUCAUGAUGGAAUCACAUUUGUGGAGGUGUGCACAAAAACAAAUUAAUGUUCGAAACCACACCUCCACAAAUGUGAUUCCAUCUCGAAUAUUUGCAUGCGUUUAGAAAAAACAUCAAUGUUUCGUGACAAUAAAAUUCAGAAUGUUUUGAAUAUUUUUUCUAUUUNNNNNNNNNNNNNNNNNNNNNNNNNNNNNNNNNNNNNNNNNNNNNNNNNNNNNNNNNNNNNNNNNNNNNNNNNNNNNNNNNNNNNNNNNNNNNNNNNNNNNNNNNNNNNNNNNNNNNNNNNNNNNNNNNNNNNNNNNNNNNNNNNNNNNNNNNNNNNNNNNNNNNNNNNNNNNNNNNNNNNNNNNNNNNNNNNNNNNNNNNNNNNNNNNNNNNNNNNNNNNNNNNNNNNNNNNNNNNNNNNNNNNNNNNNNNNNNNNNNNNNNNNNNNNNNNNNNNNNNNNNNNNNNNNNNNNNNNNNNNNNNNNNNNNNNNNNNNNNNNNNNNNNNNNNNNNNNNNNNNNNNNNNNNNNNNNNNNNNNNNNNNNNNNNNNNNNNNNNNNNNNNNNNNNNNNNNNNNNNNNNNNNNNNNNNNNNNNNNNNNNNNNNNNNNNNNNNNNNNNNNNNNNNNNNNNNNNNNNNNNNNNNNNNNNNNNNNNNNNNNNNNNNNNNNNNNNNNNNNNNNNNNNNNNNNNNNNNNNNNNNNNNNNNNNNNNNNNNNNNNNNNNNNNNNNNNNNNNNNNNNNNNNNNNNNNNNNNNNNNNNNNNNNNNNNNNGUGAAACGUCUCAUUCCAUCCCUCUUUUUGUACUACUUGAAGGCGACAUAAUAUUAACGGUAUGCCUAGAGAAGAGAGUGCCAUCAAGACUAGCUAGAGGAUGGCACGCCAAGGGUCGUCACACCCAUGUGACAUCGCUUGAGAACAAGUAUAAUAAGAUGAUGUAAUUAGGCUAUACGAAUUUAAAUAUUAUAUUUAUGCUGAGUUGAAGAAGAGAGAAGAGAAGUGUUUUCUAAGGAUUUAAGAACCACAAAGACUUCAAGAAACUUUGUGAGAGAGUGAAAUGGGUAGGUAUUAAUAAUAAAGUGGUACUAUUUACUGCCAACUAACACAUGUUGACUAUAAAAUUGCCUAUGGAUGAUAAGGCAACAACAUAUAACCAACAGUUGGACAUACUAUUAACCAUGCUCUUUAACAAGGAUUAACACGCCCGAGAAAGAGCGAAUUUACUUACUCACGGUAUAUGCCUGUCCUAUCCCCGAGGAUAGGUUGGAAUAUUUCGGUAAAAUUCCACCGGGGUUUCUCUAUACAAUAUGAAAAUACCCGAGAACGAAAAUAUACCGUGCAUUAAUAGAUCUUUCAUUGUUGCUUUGAGAUUCAUGCUACCUUUUUUUUCACCAUUUUCAAAAUAUUACAUUGGGGUUUUCGUCUAGUUCCAAAGUGUAUCUUAAUGUUCCAGUGUGUACUACCAAAUGCGAUAAAAAAGAAGGGCAUUCUCUUUUACUAGUAGACCUAAACGCUCUUAUAUUUCUUUACAGAGGGAGUACACAAUAAAACAUGCUGAUAUAUGUUGGAAAGACAAAAACAGAACGAAGCAUUUUGAAACAAGUUUUUUUUUUGCAACAAUCAAAAAAUAGCAUGAAUCUCAAAGCAACCAUGGACGGUGGAUCCAUGCGCAGGAUAUCUGAUGAAUGAUAGAUAAAUCACUCUUUGGACAUACCCCUGAUUGUUGGAUUUAAUGUAAGAUAAAAAAAACUUACAUUCCUUACCUAGCUACUUCUUUCACUAUAAAAAGUGGUGGCCAAGUUGGUCAUGUAUGAAGGGGAAAAUAUCACUACCAUUGGCCACACGGCCCUUGUCAAGUCCAUGAGCACAUCCUAAGUGGUCUACUUCAUCACUCCCCUUGUUGAUGCACCUACCACCCUUCAUAAUGUCAAUAAGCUUCAGCGAGCGUUAUUUGUUCUGGCUCCGAUACGACAAGCGGGCAAAAAAGCAAGGUGAUUUGGGAGAUUGUUUGCCGACCGCAUGAAUAUGGGGGACUUGGGGUUCUCAACACGGAAAAUUUGCACGUGCUCUGCGCUUGAGGUGGCCAUGGUUCGAGUGGAAGGAGCCAAGAAGAUGUGGGUGGGGAUGGGAAACCCGUGUGGCGAAGAGGAUCCUCUAUGCCUCGACGACCAUCACUAGAGGCAAUGCCGCAAGGACCCCUUUUUGGGAGGCCCCUUGGCUACUUGGGCGGAGGCCCAUUGAUAUUGCUCCGCUUUUUUUCGAGGCCUCAUCGAGAAAGAAUUGGAAGGUGCGGGAGGCCCUAAAGAACAACGCGUGGAUUCUCAAGAUCAACCCCGAAACCAUUGUUACCGCUGGGCACAUUAGUCAAUUUUUCACCCUUUGGAUGCUUCUUCAGGAGAUCCAUCUUGACGACCUUGUUGACGAUGAUAUUGUAUGGAAGCAUAUGCUUAGUGGCCACUACUCGGCGGCUUCCGCCUACAAGGCGCAAUUCCUUAACAGGGUCUUCUCUCCCAUGGACCAAAUGGUGUGAGAGGCUUGGGCAUAUACUUGGGCACCGCUAAAAGUCAAGUUUUUUGCUUAGUUGGCCAUUCAAGACCGGAUUUGUACCGCCGACAGGUUGGCUAAAUGGGAUGGCCAAACUGUGGCCUUUGCCCCCUUUGCGGGAGGGUGCAAGGAUAUGGAUCCCACCUCUUCUUCAAAUUCCGUUACUCUCUGUGGCUUUGGAACUUGGUCAUUGAGAUAUUUCGCCUUGAGGAUUGGGACACCUCCAAUUGGCAUUUGGAAGACAAUGUUGAGGAUUGGUGGGAAAGCCGAACCGGUGAUGCUACGCGGGAUAGAAAGGCAAUGGCCUCUCUAACUAUGCUCAUUUUGUGAUCCAUAUGGAAUGAGUGGAACACAAGGUUGUUCCGGCACAAUAGUGCGCCCCCACCGAUCUUGCUAAACAACAUCUUAGAGGAGGCGAAACUUUGGGUCAUCACCGGAGCAAAGAAGCUAGGGUCAAUUGUAUUUCGAGAGUAAUCAUUCAUGUUGCUUUUUUGGGGUGAAUUGUAACAAACUAUAUCCUCUUCUUAACUAAUAUAUGAGGCAAAUAUUUCUUCCUACAUGAAAUGGAUGUACACAAAUCAUACUUGUAAGACUCAUUUUUCUCCAUCGUUCAAAAAUGAUGUUACCAUUCAUUUAUUCCACAAUAAUAUUUACAUGUUACUUACUCUCUUUGUACACAAAUGUAAGACAUUUUGGCAGUUUAUUCUAAAUUAAAAAAAUGUUCUACAAUGUUUACAUAGCGAGUGCAUUUUAUGCUUGUAAAAUACACAAUUCCAUGAUGAAUCUCCAAAAUCCUGAAAAGAUUUGUUCCAGCUCUGCUUGUUUAUUUCUUCCAACAAACUUGUCCCAGAUCGUGUUACAAGUACGCGCGCUUUGGUGCCAGGCGAACAAUGGGCAGAGGCAGGUGGCCCUUUUUUUCUGCAAGCACGUCACUGUCUCAUACAAGCUUUUCCCUCAACGGAGUGAAGUCCAAUAUUCGCACCUGCCGCGUGGACGAAUCUACAGUGAGCACUGAGCAAGCGCAACACCCAAAAUUGAAUUAAAUACGUUGAAAUAAGAUCAAUCAUGAUGUGCUCGUACUUACUUGGCGGUUAUGUGGUACUGCGGGAAGAGGUCGCCGAGGAGCUGCAGGAAGUGCACGUGGUGCAGCACGGCGCCGAUGCAGGCAGUGUGCGUCGUGGUGCUCGUAGAUGAGGACAUGGGCCUGGGCGAUGUCGCGGCGUCGGUGUAAGAGCAUCUCCAGCUGUUCGGCCCCUUCAGGACGCAUAAAAAACAUCCUUUGGGGGUGAGCCGGCGAUGCAAUCGGUGCUGGGACGGUUUCGCGCCUAGUCGUCGCCCCCAGCUCGCCCUCAGGCGUCGAAAUUGAUCCAUUUUUCAGUCUCAUUUCGGCGAAUAAAGGGCCCAUACGUACGACAAUAUGCUCAUAUUCGGCGUGGUUCGUCGUUGUUCGGCGUUCAAUUAUGCACAUAAUAUUUUUUUAUCACAUAUUUCAUCACAAAAAUAUCAAAUACUUCAACAAAAUAGUACAACAACAAAUAGUUCAACACAAAUUAUAUAGUUCAAUAAAUAAUAACUCAUAUUUCAUCACACGUCGCACCCGGCAUCGCCCUUCAGCCUCCAUAGAUGCUCUAUCAGAUCUUGCUGCAGUUGAUGAUGCACCUGUGGGUCUCGGAUCUCCUGGCGCAUACUGAGAUAGGCAGUCCAGGUUGUCGGUAGCUGGUGAUCAACUUCGGCUAGAGGACCCUGCCUGUAGUAUGGUUCAGUGUCAAACACUGGGUCUUCUUGCUCGCUCUCGAUGAUCAUGUUGUGCAAGAUGACACAGCAAGUCAUAAUCUCCCACAUUUGAUCUUUUGACCAGGUCUGAGCGGGGUACCGAACAACGGCAAAUCGAGAUUGGAGCACACCAAAUGCCCGCUCGACAUCCUUCCUGUAAGCCUCCUGAACCUUCGCAAACCAGGCGUUCUUGCCUCCUGGCACAGGGUUUGAGAUCGUCUUCAUAAAUGUCUACCAUCUCGGAUAGAUGCCAUCAGCUAGAUAGUACCCCUUGUUGUAGUGCCGCCCAUUGAUCUCGAAAUUCACCGGAGGAGAAUGACCUUCAACAAGCUUGGCAAAGACAGGAGAGCACUGCAGCACGUUGAUGUCAUUGUGAGUUCCUGGCAUAUCAAAGAAGGAGUGCCAAAUCCAGAGGUUCUGUGUGGCUACCGCCUCAAGCACCACACUACAACCACCUUUGGCGCCUUUGUACAUCCCCUGCCAAGCAAAUGGGCAAUUCUUCCAUUUCCAAUGCAUGCAGUCGAUGCUUCCAAGCAUCCCAGGAAAUCCUCUUGCUGCAUUCUGUGCUAGGAUCCGAACAGUGUCUUCCGCAUUGGGUGUUCUCAAGUAUUGUGGUCCAAACACUGCCACCACUGCCCGACAGAACUUGUAGAAACACUCUAUGCUGGUGGACUCGGCCAUGCGCCCAUAGUCGUCGAGUGAAUCACCGGGAGCUCCGUAUGCAAGCAUCCUCAUCGCUAUCGUGCACUUCUGGAUGGAGGUGAAUCUAAGAGCGCCGGUGCAAUCCAUCUUGCACUUGAAGUAGUUGUCGAACUUUCGGAUGGAAUUCACAAUCCUGAGAAAGAGCUUUCGGCUCAUCCGAUAACGAGCAUCGGCGAAGUAGUCGGAGUAGAGCAUGCAGUAGCCUUCGAGACGAUGCCGGUUCUUUGCUUUCACCCGCCCAGGCGCCGAGCCACCUUGCCGCGGCUUUUCAUUGCUCGCCAGCAGCCGGGCGAGGGCGGCGAGCACCAUGAGAUGCUCUUCUUCCUGGACGUCGGCCUCGGCUUCCUCCUCCAGCAGCGCGGCGAGCGCUUCCUCGUCAUCCAAGUCCAUCGCCGAGACAGGCAAAUCGCCGAACACCUUGCGCUCAGUGGGCGUGUACCCGCCGCUAAACCACGCCUCCGCAGCCGGAAACGGCGGCCGAAAACGCCCAGCUGCUGUUAGAGGGGCUGCCGCGGCGAAGCGCUGCUAUUUUUCCGGCGGGGAAUGGCUAUCUAGAGGUGUAGGGCGGCGGGCGGUGCCGGGAUAUAGCUACUAGUGGCUGAGGGCGCGGGGGGUGGGAGGCGAGUCGGGGAAGAAAACCUUGACUUUUCCCCUGACAGUGUGAGCCAGCACGCUUUUCCCUUGCGCCGGAGCCUCCAACUGCUCCCCAGUGUGCCGGGUUCGGCCUGUGACCGCCGGACGGAAAAAAGGGCCGAACCGGCGAUUUUCGGCGUCCUGGGGGCGCGACUAGGCCGUUUUUUCGGCGCCAGCGCCGAAAAAAUGGCCUGAGAAGGCCUGUUGGGGACGCGGCUGGAGAUGCUCUAAGCGACGACUGCAUUGAGGUAGGUGGGCUUGGCGCGGGUGAGGCAGCGAGCGACGUGGCAGCUGCUUGAGUUGAGUGACUGCUGCAGCAUGGGGCCCAUGGUCAUGGAUGGCACCACCACCGCCAGCUCAAGGCCCCUCUUGGCUGCCUCCUCCGUCGCCGUGAUCUUUGCCGUAAUACACAGAUUAUUCUUAAGUUCAGUCUAGUAGAGAAAGAUCAGGGUGCGAUUAAGCAGAGUAUUAUUACCGCACUGUUUUUGCAGUAAUCAUAGUAGUUCCAGCACGUCUCGUCGAGCCCUGCGUCGGAGCUAUGAUUGGGGUCCAUGUGCACAGAGCCGUAGGACGAGGUGAGGACCACGCGUCGCAUGCCGGCGUCUGCUGCCGCGCUGAUCACGUUCUUGGUGCCCUCAACGGCGACCGGCACGAGGUCCUGCAAGCGAUCAGCACACAUGUAGCAAGCAAGUACGCCGCCCUUUGUUAAGGCCGCACGAAGAAGUGAGCGGAGCAGAGGAAGCGAACUCACAGGGUCGUUGGAGAGAGGGGAUGUGACGUGGAAGACGUCAUGGCAUUUGCAGAAGGCAACACGGCAUAGGGUGAGCCUCUCCUCAGUGCCCUCCAGCGCCAGCAGGUGCCCGUUCUUUUGGUCAGCUGCAGAAACCACUCCACCAUUGGAUGAGCCACAAAAUUCAGCGAGAUCAAUCAUGGACUGACGCACACCAAACCAUCUGAUGUAAAGACGAUUUUCAGUGUUAAUUAUUCAGGUGUAAGCAAACUGUGACCGACUUACCGGGGUCUCUGGCGGUUCCCGUGGCACGGUAGCCACGGAGGAAGAGCUACUUCAAGCCAACUCCAGCGUGCGACCCAUCAUGUCCGGGCACAAACGGAAUUUUGUCCGUUUUAUGUCCGUUUUUGACCCAUCAUCGGCUCAAGUUUGGGCCACUUUUGAGGUAAAACGGACAGCGCGCGGACGGGCGGGACGCGCGCGCUUGUCCUCCCUUGGCCCGCCCAUCGGUAGCACAAAGCACCAACCCGACGCCUCAUUUCGCCCAAACCUUCCCACGUCCCGCCCACCACCCUCCCGCCCAUGGCCGAUGCCCCGCCGAAUUCCUCAUGCUUGGGAUUUGUUGUCCGACGAGUUUCUCGGCAUCGCCCGUCGGCCUGGCGAGCACAGGCUCGUCGGUCGCCAGGCCUCCGCACUGCCCCUCGCUGAGGUCGCGAACCAUGCCUUUGUCGCCCGGUUUUUCUCCGCCAAGGUACGAAGGCCAGACCCGUUUCUCGGGGUCGCCGGACGUUGGUGUGAUCGCGCCGUCCAUCCCGCGCCCCUCGGCCGUCAUCGACCUCAACGUCACGUCGGGGUACAGCAGCGGCGGCCGGCCGUCCGUCGAGAUGCAAAGAAAGCAAGCACGGCCGCCGUCCACGGGCACCAUGCCGUCGCCCCGCGUCCUGUUCAACGAAAUGCCAACACCAACGCCAACGGUUGACGAUCCCUUCUACAACCAGUUCAUGGAGAAUGUCAUCUACGAGGGUAGGUAUGGUGAUGCCUACGAUCCCGAGAAGACCCAAAGUCAGGAUGGCCGCGACCAGUACGUUGCCGAUGAAGACAUUGAGGCCCACGACCAUGCUGACUAUGACCAUGGUGACUCGUGGCAUGAAGAUGAUGACAUCUAUUGCGAAGGUAAUGGUGAUGAAGAAGAAGAAGGCACUGAUAUUGGGGGCGAGCCAUUGUCAUCGAUGAGCUCACCCAAAGAGCGGAAGCACAAAAGAGGAAGAAGAGCAUUCGUACGGAAUCAUACUUACAAGAGGAGGACAAGUUGAUUUGCCAAAGUUGGAUGGAGGUUGGCCAAGAUCCGGGGACCGGUGCGCAACAAAAGGGACUUGUUUUUUGGACAAGAGUUCACAAAACAUUCCAUGAAAGAAAUUCGUUUGCGCCCAACCAAUUUACGAGCGACUGUGGCAUCACCUCGAUUCAAAAGAGGUGGUUGUUCAUCCAACAAGAAUACAACAAGAAUUGUGCCGCACUUGAGAGCAUUGAAGCACGUCCCGUGAGUGGUCUCAGCAUUGGGGACAUGGUAUGCUCUCUUAUCUUCCGUUGCUACGUCCAUGAGACUUCGGCCUUUUAUAUGUUUGCAUGUCCGAUUGUUGUUGAUCGUGUAGGCAUUUCAAUCUUUGGAAGCAUUCAAGGCCUGGCACAAUGACAAGCCAUUCACACUUACGCAUUGUUGGAAGUUCGUCAACAAUUGCCCUAAGUUCAAAGAUCAAUACUGUGAACUUCAAAGAAAGAGAGGCAAGAAGACGGCCGCGUUGGUCGGAGGUGGAGAUGGUGAGGCGUUGAAGAGGCCGAGGGGUAAGACCAACUCCAAGAUGGACGACAUACGUGAUGCGUCAUCCAUGGCCUUGCAUUAGACUUUGCACGCCAUGAUGUCUCAAAAGGAUGUGAAAGACGAGAAAAGGCGACAAAGCAAGGAGGAGCAAAUGAAGCAAUACCUGAAGCUUCAAAUAAAGAAGCUUGAGAUGGAGGAAGCGGCCAAGAAGAGGAAGAUCGACAUGGAGGAGGCGUCCCGGCAGAGACAACUCGACAUCGAAGCCGCCAAUGCCUCGGCCAGGCAGAGGCAGCUCGACAUCGAGGCCGCCAAUGCCGCAACCAAAGCAAAGGAGGUGACGCUAGCGAUCAUGAGCAUGGACUUGAGCAAGAUGACCGAGAAGACGAGGAGCUAGUUCGAGGCCCGGAAGAAGGAGAUGUUCGACGCGGCGGCCUGAACUAGGUGAUCUAUUCGGCCGUGGCCGUUCUUUUUGGAGGCUGGCAUGGGUGCCGGGCGUUGACUUUGUGCCGGCGAGAAACCUAUUCAUUUUGAAGGUUGGUUGUGUUGCCGGCGACAAAACUAUUCAUUUUGGAGGCUGGUUGUGUUGCCGGCGAGGUUGUGUAGGCGGGUUGUGUUGCCGGCGUGAACUAGGGCCGCUGGCAUGAACUAUGUGCGUGGUUUAUUCGAAAUUUUACAUUUGAAAAAGAAGGCGGACAGGAUGCGGCCAAAGGAUGCGUUCGCGCGUUGUGCACAAGGCCCCCGCAUCUCAGAUAUAGCCCGAACACGAUCCCAUUGCCCGCGCCAAACGGACAAAAUCCGGACCAAACGAACGUCCGUUUAGGGUCAUACGCAGGAGUUGGCCUCACCACCCACGAGCCGAUGAAGCCUCCGGCCCCGGUGACGCAGACCAGCUCCUGCUCCGGCCGCCGCUGCUUCAUCUCGCCGUUGUCGGUGGCCUUGUUAAUCGACGGCAUGGUGAAUCGGUGUUUGAUGACCAGGGUGGUCGAUCAAUAUGUGGAUGUUGAAGCAAGAUUGCUAGUCGGCUAACUGCACGGGCUAGCUAGUACAGUAGUACUGUACCAAACUGCCUUUGCUUGCUGCUUGCUGUUGAUGAUGAUCUGUAGGUCGAGCUUGUGUGUUCUGUAUCCGGUUAACGUGCUCCACUAUUUAUACUGGAAAGCAAGCGCGAAACAACACAACGAGACUGUGUGUUUGCGAGGCAGGUCUGGCACGAGAUGGGCUUGAGGACAGGGGUGCAUGACAUAGAGCCACUCCAGGAUGAAUCUUUGAGCGCCUGGUGCUUGAGGCAGGACCAAUGUCCGGCACAUUGCAGAUCUUUCAGGGCUAAAUGCAUCCUGGUCUUAUAGAUAAUUUGGAAGUAUCGAAAUGACAUCGUGUUCAACGGGGCAUCGGUAUCUCUGCCACGAGUCAAGGAGCGGCUCCAGGACGAAGGGAAGCUUUGGGCCAAGGCUGGACUGUUCAAGGAGGACACUAAAGGUUUUGAGGAGCACGGUAGUAGGCAGACGGAGCGUGAGUAGUACGCCCUAGUGUACUGGCGGAGUUCAGGCGUGUGCCAUGUAAAUAUUAUAGCCCGUGUGGAUGCUUGGGAGUCUUUCCCAUCCUCUCUUUAAUGAAUGAUACGCACACUCGUGCGUAUUUAAAAAAAAAAACACAACGACACUGCGGUGCAAUACUACCUGGACUGGACUGGAGUGCGUGAGCGGAAAGGUAAGGGGAGGCUCGUCUCCCGGCUGCAGCUCGUUUUGUUUAUGGAGUGAUGCAGCCAUCCAGCGACUGAAUAUUCAGCGGCGUGACCCGACGGGUGGGUUUGGGGCUCAGCCGACAUAGGACUAGGAGCACGGCAGAUUCCGUUUCCGCGAAGCGAAUCCUUCGUGAUGCCAUGGAAAGGUCCACGACCUUGCGCGUCAUCGUCGCAUGACAAAAGCUAUGAUGGUUUUCUCCGUGCUGCAUAUACCAUUGAAAUGUCUUGGAUUUGAGUUGACUUCCCUUCAGGUAAAGGUGUCUCGUAAUGGGUCUAACUUUAUUAACUCUUUAAAGUCGAAUAUUGUCUUUGGAGGCCGAGCUCCAUGUAACUCGGUUUUGAAAAUUUUGAAUUUUAUCAAAUUUCAUAUUUCUUACAUUUCAAAAAUUUCUGUAAAAAACACAUGUAUACAUGAAGGCUUAACACACAUGUGUGUAAAUUUUCAGGGCAAAAUACGUUGAAACGAAGGCUGUGCAAAAAAGAAAAAUCUGAUACUUUUUAACACAUGAUACUAUUUAUCCUCCCAGGCUAUGAAUUUGUCUUUUUUUGUACAGAUCGCAUUUCAAUAUUUGUCUUUUUAACACAUGAUAUUUUUCAGAUUUUUUCGAAACCGAAAAAAUUGAAUUUUGAUUUGUUUUCAAAAGAAGGCCUCCACGGAGGCCAAGAGCCAAACGUCUGUUCUCCUUUAAAGUGUCCUUUGUUUGCUGAAAGAACCACUGAAGAAGCUAUCUGCAGCCUAAGAUAUAAGCUUCUGAAAUGAAAUUGUGAGUGCCGUCAUCUAUGAGGUACACGAGGAAAUCAUCAACAAAAGACUUUGUAGUCAUCUGUCUCUUGCUAUUAACAUACUUUGCCUCAGUUUCCAAAAAAAGGGGUUUACACUUGCAGAAAGACACAAUUCUUUGAUGAAUCCCAAAAAAUCCCAACUCCUUCUCCAGAAGAGGUCCUCUUCUUCUCCUCCUGCUUUGCUCUGUUUAUCAUUUUGAACCAAAAUGACAUCAUCAUCAUUCAUUACAUAAAUAGUACUCUCUAAGUUUACAAAUACAAAGUGUUUUGAAUAUUUCAAUAUGGACCAUAUACGGACUAAAAUUAGUGAACAAACACAUUAAAAUUUGUCUAUAUACAUCCGAUUCAUCAAAAAAAUUGAACAUCUUAAAUUUGUGACAGGAGGAAGUAAUAUUUACAUGAUACAUUUUAUACUUAUAGAAAUAUACAAUUCCAUGUUGAAUCUAAAAAUCUUGGUUUCUUGUUAAUCUUCUUCUUUCGUUCCUCUUUGCACUGUUUAUUUCAUCAGAUAGACUUGUCCCUUGUUCUGUUAGGGCAUCUCCAGCCGCGCCCACAACAGGCCCCCCCCCACCACUUUUUCGGCGCCGGCGCCGAAAAAACAGCCCAGUCGCGCCCCCAGGAUGCCGAAAAUCGCCGGUUCGGACCCUUUUUCCGCCCGGCGGUCACAGGCCGAACCCGGCGCGCUGGGGGGCAGUUGGGGGCUUCGGCGCUAGCGAAAAGUGAAGGAAAUAUGCCCUAGAGGCAAUAAUAAAGUUAUUAUUUAUUUCCUUAUUUCAUGAUAAAUGUUUAUUAUUCAUGCUAAAAUUGUAUUAACCGGAAACAUAAUACAUGUGUGAAUACAUAGACAAACAAAGUGUCACUAGUAUGCCUCUACUUGACUAGCUUGUUAAUCAAAGAUGGUUAUGUUUCCUAACCAUAGACAUGUGUUGUCAUUUGAUUAACGGGAUCACAUCAUUAGGAGAAUGAUGUGAUUGACAUGACCCAUUCCAUUAGCUUAGCACCCGAUCGUCUAAUAUGUUGCUAUUGCUUUCUUCAUGACUUAUACAUGUUCCUAUGACUAUGAGAUUAUGCAACUCCCAUUUGCCGGAGGAACACUUUGUGUGCUACCAAACGUCACAACGUAACUGGGUGAUUAUAAAGGAGCUCUACAGGUGUCUCCAAAGGUACUUGUUGGGUUGGCGUAUUUCGAGAUUAGGAUUUGUCACUCCGAAUGUCGGAGAGGUAUCUCUGAACCCUCUCGGUAAUGCACAUCACAUAAGCCUUGCAAGCAUUACAACUAAUGUGUUAGUUGUGAGAUGAUGUAUUAUGGAACGAGUAAAGAGACUUGCCGAUAACGAGAUUGAACUAGGUAUUGGAUACCGAAGAUCGAAUCUCGGGCAAGUAACAUACCGAUGACAAAGGGAAUAACGUAUGUUGUUAUGCGCUCUGACCGAUAAAGAUCUUCGUAGAAUAUGUAGGAGCCAAUAUGGGCAUCCAGGUCCCGCUAUUGGUUAUUGACCAGAGACGUAUCUCGAUCAUGUCUACAUUGUUCUCGAACCAUAGGGUCCGCACGCUUAACGUUACGAUGACAGUUAUUAUGAGUUUAUGUAUUUUGAUGUACCGAAGGUUGUUCGAAGUCCCGGAUGUGAUCAUGGACAUGACGAGGAGUCUCGAAAUGGUCGAGACAUAAAGAUCGAUAUAUUGGACGACUAUAUUCGGACACCGGAAUUGUUCCGGGUGAUUUCGGAUAAAACCGGAGUGCCGGAGGGGUUACCGGAACCCCCCGCGGAAGUAAUGGGCCUUAUUGGGCCUGAGGGGAGAGAGAGGGCAGCAGCCCAGGAGGUGGCGCGCCCCCCCUCAUGGGGAGUCCGAAUAGGACUAGGAGGGGGGGGGGGGCGGCCCCCUUUCCCUCUCCCUCUCCCUCUCUUUCCUUCCCCCUCCCUAUUCCUAGUUCGACUAGGAAAGAGGAGUCCUACUCCCACUAGGAGGAGGACUCCCCCCUCUCCUUGGCGCACCCAAGGGCCGGCCGGCCUCCCCCUUGCUCCUUUAUAUACGGGGGCAGGGGGGCACCCUAGGACACACAAGUUGAUCUUCGUGAUCGUUCCUUAACCGUGUGCGGUGCCCCCCUCCACGAUAUUACACCUUGAUCAUAUUGUAGCGGUGCUUAGGCGAAGCCCUGUGACGGUUAAACAUCAAGAUCGUCACCAUGCCGUCGUGCUGACGAAACUCCUCCCCGAAGCUUUGCUGGAUCGGAGCCCGGGGUGCGUCAUCGAGCUGUACGUGUGUCAAGAACUCGGAGGUGCCGGAGUAACGGUGCUUGGGUCGGUUGGACGGGGAAGACGUACGACUACUUCCUCUACGUUGCGUCAACGCUUCCGCUUCGGUCUACGAGGGUACGUAGACAACACUCUCCCCUCUCGUUGCUAUGCAUCACCAUGAUCUUGCGUGUGCGUAGGAAUUUUUUUGAAAUUACUACGUUACCCAACAGUGGCAUCCGAGCCUAGGUUUUAUGGUUUGAUGUUAUAUGCACGAGUAGAACACAAGUGAGUUGUGGGCGAUAUAAGUCAUACUACCUACCAGCAUGUCAUACUUUGGUUCGGCGGUAUUGUUGGAUGAAGCGGCCCGGACCGACAUUACGCGUACGCUUACGCGAGACCGGUUCUCCCGACGUGCUUUGCACAUAGGUGGCUUGCGGGUGACUAUUUCUCCAACUUUAGUUGAACCGAGUGUGACUACGCCCGGUCCUUGCGAAGGUUAAAACGGCAUCAACUUGACAAACUAUCGUUGUGGUUUUGAUGCGUAGGUAAGAUUGGUUCUUGCUUAAGCCCGUAGCAGCCACGUAAAACUUGCAACAACAAAGUAGAGGACGUCUAACUUGUUUUUGUAGGGCAUGUUGUGAUGUGAUAUGGUCAAGACAUGAUGCUUAUUGUAUGAGAUGAUCAUGUUUUGUAACCAAGUUAUCGGCAACUGGCAGGAGCCAUAUGAUUGUCGCUUUAUUGUAUGCAAUACAAUUGCGCUGUAAUGCUUUACUUUAUCACUAAGCGGUAGCGAUAGUCGUGGAAGCAUAAGAUUGGCGAGACGACAACGAUGCUACGAUGGAGAUCAAGGUGUCGCGUCGGUGACGAUGGUGAUCAUGACGGUUCUUCGAAGAUGGAGAUCACAAGCACAAGAUGAUGGUGGCCAUAUCAUAUCACUUAUAUUGAUUGCAUGUGAUGUUUAUCUUUUAUGCAUCUUAUCUUGCUUUGAUUGACGGUGGCAUUUUAAGAUGAUCUCUCACUAAUUAUCAAGAAGUGUUCUCCCUGAGUAUGCACCGUUGCAAAAGUUCUUCGUGCUGAGACACCACGUGAUGAUCGGGUGUGAUAGGCUCUACGUUCAAAUACAACGGGUGCAAAACAGUUGCACACGCGGAAUACUCAGGUUAUACUUGACGAGCCAAGCAUAUACAGGUAUGGCCUCGGAACACGGAGACCGAAAGGUCGAGCGUGAAUUGAAUCAUAUAGUAGAUAUGAUCAACAUGGUGAUGUUCACCAAUGAAACUGCUCCAUCUCACGUGAUGAUCGGACAUGGUUUAGUUGAUUUGGAUCACGUGAUCACUUAGAGGAUUAGAGGGAUGUCUAUCUAAGUGGGAGUUCUUAAGUAAUAUGAUUAAUUGAACUUAAAUUUAUCAUGAACUUAGUCCUGGUAGUAUUUUGCAAAUAAUGUUGUAAAUCAAUAGCUCGCGUUGUUGCUUCCCUGUGUUUAUUUUGAUAUGUUCCUAGAGAAAAUUGUGUUGAAAGAUGUUAGUAGCAAUGAUGCGGAUUGGAUCCGUGAUCUGAUGUUUAUCCUCAUUGCUGCACAGAAAAAUUAUGUCCUUGAUGCACCGCUAGGUGACGGACCUAUUGCAGGAGCAGAUGCAUACGCUAUGAACAUUUGGCUAGCUCAAUAUGAUGACUAAUUGAUAGUUUAGUGCACCAUGCUUAAUGGCUUAGAAUCAGGACUUCAAAGACGUUUUGAACACCAUGGAACAUAUGAGAUGUUCCAGGAGUUGAAGUUAAUAUUUCAAGCAAAUAACCGAGUUGAGAGAUAUGAAGUCUCCAACAAGUUCUAUAGCUAAAAGAUGGAGGAGAAUCGCUCAACUAGUGAGCAUGUGCCCAGAUUGUCUGAGUACUACAAUCGCUUGAAUCAAGUGGGAGUUAAUCUUCCAGAUAAGAUAGUGAUUGACAGAAUUCUCUAGUCACCAUCACCAAGUUAGUAGAACUUUUUGAUGAACUAUGAUAUGCAAGGGAUAACAGAAACGAUUCCCAAGCUCUUCGUAAUGCAGAAAUUGAUGAAGGUAGAAAUCAAGAAAAACAUCAAGUGUUGAUGGUAGACAAGACCACUAGUUUCAAGAAAAGGGCAGAGGGAAGAAGGGGAACUUCAAAAAGAACAGCAAGUAAGUUGCUGCUCAAGUGAAGAAGCCCAAGUCUGAUCCUAAGCCUGAGACUAAGUGCUUCUACUGCAAAGGGACUGGUCACUAGAAGCGGAACUACCCCAAGUGAUUGGCAGAUAAGAAGGAUGGCAAAGUGAACAUAAGUAUAUUUGAUAUACAUGUUAUUGAUGUGUACUUUACUAGUGUUUAUAGCAACCCCUCAGUAUUUGAUACUAGUUCAGUUGCUAAGAUUAGUAACUUGAAACGGGAGUUGCAGAAUAAAGACUAGUUAAGGGGGAAGUGACGAUGUGUGUUGGAAGUGGUUCCAAGAUUGAUAUGAUCAUCAUCGCACACUCCCCUAUACUUUCGGGAUUAGUGUUGAACCUAAAUAAGUGUUAUUUGGUGUUUGCGUUGAGCAUGAAUAUGAUUUGAUCAUGUUUAUUGCAAUACGGUUAUUCAUUUAAGUAACAGAAUAAAUUGUUGUUCUAUUUACAUGAAUAAAACCUUAUAUGGUUACACACCCAAUGAAAAUGGUUCGUUGGAUCUCGAUCAUAGUGAUACACAUAUUCAUAAUAUUGAAACCAAAAGAUGCAAAGUUAAUAAUGAUAGUGCAACUUAUUUGUGGCACUCCCGUUUAUGUCAUAUUGGUGUAAAGUGCAUGAAGAAACUCCAUGCUGAUGGGCUUAUGGAAUCACUUGAUUAUGAAUCACUUGAUGCUUGCGAACCAUGCCUCAUGGGCAAGAUGACUAAGACUCCGUUCUCCGGAACAAUGGAGCGAGCAACUGACUUAUUGGAAAUAAUACAUGCUGAUGUAUGCAAUCCGAUGAGUGUUAAGGCUCGCGGCGGGUAUCGUUAUUUUCUGACCUUCACAGAUGAUUUGAGCAGAUAUGGGUAUAUCUACUUGAUGAAACAUAAGUCUGAAACAUUUGAAAAGUUCAAAGAAAUUCAGAGUGAAGUGGAAAAUCAUCGUGACAAGAAAAUAAGGUUUUUACGAUCUGAUCGUGGAGACAAAUAUUUGAGUUAUGAGUCUGGUCUUCAAUUAAAACAAUGUGGAAUAGUUUCACAAACUCAUGCCACCUGGAACACCACAGCAUAAUGGUGUGUCCGAACAUCAUAACCGUACUUUAUUGGAUAUAGUACAAUCUAUGAUGUUUCUUAUCGAUUUACCAAUAUCGUUUUGGGAUCAUGCAUUAGAGACAGCUGCAUUCACGUUAAAAAGGGGCACCAUCUAAGUCCGUUGAGACGACACAAUAUGAACUAUGGUUUGGCAAGAAACCAAAGUUGUCGUUUCUUAAAGUUUGGGGUUGCGAUUCUUAUAAGAAAAAGUUUCAUCAUGAUAAGCUCAAACCCAAAUCGGAGAAAUGUGUCUUCAUAGGAUACCCAAAGGAGACAGAUGGGUACACCUUGUAUCACAGAUCCAAAGGCAAGACAUUCGUUGGUGAGAAUGGAUACUUUCUAGAGAAGGAGUUUCUCUCGAAAGAAGUGAGUGGGAGGAAAGUAGAACUUGAUGAGGUAACUAUACAUGCUCCCUUAUUGGAAAGUAGUUCAUCACAGAAACCGGUUUCUGUGACACCUGCACCAAUUAGUGAGGAAGUUGAUGAUGAUGAUCAUGUAACUUCGGAUCAAGUUACUACCAAACCUCGUAGGGCAACCAGAAUGAGAUCCGCACUAGAGUGGUACGGUAAUCCUAUUCUAGAGGUCAUGUUACUUGACCAUGACGAACCUACAAACUAUGAGGAAGCGAUGAUGAGCCCAGAUUCCGAUAAAUGGCUUGAGGCCAUGAAAUCUGAGAUAGGAUCCAUGUAUGAGAACAAAGUGUGGACUUUGGUGGACUUCCCCGAUGAUCGAAUAGCCAUUGAUAAUAAAUGGAUCUUCAAGAGGAAGACGGACACUGAUAGUAGUGUUACUAUCUACAAAGCUAGAAUUGUCGCAAAAGUUUUCGACAAGUUCAAGGUGUUGACUAUGAUGAGAGUUCCUCACUCGUAUCUAUGCUUAAGUCUGUCCGAAUCAUGUUAGCAAUUGCCGCAUUUUAUGAAAUCUGGCAAAUGGAUAAACAAAACUGCAUUCCUUAAUGGAUUUAUUAAAGAAGAGUUGUAUGUGAUGCAACAAGAAGGUUUUGUCAAUCCGAAAGAUACUAACAAAAUAUGCAAGCUCCAGCGAUCCAUUUAUGGACUGGUGCAAGCAUCUCGGAGUUGGAAUAUACGCUUUGAUAAGUUGAUCAAAGCAUAUAGUUUUAUACAGACUUGCGGUGAAGCCUGUAUUUACUAGAAAGUGAGUGGGAGCACUACAACAUUUCUGAUAAGUAUAUGUGAAUGACAUAUUGUUGAUCAGAGAUAAUGUAGAAUUAUUCUGCAAAGCAUAAAGGAGUGUUUGAAAGGAGUUUUUCAAAGAAAGACCUCGGUGAAGCUUCUUACAUAUUGAGCAUCAAAGAUCUAUGGAGAUAGAUCAAGACGCUUGAUAAGUUUUUUCAAUGAGUCCAUACCUUGACAAGAUUUUGAAGUAGUUCAAAAUGGAACAGUCAAAGAAAGAGUUCUUUCCUGUGUUACAAGGGGUGAAAUUGAGUAAGACUCAAAGCCCGACCACGGCAGAAGAUAGAAAGAGAAUGAAAGUCAUUCCCUAUGCCUUGGCCAUAGGUUCUAUAAAGUAUGCCAUGCUGUGUACCAGAUCUAUUGUAUACCCUACACUGAUUUUGGCAAGGGAGUACAAUAGUGAUCUAGGAGUAGAUCACUGGACAGUGGUCAAAAUUAUCCUUAGUGGAAUAAGGAUAUGUUUCUCGAUUAUGGAGGUGACAAAAAAAAGGUUCGUCGUAAAGGGUUACAUCGAUGCAAGUUUUGACACUAAUCUAGCUGACUCUAAGUCUCGAUCUAGAUACAUAUUGAAAGUGGGAGCAAUUAGCUAGAGUAGCUCCGUGCAGAGCAUUGUUGAUAUAGAUAUUUGCAAAAUACUUACGGAUCUGAAUAUGACAGACCCGUUGACUAAAAUUAUCUCACAAACAAAACAUGAUCACACCUUAGUACUCUUUGGGUGUUAAUCACAUAGAGAUGUGAACUAGAUUACUGACUCUAGUAAACCCUUUGAGUGUUGGUCACAUGAUGAUGUGAACUAUGGGUGUUAAUCACAUGAUGAUGUGAACUAUUGCAAUUAAAUCACAUGGCGAUGUGAACUAGAUUAUUGACUCUAGUGCAAGUGGGAGACUGAAGGAAAUAUGACCUAGAGGCAAUAAUAAAGUUAUUAUUUAUUUCCUUAUUUCAUGAUAAAUGUUUAUUAUUCAUGCUAAAAUUGUAUUAACCGGAAACGUAAUACAUGUGUGAAUACAUAGACAAACAAAGUGUCACUAGUAUGCCUCUACUUGACUAGAUCGUUAAUCAAAGAUGGUUAUGUUUCCUAACCAUAGACAUGUGUUGUCAUUUGAUUAACGGGAUCACAUCAUUAGGAGAGUGAUGUGAUUGACAUGACCCAUUCCAUUAGCUUAGCACCCGAUCGUUUAGUAUGUUGCUAUUGCUUUCUUCAUGACUUAUACAUGUUCCUAUGACUAUGAGAUUAUGCAACUCCCGUUUGCCGGAGGAACACUUUGUGUGCUACCAAACGUCACAACGUAACUGGGUGAUUAUAAAGGAGCUCUACAGGUGUCUCCAAAGGUACUUGUUGGGUUGGCGUAUUUCGAGAUUAGGAUUUGUCACUCCGAAUGUCGGAGAGGUAUCUCUGGGCCCUCUCGGUAAUGCACAUCACAUAAGCCUUGCAAGCAUUACAACUAAUGUGUUAGUUGUGAGAUGAUGUAUUACGGAACGAGUAAAGAGACUUGCCGAUAACGAGAUUGAACUAGGUAUUGGAUACCGAAGAUCGAAUCUCGGGCAAGUAACAUACCGAUGACAAAGGGAACAACGUAUGUUGUUAUGCGCUCUGACCGAUAAAGAUCUUCGUAGAAUAUGUAGGAGCCAAUAUGGGCAUCUAGGUCCCGCUAUUGGUUAUUGACCGGAGAUGUAUCUCGAUCAUGUCUACAUUGUUCUCGAACCGUAGGGUCCGCACGCUUAACGUUACGAUGACAGUUAUUAUGAGUUUAUGUAUUUUGAUGUACCGAAGGUUGUUCGAAGUCCCGGAUGUGACCAUGGACAUGACGAGGAGUCUCGAAAUGGUCGAGACAUAAAGAUCGAUAUAUUGGACGACUAUAUUCGGACACCGGAAUUGUUCCGGGUGAUUUCGGAUAAAACCGGAGUGCCGGAGGGGUUACCGGAACCCCCCGGGGAAGUAAUGGGCCUUAUUGGGCCUGAGGGGAGAGAGAGGGCAGCAGCCCAGGAGGUGGCGCGCCCCCCUUAUGGGGAGUCCGAAUAGGACUAGGGGGGGGGGGCGGGCCCCCUUUCCCUCUCCCUCUCCCUCUCUUUCCUUCCCCCUCCCUAUUCCUAGUUGGACUAGGAAAGGGGAGUCCUACUCCCACUAGGAGGAGGACACCCCCCUCUCCUUGGCGCACCCAAGGGCCGGCCAGCCUCCCCCUUGCUCCUUUAUAUACGGGGGCAGGGGGGCACCCUAGGACACACAAGUUGAUCUUCGUGAUCAUUCCUUAGCCGUGUGUGGUGCCCCCUCCACGAUAUUACACCUCGAUCAUAUUGUAGCGUUUCUUAGGCGAAUCCCUGCGACGGUUAAACAUCAAGAUCGUCACCACGCCGUCGUGCUAACGAAACUCCUCCCCGAAGCUUUGCUGGAUCGGAGCCCAGGGUGCGUCAUCGAGCUGUACGUGUGUCAAGAACUCGGAGGUGCCGGAGUAACGGUGCUUGGAUCGGUUGGACCGGGAAGACGUACGACUACUUCCUCUACGUUGCGUCAACGCUUUCGCUUUGGUCUACGAGGGUACGUAGACAACACUCUCCCCUCUCGUUGCUAUGCAUCACCAUGAUCUUGCGUGUGCGUAGGAAUUUUUUUGAAAUUACUACGUUACCCAACAAAAAGCACGCCUGGCCCACACCGAGAGGGGAAAAGUCAAGGUUUUCUUCCCCCGACUCGCCUCGCACCCCUCGCGCCCUCGGCCACCACUAGCUAUAUCCCGGCGACGGCCGCCGCCCUACUCCGCUAGAUAGCCAUUCCCCGCCGGAAAAUAGCAGCGCUUCACCGCGGCAGCCCCUCCCACAGCAGCUGGGCGUUUCUGGCCGCCGUUUCCGGCCGCGGAGGCGCGGUUUAGCGGCGGGUACACGCCCACCGAGCGCAAGGUGUUCGGCGUUUUGCCUGACUAGGCAAUGGACUCGGAUGACGAGGAAGAGCUCGCCGCGCUGCUGCAGGAGGAAGCCGCGGCCGACGUCCAGGAAGAAGAGCAUCUCAUGGUGCUCGCCGCCCUCGCCCAGCUGCUGGCGAGCAAUGAAAAGCCGCGGCAAGGUGGCUCGGCGCCGGGGCGGGUGAAAGCAAAGAAUCGGCAUCGUCUCGAAGGCUACUGCAUGUUCUACUCCGACUACUUCGCCGAUGCUCCAGUUCAUGGCGGGAAAACAUUUCGGCGCCGUUAUCGGAUGAGCCGAAAGCUCUUCCUCAGGAUUGUGAAUUCCAUCUGGGAGUUCGACAACUACUUCAAGUGCAAGAUGGAUUGGACUGGCGCUCUUGGAUUCACAUCCAUCCAGAAGUGCAUGACAGCGAUGAGGAUGCUUGCAUAUGGAGCUCCCAGUGAUUCACUCAACGACUAUGGGCGCAUGGCUGAGUCCACCAUCAUAGAGUGUUUCUACAAGUUCUGUCGGGCAGUGGUGGCAGUGUUUGGGCCACAAUACUUGAGAACACCCAAUGCGGAAGACACUGCUCGGAUCCUAGCCUAGAAUGCAGCAAGAGGAUUUCCUGGGAUGCUUGGAAGCAUCGACUGCAUGCAUUGGAAAUGGAAGAAUUACCCAUUUGGUUGGCAGGGGAUGUACAAAGGCGCCAAAGGCGGUUGCAGUGUGGUGCUUGAGGCGGUAGCCACACAGGACCUCUGGAUUUGGCACUCGUUCUUUGGUAUGCCAGGAACUCACAAUGACAUCAACGUGCUGUAGUGCUCUCCUGUUUUUGCCAAGCUCGUUGAGGGCAAUUCUCCUUCGGUGAACUUCGAGAUCAAUGGGCACCAAUACAACAAGGGGUACUACCUAGCAGAUGGCAUCUAUCCGAGAUGGUCGACAUUUGUGAAGACGAUCUCAAACCCUGCGGCAGGAGGCAAGAACGCCUGGUUUGCGAAAGUUCAUGAGGCUUGCAGGAAGGAUGUCGAGCGGGCAUUUGGUGUGCUCCAAUCUCGAUUCGCUGUUGUUCGGUACCCCGCUCAGACCUGGUCCAAAGAUCAAAUGUGGGAGAUUAUGACUUGCUGUGUCAUCUUGCACAACAUGAUCAUCGAGAGCGAGCAAGAAGAGCCAGUGUUUGACACUGAACCAUACUACAGGCAGGGGCCUCUAGCUGAAGUUGAUCACAAUCUACCGGCAACUUGGACUGCCUAUCUCAGUAUGCGUCAGGAGAUCCGAGACCCACAGGUGCAUCAUCAACUGCAGAAAGAUCUGAUUGAGCACCUAUGGAGGCUCAAGGGGGACGCCGUGUGAUGAAAUACGAGUUUUUAUUUGUUGAACUAUAUAAUUUGUAUUGAACUAUUUGUUGUUGUACUAUUUUGUUGAAGUAUUUGAUUUUUCUGUGAUGAAAUAUGUGAUAAGAAAUAAUUGUGUUGAUAAUUGAACGCCGAGACACGGCGAAACCACGCCGAAUAUGGGCCUAUUAUCGCCCACAUGGGCCCUUUAUUCGCCGAAAUUAGGCUGCAAAGUGGGCCAAUUUCGGCGCCUGGGGACGACGACUGGGCGCAAAACCGCCCCCAGCGCCGAUUGUAUCGCCGGCUCGCCCCCAGGGGGCGAUUUUUAUGCGUCCUGGGGGGGGGGGCAAUGGCUGGAGAUGCCCUUACAAGUAGGCACACUUUGGCGCCAGGGGAUCAACGGGCAGAGGCAGGUGGCCCUUUUUCUGCAAGCACGUCACCCUCUCGUACAAACUUUCCCUCACUGGAGUGAACUCCAAUCCCAGGUCCGUGAGCCUCCGGUUGGAGAACUUGUAGGGCUUCGCCAUUGGCUUGCCAUCGUCUUCACACCUGCCAUGCCACCCCAACAAAAUCCACCAUGAGCAACCAAUCAAAUAGGUUGAAAUAUAAGGUCAAUCGAUAUGGCCAUCAAUUAUCAUAUGUACUUGGCGGUGAUGUGGUACUGCGAAAAGAGCUCGCUGAGGAGCUGGAGGAAGUGUGUGCGAUGCAGCACAGCGCCGAUGCAGAGGUAGCGGCCGCAAGCCUCGGGAUGCUCAUAGACAAGGACGUGGGCGUGGGUGACGUCGUGGACGUCGGUGUAGGUGGCGACGGCGUUGGGGUAGGUGGGCUCGGCGCCGGUGAGGUAGCGGGCUACGUGGUUGCUGCUGAAGUUGAGCGCCGGCUGUAGCAUGGGGCCCAUGGUCAUGGACGGCACCACCACCGCCAGCUCCAACCCCCUCUUGGCUGCCUCCUCCGUCGCCGUGAUCUCCGCCAUCAUCUUCGCGCAACAGCAGUGGCGGAGCUUGGGCCAAAAUUCUGGAGGGGCAAUGGGCUGAGGGGGGGCUAAAUUAUGAGGUCUGGCCUUAUUUUCCUAUUCUUAUGGCCCAAAUACCUAGGGGUAGUGAGGGAUUUCUUCAUGGGCUGGGGGGGCGGUGGCCCAGGUUGCACUCCAAGAAGCUCCGCCACUGCGCAACAGUACACGUUCUGCAAUGCACACGGAGAUUAGUAAGUUCAGUUCAGUCGUGACGGGCAGAGCAGAGGAUCCAGGGGGAAAUGAGCUUGUUCUUACGCCUGUGCUUUUGCAGAAGUCAUAGUCACUCCAACAGGUCUCGUCGAGCACGGUGUCGGGGCUGCGGUUAGGGUCCAUGUGCACGGCGCCGUAGGACGACGUGAACACCACACGCCGCACGUCGGCGUCCGCGGCCGCGCUGAUCACGUUCCUGGUGCCCUCUACGGUGACCGGCACGAGGUCCUGCAAAACCAGCAGCACAUGUAGAUGUAGCAGGUAAGUACGCGGCCCUUGCAGAAAGCCCGAAACUUCGAGAAGUAAGCAGAGUAGAGGAAGUGAACUGGCGGGGUCGUUGGAUACUGACGAGGCAACGUGGAAGACGCCCUUGCAGCCGCGGAAGGCGGCGCGGAGGCCGUCGUAGUCGAGGACAUUGGCGCGGCACAGGGUGAGCCUCUCAUGGGCACCCUGCAGGGCCAGCAGCUGUGCGUUCUUGCGGUCAGAUGCAGAAACCACUCCAGCAUUAGAUGUGCUACAGAAUUGAGCAAGAUCGAUCAUGGAGCAACGCACGGUGUAAGUAAACUAUGACUUACCGAGGUCCCUGGCAGUUCCCCUGACGCGGUAGCCACGGAGGAGGAGCUCCUUCACCACCCACGAGCCGAUGAAGCCUCCCGCGCCCGUGACGCAGACCAGCUCCUGCUCCGGCUGCCUCUGCUUUAGCUCACCGUUGUCGGUGGCCUUGUCAAUCGACGGCAUAGUGGAUUAGUGUCUGGUGACCACGGUGGUCAGCCGAUGUGUGGAUGCAAGCUUGCUUCUUAGAGCAUUUCUAGCCGUUCGCCCCCAGGGCGCCGAAAAAGAGCCGCCGCGAGAUUGGCUUCUGAGGGCGACCUAGCUUCCAGUCGUCAGCCCACAGGUCGUCCCGGGUUCGGCGACGUUUCGUACAAAAUAUAUGAAAACUCGACGAUUUUUGCAUGAACUCGGCGAAACUUCAUUUAAAUUUGUACAAAAAACACGAACACAUGCAAACUACGCCUGAACCAUACCAAACUACGCCUAGCCGCCACCGUCGUCGUCUACAUGCCAAGAAGCCUGUAGAAGCGGAUGUAGUCGCUGCCGUCGUCAUUGUCAUCGUCGUCGCGCGGCUGGCUUAGGACGGUGCCGUCCCUGCUGCAGCCCUGGCUCGAGUCGCCGAGGUGCGGUGGUGCGCUGGACGGCCCGGCCUCGCCCUCCUCGUUGCUGUCGAGGACGAUGACGCCGCCCUCCUCACGACCGCGGCAACGGGCCUGGAGCUCCGUGUACGUCCGGCGCUGGCGGCCUACCUGCUCCCAGACAUAGUCCUCCUUCGCCCACUUGAGUGCAGACUCGUCGUCGGGGGCCACCAUUUCGACGUGCUCCGGUUUCAUCGGGAGACCGAGAAGGCCUCGUGUGUGUUGCAGCCCAACACCCUUCCAAUUUGGCCCAAAACCUCUUCCAUCGUCUAGAGCGUUCGAUCACGAUCGCGUGGCCGAAAACCGUGCUCAAUUUGGAGACUCCUAGCUCCUCCUACCUCUAUAUAAAGGCCUCUCCCCAAAAUUCCCGGAUCUCUUCUUCCCCAAACCCUAAAAAUUCGCCUCGCGCCGCGCCGGACNNNNNNNNNNNNNNNNNNNNNNNNNNNNNNNNNNNNNNNNNNNNNNNNNNNNNNNNNNNNNNNNNNNNNNNNNNNNNNNNNNNNNNNNNNNNNNNNNNNNNNNNNNNNNNNNNNNNNNNNNNNNNNNNNNNNNNNNNNNNNNNNNNNNNNNNNNNNNNNNNNNNNNNNNNNNNNNNNNNNNNNNNNNNNNNNNNNNNNNNNNNNNNNNNNNNNNNNNNNNNNNNNNNNNNNNNNNNNNNNNNNNNNNNNNNNNNNNNNNNNNNNNNNNNNNNNNNNNNNNNNNNNNNNNNNNNNNNNNNNNNNNNNNNNNNNNNNNNNNNNNNNNNNNNNNNNNNNNNNNNNNNNNNNNNNNNNNNNNNNNNNNNNNNNNNNNNNNNNNNNNNNNNNNNNNNNNNNNNNNNNNNNNNNNNNNNNNNNNNNNNNNNNNNNNNNNNNNNNNNNNNNNNNNNNNNNNNNNNNNNNNNNNNNNNNNNNNNNNNNNNNNNNNNNNNNNNNNACAGCUUCGGCGCCGCUCGGCCUCCUCCGACUCCGGUGCCGCCUCGCCGCCCUCCUCGUCGCCCGCGCCGCCCGGCCUCGUACGACUCCGGCCGCCGCACCGCACUUCCUCUUCGGCGACAGCCCCGGCCGGUGAACCUCGAAGUACGUGCUCAAGCGAGAUCCAGAUCUGGAUCUGGAUCUUCACGGUUGACUUUUCCCCCUCCAAACCCUAGCUAAUUUGCAUUUUUCCGCAUGCCAUAACUCUGCAUCCGUAGCUCCAAUUUGUGUGUGUAGCAUAUCGGAAUGUUCGUCUCGACGAGUACAUCAUUUCAUCUCAUUGCAUAAUUUUUAUUUGAGCUCAUCUUGUUGCCCGAAAUGCUGUUGGAAGAGGGCUAUGUGAGGAAUUUGUCAGAUCUAUUUCAGCAAAUAGCCUUUUGUCAUUAUUGCCAUGAUUAAUGUGUGCAUGAUAUGAUCCUGAGCUCUAGAUGUGUUUUGUUAUAUGCCAUGCCAUCUUUACAGAGGUGCUUGCCAUGUAUUUUUGUGAUAUUUGUGGUGACUAGCACAAGCUUGCAAAGUAGCGUAAUCGGUAAUGCUGAUUUCAGGGACUUAUAAUUCCUCUAAGUCCUUGUCCUGAUUUUGUUGUUAUGCCAUAUGUUCAUGUUGUUUCCUAGUGAUCCGUGCCUCUUUUGAGGAUGAUCAGUAAGGAUGUUUUGUUAACAUUGUGGUGCUCCGUCCAUCCAUGUCCUUGUUUUCAUUUAUGGAGCAACCUAGCUUGAGUCAAUCGAGCUCUACUUUUGCUAUAAAUUGAUCCUGGCAGAUUGUUGACAUGUUUAGCGAUUUUGCCGAGGAUGUUGCUAUUGAUCCGUGCAAGCUAUGUUGUUGUUCUUUCCAUGUCUAGCUCCUAUGCCAUGUCUUCUUUAUGGGUGUAUGCUUAGUUUGUCAUGCAAUGCUCUGUAGUGAGUGCAUGGAGCUCGUAAACAUGCCUACUCGUUAACUGAUUUGCAUGCUCCAGUUUUUCACCAAGUCUGAAUUUGUUUAUGUUUUUGCCAUGUUCACAUGCUUGCAAUUGUAUUUUCUGAUCCCUUUUGGCUCAAGGUCACUAAGGGACUUUUGUUUAGUGCUUUGAGUAGCUUCAUGCCAUGCCUUGUUUUGCCAUGUUAAGUUCCUGUAGCAUGUAGUUUUCAUGCUCUAAAGUGUGCUUCCUGAUGAUAAAUUCUAGACUUGUGUUAAUUUCACAAAGUCUGAAACCUGUUAUCAUUUGCUUUUUUGCCAUGCUUGUUUGAACCUGUUAAUGGAUGAAUUAGCCGUAGCUCAGUGUUCAUCUUUUGUCAAGAUUUAUGAGUGGAUCCCUGCCAUGUAUCUUGUUGUCAUGUUUGAGUGAUGUAGCAUGUUUAUCUUGAUGCAUUUAGUUGGUCACUUGCUGAUUAUCGCGGACCAAUGCCAUAUUUGUUUUGCUUGCCAUUUCCAAACCGUGCAUCCGAUUCCGGUGAUCUUUAUAUCGAUUUCAACCGAAAUCACCUCACCUUUCCAGUGGCACUCUUGGAUUUCCAAGUUUGGGCCAGGUUUAAUCAUUCCUUGUCAAAUCUUGCAUAUGCAUCACAUAUCGCAUCGCGCAUAUCAUACCAUGUUUGCAUCAUGUUAUUUGAGCAUUGCACGUGGUUGAUUGUGCUCCCUUUGCUUGUCAUUCUUGUUUGGGUAGAGCCGGGAGACGAGUUCGUGAAUGAGGAGCCCAUUGAGUUCGCUUACGAGGAUCAAGGCAACUCUGAGAACUUUGCAGGCAAGAUGACCAUACCCUCGAAAUCACUUCUAUCUUUGCUUGCUAGAUGCUCGCUCUUUUGCUAUGCCUAUGCUACGAUACCUACCACUUGCUUAUCAUGCCUCCCAUAUGGCCAUGUCAAACCUCUAACCCACCUUGUCCUAGCAAACCAUUGUUUGGCUAUGUUACCGCUUUGCUCAGCCCCUCUUAUAGCGUUGCUAGUUGCAGGUGAAGAUUGGGAAUCGUUCCUUAUUGGAACAUUGUUUAUUAUUGGGAUAUCACUAUAUUAUCUUGUUUAUCUUAAUGCACCUAUAUACUUGGUAAAGGGUGGAAGGCUCGGCCUUAUGCCUGGUGUUUUGUUCCACUCUUGCCGCCCUAGUUUCCGUCAUAUCGGUGUUAUGUUUUUGGAUUUUGCGUUCCUUACACGGCUGGGUUAUAAUGGGAACCCCUUGACAGUUCGCCUUGAAUAAAACUCUUCCAGCAAUGCCCAACAUUGGUUUUACCAUUCGCCACCUAGCCUCUUUUUCCCUUGGGUUCCGCAGACUCAAGGGUCAUCUUUAUUUGAACCCCCGGGCCAGUGCUCCUCUGAGUGUUGGUCCAACCUGUCAGCUGCUGGUGGCCACCAGGGGCAACUCUGGGCUAGCCUACCAGAACCUUGGACAAUCCGGUGUGCCCUGAGAACGAGAUAUGUGUAGCUCCUAUCGGGAUUUGUCGGCACAUUCGGGUGGUUCUGCUGGUUUAGUUUUACCAUUGUCGAUGAUGUCUUGUAACCGGGAUGCCGAGCCUGAUCAGAUUGUCUUGCGAGAAGGAAUAUCCUUCUUUGACCAUGAGAGCUUGUGAUGGGCUAAGUUGGGACUCCCCUGCAGGGAUUUGAACUUUCGAAAGCCGUGCCCACGGUUAUGGGCAGAUGGGAAUUUGUUAAUGUCCGGUUGUAGAUAACAUGAAACUUAACUUAAUUAAAAUGAAUCAACCGCGUGUGUUACCAUGAUGGUCUCUUCUCGGCGGAGUCCGGGAAGUGAACACGGUGUUGGAGUAAUGCUUGACGUAGGUUGUUCUAGGAUCACUUCUUGAUCAUAGUUGUUCGACCAUGCUUUUUCCUUCUCUUCUCGCUCUCUUUUGCGAAUAGGUUAGCCACAAUAUAAUGCUAGUCGCUUGCUACAGCUCCACAUCAUACCUUACCUUACCUAUAAGCUUAAAUAGUCUUGAUCGCGAGGGUGUGGGAUUGCUGAGUCCCCGUGACGCACAGAUUCCUUCCUAAACCAGAUGCAGGGACAAAUGGUAUCGCUCCAGACGUUGCGCUUGAGCUCAAGUGGGAGUUCGAUGAAGACUCUCGUCGUUACUAUGUGUCUUUCCCAGAUGAUCAAUAGUGGUGCCCAGUUGGGGCGAUCGGGGACUUUGUCGCAUUUGGGGGUUGAUCUUUAUUUUGGUACCGUAGUCGGACCAUGAGUGUAUUGGAUGAAUGUAAUGCUAUUUAUGUAUUUGUGUGACGUGGCGAGUGUAAGCCAACUAUGUAUCUUUUCCCCUUUAUUUAUAUUACAUGGGUUGUUUGCGAAGAUUGCCUCACUUGCGACAUUGCUUUCAAUGCGGUUAUGCCUCUAAGUCGUGCUUCGACACUUAGGAGAUAUAGCCGCAUCGAGGGCGUUACAAGUUGGUAAUCAGAGCCUUCCCUGACCUUAGGAGCCCCCUGCUUGAUCGAAUCGUUGACGUUGUUGAGUCUAGAAAAAUGUUUUGAGUCAUUUAGGAUAAUAUAUAUCGGAGAGUUUAGGAAUUCUUUUUACUCCCCAGUCCCUUCAUCGCUCUGGUGAGGCACCCUGACAUAGAGUUUUGACUCUUCUCAAAUUUCACUAAAAAAAUUUAGGAUCACGCGGGUAUCUUGGAAUCGUUCUGAUGGUUUUGUGACGAGAACAUUGUUCUUGGUGCCUCCUGUCAUUUAGGGGUUGUGGCAGUGUUCCGGGGAGUUGAGCUCCGAGGUGUUGUCGUCACAAUUUUAUCGUUGAGAUUCUGGAAUACCUGAGUUUCGCCGACAUCGAAAAUCUCUUUUAUGCAGUUGUUGGUGAGAUAACCUCGACGCCACCCAGUACUGGGGCGGGAGUUCGGGAGUAUUGCCAUAACUUGUAUAACGGAUUCUUUUCGAAGGUUGAGGUAGAUGAUUUCCGAAGUUUUUCUCGGUUAUGUGUUGAAGGAUGGAUACAGCUGGAUGUAGGAUUUGCUAGAUUUGGGUGAGAUAUUAUGCUUCCCCUGUAUCCCCAACACCUGAUUGCAUAACCGGAAAGGUUCGAGAGUUUCAUAGGUGGGAAUUCUUGUAGCUCUAGUUCUUCUUCCGCGGAUAUUUGGAUUGGGAUUGGGUAAUCCUCACCAAGUAUUCGUUCUUGUCCAUACCUUGUUGGUUUUAUUCUUCUACCUCAAUUCUAAGUGGCUUCUCAAUUUAUGGAAAUGUGACCAUUUCAAUUGGAAUGCAUUCGUUCAUUUUGUUCGGAUGUGAAGACUUUAUGUUGGAAUUUCAACCCGUUUGAUUCAGCUUCAAUAUUUGUCUUUCAAGAUGCUAAUGGAUGUCACCCUCUUCAGGAUGGCUCCUCCAAUGCGCACGACUCUGAAUCCUAAUCCGCCACCACCACCUCCACCUCCGGAGGCAUGGCAAGCUGUGAUGGCCGCUACCAAUGAAAACACGCAGCUGAUCAUGCAACUUCUUCAAGAGCGCAACCAAGGGAACCAGGGCCAUGGCAACAAUCAGAAUCAGUUUGCUACACUCAACUAGUUCCUUGCCAACCAGCCAAAGACCUUCAGCAAUUGUGUUGAGGCAACAGACACUGAUGAUUGGCUCGUGGACAUAUGCAAGCAUUUCGAGUGCAGUAACAUCAGGCCUGAGGACUUUCUCAAGUUUGCCUCCUUCCAACUCAAAGACCAAGCUGUAGAAUGGUUUCAACAGUACAAAGAUUCCAGAGGAGGCCGUGUGAUUACCUGGAAUGAAUUCCGUCAAGACUUCAAAACUCAUCAUAUUCCUCAGAGUGUGGUUGAGAGCAAGCGUGAGGAAUUCCGCAACCUGAAGCAAGGCACUAUGUCUGUUUACCAGUACAACAUCAUGUUCCAGAAGGUCGCUCGUUUCGCCAAGCAAGACGUCCCUGACGAGAAGAGCGUGAUAUACCAGUUCAGGGGUGGUCUCAGAGAAGAACUCCAGCUAGCUCUCGUCCUCUUUGAGCCCAAGAAGUACGAUGAGUUUUACAACAUGGCAAUGAAGCAAGAGACUGCUCAACUGAAGUGCGAUGCUUCCAAGAAGCGAGUCAGAGAUGCAACUCCUUCUUCUUCAACUCAAGUGGCUAAGUAGCAAAAGUAUUGGCUUCCUCCUCCUCCGUUCCGCCAGCCUUAUCAGCAGAAGAGCAAAGGUGGCAGUGGAUCUUCCCACCCACCCAACCCUGGCUUUCAGAACAAGACUUCGUCUCAAGCUCCAAGAUCAAGUGCUCCGUAUCACCGUCUGCUUUCGGAGGUCAUGUGCAACAAGUACCAACAGAAGGGUCACUAUGCCAACAAAUGCUUCAAUCAGAGGCGUCUUCCUCCUCCUCCUCCUCUUGUGAGGUCUGCAAGUACAGCUGUGGUCAAGCAUAACCCCAAGUACGCCAAGGUCAACUUGAUGAAUGCAGCUCAGGCAGAGGACUCGUCAGAUGUCAUCAUGGGUAACCUUCCUGUUAACGAUAUUCCUGCAAAAGUUCUUUUUGACACUGGUGCAUCACAUUGUUUCAUCUCGAGACCUUUUGCAUCUAAGCAUGAAUUGGCUCUCCAAGUUUUGCCUAGACCGAUAGCAGUUGUCUCUCCGGGUAAACGCAUGAAUGCUAACUCUAUGGUUCCGGAUGUUACUGUCAUGUUGGGCGACUACAAGUUUCUGUCUUCUCCUACGGUUCUUGGUGACUCGGAUAUUGAUCUUAUUCUUGGAAUGGACUGGCUUUCUAAGCACAAGGCUCAGCUUGAUUGUGCUGCCAGGCAGAUUCAAUUAACUCAUUCGUCUGAGGAUGUAAUUGUCUUUGCCGCUCGUGAUGAUACCAUCCGUCUGUUUUCUCACAAUGGGAAGGGUGAACUGGAUGCCAUCUCUCAAAUUCCAGUCAUUUGCGAAUAUCAAGACAUCUUUUCAGAAGAGCUUCCGGGAAUGCCUCCGCACCAGCCAGUUGAAUUUGUCAUCGAUCUUGAGCCUAGGACGGAACCUGUUUGCAAGCAUCCUUACAAGCUUGGAUUUGAAGAGUUGAAAGAGCUGAAGAAGCAACUCGAUAUUCAAGAGCGUAUGGGUCUCAUCUGACCUAGUUGUUCUUUGUGGGGUUGUGGAGUUCUUUUUGUGAAGAAGAAGGAUGGAACGGACCGACUUUGUGUUGACUACCGUCCAUUGAACAAGAAGACUAUAAAGAACAAGUACCCACUACCCAACAUCAACGAGUUGUUUGAAGAACUCAAAGGUGCUCAAGUAUUCUCCAAGCUUGAUCUCCGUAUGGGCUAUCACCAGAUUCGAAUUCGUGAGCAAGAUAUCCCCAAGACGGCAUUCAGAACAAGCUAUGGUUCAUAUGAAUACACUAUCAUGUCUUUUGGCCUCGUCAACGCUCCUCCGACAUUCUCUCGCAUGAUGAACUUCCUCUUCAACCCCUACACAAAUGACUUCGUCUUGGUCUACCUUGAUGACAUUUUGGUCUUUUCCAGAAUAAGGAAGAUCAUGCCAAGCACUUGCGUUUGGUGCUGGAUAAGCUCAAAGAACAUCAGUUUUAUGCCAAGUUUUCAAAGUGCGAGUUUUGGCUCGAUGAGGUUCUCUACCUUAGGCAUAUCAUUUUUGCCAAGGGCAUAGCGGCGAAUCUCGAGAAGGUGUCUGCAAUUAUGAAUUGGGAACUACCUCAGAACGUGAAGCAACUCUGCAGCUUCCUUGGUCUCGCAAGCUAUUGUCGAAGGUUCGUUGAGAACUUUUCAAAGAUCGCGAAGCCUCUUUCAAACCUUCUCCAGAAGCAUGUGAAGUAUGUUUGGUCUCCUGAAUGUGACAUUGCUUUCAACACCUUGAAAGAGAAAUUAGUCACUGCUCCAGUUCUGACUCCUCCCGAUGAAUCCAAACCGUUCGAGGUCUUCUGUGAUGCCUCUCUUCAAGGUCUUGGUGCAGUGUUGAUGCAAGAGAAAAAAUUUAUGGCUUAUACCUCUCGCCAGUUGAAGCCCGAUGAAAAGAACUACCCCACUCAUGACCUCAAGUUGGCGGCAGUUGUGCAUGCUCUUUUGACUUGGAGACAUCUCUUAUUGGGAAUAAAAGUGGACAUCUUCACUGACCACAAGAGUCUCAAGUACAUCUUCACUCAGCCUAAUCUCAAUCUCAGGCAGACUCGUUGGGUCGAAAUGAUUCAAGAGUAUAAUCCGAGCAUUGAAUAUACUCUAGGCAAGGCCAAUGUAAUUGCUGAUGCAUUGAGCAGGAAGGCUUACUUCAACAGUCUAAUUCUCAAGCCUUACUAACCCGAGUUUUGUGAAGCUUUCCGCAAACUCAAUCUGCAAGUUGUUCCUCAAGGUUUCCUCGCCAAUCUUCAAGUCUCUCCUACUUUGGAAGAUCAGAUUUGCGAGGCUCAACUUCUUGAUGCUAUGGUGAAGAAGGUGAAGAUUGGGAUUGCCAAGAGUCAAUCCAAGUACAAGUGCUAUCGCCUUGAUGACAAGUAUACUCUCAUCUUCGAGGAUCGCAUUGUUGUGCCUAAAGGUGACCUUUGUAAAGUCAUUAUGAAUGAGGCUCACAAUUCACUCCUCUCUAUCCACCCUGGAAGUACAAAGAUGUACCAUGACCUCAAGCAGGCGUAUUGGUGGACUCGAAUGAAACGUGAGAUUGCUCAGUUCGUGAAUAAAUGUGAUGUCUGCAGAAGAGUGAAGGCAGAACACCAACGACCAGCUGGCCUCCUCCAACCUCUUGCCAUUCCAGAAUGGAAGUUUGACCACAUUGAGAUGGACUUCGUGACUGGAUUUCCAAAGUCCAAGCGUGGCAAUGAUGCUAUAUUCGUUGUCAUCGACAAACUCACUAAAGUGGCUCACUUUCUGCCUAUCAAAGAAUCCAUCACAGCAGCUCAAUUGGCGGAGCUUUAUACCUCUCGGAUUGUCUCUCUGCACGGUAUUCCGCAGUUGAUUUCUUCAGAUCGUGGCAAUAUCUUUACCUCCAAGUUUUGGGAUUCUUUUCAUAAGGCCAUGGGCACCAACAUCCGUUUCAGCACAGCUUUUCAUCCUCAAACUAGCGGCCAAGUCGAGCGUGUCAAUCAAAUUCUUGAAGAUAUGCUCAGGGCUUGCGUUAUCUCCUUCAGUAUGAAGUGGGAAGAUUGUCUUCCAUAUGCCGAGUUCUCCUACAACAACAGCUUUCAAGCGAGUUUGGGCAAGGCCCCAUUUGAAAUUCUCUAUGGCAGGAAGUGUCGUACUCCUCUUAACUGGUCAGAGACUGGUGAACGUCAACUUCUUGGAAAUGACUUGAUCACAGAGGCAGAAGAGAUGUGCAAAGUCAUUCGUGAUAACCUCAAAGCAGCGCAAUCACGCCAGAAAAGCUACUAUGAUAGUAAGCAUCGUGAUUUGGCUUUCGAGAUCGGAGACCAUGUUUACCUCCGCGUCUCUCCAAUGAAAUGUACUCGUCGCUUCGGUAUCAAAGGGAAGCUUGCCCCUAGAUACGUGGGUCCUUUCAAGAUCGUCAGCAAGAGAGGCGAUCUCGCCUAUCAACUCGAGCUUCCCUCCAACUUUGCAAAUGUGCACGACGUGUUUCAUGUCUCUCAACUCCGCAAGUGCUUCAAGACCCCUGACCGCACCUUCAACUUCGAAGACAUUGAUCUCCAAGAAGACAUUUCUUAUCCUGAGCACCCCGUUGCUAUCCUUGAAGAAACUGAGCGCAAGACUCGCAACAAGUCAAUCAAAUUCCUCAAAGUCAAGUGGUCACACCAUUCCGACCAUGAAGCCACCUGGGAAUGCGAGGAUCACCUCCGUUCUGAGUACCCGGAGUUUUUCCAGUCCUAGAUCUCGGGACGAGAUCCUUUCGUAGUGGUGGAGUGUUGUAACACCUCGGAUGUAAUUUACCUUAUCUGUACUCCAACUCUUGCCGUUUCCGGUCCUAAGUUAUUUUAUUUCCUCGUUGUCACGUUUUUUGUCUCCGUGUGUUGUUGUCUUUGUCAUGCAUCUCAUAUCAUGUCAUCAUGUGCAUUGCAUUUACAUACGUGUUCGUCUCAUGCAUCUGAGCAUUUUCCCUGUUGUCCGUUUUGCAUUCCGGCGCUCCUAUGUCCUCCGGUGGUCCUUUCUACCUCUUUUCGUGUGUGGGGGUUAAACAUUUUCGGAUUGGACCGAGACUUGCCAUGCGGCCUUGGUUUACUACCGGUAACCGCCUGUCAAGUUUCGUGCCAUUUGGACUUCGUUUGAUACUCCAACGGUUAACCGAGGGACCGAGAAGGCCUCGUGUGUGUUGCAGCCCAACACCCUUCCAAUUUGGCCCAAAACCCACCAAAACCUCUCCCAUCGUCUAGAGCGUUCGAUCACGAUCGCGUGGCCGAAAACCGUGCUCAAUUUGGAGACUCCUAGCUCCUCCUACCUCUAUAUAAAGGCCCCUCCCCAAAAUUCCCGGAUCUCUUCUUCCCCAAACCCUAAAAAUUCGCCUCGCGCCGCGCCGGACACAUCCCCGCCGCCGCCCGCAGCCAACCGGGGGCCACCACAUGGCGCGCCGCCACCCGCAACCACGUCGGCCCGCUCGGCCCGCCGCAGGCCCCCGCCUCCACCGCCCGGGCCAGAGGCGCCCCGCGCCCUUCCNNNNNNNNNNNNNNNNNNNNNNNNNNNNNNNNNNNNNNNNNNNNNNNNNNNNNNNNNNNNNNNNNNNNNNNNNNNNNNNNNNNNNNNNNNNNNNNNNNNNNNNNNNNNNNNNNNNNNNNNNNNNNNNNNNNNNNNNNNNNNNNNNNNNNNNNNNNNNNNNNNNNNNNNNNNNNNNNNNNNNNNNNNNNNNNNNNNNNNNNNNNNNNNNNNNNNNNNNNNNNNNNNNNNNNNNNNNNNNNNNNNNNNNNNNNNNNNNNNNNNNNNNNNNNNNNNNNNNNNNNNNNNNNNNNNNNNNNNNNNNNNNNNNNNNNNNNNNNNNNNNNNNNNNNNNNNNNNNNNNNNNNNNNNNNNNNNNNNNNNNNNNNNNNNNNNNNNNNNNNNNNNNNNNNNNNNNNNNNNNNNNNNNNNNNNNNNNNNNNNNNNNNNNNNNNNNNNNNNNNNNNNNNNNNNNNNNNNNNNNNNNNNNNNNNNNNNNNNNNNNNNNNNNNNNNNNNNNNNNNNNNNNNNNNNNNNNNNNNNNNNNNNNNNNNNNNNNNNNNNAUCGCCGUCAACAGCUCCGGCGCCGCCCGGCCACCUCCGACUCCGGCGCCGCCUCGCCGCCCUCCUCGUCGUCCGCGCCGCCCGGCCUCCUCCGACUCUGGCCGCCGCACCGCCGUGAACCUCGAAGUCCGUGCUCCGGCGAGAUCCAGAUCUGGAUCUGGAACUUCACGGUUGACUUUUCCCCCUCCAAACCCUAGCUAAUUUGCAUUUUUCCGCAUGCCAUAACUCUGCAUCCGUAGCUCCAAUUUGUGUGUGUAGCAUAUCGGAAUGUUCGUCUCGACGAGUACAUCAUUUCAUCUCAUUGCAUAAUUUUUAUUUGAGCUCAUCUUGUUGCCCGAAAUGCUGUUGGAAGAGGGCUAUGUGAGGAAUUUGUCAGAUCUAUUUCAGCAAAUAGCCUUUUGUCAUUAUUGCCAUGAUUAAUGUGUGCAUGAUAUGAUCCUGAGCUCUAGAUGUGUUUUGUUAUAUGCCAUGCCAUCUUUACAGAGGUGCUUGCCAUGUAUUUUUGUGAUAUUUGUGGUGACUAGCACAAGCUUGCAAAGUAGCGUAAUCGGUAAUGCUGAUUUCAGGGACUUAUAAUUCCUUCCUUGUCCUGAUUUUGUUGUUAUGCCAUAUGUUCAUGUUGUUUCCUAGUGAUUCGUGCCUCUUUUGAGGAUGACCAGUAAGGAUGUUUUGUUAACAUUGUGGUGCUCUCUCCAUCCAUGUCCUUGUUUGCAUUUAUGGAGCACCCUACCUUGAGUCAAUUGAGCUCUACUUUUGCUAUAAAUUGAUACUGGCAGAUUGUUAACAUGUUUAGCGAUUUUGCCGAGGAUGUUGCUAUUGAUCCGUGCAAGCUAUGUUGUUGUUCUUGCCAUGUCUAGCUCCUAUGCCAUGUAUUCUUCAUGGGUGUAUGCUUAGUUUGUCAUGCAAUGCUCUGUAGUAAGUGCAUCGAGCUCGUAAACAUGCCUACUCGUUAACUGAUUUGCAUAUUCACAUGCUUGCAAUUGUAUUUUCUGAUCCCUUUUGGCUCAAGGUCACUAAGGGACUUUUGUUAAGUGCUUUGAGUAGCUUCAUGUCAUGCCUUGCUUUGCCAUGUUAAGUUCCUGUAUCAUGUAGUUUUCAUGCUCUAAAGUGUGCUUCCUGAUGAUAAAUUCUAGACUUGUGUUAAUUUCACAAAGUCUGAAACCUGUUAUCAUUUGCUCUUUUCCCAUGAUUGUGUGAACCUGUUAAUGGAUGAAUUAGCCGUAGCUCAGUGUUCAUAUUUUGUCAAGCUUCAUGAGUGGAUCCCUUCCAUGUAUCUUGUUGUCAUGUUUGAGUGCUGUAGCAUGUUUAUCUUGAUGCAUUUAGUUGGUCAGUUGCUGAUUAUCGCAAACCGGUGCCAUAUUUGUUUUGCUUGCCAUUUCCAAACCGUGCAUCCGAUUCCGGUGAUCUUUAUAUCGAUUUCAACCGAAAUCACCUCACCUUUCCAGUGGCACUCUUGGAUUUCCAUGUUGGGGCCAGGUUCAAUCAUUCCUUAUCAAAUCUUGCAUAUGCAUCACAUAUCGCAUCCCGCAUAUCAUACCAUGUUUGCAUCAUGUUGUUUGAGCAUUGCACGUGGUUGAUUGUGCUCCCUUUGCUUGUUGUUCUUAUUUGGGUAGAGCCGGGAGAUGAGUUCGUGAACGAGGAUCACGUUGAGUUCGCUUACGAGGAUCAAGGCAACUCUGAGAACUUUGACGGCAAGAUGACGAUACCCUCGAAAUCACUUCUAUCUUUGCUUGAUAGAUGCUCGCUCUUUUGCUAUGCCUAUGCCACUUGCUUAUCAUGCCUCCCAUAUUGCCAUGUAAAACCUCUAACCCACCUUGUCCUCGCAAACCAUUGUUUGGCUAUGUUACCGCUUUGCUCAGCCCCUCUUAUAGCGUUGCUAGUUGCAGGUGACGAUUGGAGAUCGUUCCUUGUUGGAACAUUGUUUAUUGUUGGGAUAUCACUAUAUUAUCUUGUUUAUCUUAAUGCACCUAUAUAAUUGGUAAAGGGUGGAAGGCUCGGCCUUAUGCCUGGUGUUUUGUUCCACUCUUGCCGCCCUAGUUUCCGUCAUAUCGGUGUUAUGUUCCUGGAUUUUUCGUUUCUUACACGGUUGGGUUAUAAUGGGAACCCCUUGACAGUUCGCCUUGAAUAAAACUCUUCCAGCAAUGCCCAACAUUGGUUUUACCAUUCACCACCUAGCCUCUUUUUCCCUUGGGUUUCGCAGACUCAAGGGUCAUCUUUAUUUAAACCCCCGGGCCAGUGCUCCUCUGAGUGUUGGUCCAACCUGUCAGCUGCCGGUGGCCACUAGGGGCAACUCUGGGCUGGCCUACCGGAACCUUGGACAAUCCGGUGUGCCCUGAGAACGAGAUAUGUGCAGCUCCUAUCGGGAUUUGUCGGCACAUUCGGGUGGUUUUGCUGGUUUAGUUUUACCAUUGUCGAGGAUGUCUUGUAACCGGGAUGCCGAGCCUGAUCGAAUUGUCUUGGGAGAAGAAAUAUCCUUCGUUGACCGUGAGAGCUUGUGAUGGGCUAAGUUGGGACUCCCCUGCAGGGAUUUGAACUUUCGAAAGUCGUGCCCGAGGUUAUGGGCAGAUGGGAAUUUGUUAAUGUCCGGUUGUAGAUAACCUGAAACUUAACUUAAUUAAAAUGAAUCAACCGCGUGUGUUACCGUGAUGGUCUCUUCUCGGUGGAGUCCGGGAAGUGAACACGGUGUUGGAGUAAUGCUUGACGUUGGUUGUUCUAGGAUCACUUCUUGAUCAUAGUUGUUCGACCAUGCUUUUUCCUUCUCUUCUCGCUCUCUUUUGCGAAUAGGUUAGCCACCAUAUAAUGCUAGUCGAUUGCUGCAGCUCCACAUCAUACCUUACCUUACCUAUAAGCUUAAAUAGUCUUGAUCGCGAGGGUGUGGGAUUGUUGAGUCCCCGUGACUCACAAAUUCCUUCCUAAACCAGAUGCAGGGACAAAUGAUACCGCUCCAGACGUUGCGCUUGAGCUCAAGUGGGAGUUCGAUGAAGACUCUCGUCAUUACUAUGUGUCUUUCCCAGAUGAUCAGUAGUGGUGCUCAGUUGGGGCGAUCAGGGACUUUGUCGCAUUUGGGGGUUGAUCUUUAUUUUGGUAUCGUAGUCGGACCAUGAGUGUAUUGGAUGAAUGUAAUGCUAUUUAUGUAUUUGUGUGACAUGGCGAGUGUAAGCCAACUAUGUAUCUUUUCCCUUUAUUUAUAUUACAUGGGUUGUUUGCAAAGAUUACCUCACUUGCGACAUUGCUUUCAAUGUGGUUAUGUCUCUAAGUCGUGCUUCGACACAUAGGAGAUAUAGCCGCAUCGAGGGUGUUACACGUAGGUCUGAAGUAAACUACUCACACAUCACUGGAGAGGCCAUGUAGUUGAUGUACAGGCCCUCCGUGAUCAAUGCCCCCUUCGGCAGAGCUCCGGAAGAGGCCCCAAGAUGGGAUCUCGGGUACAAAAGGUUGCGGCGGUGGAAUUAGGUUUUCGUUGUGCUCCUGGAUGUUUGGGGGUACGUGGAUAUAUAUAGGAGGAAGAAGUACGUCGGUGGAGCAACGGGGGGGCCCAUGAGGGUGGAGGGCACGCCCGGGAGGGGGGGGGGGGUAGGCGCGCCCCCUGUCUCGUGGCCACCUCCGUUGUUUCUUGACGCCCACUCCAAGUCUCCUGGAUCACGUUUGUUGAGAAAAUCAUGUUCCCGAAGGUUUCAUUCCGUUUGGACUCCGUUUGAUAUUCCAUUUCUUCGAAACCCUAAAAUAGGCAAAAAAAACAACAAUUUGGGCUGGGCCUCCGGUUAGUAGGUUAGUCCCAAAAAUGAUAUAAAAGUUUAAAAUAAAGCCCAUUGACAUCCAAAAUAGAUAAUAUGAUAGCAUGGAGCAAUCAAAAAUUAUAGAUACGUUGGAGACGUAUCAAGCAUCCCCAAGCUUAAUUCCUGCUCGUCCUCGAGUAGGUAAAUGAUAAAAGAAGAAUUUUUGAUGUGGAAUGCUUUCUAACAUAUUUCUCAAUGUAAUUUUUCUUUAUUGUGGCAUGAAUGUUCAGAUCCAUAAGAUUCAAGGCAAAAGUUUAAUAUUGACAUAAAAAUAAUAAUACUUCGAGCAUACUAACUAAGCAAUUAUGUCUUCUCAAAAUAACAUGGCCAAAGAAAGUUAUCCCUACAAAAUCAUAUAGUCUGGCUAUGUUCUAUCUUCACCACACAAAAUAUUUAAAUCAUGCACAACCCUUAUGACAAGCCAAGCAAUUGUUUCAUACUUUUGAUGUUCUCAAACCUUUUCAAUCUUCACGCAAUAUAUGAGCGUGAGCCAUGGAUAUACACUAUAUGGUGGAAUAGAAUGGUGGUUGUGGAGAAGACAAAAAGGAGAAGAUGGUCUCACAUCAACAAGGCGUAUCAAUGGGCUAUGGAGAUGACCAUUAAUAGAUAUCAAUGUGAGUGAGUAGGGAUUGCCAUCCAACGAAUGCACUAGAGCUAUAAGUGUAUGAAAGCUCAACAAAAGAAACUAAGUGGGUGUGCAUCCAACUUGCUUGCUCAUCAAGACCUAGGGCAAUUUGAGGAAGCCCAUCAUUGGAAUAUACAAGGCAAGUUCUAUAAUGAAAAAUUCCCACUAUUAUAUGAAAGCGAUAUCAUAGGAGACUCUCUAUCAUGAAUAUCAUGGUGCUAUUUUGAAGCACAAGUGUGGAAAAAGGACAGUAGCAUUGUCCCUUCUCUCUUUUUCUCUCAUUUUUUGGGCCUUCUUCCCUUUUUUUCUUUUUGGCCUCUUUUCUUUUUUUAUUUGGGCUUCUUUGGCCACUUUUUUUUCGUCCGGAGUCUCAUCCCGACUUGUGGGGGAAUCAUAGUCUCCAUCAUCCUUUCCUCACUGGGACAAUGCUCUAAUAAUGCUGAUUAUCACACUUUAUUUACUUACAACUCAAAAAUUACAACUCGAUACUUAGAACAAGAUAUGACUCUAUGUGAAUGGCUCCGGCGGUGUACCGGGAUGUGCAAUGAUGCAUGAGUGACAUGUAUGAAAAUUAUGAACGGUGGUUUUGCCACAAAUACGAUGUCAACUACAUGAUCAUGCAAGCAAUGUGACAGUGAUGAAGCGUGUCACAAUAACGGAACGAUGGAAAGUUGCAUGGCAAUAUAUCUCGUAAUGGCUAUGGAAAUGCCAUAAUAGGUAGGUAUGGUGGCUGUUUUGAGGAAGGUACAUGGUGGGUUUAUGGUACCGGCGAAAGUUGCGCGAUACUAGAGAGGCUAGCAAUGGUGGAAGGGUGAGAGUGCGUAUAAUCCAUGGACUCAAAAUUAGUCAUAAAGAACUCACAUACUUAUUGCAAAAAUCUAUUAGUUAUCGAAACAAAGUAUUACACGCAUGCUCCUAGGGGGAUAGAUUGGUAGGAAAAGACCAUCGCUCGUCCUUGACCGCCACUCAUAAGGAAGACAAUCAAUAAAUAGAUCAUGCUCCGACUUCAUCACAUAACGGUUCACAAUACAUGCAUGCUAUGGGAAUCACAAACUUCAAGACAAGUAUUUCUCAAAUUCACAACUACUCAACUAGCAUGACUCUAAUAUCACCAUCUCCAUAUCUCAAAACAAUUAUCAAGUAUCAAACUUCUCAUAGCAUUCAAUGCACUUGUAUGAAAGUUUUUAUUAUUGCCAUGUUGUUCUAAAGGACUCUCAAAAUAAUAUAAGUUAAGCAUGAGAGAACAAUAGUUUCUAUAAAACAAAACCACCAUCGUGCUCUAAAAUAUAUAAGUGAAGCACUAGAGCAAAAACUAUAUAGCUCAAAAGAUGUAAGUGAAGCACAUAGAGUAUUCUAAUAAAUUCCCAAUCAUGUGAGUCUCUCUCAAAAGGUAUGUACAGCAAGGAUGAUUGUGGUAAACUAAAAAUCAAAGAAUCAAAUCAUACAAGACACUCCAAGCAAAACACAUAUCAUGUGCUAAAUAAAAAUAUAGCUCCAAGUAAAGUUACUGAUAGACGAAGACAAAAGAGGGGAUGCCCUCCGGGGCAUCCCCAAGCUUAGGCUUUUUGGUGUCCUUGAGUUUUACCUUGGGGUGCCAUGGGCAUCCCCAAGCUUAGGCUCUUUCCACUCCUUGUUCCAUAAUCCAUCAAAUCUUUACCCAAAACAUGAAAACUUCACAACACAAAACUAAAAAUAGAAAAUCUCAUGAACUCCGUUAGCGAAAGAAAACAAAACACCACUUCAAGGUACUGUAAUGAACUCAUUCUUGAUUUAUAUUGGUGUUAAACCUACUGUAUUCCAACUUCUCUAUGGUUUAUAAACUCUUUUACUAGCCAUAGAUUCAUCAAAAUAAGCAAACACUACACGAAAAAUAGAAUCUGUCAAAAACAGAACAGUCUGUAGUAAUCUGUAGCUAACACAAACUAUGGAACCCCAAAAAUUCUACAAUAAAUUGCUGGACGUGAGGAAUUUAUCUAUUAAUCAUCUUCAAAAAUAAUUAAAUAAAUAUCACUUUCCAAAUAAAAAUGGCAGCAAUUCUCGUGAGCGCAAACGUUUCUAUUUUUUAAAGCAAGAUCAAAAAGACUUCCCCCAAGUCUACCCAACGGAUCUACUUGGCAAAAACACAAAUUAAACACAAAAAACACAACCAAAAAAGAGGCUUGAUAAAUUAUUUAUUACUAAACAGGAGCAAAAAGCAAGGAAUAAAAAUAAAAUUGGCUUGCCUCCCAACAAGCGCUAUCGUUUAACGCCCCUAGCUAGGCAUAAAAGCAAGGAUAGAUCUAGGUAUUGCCAUCUUUGGUAGGAAAUUUUCAAUAAGACACCUAUAACACUUAGGGGUUUCUUUAUUUUUAUUAAUUAUCAAACUCCUAGGUACAAAAUCAAGGAAAUCAUUUGUAGCAAAAGGUUCCUUAAGGAUAGUGAGAAAUUUGGGGUGAACACUUAUGGAUUUGAGGUCCGCAUUUUCCUUACUAGAAGUUCCACCCUUAUUUUUAGGAACAUACAUCAAUUUGGCAAUCUUAGCAUUAGGAGGAGUGUUUUUCACGGAAGAAAAGGCAGACCCAAGGUUGGUAAUAAUAUCCUCAAUUUUAUCAAUUCUAGUGGAAUCUUGAUCUAUCUUUUCAUUAACCAUAGGUUCCUUUUCUUUAAACCUUUUAAGAGCAACUCCUACCUUAGAUCCGUAUUGGGUAAUUUGGUUAUGGAUAUUUCUAUCCAAAUUUUCAAUUAACUCUAUGGUGGCAACUUUAUUUUCAAUAAUUUCAAGCCGUUGCAUCACAUGUUCCAAAGUUAAAAUAGUUCCAUUAACCAAAAGAGGUGGUGGGCCAAACAGAUCUAUCAUAGCAUUAUAAGAAUCAAAAGUAUGGCUACCCAAGAAAUUCCCUCCGGUAAUGGUAUCAAGAAUAUAUCUAUUCCAAGGAGUGAUGCCUACAUAAAAAUUGUGAAGAAGAACGGAAGUAGAUUGCUUCCUAGUAGAUCUAUUUUGCGCAAUGCAAAUUCUGUACCAAGCAUCUUUUAGAUUUUCUCCCUCCCUUUGUUUAAAAUUAAGAACUUCAUUCUCGGGAGACAAAGGAGUAGAUAAAGGACUAGCCAUAACGAUAAAGCAAGCGAUCCAACACACAAGCAAACAAGAAACGGGCAAAAAGGCAAAUAGAAAAAGAGAAGGGGAACGGAAAGAGAGGGAGAGAGGAAAAGAGGGCGAAUAAAACGGCAAGGGUGAAGUGGGGGAGAGGAAAACGAGAGGCAAAUGGCAAAUAAUGUAAUGCGAGGGAUAAGAGUUUGUGAUGGGUACUUGGUAUGUCUUUGACUUGUGCUUGACUUGACUUGGCGCAAAUCUCCCCGGCAAUGGCGCCAGAAAUCCUUCUUGCUACCUCUUACGCACUGCGUUGGUUUUCCCUUGAAGAGGAAAGGGUGAUGCAGUAAAGUAGAGUAAGUAUUUCCCUCACUUUUUGAGAACCAAGGUAUCAAUCCAGUAGGAGAUCACGCUCAAGUCCCACGCACCUACACAAACAAAUAAGAACCUCGCAACCAAUGCGAUAAAGGGGUUGUCAAUCCCUUCACAGUCACUUACAAGAGUGAGAUCUGAAGGAUAUGAUAAGAUAAUAUUUUUGGUAUUUUUAUGAUAAAGAGAAAUAAAGAUGCAAAGUAAAAAAAUGGCAAAGGAAAUAACUAAGUAUUGGAAGAUUAAUAUGAUGGAAGAUAGACCCGGGGGCCAUAGUUUCACUAGUGGCUUCUCUCGAGAGCAUAAGUAUUAUGGUGGGUGAACGAAUUACUAUCGAGCAAUUGAUAGAAUUGAGCAUAGUUAUGAGAAUAUCUAGGUAUGAUCAUGUAUAUAGGCAUCACGUCCGAGACAAGUAGACCGAAACGAUUCUGCAUCUACUACUAUUACUCCACACAUCGACCGCUAUCCAACAUGCAUCUAGAGUAUUAAGUUCAUAAGAACAUAUUAAUGCUUUAAGGAAGAUGACAUGAUGUAGAGGGAUAAACUCAUGCAAUAUGACAUAAACCCCAUCUUUUUAUCCUCGCUGGCAACAAUACAAUACGUGUCGGUUCCCUUUAUGUCACUGGGAUCGAACACCGCAAGAUUGAACCCAAAGCUAAGCACUUCUCCCAUUGCAAGAAAGAUCAAUCUAGUAGGCCAAACCAAACUGAUAAUUCGAAGAGACUUGCAAAGAUAAACCAAUCAUACAUAAAAGAAUUCAGAGGAGAAUCAAAUAUUGUUCAUAGAUAAACUAGAUCAUAAACCCACAAUUCAUCGGAUCUCGACAAACAUACCGCAAAAGAAGAUUACAUCGAAUAGAUCUUCAAGAAGAUCGAGGAGAACUUUGUAUUGAGAUCCAAAGAGAGAGAAGAAGCCAUCUAGCUAAUAACUAUGGACCCGUAGGUCUGAAGUAAACUACUCACGCAUCACCGGAGAGGCCAUGGAGUUGAUGUAGAGGCCCUCCGUGAUCAAUGCCCCCUCCGAAGGAGCUCCGGAAAAGGCCCCAAGAUGGGAUCUCUCGGGUAUAGAAGGUUGCGGCAGUGGAAUUAGGUUUCUGUGUUCUCCUGGAUGUUUGGGGGUACGUGGAUAUAUAUAGGAGGAAGAAGUACGUUGGUGGAGCAACGGGGGCCCACGAGGGUGGAGGGCGCGCCCCCUGCCUCGUGGCCGCCUCCGUUGUUUCUUGACUCCCACUCCAAGUCUCCUGGAUCACGUUUGUUGAGAAAAUCACAUUCCCGAAGGUUUCAUUCCGUAUGGACUCCGUUUGAUAUUCCUUUUCUUCGAAACCCUAAAGUAGGCAAAAACCAACAAUUUGGGCUGGUCCUCCGGUUAGUAGGUUAGUCCCAAAAAUGAUAUAAAAGUGUAAAAUAAAGCCCAUUGACAUCCAAAAUAGAUAAUAUAAUAGCAUGGAGCAAUCAAAAAUUAUAGAUACGUUGGACACGUUUCAUGGAUCACACAUUAGGGUUGGUUGUAUGUUGAUAUAACUAUGCAUUUGAGGGCAAGAGUGACAAAAGCUUCUUUCUAACAUAGAAAUUGAUGCAUACAGGAUUGAAGGAGGACCAGUAUAUCUUAAUGCUAUGGUUGAGUUUUACCUUAAUGAACGUUAGUUGUUGCGGACGCUUGCUAAUAGUUCCAAUCAUAAGUGCAUAGAAUUUCAAGUAAGGGAUGACAUGCUAGCAGUGGCCUCUCCCACAUAAAAACUUGCUAUCGGUCUAGUAACAUAGUCGAUUGCUUAGAGACAAUUCCGCAAAUCCUACCACCACUUUUCUAGACUCGCUAUACUAACUUAAUUGUACUUUUAAUAGAACAUCACCUAACUUUUAUUUUUCACGUUCUUUAUUAUCUUGCAAACUUAUCCUACUAUACCUGCAAGGUACUUCUAGUUUUAUUCUUGGUCUAGGUAAAGUGAACAUUAAGCAUGCGUAGAGUUGUAUCGAUGGUCGAUAGAACUUGAGAGAAUAUAAAUUCCACCUUUAGUUCCUCGUUGAGUUCGACACUAUUACUUAUCGAUAAAGGCUACAAUUGAUCCCCUAUACUUGUGGGUUAUCAACAAGUUCCAUCUUGGUUGCAGGGAUAAUUUGCAGAAUUACUUCCGGUUCCUCUGCCCUAUCAAUGGUUGCCGAAGAUUCACUAAUCUCAUGAAGUUAUAUCGUCCUUCCACUCACUUAUUUAGUGAGAAAUUCUUUUUCAAGAAAGUGCCCAUUCCUAGCAACAAACACUUUGUUGUCGGACUUUUGGUAGAAAGAAUACCAAACUGUAUCUGUGAGAUAACCUACAAAGUAACUUUUGCCUCAUCUUGGAUCAAGUUUGUUUGGCUAUAAACACUUUACAUAUGCCUCACAAACACAAAUUAUGUGAUGCGAGUGGGUUUCUUCCCAUAGCAUAAUUAAAAUGAUGUCGUCUCAACAGACUUAGACGAUGCUCUAUUUAAUGUAUAAGCGGAAGUAGUAAGUGCAUGACCCCAAAAAUAUAUCGGCUGUUCUGUAAGAGACAUCAUAGACCUUACCAUGUCCAACAAGCUACGGUUACAUCUCUAGGAAACUCCAUUCCUCUGUGAAACAAUUCCAUAACCACUAAGAUGUUGACUAAACUCAUGACUAAGAUAUCCACCUCCACGAUCCGAUUGCAGGAAAUUAAUCUUUUUUCCACGAUGAUUUUCUACCUCAUUUUGAAAUUCCUUGAACUUUUCAAAGAUCUCAGACUUAUGCUUCAUCAAGUAGAUAUAACCAUACCUACUUAAAUCAUUAGUAAAAGUCACGAAGUACAAAUACCCACCACAUCUUGUAGUGUUCAUUGGACCACAUACAUCACUAUGCAUUAUUUUCAAUAAUUCACGUGUCGGUUCAGGAGGACUCGGUGAACGGUGUCUUGGUCAUCUUCCCCAUAACACAAUCCUCACAAGUCUCAAAUGAUUCAAAAUCAAAAGACGGUAAAACUCCAUCUAUAUGGAGUCUUUCCAUGCGUUUUUUUCCGAUGUGACCAAGACGACAGUGCCACAUGAAAGUGAUGGUGGCAUCAACCUUCUUAAGGGGUUUGGCUUCUACUUUAAAGAAAUCAUUUUCACAUUCAAGAUUCAGAAUGAACAGGCUCCCAACAAUGGGUGGAAAUCCAUAAAAUUUAUCCUUACAAUAAGGUUAACAACCAUUGUUCUCAGAUUUGUAGGAAUACAUGUCGUGUAUCAAACAUGAUCCAGAGAGGGGAUCCAAUCGCCUCGCUCGCUCUUGUUGACCGUGACAGAAACCGCAGUGGAAGCGGUGUCCAAAGAACUCGAGCACUUCACCUUCUACAACUUUCAUGUCGUCGACAUUGGCAGAGGGUGAAAGGUGGGGAAGCAACAAUUAGGGGAACUGCUCAUGGGCGGUUUCUCUUUGAUGGCGUCAGGGAGAAGAUGGAAGAAUGAGGAAGCAUAGACCCUCUCUCUCACACACACACCUCUCCUAUUUAUAAUGAUGAGGAAUCAAAACCGCCAUGUGACACACGUCGUCACAAGAGCCAAAACCGUGCAUGGAAGUUGAAACAGUCAACAUUUAAAACCAACUAUCACACAAGCAACAACUAGAUUCUAUGUCAGUCGGAUCACAAAAGCCGAGGAUUCCUCCCUCACAAUAAAUUCAUAAGGGAGUCUAAGAACAUGGAAAAUAUCUUGAUGUAACAACACAUCAAAACUAAAAAUGAUGACAUUCAUGAUCCACCUUCCAGUCGGAAUGUGGGACGAAGCGUCUUUUCGGCUACCUGGGUUAGUCCUGAGUCAGAAUUCACGCACCCAUUGUGUGGGAACAAACCCGAGCAUGGAGGUGCUCGAGGAAAACCAAGUGAGACGACACUCAUCACAUAACUAAUCCGUGAACAAAGCAAGGAGCACCCGUGAUAUCCUUCGUGGCACGAGUCAGACCCAACGAAGAGACCAAAUAUCCAGAUGCGCAAACUUGGUUUGCGAGAAAGCUGUCUGACCGGUGUUUCACAUAAAGGGUAUUGACUAGGGAUACUUCGUCAAUUCAAGCCCAGGCGCCUCAAACCGCUGGUUGGAAUUUGAUGAUACGUCCAGAAUUGGGCCAUGAGACAUACUCUUCCGAAGACAUUGAAAUGGGGUAUCACCAAGUUUGUUUCAAAUUGCUCACCCUUUCGCCUUCAGAAGGCAUGAUCAUUUGAGUCUGCGAGGUCUCUCAACCAACCAACCAAUGGUGAUCAGAGUCCAUCAAAUAGUCAGAAUGUUCUCCAAUGUUGAACAAUCAGUUUCUUCAUCCAGACCUCGACUGACUCGAGGGCUAUUGUCGAAGUUAUACCUACGGGGUAGGACAAGAUAUGUAAAUGGUCAUGCCAAGGGCCCAUGCCCAUCAAGAAAACGGUGCAGCAGAUAAUGGGCCGGCCAAGGGGCAACCUUUCCAACCCAUUGGAGACAUAACCUAAGAUAUCAAACANNNNNNNNNNNNNNNNNNNNNNNNNNNNNNNNNNNNNNNNNNNNNNNNNNNNNNNNNNNNNNNNNNNNNNNNNNNNNNNNNNNNNNNNNNNNNNNNNNNNNNNNNNNNNNNNNNNNNNNNNNNNNNNNNNNNNNNNNNNNNNNNNNNNNNNNNNNNNNNNNNNNNNNNNNNNNNNNNNNNNNNNNNNNNNNNNNNNNNNNNNNNNNNNNNNNNNNNNNNNNNNNNNNNNNNNNNNNNNNNNNNNNNNNNNNNNNNNNNNNNNNNNNNNNNNNNNNNNNNNNNNNNNNNNNNNNNNNNNNNNNNNNNNNNNNNNNAAUCGGAUCCUCCACCCAUGAAGGAUAAGACCCAACAAUCGGUAGUCACCAAGGCAACAACAGUCGGGAAGCUUACAGUCGGGUGUGCCAUAGGAUACCAUGACCCCCACGAUGCAUUCAUUACUAUCAUUACAGAAAGGUGGUAUAAUCUAGUUAAAUACGACAGUUACAAGUAAUAAGUGCAAUGUAUAGCCGGUCAUGCAUGUGACCGUUAAUAGCUUUAAUAGCAGCCAGUUAUGGAACCCCUCCUAGCUAGCGCACUCUAUAUAAUCUGGAAGGGGGCAUCAGUGUGAGGGUUGAACUCUCUCACAUUGUACCUGCGCCAAUAGAAAGAUCACCACACAGGAUUAGGGACCUUCACCGUUGAGGACCCGAAUUUGUAAUUCCUUCUGCGUACUCUCAUCCAUGACAUUGUGCAUUAGAGAUUUGGUCUUUGCAACACCUCUUGAUCCAUCCAAAUCAAAUUUCAUAGCCAUCUAACACAGAAUCAGGGGAUAACUACCUAAAAUACCAUAUUGAGCCAUUCUUCUUUCUUCCUUUUAGAACAAUGAUAUGUAAUUUUUGAUUUACUACACAGUAUAAAAAAUUAUAAAUAAGAUAUAAAUCAAUAAAAAGCUUUGAUAAAAAAGUAAACCUCUUCCAUGUCUCCAAUAAUGAUAUAGUAGAAGACAACAUCUUGGAGUGUUGGACUAGCCUCAUAUGUUUUAAUGAGUUGUAUGAGUAGUACACCCAAAACCAUGGCAGCUUAAGGCCGGUGAGCACACCAUGGUUGGAGACACAACUCUUCAACAAAAUAUUUUCAAUCUGUUGCUCAAUCGCUCCACCAUUGUUGAAAAUACCAACAAGUGUUAUAAGAUGAGUCAUGAGAACUGCUAGCUCCAUGGAGUUACAAUGGCUAAUGCAACUAAGGGGAGCCAGUAAGUCCUCUAUAAGUUUGAUACGACACCAUCAUCACAAUUCAGAUGUUGUUCUAAACAUUUGCAGUAAAAUAUCUUUAGAUGUACUAUAAACUACGAUCGUGUACUCUUUAUACUCUAGUAGUGAGUACUGUAAGCUCUAUGUGAUCAUGUAUUUUGAAUUACUUCAUAUUAUAAAUAAUUGGGAAGCUAGCGAGGCUGAAGUGAACAUAUAAAUUACUCAUAAAACUUAUGAAAUUAAUUGAUGCCCAAGAAGUGAAACUUUUUGUUAUCAAUAGAAUGUGAAAAUCAAGAAGCAGUGCAGAGCCACCAAAUAACGCGACGCUGAGCCACAAGAUCCUCUGAGAGAAGUGGCCUACUCGGAAACUCUACCAUUCAACACUACAAAACACAUACAUCACCUACCAGCACAUGCUUCUCUCUCCCUUGCACGUUGUUCGAACUUUCUUCCAUUGUUGGCCACAAGGUCAGAUUUAUUGACGACCAUCAGUGCGAACCUCCAUCUUUGUGAUUGGCUGAGAGAAAAAACAACACGAGGAACGAAAAACACACACAAUUAACUUCAACUUUAGCGUCUUUUUUUACUGAAAAAAUGGUCCAACAAUCGGCUUCACAAACCACAGGAAAACAUCUACCAUUUCACUAUGGAGAGGAUAAAGUAUUUCAAGACCACGAACAAGCCUAUGCAUAUGCAUGUUCGGCACAGAAAUGCCGAUGAAGAGUGAAAAUAUAUUUAAAAUGAUAUUUCAUUAUAGAAAAACUCCUCCUGAGAAUUUGACAACAAUGUGUUUAUAAACACGCUUAAAAGUGCAAACACACACUCACGCUUACAUAUCAUCUACCAAAGAAUGGAGUGGCCAAUUUUAAUACUCAUGCCAUUCGAAAGCAUAAAGUUGCAGUUUGACCAUCAUAAUUUCAUGCUUUGACUAUCAAUGUUAUAGAACAAAACAAUAUCUAAUAUUUAAGUCUACAAAUUGUUUUUUCUGUUAUACUCGUUUUGAAAUUAUCCAUGUGGAAGUGUUCCAUUGGUAUAGAUUUAUGUUUACAAAACACCAAGACAUAAAAAUUAUCGAACAAAUGACAUAGUGUAGUUGUUUCAAGUUGCUAGACAUUGCUACAUUAACUAUUAAACUAGAGGAUACCCCGCACGUUGUUGCGGGAAUAUUAUGCAACACAUUUCAAUGUGAUUCAUUGUACGAAACAUGAAUAUUUGAAGCAAUAAUAUAAAAGGCUAAAACUAAAAAUACAUAUAAUUUAUUAUGUUUGAUUACUAUAUAAAUGUAAAAUGUAUAAAUAGCAUAAUAGAAUGAAAAUUCUCAUGUCCAUUUGCAUGUUGAGAUGUGUCUUUUUUCAUGCAUAUUUCAUGAUCAAGUGGCAUGCUUGCAUGUUAAAAGACAUAUGAUAGUGGGGGUGGACUUUUUCUCAUGCAUGUUGUGUGAUGAUGUGGCAUGCUUGCAUGUUGAGAGAAAUAGUUAGUGGGGGCUAGCUAUUUAGAUAUAGAAGAUACCAUCUAUUUUUUUGCGGGUGAAAAAUAGCAUCUACUUUCGCAAGAAAAAACUAUUAAAUACCAUCUUCAAAAUCAAACAAAAUAGGGCAAUUAACAUUCUAUAAAUCUUUAGAUAUUGAAGGUGCUAAACUUAAAGUUAUAUGCAUUCUCUUGGAUCGGAUUGAUUUUAUAGUAAUAGUUUUCUAAUAAUAAGAGGAAGAGGAGUAGAAAUGUUUUCUAAAUUUAGGCACUGUUUCCAUAUUCCACAGCAAAUUUAAUUAGAUGUGCUCUAGUUAUUGCAUAUCUAAGUGAGUGAAUCAAACAUAAAGUGAGAAAAAAGAAAAAAAAUAUCCACACGAAUCUCAACGUAAGACCAAUGACAUAAGAUUUAGAUGUGCAAUACUUACAUCACAUCUAGAUGUGCUUUAAGAAAACUGUUUAAUAAAAUAUAACAUAUGAUCAACAAUAUCUUAUAAUAGGCAUAUGUUUAUGGAAAAAAUAAAUCUCAAUGUUACAAUUUCGUGAAUAUAUCCAUCUCUAAGAGGGCUACUGUGUUAGUUUAAUGAGUCUAAUGUAAAAUUAGGGUGAUGCAUCGCAUCAGUCCCACCAGGCCACCACUUCGUGGUUCUAGCUAAAGAUAUAUAGCAAAGGGGCCGACAAGAAGGAAUGAGACACUCGGAACGAAGAAGAGUCAAACAUUGUCGAUAUAAGUCCUAGUAACUCCAGAGCGCGACAUCAGCUCCGGCUCCGCCGUCGGCGCAGUCCCCAUUGUCCCAGUACUGCCCGGUGGCCAUGGUAGGCGGUGGCUCCAUGAGCAGGCCCUGCGCAAGGUUCGCGUAGUAGUACGUGUCCGAGUCCGUCUCCCCAAACAGGCAGUCGAGGUCGAACAUAUCCAUGCUUAAUGCGCCUGGCUCUUCAAAAUUGGCAUCACCGGAGGUCUGCGCCGUCUCGGACGAGGGGACACUGCACGCCGCCGCCGACGGGAUGUCCACGCUGGAGGCGACUUCCUCGACCGCCGCAGCGGCACCGGUGGCCUCCGGACGGCGCAGGAAGUCCGCGACGGCCUGGACGGCCGCGCGCCGGACAUCAGAGAGGUUGGAGAAGGCGGGCGGCACCGAAAGCAGCCACGCGGAGUCCCGGAAGUUGAGGCACGCGGCGGAACGGCCGCGCAGCAUGAGCAUUGCGGCAUCGUGCGCGCGCGCGGCCGCCUCGGCGGUGAAGUACGACCCGAGCCAGAGGCGCGUGCCGCGCUCCCCGGGGACGCGCACCUCGCAGACCCACCGGCCGGCGCUGCCACGGCGCCGCACGCCGCGGAACACGGGGUGCCGCGUCUCCCGGAACUUGGUGCGGCCCGCGGGGCGCUUCGGCGGCCACGGCCACGCCGUCCCCCCGUGCUCGGUCGUGGUCGUGGACGAGGAGGAGGGAGAGCUCGAGUGCUCGAGGCUCAUGUCCAUGGCUGCUGGCUGGCUGCCGGUCGAUGGCUCGGUGGUGGUACUUCAGGAAAGCUCGAGUGCUUGAGGCUUGUGCAGUUGUGCUCGAGCGAAAGAGUGAGAGUGUUACUUAGUGUCGUGCUCGUGCGUGUGCGUAUUUAUGCGUGUAACAAUAAGAUGACAGCUGUUUCCUUAGCCGCGUUCCUGCGUCGCGUCCAGUCAUUGUAUGGCAAGCCGCGCUUUGGAAGCGCAGCAUACGCUGCUUUGAGUGCACUCCAGCGGAUAAGACGCGGCUUCGUAUAGCUUCCUUGCUCGUAGGCGCGAGCUGAGUUCACAUGUUGUUAAGUCGCUACCUGAAAUGAUUAUGUGAGGCAUCGUGGCGCUUUCCUGAAGCGUGUUAUGUUACCACGUGGGAAGCAUGGCGCUUUCCUGCCAGGCGUUUGCCUGUUCGCUAAGUGAGGCCGUGAGUAUGAAGAAGGUCACGGGUGACUCGUGAACCUAGCGACUGGCAUAUUGGUGGCAACUGGCGUUUAGUCAGGGGUUCCAUGUACACGCAUGUCAAUAUCUUUUUUUUUUGCGGAAAUGUCAGUAUCUAUUUAAAAAUGAACGCAUUUUCAUCAUUAGAUUAUUAGCACGAAUCUCAGGGCAAAUCUACUUUCAUGUAGGCUUCUGGCAUCCCUUAUGGUCGAACUAACCGAACGACGACCGGCAGCCCACCCGGUCAUCUCCCUGCUCACGGGACGUGGAGGCAAAGUGUUCCCUAAGAGCCACAAUGGCUCAUCGUAUUUUCCUCACGCCCUUAUACAAUGCAAGGUGCCGUGAAUUCACUAAAGGACUUUUGAGGGCGAUCACCGAAUCCGUAUAAAUGGAGACCCUUGUGGGCGGUUACCAAACCUGUACAAAUUGCCCGGGGCAAUCUCCACAACUUAAUUGGAGGCUCUUGAAGAUUGCCCAAAGCUUUACACCAUAAUGACUGAGCUCCGUGACAGCAUCAACCAUUUAGGGCACCCAAGCACCCAGGAGGAACAAAUUGUAGGGUACCAAGCACCCAAGAGUUAAAAAGCUUCUCGAAAUUUCACUUCCAUGUAUCACCGUGAAAAACUCAAACUUAUGCACCAAAGGCAAUGGCAAGAGCACACGGAAUGCUCAAGUCAUUCUCUCCAAAUCCCACCACAACAAAUAAUGCUAUGGCGAUAUAUGAGAGAAAGAACAAAGGAGAAGAACACAAAAGAAUGUCAAGAUCUAAAUUCAAAGGGUUCCCCUCACUUAGAAGAUAUGGAUUGAUGAAAAUGUAGAUAUAGAUCUUCUCUCUCUUUUUUUCUUAAAUAGACGCAAGAAUUAAGGGAGAAACAGAGAGAAAGCAAACUACAAUAGGUCAACAAUGGUAGGGGAACCUUGCUCAGAUUCAUUGGGGCCAUUGGGGAAGAAGACCCCCUUAAAUAGGCUCCUACGUACGAAUCUAACCGUUACGAUGUAGAAAAACACUGGAGCAGUACAACCACUUGGAUAAGUGGUACAACUGCUCCAGGCAGUAAAACCAUGAGGUGGUGGCCUAGGCGGUACAAUCACUCAUCACACCGGUUGCAUCGUUUAUUAAAACAACCGGAACUAUGGUGCUCCCACCGCUCACUACCGCACCCCAAAACCCAGAGGAAUCACCCUCGAGCGGUAGUUGCGGCGGUACAAAUGCCGCUACAACCGUCCCAAAAGCUUAUAGGAGUGGCUGUAAGUUCCAUUGCAGUACAAAUGUUGGAACAACCGUCCCAGAACCAUGCACACACCAGGCAAGCAGCCCAAUCGCCAAAGCCGUUGACGGAACCGAUAAUAUCUGUUGACGCCUGAGUGCCUCCAGUUUGUUAAUCAAACUGUUGAGAAGAGACAAUCUGUCUAAAAUCCCACAUUGAAGAUGCUACGGCAAUCUUACGCAUCCGACACAAGUCUAUGUCAAUAAUAAAUCUGGAUGUUAUCUCAGGUCCCAGAAAAUACAUCGCCUUUGCUGCACCUUCAUAACCGCAACUAGCCAUCAAUAUCUUUGUCAAACAUGACCCGAACAUUCCUUAUCGAAAACAAUAACAUGGCCACCCAAACGAAAAUAAAUUGGAAACGUAAAAAAAGAAGAUGGAACAUGAUAGUCAAAUAUGGUACUUGUGUACACAUUUUUCUCUAUUGAUCCCAAAUUACGAUAUCAUUCAUUCUUUCUUUCUCUGGUGAAGAGGAAUUUAUUAAUAAUGGGUAAAAAUACAUUCAUUACAAAAUAAAUAAUGCCCCCUCCGUUCCAAAAUAUCAUGGUUUUAGUUCUAUUUACAUGCCACACUUUGCUUUGCAGAAAUACACAAUUGAUUUUAUGCAGAAGUUCCAAAAUCCUGACAGUAUUUUCUUUUGUUGUUGCAGCCUUGCUCUUGUUGUUUUAUCAGAUGGGCUUGUCCCCUGUCUCACCCUGUUACAACUUACAACUAUGCGCCUUUUGUGCUAUGGGAACAAUGGGAAGAGGCAGGUAGCCCUUUUUCUGCAAACAUGUCACUGUCUCGUACAAGCUUUGCCUCAGCGGAGUGAACUCCAACCCCAGCUCCCUCAGCCUCAGGUUUGAGAAUGUAACACCCCAUAUGUAAACUGCCAUAUUUGUAUUCCAACUCUUGCCAUUUCCGGCACUAAGUUAUGAUAUUUCCUCGUUGUCGGGUUUUUUUGUCUUCGUGUUGUUUUGCCUUUGUCAUGCAUCUCAUAUCAUGUCAUCAUGUGCAUCGCAUUUGCAUACGUGUUCGUCUCAUGCGUCCGAGCUUUUUCCCCGUUGUCCGUUUUGCAUUCCGGCGCUCCUAUGUCCUCCGGUGCCUCCUUUUACCUCUUUUCGUGUGCGGGUGUUAAACGUUCUUGGAUUGGACCGAGACUUGCAAAGCGGCCUUGGUUUACUACCGGCAGACCGCCUGUCAAGUUUCGUGCCAUUUGAACUUCGUUUGAUACUCCAACGGUUAACCGAGGGACCGUAAAGGCCUCGUGUGUGUUGCAGACCAACACCUCUCCAAAGUGGCCCAAAACCCACCUAAACCACUUCCAUCAUCUCAGUCAUUCGAUCACGAUCGCGUGGCCUAAAACCGUGCUCAAUUUGGAGCCUCCUAGCUCCUUUUAUGUAUAAAUAGGUCCUCCCAUUCCAAACCCCGGGUCAAUCCACCCCUAACCCUAACCCUAGCCCUGCUCCUCUCCGAGCGCCGGACGCGUCCGCCCGCCGCCGGACAACCUCGCCGCCGCCACUCACCGCCCGCCACGUGGCGCCCCGCCGACCCGUCGCCGCCGAGGCCCGCGGGUUCCAGAUCCGGCCCUNNNNNNNNNNNNNNNNNNNNNNNNNNNNNNNNNNNNNNNNNNNNNNNNNNNNNNNNNNNNNNNNNNNNNNNNNNNNNNNNNNNNNNNNNNNNNNNNNNNNNNNNNNNNNNNNNNNNNNNNNNNNNNNNNNNNNNNNNNNNNNNNNNNNNNNNNNNNNNNNNNNNNNNNNNNNNNNNNNNNNNNNNNNNNNNNNNNNNNNNNNNNNNNNNNNNNNNNNNNNNNNNNNNNNNNNNNNNNNNNNNNNNNNNNNNNNNNNNNNNNNNNNNNNNNNNNNNNNNNNNNNNNNNNNNNNNNNNNNNNNNNNNNNNNNNNNNNNNNNNNNNNNNNNNNNNNNNNNNNNNNNNNNNNNNNNNNNNNNNNNNNNNNNNNNNNNNNNNNNNNNNNNNNNNNNNNNNNNNNNNNNNNNNNNNNNNNNNNNNNNNNNNNNNNNNNNNNNNNNNNNNNNNNNNNNNNNNNNNNNNNNNNNNNNNNNNNNNNNNNNNNNNNNNNNNNNNNNNNNNNNNNNNNNNNNNNNNNNNNNNNNNNNNNNNNNNNNNNNNNNNNNNNNNNNNNNNNNNNNNNNNNNNNNNNNGUCCCUCGUCGCCCUUCGCCGCGCCCGAGGCCCCUUCCUCGCCGCCGCGCCAUCCCGGCCCCAGAUCCGGCCGGCCCCGCCCGUUUCGGCCGGGCUCCUCCUCUCCGGCGAACCCCCGCGACGCUUCGGCCACCGCUGCUUCUUUUCUGGCGAUUCUCGAAGAGCGUGCACGAACCCUAGAUCUGGGAGAGAGGUUGACUUUUUCGUAAGUCCCCAGUAUUUUUUGGGCAUUUUCAUCGCAUCAUAUCUUUGCACCGGUGGCUCCGUUUUGGGUGUUUAGCAUAUCCAAUUGUUCGUCUCGACGAGUACUUCAUUUCAUUCCAUUGCACCAUGUUCAUUUGAGUAUAUCUUGAUGCCCUAAAUGCUAUUGCAAGAGUGCUAUGCAAUGUUAGUUUCAAUUUCUUAUCAGCAUUUGGACAUUUGUCAUUUUUGCCAUGAUUAAUGUGUGCCUCCUAUGAACUUGAGCCCUACAUGAGUUUAGAAGUAUGCCAUGCCAUCUUUACAGGGUGUAUGACAUGUAUUUUUGCGAUCUCUGUGGUGACUAGCACAAGUAUGCAAAAUAGCUCUCGUAAUGUUGCUGAUUUCAGGGACUUAGAAAUCAUCUAAGUCUUUUCCCUGAUAUUAUUUUUAUGCCAUGUAUUCAUGUUGCUACAGAGUGAUCCAUGAAUCUUUUGAGCAUGAUUAGAAAGGACGUUUUGUAGAUAUUGUUGUGCUCUAUCCAUCCAUGUCUUUGUUUGCAUUUGUGGAGCACCCUAGCUUGACUCAAUCGAGCUCUACUUUUGCUAUAAAAUGUUACUGGCAGAAUGUUUACGUGUUAAGCAUUUUUGCCGAGGUUGUUGUAGUUGAUCCAUGCAUGCUAUGAGGUUGUUCUUGCCAUGUUUAGCUUCUAUGCCAUGUUUACUUGCUGGGUGUAUGCUUAGUUUGUCAUGGAAUGCCUUGUGGUGAGUGCAUCGAGCUCGUAAACAUGCCUACUUAAUAUCUGUUUUGCCAUGUUUCAGUUUUCUUCUAAGUCUGAAUCUGUUAACGAAACUUGCUAUGUUCACAUGGUUGCCAUUGUAUUUUCUGAUCCCUUUUGGCUUAUGGUCAGUAAGGGACUUUUGUUGUAUGCUUUGAGUAGCUUCAUGCCAUGCCUUGCUUUGCCAUGAUAUGUUCCUGUAGCAUGUUGUUAUCUUGCUCUAAACACUGCUUCCUGAUGUUAAAUUCCUGGCUUGUUAAUUUCACUAAGUCUGUAACCUGAUAUCUUUUGCACUUUUGCCAUGCUUGUUUGAACCUAUUAUUGAGUGAAUUAGCCGUAGCUCAGUGUUCAUCUUUUGUCAAGCAUCUUGAGUGGAUCAAUGCCAUGUGCUUUGUUGCUAUGUUAGAGGGCAGUAGCUUGUUAUUCUUGAUGCAUUUAGAUGGCCUCGUGUUGUUAAUCGCAGAUCGGUGCCAUAUUUGUUUUGCUUGCCAUUUGCAAACCGUGCACCCGUUUCCGGUGAUCUUCAUAUCGAUUUCGACCGAAAUCAACUCAUCUUUCUAGUGGAACUCUUGGUUUUCCAAGUUGAGGCCAGGUUCAAUCUUUCCUUUCCGAAGCAUGCAUAUGCAUUGCAUUUCACGUUCCGCAUAUCAUGCCAUGUUUUGCAUCAUGUUGCUUGUGCAUUGCACGUGGUUGAUUGUGGUUCCCUUUGUUUGUGUUCUUGCUUUGGGUAGAGCCGGGAGACGAGUACGUGAACGAGGAGCCCGUUGAGUACGCUUACGAGGAUCAAGGUAACGUCAACUCGUAGAACUUUGUAGGCAAGAUGACCAUACCCUCGAAAUCACUUUUAUCUUUGCUUGCUAGAUACUCGCUCUUUUGCUAUGCCUAUGCUACGAUACCUACCACUUGCUUAUCAUGCCUCCCAUAUUGCCAUGUCAAGCCUCUAACCCACCUUGUCCUAGCAAACCGUUGUUUGGCUAUGUUACCGCUUUGCUCAGUCCCUCUUAUAGCGUUGCUAGUUGCAGGUGAAGAUUAGAGUUUGUUCCUUGUUGGAACAUGUUUAUUUUUGGGAUAUCAUUAUUAUAUCUUGUAUUUUAAUGCAUCUAUAUACUUGGUUAUGGGUGGAAGGCUCGGCCUUAUGCCUGGUGUUUUGUUCCACUCUUGCCGCCCUAGUUUCCGUCAUACCGGUCUUAUGUUCCUUGAUUUUGCGUUCCUUACACGGUUGGGUUAUAAUGGGAACCCCUUGACAGUUCGUCUUGAAUAAAACUCCUCCAACAAUGCCCAACAUUGGUUUUACCAUUUGCCACCUAGCCUCUUUUCCCUUGGGUUCCACGGACUCAAGGGUCAUCUUUAUUUUAAACCCCCGGGCCAGUGCUCCUCUGAGUGUUGGUCCAACUUGUCAGCCGCCGGUGGCCACCAGGGGCAACUUUGGGCUGGCCUACCAGAAGUUUAGACAAUUCGGUGUGCCCUGAGAACGAGAUAUGUGCAGCUCCUAUCGGGAUUUGUUGGCACAUUCGGGUGGCUUUAAUGGUUUAGUUUUACCAUUGUCGAGAUAUCUUGUAACUGGGAUCCCGAGUCUGGUCGGGUUGUCUUGGGAGAAGGAAUAUCCUUCGUUGACUGUGAGAGCUUGUGAUGGGCUAAGUUGGGACACCCCUGCAGGGAUUUGAAAUUUCAAAAGCCGUGCCCGCGGUUAUGGGCAGAUGGGAAUUUGUUAAUGUCCGGUUGUAGAAAACCUGAAUCUUAACUUAAUUAAAAUGAAUCAACAGAGUGUGUGGCCGUGAUGGUCUCUUUUGUUGGGGAUCGUAGCAGAAAUUUAAAAUUUUCUACGCAUCACCAAGAUUAAUCUAUGGAGUAAUCUAGCAACGAGGGGAAGGGGAGUGCAUCUACAUACCCUAGUAGAUCGCUAAGCGGAAGCGUUGCAAGAACACGGAUGAAGGAGUCGUACUCGCAGCGAUUCAGAUCGCGAUUGAUUCCGAUCUAAGCGCCGAACAACGGCGCCUCCGCGUUCAACACACGUGCAGCCCGGUGACGUUUCCCACACCUUGAUCCAGCAAGGGGAGAAGGAGAGGUUGGGGAAGACUCCGUCCAGCAGCAGCACGACGGUGUGGUGGUGGUGGAGGAGCGCGGAACUCCAGUAGGGCUUCGCCAAGCACUACGAGAGACGAGGAGGGAGAGAGGUAGGGCUGCGCCAAGAGGGAGAUGAUCUCGUGUGUCUUGCAGCCCCCAAUACCUCAAGUAUAUAUAGGGGAAGGGAAGGGGCUGCGCCCCCAUCUAGGGUUCCCUCCCUAGGGGUGGCGGCAGCCCCAAAACCCAUCUAGGGUGGCGCCAAUGGGGAGAGAGGGGGGCGCACCUAGGGUGGGCCUUAAGGCCCAUCUGGACCUAGGGUUUUCCCCCUCCCACUCUCCCUUGCGCCUUGGGCCUUGGUGGGGGGCGCACCAGCCCACCUGGGGCUGGUCCCCUCCCACACUUGGCCCACGCAGCCUUCUAGGGCUGGUGGACCCCCGGUGGUCCCGGAACGUUACCGAUAGCACCCGAAACCUUUCCGGUGAACAAAACGGGACUUCUCAUAUAUAAAUCUUUACCUCCGGACCAUUCUGGAACUCCUCGUGACGUCCAGGAUCUCAUCCGGGACUCCGAACAACAUUCGGUAACUGUGUACAUACUUUCCAUAUAACCCUAGCAUCAUCGAACCUUAAGUGUGUAGACCCUACGGGCUCAGGAGUCAUGCAAACAUGGCUGACACAACUCUCCUAUCAAUAACCAACAGUGGGAUGUGGAUACCCAUGUUGGUUCCCACAUGCUCCAUGAUGAUCUCAUCGGAUGGACCACGAUGUCAAGGAUUCAAUCAAUCCCGUAUACAAUUCCCUUUGUCAAUCGGUACGAUACUUGCCCGAGGUUCGAUCGUCGGUAUCCCGAUACCUUGUUCAAUCUCGUUACCGGCAAGUCUCUUUACUCAUUCCGUAACACAUCAUCCCGUGAUCAACUCCUUGGUUACAUUGUGCACAUUAUGAUGAUGUUCUACCGAGUGGGCCCAGAGAUACCUCUCCGUUACACAGAGUGACAAAUCCCAGUCUCGAUUUGUGCCAACCCAACAGACACUUUCGGAGAUACCCGUAGUGCACCUUUAUAGCCACCCAGUUACGUUGUGAUGUUUGGCACACCCAAAGCACUCCUACCGUAUCCGGGAGUUGCACAUUCUCAUGGUCUAAGGAAAUGAUACUUGACAUUAAAAAAACUUUAGCAUACGAACUACACGAUCUUGUGCUAGGCUUAGGAUUGGGUCUUGCCAUCACAUCAUUCUCCUAAUGAUGUGAUCCCGUUAUCAACGACAUCCAAUGUCCAUGGUCAGGAAACCGUAACCAUCUAUUGAUCAACGAGCUAGUCAACUAGAGGCUUACUAGGGACAUGGUGUUGCCUAUGUAUCCACGCAUGUAUCUGAGUUUCCUAUCAAUACAAUUCUAGAAUGGAUAACAAACGAUUAUCAUGAACAAUGAAAUAUAAUAAUAACUAAUUUAUUAUUGCCUCUAGGGCAUAUUUCCAACAGUCUCCCACUUGCACUAGAGUCAAUAAUCUAGUUCACAUCGCUAUGUGAUUAACACUCACAGGUCAAAUCGCCAUGUGACCAACAUUCAAAGAGUUUACUAGAGUCAAUAAUCUAAUUCACAUCACUAUGUGAUUAACACUCAAUGAGUUCUGGGUUUGAUCAUGUUAUGCUUGUGAGAGAGGUUGUAGUCAACGGGUUUGCAAUAUUCAGAUCCCUAUGUAUUUCGUAAGACUUUAUGUCAUAUCGUAGAUGCUGCUACCACGUUCCACUUGGAGCUAUUCCAAAUUGUUGCUCCAUUAUACGUAUCUGGUAUCUCUACUCAGAGCUAUUCGGAUAGGUGUUAAUCUUGCAUCGACGUAACUCUUUACGUCGAACUCUUUAUCACCUCCAUAAUCGAGAAACAUUUCCUUGUUCCUCUAAGGAUAAUUUUGACCGCUAUCUGGUGAUCAACUCCUAGAUCACCUUUGUACCCUCUUGCCAGACAUAUGACAAGGCACACAUCUGGUGCGGUACUCAGCAUGGCAUACCGUAUAGAGCCUAUGACAAAAGCAUAGGGGACGACCUUCGUCCUUCCUCUUUCUUCUGUCGUGGUCAAUCUUUGAGUCUUACUCAACUUCACACCUUACAACUCAGGUAAGAACCCCUUCUUUGAUUGAUCUAUUUUGAACUCCUUCAAAAACAUGUCAAGGUGUGCGUUUUUGAAAGUAUCAUCAGGCGUCUUGAUCUAUCUCUAUAGAUCUUGAUGCCCAAUAUGUAAGCAGCUUUAUCCAGGUCUUCCUUUGAAAAUCACUCUUCAAACAACCGUUUAUGCUUUCUAGAAAUUCUACAUUAUUUCGAAUCAACAAUAUGUCAUCCACAUAUACUUAUCAGAAAUGUUGUAGUGCUCCCACUUACUUUCUUGUAAAUACAAGUUUCUAGCAAACAUUGUAUAAACCUAAAAGCUUUGAUCACUCCAUCAAAGCAUAUAUUCCGACUCCGAGAUGCUCGCUCUAGUCCAUAGAUGGAUCACUGGAGCUAGCAUACCUUUUAGCAUCCUUAGGAUCGACAAAACUUUGAUUGUAUCACAUACAACUCUUUCUUACGAAAAAUGGUAAGAAAACUUGUUUUUGACAUCCAUCUGUCGGAUUUCAUAAUCGAAAAAUACAGCUAAUGCUAACAUGAUUCCGACGGACUUAAGCAUCGCUACGGGUGAGGAAUUCUCAUCGCAGUCAACUCCUUAAACUUGUGAAAAGACUCUUUCCCACAAGUCGAGCUUCAUAGACGGUAACAUUACCGCCCAUGUCCGUCUUCUUCUUAAAGAUCCAUUUAUCUCAAUGGCUUGCCGAUCAUCGGGCAAGUCCACCAAAGUCCAUACUUUGUUCUGAUACAUGGAUCCUAUCUCGGAUUUCAUGGCUUCUAACCAUUGGUCGGAAUACGGGCCCACCAUCACUUCUCCAUAGCUCAUAGGUUCAUUGUUGUCUAACAACAUGAUAUCUAAGACAGGAUUACCGUACCACUCAGGAGUAGUACAUAUCCUUGUCGACCUACGAGGUUUGAUAGCAACUUGAUCCGAAGCUUCAUGAUCACUAUCAUUAACUUCCUAUUCAACAGAUGUAGGCGCCACAGAAAACAUCUUUCUGUGUUGCAUCACUCUCUGGUUGAAGUAAAGGUUCGACAACCUCAUCAAGUUCUAUCUACCUCCCACUUAAUUCUUUCGAGAGAAAACUCCUUCUCGAGAAAGGACCCGUUCUUAGCGACAAACAAUUUGCCCUCGGAUCUGAGAUAGAAGGUGUACCCAACUGUCACCUUUGGGUAUUCUAUGAAGAUGUGUUUGUCCGCUUUGGGUUUGAGCUUCUCUGGCUGAAGCCUUAGGCAUCGCAGCCCCAAACAUUAAGAAACGACAACUUUGGUUUCUUGCCAAACCAAUGUUCAUAUGAUGUCGACUAAACGGACUUAGAUGGUGUCCUAUCUAAAGUGAAUGCAGCUGUCGCUAACGCAUAACCUCAAAAUGAAAACGGUAGAUCGGUAAGAGACAUCAUAGAUCGCACCAUAUCUCAUAGGGUUCGAUUACGACAUCCAGACACACCAUUACCCUGUGGUGUUCCAGGUGUCUUUAACUGUGAAACAAUUCCACAAUGUCUUAAGUGAUUGCCAAACUCAUAACUCAGAAAUUAUCAUCGAUCAGAUCGUAGGAAUUUGAUCUUCUUGUUAUGAUGGUUCUUAACUUCACUCUGAAAUCGCUUGAACUUUUCAAAUGUUUCAGACUUGUGCUUCAUUAAUUAAAUAUACCUAUAUCUACUCAAAUCGUCAGUGAAGAUGAGGAAAUAGCGAUAUCCACCGCACGCUUCAAUUCUCAUUGGAUCACACGCAUCAGCAUGUAUGAUUUCCAACAAGUCACUUGCCCGUUUCAUUGUACCUGAAAACGGGGUCUUAGUCAUCUGCCCAUGAGGCAUGGCUCGCAUGUGUCAAGCGAUUCAAAAUCAAGUGACUCCAAACAUCCAUCGACAUGGAGUUUCUUCAUGCAUCUUACGCCAAUAUGACCUAAGCGGCAGUGCCACAAGAAAGUGGUACUAUCAUUAUUAACUCUACAUCUUUUGGCAUGAACAUGCGUAUUACCACGACCGAGAUUCAAUGAACCAUUCACAUAGGGUGCAUGACCAUGAAAGGUAUUAUUCAUGUAAACAGAAUAACCAUUAUUCUCUAACUUAAAUGAAUAACCGUAUUGCAAUGUACAUGAUCUAAUCAUAUUCAUGCUCAACAUAGACACCUGAUAACAUUUAUCUAGGUUCAAUACUAAUCCCGAAAGCAGAUGGAGCGUGCGAUGGUGAUCUCAUCAACUUUGGAAACACUUCCAACACACAUCGUCACCUCGCCCUUAGCCAGUCUCCGUUUAGUCCAUAGCUUUUGCUUCAAGUCACCAAUAAUAGCAACUGAACCGGUAUCCAAUACCCAGGUGCUACCAGGAGUACUAUUGAGGUACACAUUAAUAACACGUAUAUACUUUGUUGAAGUUGCCAGCCUUCUUAUCUACCAUGCAUUUGGGGUAAUUCCGCUACCAGUGACCGUUCCCCUUACAAUAGAAGCACUUAGUCUCGGGUUUGGGUUCAACCUUGGGUUCCUUCACUGGAGCGGCAACUGGUUUGCCAUCCAUGAAGUUUCCCUUCUAGCCCUUGCCCUUCUCGAAACCAGUGGUCUUGUUAAACCAUCAACACUUGAUGCUCCUUCUUGAUUUCUACCUUUUGCGGUCUUAAGCACCGUGAACAGCUCCGGGAUCAACUCCAUCCCUUGCAAGUCAUAGUUCAUCACGACGAUCUAGUAGCUUAGUGAUAGUGGCUAGAGAACUCUAUCAAUCACUAUCUUAUCUGGAAGUUUAACUCCCACUUGAUUUAAGUGAUUGUAGCACCCAGACAUUCUGAGCACAAGCUCACUAGCUGAGCUAUUCUCCUCCAUCUUGUUGGCAAAAGAACUUGUCAGAGGUCUCAUACCUCUCAACACGGGCAUGAGCCUGAAAUCCCAAUUUCAGCUCUAGGAACAUCUCAUAUGUCUUAUGGCGUUCAAAACGUCAUUGGAAUCCCGAUUCUAAGCCGUAAAGUAUGGUGCACUAAACUAUCAAGUAGUCAUCAGGAUGUGUCUGUCAGGUGUUCACAACAUCCACAGACGACAUUGUAGGGUUUUGCACAUCGAGCGGUGCAUCAAAGACGUAAGCCUUCUGUGUAGCAGUGAGGACACUCCUCGGACUGCGGACCCAGUCCGCAUCAUUGCUUACAAUAUCUUUCAACUUGGUCUUUCUCUAGGAACGUAUUGAAAUAGGGAGCUACAACGUGAGCUAUUUAUCUACAACAUAUUUGCAAAGACAAUUUAGACUAUGUUCAUGAUAAUUAAGUUCAUCUAAUCAAAUUAUUUAAUGAACUCCCACUCAGAUAGACAUCCCUCUAGUCAUCUAAGUGAAACAUGAUCCGAGUCAACUAGGCCGUGUCCGAUCAUCACGUCAGACGGACUAGUCAACAUCGGUGAACAUCUUCAUGUUGAUCGUAUCUUCUAUACGACUCAUGCUCGACCUUUCGGUCUUCCGUGUUCCGAGGCCAUGUUUGUACAUGCUAGGCUUGUCAAGUCAACCUAAGUGUAUUGCGUGUGUAAAUUUGGCUUACACCCAUUUUAUUUGAACGUUAGAAUCUAUCACACCCGAUCAUCACGUGGUGCUUCGAAACAACGAACCUUCGCAACGGUGCACAGUUAGGGGGAACACUUUCUUGAAAUUAUUGCGAGGGAUCAUCUUAUUUAAGCUACCGUCGUUCUAAGCAAAUAAGAUGUAAAACAUGAUAAACAUCACAUGCAAUCAAAUAGUGACAUGAUAUGGCCAAUAUCAUUUUGCUCAUUUUGAUCUCCAUCUUCGGGGCGCCAUGAUCAUCAUCGUCACCGGCAUGACACCAUGAUCUCCAUCAUCAUGAUCUCCAUCAUCGUGUCUUCAUGAAGUCGUCUCGUCAACUAUUACUUCUACUACUAUGGCUAAUGGUUUAGCAAUAAAGUAAAGUAAUUACAUGACGUUUAAGUUGACACACAGGUCAUAAAUAAAUUAAGACAACUCCUAUGGCUCCUGCCGGUUGUCAUACUCAUCGACAUGCAAGUCGUGAUUCCUAUUACAAGAACAUGAUCAAUCUCAUACAUCACAUAUAUCAUUCAUCACAUCCUUUUGGACAUAUCACAUCACAAGGCAUAUGCUGCAAAAACAAGUUAGACGUCCUCUAAUUGUUGUUGCAAAUUUUUAUGUGGCUGCUAUAGGUUUCUAGCAAGAACGUUUCUUACCUACGCCAAAACCACAACGUGAUAUGCCAAUUUCUAUUUACCCUUCAUAAGGACCCUUUUCAUCGAAUCCGAUCCGACUAAAGUGGGAGAGACAGACACCCGCUAGCCACCUUAUGCAACUAGUGCAUGUCAGUCGGUGGAACCUGUCUCACGUAAGAGUACGUGUAAGGUCGGUCCGGGCCGCUUCAUCCCACGAUGCCACCGAAUCAAGAUAAGACUAGUAACAGCAAGUAUAUUGACAAAAUCGACGCCCACAACAACUUGUGUUCUACUCGUGCAUAGAAACUACGCAUAGACCUAGCUCAUGAUGCCACUGUUGGGGAUCGUAGCAGAAAUUUAAAAUUUUCUACGCAUCACCAAUAUCAACCUAUGGAGUAAUCUAGCAACGAAGGGAAGGGGAGUGCAUCUACAUACCCUAGUAGAUCGCUAAGCCGAAGCGUUGCAAGAACGCGGAUGAAGGAGUCGUACUCACAGCGAUUCAGAUCACGGUUGAUUCCGAUCUAAGCGCCGAACAACGGCGCCUCCGUGUUCUACACACAUGCAGCCCGCUGAUGUCUCCCAUGACUUGAUCUAGCAAGGGGAGAAGGAGAGGUUCAGGAAGACUCCGUCCAGCAGCAGCACGACGGCGUGGUGGUGGUGGAGGAACGCGGAACUCCAGCAGGGCUUCGCCAAGCACUACGAGAGACGAGGAGGGAGAGAGGUAGGGCUGCGCCAAGAGGGAGAUGAUCUCGUGUGUCUUGCAGCCCCCAAUACCUCAAGUAUAUAUAGGGGAAGGGAAGAGGCUGCGCCCCCAUCUAGGGUUCCCUCCCUAGGGGUGGCGGCAGCCGCAAAACCCAUCUAGGGUGGCAGCCAAAGGGGGAGAGAGGGGGCGCACCUAGGGUGGGCCUUAAGGCCCAUAUCGACCUAGGGUUUGCCCCCUUCCACUCUCCCUUGCACCUUGGGCCUUGGUGGGGGGCGCACCAGCCCACCUGGGUCUGGUCCCCUCCCACACUUGGCCCACGCAGCCUUCUAGGGCUGGUGGCCCCACCUGGUGGAGCCCCGGGACCCUCCCGGUGUCCCUGUACGUUACCGAUAGCACCCGAAACCUUUCCGGUGACCAAAACGGGACUUCUCAUAUAUAAAUAUUUACCUCCGGACCAUUCCUUAACUCCUCAUGACGUCCGGGAUCUCAUCCGGGACUCCGAACAACAUUCGGUAACCGUGUACAUACUUUCCAUAUAACCCUAGCGUCAUCGAACCUUAAGUGUGUACACCCUACGGGCUCGGGAGUCAUGCAGACAUGGCCGAGACAACUCUCCUGUCAAUAACCAACAGCGGGAUCUGGAUACCCAUGUUGGUUCCCACAUGCUCCACGAUGAUCUCAUCGGAUGAACCACGAUGUCAAGGAUUCAAUCAAUCCCGUAUACAAUUCCCUUUGUCUAUCGGUACGAUACUUGCCCGAGAUUCGAUCGUCUGUAUCCCGAUACCUUGUUCAAUCUCGUUACCGGCAAGUCUCUUUACUCGUUCUGUAACACAUCAUCCCAUGAUCAACUCCUUGGUCACAUUAUGCACAUUGUGAUUAUGUCCUACCGAGUGGGCAAAGAGAUACCUCUCCGUUACACGGAGUGACAAAUCCCAGUCUCGAUUCGUGCCAACCCAACAGACACUUUCGGAGAUACCCGUAGUGCACCUUUAUAGCCACCCAGUUACGUUGUGACUUUUGGCACACCCAAAGCACUUCUACAGUAUCCGGGAGUUGCACAAUCUCAUGGUCUAAGGAAAUGAUACUUGACAUUAGAAAAGCUUUAGCAUACGAACUACGCGAUCUUGUGCUAGGCUUAGGAUUGGGUCUUGUCCAUCACAUCAUUCUCCUAAUGAUGUGAUCCCGUUAUCAACGACAUCCAAUGUCCAUGGUCAGGAAACCGUAACCAUCCAUUGAUCAACGAGCUAGUCGACUAGAGGCUUACUAGGGACAUGGUGUUGUCUAUGUAUCCACACAUGUAUCUGAGUUUCCUAUCAAUACAAUUCUAGCAUGGAUAAUAAACGAUUAUCAUGAACAAUGAAAUAUAAUAAUAACUAAUUUAUUAUUGCCUCUAGGGCAUAUUUCCAACAUCUUUUCGGCAGAGUCCGGGAAGAGAACACGGUCUCGAGUUUAUGCUUGAACGUAGGUUGUUCUAGGAUCACUUCUUGGUCAUAGUUUCUCAACCGUGCCUUGCCUUCUCUUCUCGCUCUCAUUUUCGUAUGUUAGCCACCAUAUAUGCUAGUGCUUGCUGCAGCUCCACAUCAUACCUUUCCCUACCUAUAAGCUUAAAUAGUCUUGAUCGGGAGGGUGUGAGAUUGCUGAGUCCCCGUGACUCACAGUUUACUUCCACAACCAGAUGCAGGGGCCGAUGAUACCGCUCCAGGAGAUUCGACUGAGCUCAAGUGGGAGUUCGAUGAGGACUCAGGACAAUACUACGUUUCCUUUCCAAACGAUCAGUAGUGGAGCCCAGUUGGGGCGAUCGGGGUCAUUAUGCAUUUGGGGUUGUCUUUAUUUUGGUUCCGUAGUCGGACCUUGAUUGUAUCUGGAUGAAUGUAAUGAUAUUUAUGCUAUUGUGUGACGUGGCAAGUGUAAGCCAACUAUGUAACUCUUUUCCGUAUUUAUUACAUGGGUUGUGUGAAGAUUACCCCACUUGCGACAUUGCUUACAAUGCGGUUAUGCCUCUAAGUCGUGCUUCGACACGUGGGAGAUAUAGCCGCAUCAUGGGCGUUACAAGUUGGUAUCAGAGCCUUCCCCGACUUAGGAGCCCCCUGCUUGAUCGAACCGCUGGCGUUGUUGAGUCUAGAAAAAUGUUUUGAGUCAUUUAGGAUUUUAUAUAUCGGAGAGUAGGAUUCUUUUUACUCCUCAGUCCCUUCGUCGCUCUGGUGAGGCAUCUUGACGUAGAGUUUUGACUCUUCUCUUCUCAAAUUUCACUAAAUUUUUUUUAGGAUCACGCAGGUAUUUUGGAAUCAUUCCGAUGGUUUUGUGACGAGAACAUUGUUCUUGGUGCCUCCUAACAUUUAGGGGUUGUGGCAGUGUCCCGGGGAGUUGAUCUCCAAGGUGUUGUCGUCACAAUUUUAUCGUUGCAGUUCUGGAAUACCUGAGUUUCACCGACAUCGAAAAUCUCUUUUAUGCAGUUGUUGGUGAGAUAACCUCGACGCCACCCAGUACUGGGGCGGGAGUUCGGGAGUAUUGCCAUAACUCGUAUAACGGAUGCUUUUCGAAGGUUGAGGUAAAUGAUUUCCGAAGGUUUCUUGGUUAUGUGUUGAAGGAUGGAUACAGCUGGAUGUAGGAUUUGCUAGCUUUGGGUGAGAUAUUAUGCUUCCCCUGUAUCCCCAACACCUGAUUGCAUAACCGGAAAGGUUUGGGAGUUUCAUAGGUGGGAAUUCAUGUAGCUCUAGUAUUUCUUCCGCGAAUAUUUGGUUUGUGAUUGGGAAAUCCUCAGCAAGUAUUUGUUCUUGUCCAUACCUUGUUGUUUUAUUAUUCUACCUCUACCUAAGUGGCUUCUCAAUUUAUGGAAGUGUGACCAUUUAAUUCGGAAUUCAUUCGUUCGUUUUAUUCGGAUGUUAAGACUAUAUGUUGCAAUUUCGAUCCAUUUGAUUCAUCUUGAAUAUAUGUCUGUCAAGAUGCUAACGGAUGUCACCCUCUUCAGGAUGGCUCCUCCAACGCGUCAGAAUCCUGAUCCGCCACCACCACCUCCACCUCCGGAGGCAUGGCAAGCUGUGAUGGUCGCUACCAAUGUCAACCCGCAGAUGCUUAUGCAACUCUUGCAAGAGCACAACCAAGGAAACCAAGGGCAUGGCAACUUUUAGAAUCAGUUUGGUACACUCAACCAGUUCCUCACAAACCAGCCAAAGACCUUCAGUAACUAUGUCGAGGCAAUAGACGCUAAUGAUUGGCUCAUGGAUAUCUGCAAGCAUUUCGAGUGCAGCAACGUCAGGCCUGAGGACUUUGUCAAGUUUGCUUCGUUCCAACUCAAAGACCAAGCUGCUGAGUGGUAUCGGCAAUACAAAGAUUCCAGAGGAGGUCAUGUGAUUACCUGGGAUGCAUUCCGUCAAGACUUCAAAGCUCACCACAUUCCUCAGAGUGUUGUUGAGAGCAAGCGUGAGGAGUUCCGCAAUCUGAAGCAAGGCAGCUUGUCUGUUUACGAGUACAACAUCAUGUUCCAUAAGCUCGCUCGUUUCUCUAAGCAAGACAUCCCUGAUGAGAAGUGCAUGAUUUAUCAGUUCAGAGGUGGUCUCAGAGAAGAUCUCCAACUAGCUCUCGUGAUUUUUGAGCCGAAGAAGUACGAUGAGUUUUACAACAUGGCACUGAAACAAGAGACUGCUCAGCUCAAGUGCGAUGCUUCGAAGAAGCGAGUCAGGGAUGCAACUCCUUCUUCCUCAACUCAAGUGGCAACUAAGCAGCAAAAGUAUUGGUUGCCUCCUCCUCCGUUCCGUCAGCCUUAUCAGCAGAAGAGCAAAGGUGGCAAUGGAUCUUCCCACCCACCCAACCUAGGCUUUCAGAACAAGACUUCGUCUCAUGCUCCAAGAUCAAGUGCUCCGUAUCACCGUCCGCUCUCGGAGGUUACGUGCAACAAGUGUCAUCAGAAGGGUCACUAUGACAACAAAUGCUUCAAUCAGAGGCGUCUUCCUCCUCCUGUGAGAUCUGCCAGCAACGCAAUGGUCAAGCAUAAUCCCAAGUUUGCAAAGGUCAACAUGAUGAACGCAGCUCAGGCAGAGGACUCGUCAGAUGUGAUAAUGGGUAACCUUCCUAUUAAUGAUAUUCCUGCAAAAGUUCUUCUUGACACUGGUGCAUCGCAUUGUUUCAUCUCAAGACCAUUUGCAACUAAGCAUGAGUUGGCUUUACAAGAUUUGCAUAGACCAUUAGCAGUUGUCUCACCGGGUAAAUGCUUGCACACAAGCUACGUGGUUCCGGAUGUUUCUAUCACGUUGGGCGACUAUAAGUUUCUGUCUUCUCCAAUGGUCCUUGGUAACUUGGAUAUUGAUCUUAUUCUCGGAAUGGACUGGCUUUCUAAGCACAAGGCUCAGCUUGAUUGUGCUGCCAGGCAGAUUCAAUUGACACAUUCGUCUGAGGAUGUAAUCGUCUUUGCUGCGCGUGAUGAUACCAUUCGACUGUUUUCUCUCAACGAGAAGGGUGAGCUGGAUGCCAUAUCUCAGAUGCCAGUCAUUUGCGAAUAUCAAGACGUCUUUCCAGAAGAGCUUCCAGGAAUGCCUUCUCACCGGCCAGUUGAAUUCGUCAUCAAUCUUAAGCCUGGCAUGGAACCUGUUUGCAAACGUCCAUACAAGCUUGGACCUGAAGAGUUGAAGGAGCUGAAGAAACAACUCGAUACUCAAGAGUGUAUGGGUCUCAUCUGACCAAGUUCUUGUCCAUGGGGUUGUGGUGUUCUUUUUGUCAUGAAGGAUGGAACAGACCGACUCUGUGUCGACUACCGUCCAUUGAACAAGAAGACCAUAAAGAACAAGUACCCACAUCCCAACAUCAAUGAGCUUUUCGAACAACUCAAAGGUGCUCAAGUAUUCUCCAAGCUUGAUAUCCGUAUGGACUAUCAUCAGAUUCGCAUUCAUGAAGAAGAUAUCCCCAAGACAGCGUUCAGACCAAGCUAUGGUUCAUAUGAAUACACUGUCAUGUCUUUCGGUCUUGUCAACGCUCCUCCAACUUUCUCUCGCAUGAUGAACUUCUUCUUCAAUGCCUACACAAAUGACUUCGUCUUGGUCUACCUCGAUGACAUUCUGGUCUUUUCCAAGAACAAGGAGGAUCAUGCCAACCACGUGAGAUUGGUUCUGGACAAACUCAGAGAACAUCAGUUCUAUGCAAAGUUUUCAAAGUGUUAGUUUUGGCUUGAUGAGGUUCUCUACCUUGGGCAUAUCAUCUCUGCCAAGGGCAUAGCUGUUAAUCCUGAGAAGGUGUCUGCAAUUGUGAAUUGGGAACCACUUCAGAAUGUGAAGCAACUCCGCAGCUUCCUUGGGCUCGCAAGCUAUUAUCGAAGGUUCGUUGAGAACUUCUCAAAGAUCGCGAAGCCUCUUUCCAACCUCCUCCAUAAGCAUGUGAAGUAUGUCUGGUCGCCUGAAUGUGACAUCGCUUUCAACACCCAGAAAGAGAAGUUAGUCACUGCUCCAGUUCUGACUCCUCCUGAUGAAUCCAAACCAUUCGAGGUUUUCUGUGAUGCUUCCCUUCAAGGUCUCGGUGCAGUGUUGAUGCAAGAGAAGAAAGUUGAGGCCUAUACCUCUCGCUAGUUGAAGCCCAACGAAAAGAACUACCCCACUCAUGACCUCGAGUUGGCGGCAGUUGUCCAUGCUCUUUUAACAUGGAGACAUCUCUUGUUGGGAAGGAAAGUGGACAUCUUCACUGAUCAUAAGAGUCUCAAGUACAUCUUCACUCAGCCAAACCUCAACCUCAGGCAGACUCGUUGGGUCGAAAUGACUCAAGAGUAUAAUCUGAGUAUCGAAUAUACUCCAGGCAAGGCCAAUGUAAUUGCUGACGCAUUGAGUAGGAAGGCUUACUGCAAUAGUUUGAUUCUCAAGCCCUACCAACCAGAGCUUUGUGAAGCUUUCCGCAAACUCAAUCUCCAAGUUGUUACUCAAGGAUUCCUUGCCAACCUCCAAGUCUCUCCUACUUUGGAAGAUCAGAUUUGUGAGGCUCAACUUCUUGAUGCCAUGGUGAAGAAGGUGAAGAUUGGGAUUGCCAAGAGUCAACCCAAGUAUAAGUGCUAUCGUCUUGAUGACAAGGAUACUCUAUUCUUCGAGGAUCGCAUUGUUGUUCCUAAGGGUGACCUUCGUAAAGUCAUUAUGAAUGAGGCUCACAAUUCACUCCUCUCUAUUCACUCUGGAAGUACAAAGAUGUACCAGGACCUCAAGCAGUCGUAUUGGUGGACUCGAAUGAAGCGCGAGAUUGCUCAGUUCAUGAAUGAAUGUGAUGUCUGCAGAAGAGUGAAAGUAGAACACCAACGACCAGCUGGUCUACUCCAACCUCUUGCCAUUCCAGAAUGGAAGUUUGACUAUAUUGAGAUGGACUUCGUGACUGGGUUUCCAAAGUCCAAGCGUGGCAAUGAUGCUAUCUUUGUUGUCAUCCACAAGCUCACUAAAGUGGCUCAUUUUCUUCCUAUCAAAGAAUCUAUCACAGCAGCUCAGUUGGCAGAGCUAUAUACCUCCAGGAUUGUCUCUUUGCACGGCAUUCCGCAGUUGAUAUCUUCAGAUCAUGGUAGCAUCUUCACCUCAAAGUUUUGGGAUUCUUUUCAGAAGGCCAUGGGCACCAACAUUCGCUUCAACACAACUUUUCAUCCUCAAACCAGUGGCCAAGUCGAGCGAGUCAAUCAAAUUCUUGAAGAUAUGCUCAGGGCUUGUGUCAUCUCUUUCGGUAUGAAGUGGGAAGAUUGUCUUCCAUAUGCCGAGUUCUCCUAUAACAACAGCUUCCAAGCGAGUUCGGGCAAGGCCCCAUUCGAGAUUCUCUAUUGCAGGAAGUGUCGUACUCCUCUUAACUGGUCAGAGACUGGUGAACGCCAACUUCUUGGAAAUGACUUGAUCACAGAGGCUGAAGAAAUGUGCAAAGUCAUUCGUGAAAAUCUCAAAGCCGCGCAAUCGCGCCAGAAGAGUUACUAUGACAGCAAACAUCGUGACUUGGCUUUCGAGAUCGGAGACCAUGUCUACCUCCGCGUCUCUCCAAUGAAAGGUACUCGUCGCUUCGGUAUCAAAGGGAAGCUUGCCCCUAGAUAGGUGGGUCCUUUCAAGAUCAUUGGCAAAAGAGGCGAUCUCUCAUAUCAACUUGAGCUUCCAUCCAACUUUGCAAAUGUGCAUGACGUGUUUCACGUGUCUCGACUCCGGAAGUGUUUUCAAGACUCCUGACCGCACCAUCAACUUCGAAGAGAUUGAUCUCCAAGAAGACAUGUCUUAUCAUGAGCACGCUGUUGCCAUUCUUGAAGAAACUAAGUGCAAGACUCGUAACAAGUCUAUCAAAUUUCUGAAAGUCAAGUGGUCACAUCAUUCCGACUGUGAAGCCACCUGGGAACGCGAGGACCACCUCCGUUUCGAGUACCCAGAGUUUUUUCAGUUCUAGAUCUCGGGACGAGAUCCUUUCGUAGUGGUGGAGUGUUGUAACACCCCAUAUGUAACCUGCCAUAUUUAUAUUCCAACUCUUGCCAUUUCCAGCACGAAGUUAUGAUAUUUCCUCGUUGUCGGGUUUUUUUGUCUUUGUUUUGUUUUGCUUUUGUCAUGCAUCUCAUAUCAUGUCAUCAUGUGCAUCGCAUUUGCAUACGUGUUCGUCUCAUGCAUCCGAGCUUUUUCCCCGUUGUCCGUUUUGCAUUCCGGCGCUCCUAUGUCCUCCGGUGCCCCCUUUUACCUCUUUUCGUGUGCGGGUGUUAAACGUUCUCUGAUUGGACCGAGACUUGCCAAGCUGCCUUGGUUUACUACCGGUAGACCGCCUGUCAAGUUUCGUGCCAUUUGGACUUCUUUUGAUACUCCAACGGUUAACCGAGGGACCGUAAAGGCCUCGUGUGUGUUGGAGCCCAACACCUCUCCAAAGUGGAACAAAACCCACCUAAACCCCUUCCAUCAUCUUAGUCGUUCGAUCACGAUCGCGUGGCCAAAAACCGUGCUCAAUUUGGAGCCUCCUAGCUCCUUCUAUGUAUAAAUAGGUCCUCCCAUUCCAAAUCCCGGGUCAAUCCACCCCUAACCCUAGCCCUGCUCCUCUCCGUGUGCCGGACGCGUCCGCCCGCCGCCGGACAACCUCGCCGCCGCCACUCACCGCCCGCCACGUGGCGCCCUGCCGACCAGCCACCGUCGAGGCCCGCGGGACCCAGAUCCGNNNNNNNNNNNNNNNNNNNNNNNNNNNNNNNNNNNNNNNNNNNNNNNNNNNNNNNNNNNNNNNNNNNNNNNNNNNNNNNNNNNNNNNNNNNNNNNNNNNNNNNNNNNNNNNNNNNNNNNNNNNNNNNNNNNNNNNNNNNNNNNNNNNNNNNNNNNNNNNNNNNNNNNNNNNNNNNNNNNNNNNNNNNNNNNNNNNNNNNNNNNNNNNNNNNNNNNNNNNNNNNNNNNNNNNNNNNNNNNNNNNNNNNNNNNNNNNNNNNNNNNNNNNNNNNNNNNNNNNNNNNNNNNNNNNNNNNNNNNNNNNNNNNNNNNNNNNNNNNNNNNNNNNNNNNNNNNNNNNNNNNNNNNNNNNNNNNNNNNNNNNNNNNNNNNNNNNNNNNNNNNNNNNNNNNNNNNNNNNNNNNNNNNNNNNNNNNNNNNNNNNNNNNNNNNNNNNNNNNNNNNNNNNNNNNNNNNNNNNNNNNNNNNNNNNNNNNNNNNNNNNNNNNNNNNNNNNNNNNNNNNNNNNNNNNNNNNNNNNNNNNNNNNNNNNNNNNNNNNNNNNNNNNNNNNNNNNNNNNNNNNNNNNNNNNNNNNNNNNNNNNNNNNNNNNNNNNNNNNNNNNNNNNCGUUCCGGCCAGCCUCCUCCUGUCCGGCGAACCCACGCGAUGCUCCGGCCACCGCUGCUUCUUUUCCGGCGAUUCUCGAAGAGCGUGCACGAACCCUAGAUCUGGGAGAGAGGUUGACUUUUUCCCAAGUCCCCAGUAUUUUUUGGGCAUUUUCAUCGCAUCAUAUCUUUGCAUCGGUGGCUCCGUUUUGGGCGUGUAGCAUAUCGAAUUGUUCGUCUCGACGAGUACUUCAUUUUAUUCCAUUGCACCAUGUUCAUUUGAGUUCAUCUUGAUGCCCUAAAUGAUGUUGCAAGAGUGCUAUGCAAUGUUAGUUUCAGUUUCUUAUCAGCAUUUGGACAUUUGUCAUUUUUGCCAUGAUUAAUGUGUGCCUCCUAUGAACUUGAGCCCUACAUGAGUUUAGAAGUAUGCCAUGCCAUCUUUACAGGGGUGUACGCCAUGUAUUUUUGUGAUCUCUGUGGUGACUAGCACAAGCAUGCAAAGUAGCUCUCGUAAUGUUGCUGAUUUCAGGGACUUAGAAAUCGUCUAAGUCUUUUUCCUGAUAUUAUUUUUAUGCCAUGUAUUCUUGUUGCUACAGAGUGAUCCAUGCCUCUUUUGAGCAUGAUCAGAAAGGACGUUUUGUAGAUAUUGUUGUGCUCUAUCCAUCCAUGUUUUUGUUUGCAUUUAUGGAGCAUCCUAGCUUGACUCAAUCGAGCUCUACUUUUGCUAUAAAAUGUUCCUGGCAGAAUGUUUACGUGUUAAGCAUUUUUGCCAAGGUUGUUGUAGUUGAUCCAUGCAUGUUAUGAGGAUGUUCUUGCCAUGUUUAGCUUCUAUGCCAUGUUUACUUGCUGGGUGUAUGCUUAGUUUGUCAUGCAAUGCCUUGUGGUGAGUGCAUUGAGCUCGUAAACAUGCCUACUUAAUAUCUGUUUUGCCAUGUUCCAGUUUUCUUCUAAGUCUGAAUCUGUUAACGAAACUUGCUAUGUUCACAUGGUUGCCAUUGUAUUUUUUGAUCCCUUUUGGCUUAUGGUCAGGAAGGGACUUUUGUUGUAUGCUUUGAGUAGCAUCAUGCCAUGCCUUGAUUAGCUAUGAUAUGUUCCUGUAGCAUGUUGUUAUCUUACUCUAAACAUUGCUUCCUGAUGUUAAAUUCCUGGCUUGUUGUUAAUUUCACUAAGUCUGUAACCUGAUAUCUUUUGCACUUUUGCCAUGCUUGUUUGAACCUAUUAUUGAGUGAAUUAGCCGUAGCUCAGUGUUCAUCUUUCGUCAAGCAUCUUGAGUGGAUCCCUGCCAUGUGAUUUGUUGCUAUGUUAGAGGGCAGUAGUUUGUUGUUCUUGAUGCAUUUAGAUGGCCUCGUGCUGUUAAUCGCAUAUCGGUGUCAUAUUUGUUUUGCUUGCCAUUAGCAAACCGUGCAUCCGUUUCUGGUGAUCUUCAUAUCGAUUUCGACCGAAAUCAACUCAUCUUUCUAGUGGCACUCUUGGUUUUACAGGUUGAGGUCAGGUUCAAUCUUUCCUUUUCGAAGCAUGCAUAUGCAUUGCAUUUCACAUUCCGCAUAUCAUGCCAUGUUUUGCAUCAUGUUGCUUGUGCAUUGCACGUGGUUGAUUGUGGUUCCCUUUGUUUGUGUUCUUGCUUUGGGUAGAACCGGGAGACGAGUACGUGAACGAGGAGCCCGUUGAGUACGCUUACGAGGAUCAAGGUAACGUCAACUCGGAGAACUUUGUAGGCAAGAUGACCAUACCCUCGAAAUCACUUCUAUCUUUGCUUGCUAGAUACUCGCUCUUUUGCUAUGCCUAUGAUACGAUACCUACCACUUGCUUAUCAUGCCUCCCAUAUUGCCAUGUCAAGCCUCUAACCCACCUUGUCCUAGCAAACCGUUGUUUGGCUAUGUUACCGCUUUGCUCAGCCCCUCUUAUAGCGUUGCUAGUUGCAGGUGAAGAUUAGAGUUUAUUCCUUGUUGUUGGGAUAUCAUUAUUAUAUCUUAUCUAUUUUAAUGCAUCUAUAUACUUGGUUAAGGGUGGAAGGCUCGACCUUAUGCCUGGUGUUUUGUUCCACUCUUGCCGCCCUAGUUUUCGUCAUACCGGUGUUAUGUUCCUUGAUUUUGCGUUCCUUACACGGUUGAGUUAUAUUGGGAACCCCUUGACAGUUCGCCUUGAAUAAAACUCCUCCAACAAUGCCCAACAUUGGUUUUACCAUUUGCCACCUAGCCUCUUUUCCCUUGGGUUCCGCGGAUUCAAGGGUCAUCUUUAUUUUAAACCACCGGGCCAGUGCUCCUCUGAGUGUUGGUCCAACUUGUCAGCCGCCGGUGGCCACCAGGGGCACAUUCGGGUGGCUUUGCUGGUUUAGUUUUACCAUUGUCUAGAUGUCUUGUAACCGGGAUCCCGAGUCUGAUCGGGUUGUCUUGGGAGAAGGAAUAUCCUUCGUUGACCAUGAGAGCUUGUGAUGGGCUAAGUUGGGACACCCCUGCAGGGAUUUGAACUUUCGAAAGCCGUGCCCGCGGUUAUGAGCAGAUGGGAAUUUGUUAAUGUCCGGUUGUAGAAAACCUGAAUCUUAACUUAAUUAAAAUGAAUCAACAGAGUGUGUGACCGUGAUGGUCUCUUUUCGGCAGAGUCCGGAAAGAUAACACGGCUCAAGUUUAUGAUUGAACGUAGGUUGUUCUAGGAUCACUUCUUGGUCAUAGUUUCUCGACCGUGCCUUGCCUUCUCUUCUCGCUCUCAUUUGCAUAUGUUAGCCAUCGUAUAUGAUAGUGCUUGCUGCAGCUUCACCUCAUACCUUUCUCUACCUAUAAGCUUAAAUAGUCUUGAUCGCGAGGGUGUGAGAUUGCUGAGUCCCCGUGACUCACAGUUUACUUCCACAACCAGAUGCAGGGGCCGAUGAUACCGCACCAGGAGAUUCGACUGAGCUCAAGUGGGAGUUCGAUGAGGACUCAGGACGAUACUACGUUUUUAUUCCAGGUGAUCAGUAGUGAAGCGCAGUUGAGGCGAUCGGGGUCAUUAUGCAUUUGGAGUUGUCUUUAGUUUGGUUCCGUAGUCCGACCUUGAUUGUAUCUGGAUGAAUGUAAUGAUAUUUAUGCUAUUGUGUGACGUGGCGAGUGUAAGCCAACUAUGUACCUCUUUUCCUUAUUUAUUACAUGGGUUGUGCGAAGAUUACCCCACUUACGGCAUUGCUUACAAUGUGGUUAUGCUUCUAAGCCAUGCUGCUUCGACACGUGGAACAUAUAGCCGCAUCAUGGACGUUACAAUGAACUUGUACGGAUUCGCCAUGGGCUUGCCGUCAUCGUCGCAACUGCUGCGCCAACAAAUUCCACGGUGAGCAAGCAAGCAACGCCCAAAAUCGAAUCAAGCACGUUCAAAUAAGAUCGAUCGUAUUGCGCUCGUACUUAUUCAAAUAAGAUCGAUCAUAUUGCGCUCGUACUUAUUCAAAUAAGAUCGAUCAUAUUGCGCUCGUACUUACUUGGCGGUUAUGUGGUACUGCAGGAAGAGGUCACCGAGGAGCUGGAGGAAGUGCGCACGGUACAGCACGGCGCCGAUGCAGAGGUACCGGCCGUGUGCAUCGGGGUGCUCGUAGACAAGGACAUGGGCCCGGGCGACGUCACGGACGUCGGUGUAGGCGGCGAUGGCGUUAGGGUAGGUGGGUUUGGCGCCGGUGAGGUAGCGAGCGACGUGGCUGCUGCUGAAGUUGAGCGCCUGCUGAAGCAUGGGGCCCAUGGUCAUAGACGGCACCACCACUGCCAGCUCUAGGCCCCUCUUGGCCGCCUCCUCCGUCGCCGUUAUCUCCGUCAUCAUCUUGGCGCAGCAGUACAGGUUCUGCAGUGCACACGAGGGCUGUUAGUGGGCUCAGCGACCGGCGAGAAAGAUCGGGUGCGAUGGAGUUUCUUACCCCUGUGUUUUUGCAGUACUCGUAGUCGCUCCAGCACGUCUCGUCGAGCACGGCGUCCGGGCCGCGGUUGGGGUCCAUGUGCACGGCGCCGUAGGACGAAGUGAACACCACACGGUGCACGCCAGCGUCCGCUGCAGCUCUGAUCACGUUUCUGGUUGCCUCAACGGCGACCGGCACGAGGUCCUGCAAAAACCGACAGCACAUGUAACAAGUAAGUACCCGGCCCUUGCUGAAACUAAAAGAAGUGACCAGAGCAAAGUCUGUACUGACGGGUCGUUGGAGACAUGCGAGGCGAUGUGAAAGACGCCGUCGCAGCCACGGAAGGCGGCGUGAAGGCCGUCGUAGUCGAGGACGUCGGCGCGGAAAAAGGUAAGCCUCUCCUCGGCGCCCUCCAGAGCCAGCAGGUGCGCGUUCUUGCGGUCAGCUUCACAAACCAAUGCAAACGCGCGCGCCAUUAGAUAAGCUGGUCAAAAACCACAACACUCGGCGAGAUCAUGGAUGGUGUGUUAACUGUUGCUUACCAGGAUCUCGGGCGGUUCCCCUGACGCGGUAGCCACGGAGGAGGAGCUCCUUCACGACCCAGGAGCCGAUGAAGCCUCCGCCCCCCGUGACGCAGACCAGCUCCUGCUCCGGCUGCCUCUGCUUCAACUCGCCAUUGUCGCUAGCGUUGGCAAUCGACGGCAUGGCGGAUUGGUGGCCGGUGAGCACGGUGGUCAGCCGAUGUGUGGAUGCAACCUUGCUUCUCAACAAACUACACGGGCUAGCAGUACCAGUUUGCGCUUGCUUAAGCUGCUGUUGAUCAGUGGGUUGAGCUUGUGUGAAUAUUUAGCGGCGCGACCGGAUGGGUGGGUUUGGGGCUCAGCCGACAUCGGAGCAUGCCAGAUUCUGUUUCCGCGAAGCGAAUCCUUCCUCCUGCCACGGAAAGGUCCACGACCUCGCGCGUCAUCGUUCCAUGACAAAAACUAUGCUGGUUUUCUCCGCCCAGUAUGUCUUGGAUUUGACUUUCCCUUCGGGUAAAGUGUUAUCUGACUUUCAAGGCCAAAAAGUUCUCCUUAAGUCCGAAUUUGAAGGCAUUCCGGGCCUCCUGGCGCAAGCACGGAGUAUUUUCUGGAUUCGCACGCUCGGCGCGAGCAUUUUGAAUACUUGUGAGUCCGAAACGAAUUCCGAAUAAAAAAGUUAUGACCGUUUUAGUAAACACCGGUUCGUGUAUGUGUUUUUUUAUCGCCACCGUUUCGUAAUGGGUCUAACUUUUUUAACUCUUUAUAUAGUGUAAUUUGUCCGCUAAAAGAACCACGAGAGGAGCUAUCUGUAGUAGCCUAAAAUAUUUUCAAGGGGAUGGAAACUGAUGCAAGUUUUGUUAAAUGGGGUACUCAAGAUGAAAAAAAUUGUUAAAUGUAGGAUGAAAAACAACAAAGUAGACAUAAGAAAAACUGAAAUUCACUCAACAAAAUUAUAUUGUGAUAAUUUUUUUGCGAAAGAAACUUUUAGUCGAUUCGUGAUCAAUCAUGGUAGUACAAAGACGCUAGAGGUAACAAAAAUUAUAGAGGUCCAUGGAUCAUCUCGCGACGACUAUAAGCACUAGAGUGAGCCGAAGCGCGCCACCGUCAUGACACCUACCACACUGGAGUGGCGCAAACCUUGUUGUAGUAGAAAGUUAGGAAGUCAACGUGCUAAGGCCCUAUAGGUCCAGCGCAUCAGAGCAGCAAUCGUCGCUGAUGAAGCGAGUCUUAGAUCGGAAGGAUCAAAUAUGUAAGCAGACGAAUGAAUGGACGAAUACUAGAUCUAAACAAAUCCACCAAAUACCAGCACCGACUGAAUCUCAUGAUAUCCGACAACGACACACCUCCACACACCCUCUAACGACACUAGACACACCAUUCGGUCAGGGAUCGAACGCGGGAGACAUUAUUUCUAUUUAGGAAUAUCACUGCCGCCACACAGCCCCAACCAAAUAUGUUGACCCCUAACAAAAAUGAUAGUGCAAUCCAUUCCGCCGGUGGGGGCGGGGUCCUCUGCACCGCUAUGGUCCAUAGGCCAUCGGAGGUGGGGCAGACUGGUGGUGGCACCGACGGGAGGAGGAAACCUAGUCACUGGAAAGAACAUGAUAAUUUGGAUCUAAGUCUAGGAAUCACUAAUUUACCUACAUUUCAUCCAAUGGAUGUGGACAAAUAUUAGUUUUUAAAUAUACAUUUACGCCUUCUUAACUACCACACCAAUUCGACCUGCAUUCAUGAAUGCAAUUUGUUGUUCACAACCUAUUUCUCUAUCUUUCUUUCAAAAUAAGUCCAUGCCCUUAAUUUUGAGUUAUGUGUGUGGUAAUUUUUUUCAAAUAAUGAUCAAUAUGUGUACUUAUAUCCAUUUUUUUUCAUGUAACACCAUGUUAAAUUUUUUUUGGUCACAUUGGCGAUACUUCAGGUAAGAAUGAAUGUUGAUGUAUUUAUUUCCAUGUUUUUAUUUAUGAUACCUGAACAUGAUUUGCAAUAAAUGUUUUCGUCAUGUUGAAUGAUAAUACUUUUUGCGGUUAGCUAUCUAAAAAAAUGAUACUAUUUUUGAAGCCAUGUGCUUUCUUUAACCCCAAGAACUACCACAAUGAUCUAUGGGGUCGGGUUGUGUCUUGUAAAAAAAUCUAGCCAAGUGAGGUGGUGGUGCACCCUAGGGUCACCACCAUGGCCAUGGCUCCAUCGACAAAGGACACACUCAUCACGUAUUAUGGAUAAUUAUAUCAUUUAUGUGUGUCUACUUGGUUCUCACACAAAUGGUAUACUACUUGACACACCUACCCUUUGCACCUUUAGGUUUGAGUCGAAUGACGAACAUGCAAUGGAGGCAAACACACACAAGGAAGGGCCGACACCAUCCACGAGAGAAACUUGUAAGGCGAGAAACAAGAAGCAAGGAGUACCUCAGACAAAGUCAGCCAACAACCAGUGGGAAAGUCGAACAUUCUAACAGAGUGUCUGAUCCAACAUCCGACUUCAUGUUUGUUCUUUGGGAACUGUCGGAAUGUAUGACAGGAAUAUCCGACACAACCUCCGAUACGUCGGACAAAACAUCAGACCACCUGUCCGACUUACCCGGAGCCCUCAUACCCUAUCAGCCGUAAGUCAGAUAGAGGGUGCGUCACAUGCCUGUUACCUUUCCCGACAUAACUAUCUCUUCGUGGCUAAACUAUAUAUACCAUACUCCUCCUCCUAUCUAGAGUUAGCAAAAUAUAAACUAAAUCUUAGGAGAGCUUUGCUCAAUCUACCUCCUCCUUCCGGAUCAAGAUCCCUUGCAAGAGAAGAAUCUGUUGGAUUGCAAGACCUCUUACGAGAAGAUUCCUAUAGGAAUACAAGACCCCAUCUCUCAAGACCUCCAAUUCCUCUUGAAUUUGGAGAGGAGCCUACCUUAGCUAACUUUUACUUUGUUAUCGUUUGGAUCUUGGAGUGUAUCACCUUUUGCAUUGGGAUUUGACUAGUUGUGUGUGAAUCUUGUCUAUGAGAGUGGUUUCCUCUUGAGUGUUGCUCCUUGUUCCUCGUGUACUACCUCAAAUACACCCCUAAUUCGUGAAGAUCGGGCCACUCCAAUGGCUUGCCCUGUAUCAUGAGGUCAAAUGGUCAAACGGGCUACGGUCAAACGGGCUACGACGUGGCCCUAGUGCCUAUAAGUGUGCACUGUUGAUGAACAUGUGUUUGUCGCCUAUUAAGAUCUGGCAGAAAGCCAACUAGAGCUUAUUGUACCGUGUUUUUUAUGAGACUCACUAUACCGUGUGGAUGGGGCGUAUCUGGUGCACCGGAGCAUUUGAUGCUACUUGUGCACCCAAUCACCGUAAAUAUCAUUUGAAAUAUUGAAAGACUGAAAUUUCAACAUGAUAUAAGUAAAAUACGUAUCUAGUCUGAUAUAAAAUUUUGGAUCUAAAUUCAAAAUGCUUAUCUGGAAAGUAAAAAAUCAAAUCAAAUCAUGGCGCAAAUAGAAACAAAUGCGGACUGGGCUUGAAUAUGGCCCAUUUUCUUCAUUGUAAAUGGACCCAAUCUUUUUUUUUUCUGCUACUAUGUUCCAGAUUUAAAUGUAAAAUCUAUGGUAUAACAAAUUCAGAAUAUUUGCGGCGGGGGUGACAGCCCACCGGAGGCAUCGCUGAAGGAGCACGAGUUGCUUCUUGCUUCUUGGCUGCGCGAGGAACAAGCCGUCAAAGCACGCCAGACCAGAAUAAAACUGGUAUUCUUCCGGUACGUUCUGAAAAGAAUCUCAAACAUAGGGCAGUAGCACCAUCAGUGUCACUACGGAACCAUCAACGGUUUCCGUCAGGCUCCCGAGCAUAUGCCAUCCCAGUCAACUCCACUAACACCACUUCCAGAAUAUGUGCGGCGUAUCGGUCCGACUGUUUUGAUCAGGAGAGGAGAUGAUAUAUAAUAUUCUUCCGUUCUAAAAUAAGUGUCUUUAUACUAACUCUAGUAUAAAGUUAUACUAACCCUGAGACACUUAUUUUGGGACGAUUGAAGUCCACAAUAUUUUAAAGUGUACUAAAGCUGUGACAAAUAAUAUUGACGAAGAGAAAUACAGUCUUUUGAUAAGUAUGAACCGAAAAAAGAUCGGAGCAGCUUUCUGGUUCACUCUAGGGGCCAACAAGUUUGAGUGUUAAUGCCAGGUUGCCAAAGUAUGUGAGUGAAGUGAGUCAACUCGAGGCAGGCCAUCUCUAACAUGGAUCAUUCCCACCGUCCGUUUGGACAAUUUUAGUACAGAUCACCAAAACAGAUGAUAUCGGUCCGAAUGUCUGAUAUUCUAUAAACUGGCUCCAAAUCGAGGGAGCUCUGGGGGAGUUUGGACGCCUGCCACAUCAGACUCCGACACCCCCGGACCCAUUCAAAAAACCCUUCCGAACGGCCUUAAACCAUUAGCAUGUCAGCAUUUGCAUCGUGUGGUCAUCCACCUGCUUACCCGCAUCGACUUUGCUGUCCGCAUUGAACCUUCACCGCUCCCUGCCAUGACUAGUUAAAGCCAGCCAGCCUCCCCCACAAUAACACCUCCGAGCCCAUCCUCCCACCAUUCGCAUGCAACUUUAGAGCCGUAUGAGCCCCUAGUCCACUCCAUAUCUUCGGCCAUCGGGCAUGGUGCGGUCCUUGGCUACGUGGUAUAAUCAGCUCACGUUGGAGUGACACUAAAAUCGUGGCAGAGGUCCGCGCCCUAGACACCCGACGCCAGGCCUGCAUUGAGGCGGGCCAACAUCCGAGCCCUCCGAGUCGAGUUCAAAGGAGGAGGAGAUGGAGGAUGAACAGGAGGGCGAUCUCAUGACCAAGCCCCGCGGCCGAAGAGGAGGGGUGAUGGUCGUCGACACUACGCUGGCGCCCUGCUUCACCAUGCUGCAGGUGGAGCAGCAGUUCAACCUUGUGCUCUUGGAUGAGCAACCCGCGGCAGUGGCUCAACUUGAGGCGGAGCGUUUGGAUGCCACUGCAGUGGCGGAGCUCCUUGUUAACCUAGGCGUCUACAACAAGAAUAGGGCGAUGCUCGCAUCUGUGUGAAGCCGCCGCAAGGACUACAUCACCAACGCACAGCGGGAGUGACUCUUCGAGGAGCUCGAGGCCGACGACAAACAUGUGUCGGACUAACAGAACAACAAUGUCAAAACGACACUUGUUGGCGGCUCUAGCUGGUUGGCGCGCUGCCAAUGACAAUGAGGCCGGCUGCUCCAGUGUGGGGAUCGUUAACCUCACCUACAACGUGGAGUAGUCUUCCUUUAGUUUUAAAUUUUUUUAUUAAGCUCGGUGUCCAGCUUUGUGACGUGAAAAAAAAAAUACAUGUUCGUUUUUAUUUGAUGAACUGCGUUGGAUGGUCGACGUCUCGACUGUCCAGGGAGAUUUGGUGAUUUCCACUUGAUUAACUGCAUUCAAGAUUCCCACAUACCUCUUGUCAGAAUAUAAUGUUGCGGGCUAUUUUGGGCAAAAGACUCAAGGCAAUCACGAACUAAGAGCAAAUCCAGCGCCGUGCACCAAAUCUGUUGGACAUAUGCCCUAUAGGUACUUCCACCUUCAUAAUUAAGUUUACAUUUCUGCACUAUAACUGUAAUGGUUUCAGAAUAUGAGAUUCGGAUGAAAAUCCAGUUUCAUGUGUAGAAAGACAAACACCAACUAACUACAUAGUCUCACCUCUUAGACUAGCUCAUGUAUUGUAGAUAAUCUAGUUUUCUUGAUUACGGUUAUUGUUAAAAUAACAAGGAUGCCACUAAUAAUGAGAACACAAUGUCGAAGAACAAUGUGUUAGACCCAACUAAUGAUAUAGUAUGAGAUCUCAUCGUCAAGUUGUUAUCAAUAUUAUUAUGUCAAGUGUUAAUGUAUACCCACAUCACAUCCUUAGACCAUGAGAAUGUCGGGUACCUUCAUAUCGGAUGGUUCAUUUGGGUUUGCCAAAAGUUACUAAUAACAGGGUGAUCAUAACGGUAACUUUCGGGUACAUAAAAAAUGUCUAAGGACAUGAUAGUUCAAGAAUGGGAUUUGCUCCUCCAACAAUGAAGAGGUACUCCCUAGGUCCACUCAGUAUUACGAUAUACAUCAUCGUCUAGACACACCAUUUAUAUAAUCACGGUGAUACCGGAAUACAGAAAUGAGAAAAGAGAACAAAACUAGGAUGAGGAUAACUUGCUAUUGUGAUCAAGUAAGUGAUUCACAAGGAUACCGUAAGUCUCACCUCAGGUUUUGUUUAGUACUAUGAAACAAAGGAAAAUGUGUAUGUAAACAAAAGGUUCACUCGAUAAAUAUCUACGUGUGUAUAUGGGAAUCAAUUUGUGUGUCUACACUCCACUUUUGAUUAUUGAUCGAAAGGUGUUCUGAGUCAUGUCCACAUAUUGUCGAACCUGUAGGGACAGACGCUUAAUUGUUAACAGUUUGAUAGAGAACGGGGAAGUGUUAAGAUUAAGAGAGAAAUGCAUCUGAGAUGUAUAGGAUGAAACCAAAAAGGUUCCAACGGUCCCAUAAGUACUCCGGUGAAAUUGAUGAGAAUGUCCUUGAGGUACCCUAAAAGAUUAGAAAAUGUUUUGAAACCUUCUGAAAGGUUCUAGGUGGUCGUAGUGGGCUGCCUUCUUGGUUGUACCAAGGGGAAAUAGCUGCAUCGGCUCAUAGUCAUACGCCCCCUCUUUACUUGGGUGGCAAGGCACUUGGGGAGUGGAGAAGGAAAGGAUCUCCAGGAGGAUCCACCUUCUUGGUGCGGCUGACUCUAGGACACUUAUUCAGGCCGGGUACUAUGCCAGGUGACAUUGGGAGUAAGCCUUUCUUGGUGUUCUCCAUAUUAAAACUUUUUUAUUACCUUAUCAAUGUACAUGAUUUGGCUAAGUGCUAUCAGAUGUAUCGAGUUGCAAAUGUUAGCAACUGAACCAGUAUCAAAUAACCAGGCACUACUGCGAGCAUUAGUAAGGUAUACAUCAAUAACAUGUAUAACAAAUAUACCUUUCACUUUGCCAUCCUUCUUCUCCGCCAAAUACUUGGGGCAGCUCCGCUUCCAGUGACCAGUUCCUUUGCAGUAGAAGCACUCAGUCUCAGGCUUAGGUCCAGACUUGAGUUUCUUUACUUGAGCAGCAGCUGGCUUGUUGUUCUUCUUGAAGUUCCCCUUCUUCCCUUUACCCUUUUUCUUGAAACUGGUGGUCUUGUUGACCAUCAACACUUGAUGCUCCUUCUUGAUUUCUACCUCCGCAACCUUUAGCAUUGCGAAGAGCUCGGGAAUCGUCUUAUCCAUCCCUUGCAUAUUAUAGUUCAUCACGAAGCUCUUGUAGCUUGGUGGUAGUGAUUGAAGAACUCUGUCAAUGACACUAUCAUCAGGAAAAUUAACUCCUAGUUGAGUCAAGUGGUUGUGGUACCCAUACAUUCUGAGUACAUGUUUACUGACAGAACUAUUCUCCUCCAUCUUGCAGCUAUAGAACUUAUUGGAGACUUCAUAUCUCUCAAUCCGGACAUUUUCUUGGAAUAUUAACUUCAACUCCUGGAACAUCUCAUAUGCUCCAUGACGUUCAAAACGUCGUUGAAGUCCCGGUUCUAAGCCGUAAAGCAUGGCACACUGAACUAUCGAGUAGUCAUCAACUUUGCUCUGCCAGGUGUUCAUAACAUCUGGCAUUGCUCCUGCUACGGGUUUGUCACCUAGCGGUGCUUCCAGGACGUAAUUCUUCUGUGCAACAAUGAGGAUAAUCCUCAAGUUAUGGACCCAGUCCGUGUACUUGCUACCAUCAUCUUUCAACUUAGCUUUCUCUAGGAACGCAUUAAAAUUCAACGGAACAACAGCACGAGCCAUCUAUCUACAACAACAUAGACAUGCAAAAAUACUAUCAGGUACUAAGUUCAUGAUAAAUUAAAGUUCAAUUAAUCAAAUUACUUAAGAACUCCCACUUAGAUAGACAUCUCUCUAAUCAUCUAAGUGAUCAUGUGAUCCAUAUCAACUAAACCAUGACCGAUCAUCACGUGAGAUGGAGUAGUUUUCAAUGGUGAACAUCACUAUGUUAAUCAUAUCUACUAUAUGAUUCAUGCUCGACCUUUCGGUCUCAGUGUUCCGAGGCCAUAUCUGCAUAUGCUAGGCUCGUCAAGUUUAACCCGAGUAUUCCGCGUGUGCAAAACUAGCUUGCACCCAUUGUAUGUGAACGUAGAGCUUAUCACACCCGAUCAUCACGUCGUGUCUCGGCUUGACGAACUGUCGCAACGGUGCAUACUCAGGGAGAACACUUAUAUCUUGAAAUUUAGUGAGAGGUCAUCUUAUAAUGCUACCGCCGAACUAAGCAAAAUAAGAUGCAUAAAGGAUAAACAUCACAUGAAAUCAAUAUAAGUGAUAUGAUAUGGCCAUCAUCAUCUUGUGCCUUUGAUCUCCAUCUCCAAAGCACCGUCAUGAUCACCAUCGUCACCGGCUUGACACCUUGAUCUCCAUCGAAGCAUCAUUGUCGUCUCGCUAACUAUUGCUUCUACAACUAUCACUCCCGCUUAGUGAUAAAGUAAAGCAAUUACAUGGUGAUUGCAUUUCAUACAAUAAAGUGACAACCAUAUGGCUCCUGCCAGUUGCCGACAACUGUGUUACAAAACAUGAUCAUCUCAUACAAUAAAAUUUAGCAUCAUGUCUUGACCAUAUCACAUCACAACAUGCCCUGCAAAAACAAGUUAGACGUCCUCUACUUUGUUCUUGCAAGUUUUACGUGGCUGCUACGGGCUGAGCAAGAACCGUUCUUACCUAUGCAUCAAAAAACCACAACGCGGUAUAGUGAUUGCUUUUUGAUCUCCAGAAAGAACCAUGUUCAUUGAAUCCGAUUCAACUAAAGCUGGAGAAACAAACACCCACUAGCCACCUGUGUGCGAAGCACGUCGGUAGAACCAGUCUCGCGUAAGCGUACGCGUAAUGUCGGUCCGGGCCGCUUCAUCCAACAAUGCCGCUGAAUCAAGAAUCAACUAGUGACGGCAAGCAAUAUGUAUAUACCCACGCCCACAGCUCCUUUGUGUUCUAGUCGUGCAUAUAAUAUCUACGCAUAAACGUAGCUUUGAUGCCACUGUUGGGGAACGUUGUAAUUUCAAAAAAUCAUACGCACAUGCAAGAUCAUGGUGAUGCAUAGCAAUGAGAGGGGAGAGUAUCGUCUACGUACCCUUGUAGAUCAUAAGCAGAAGCGUUAUGACAACGCGGUUGAUGUAGUCGUACGUCUUCACGAUCAACCGAUCUAGCACCGAAGGUACGGCACCUCCGCGAUCUGCACACGUUCGGCUCGGUGACGUCCCGCGAACUCACGAUCCAGUAGAGCUUCGAGGGAGAGCUUCGUCGGCACGACGGCGUGAUGAUGGUGAUGAUGUAGCUACCGGAACAGGGAUUCGCCUAAGCACCGCUACUAUAUUACCGAGGUUGAUUAUGGUUGAGGGGGCACCGCACACGGCUAAAGAUCAAUGAUCAACUUGUGUGUCUAUGGGGUGCCCCCCUCCCCCGUAUAUAAAGGAGUGGAGGAGGGGGAGUGGGCCGACCUCUCUAGGCACGCCCCAAGGAGUCCUACUCCCACCGGGAGUAGGAUUCCCCCCCUUCCCUUUGUUGGUUCUAGGAGAGAAGGAAGGAGAGGGAAGAAGGAAGGAAAGGGGGGUCCAGCCCCCCUCCAAUUCGGAUUGGGCUUGGGGAGGCGUGCCCCCUCCUUUGCUUCUUUCCCCUCUCUUCCACUAAGGCCCAAUAAGGCCCAUAUACCUCCUGGCGGGUCCCGGUAACCUCCCGGUACUCCGGUAUACUCCUGAUUUCAUCCGAAACCAUUCUGAUGUCCAAACAUAGGCUUCCAAUAUAUUGAUCUUUACGUCUCGACCAUUUCGAGACUCCUCAUCAUGUCCGUGAUCAAAUCUGGGACUCCGAACUACCUUCGGUAUAUCAAAACACAUAAACUCGUAAUACUGAUCGUCACCGAACGUUAAGCGUGCGGACCAUACGGGUUCGAGAACUAUGUAGACAUGACCGAGAGAUGUAUCCGAUCAAUAACCAAUAGUGGAACCUGGAUGCUCAUAUUGGUUCCUACAUAUUCUACGAAGAUCUUUAUCGGUCAAACCGCAUAACGUUAUACGUUGUUCCCUUUGUCAUCGGUAUGUUACUUGCCCGAGAUUCGAUCGUCGGUAUCUCAAUACCUAGUUCAAUCUCGUUACCGGCAAGUCUCUUUACUCGUUCUGUAAUGCUACAUCCCGUCACUAACUCAUUAGCUACAUUGCUUGCAAGGCUUAUAGUGAUGUACAUUACCGAGAGGGCCCAGAGAUACCUCUCCGACAAUCGGUGUGACAAAUCCUAAUCUUGAUCCAUGCCAAUUCAACAAACACCAUCGGAGACACCUGUAGAGAACCUUUAUAAUCACCCAGUUACGUUGUGACAUUUGGUAGCACACAAAGUAUUCUUCCGGUAUUCGGGAAUUGUAUGAUCUCAUAGUCAUAGGAACAUGUAUAGUUAUGGAGAAAGCAAUAGCAACAAACUAAACGAUCAUCGUGCUAAGCUAACGGAUGGGUCAAGUCAAUCACAUCAUUCUCUAAUGAUGUGAUCCCUUUAAUCAAAUGACAACUCAUGUAUGGUUAGGAAACAUAACCAUCAUUGAUUAACGAGUUAGUCAAGUAACUGGGUGACUAUGAGAUCAUGCAACUCCCGAAUACCAUAGGAACACUUUGUGUGCUACCAAACAUCACAAUGUAACUGGGUGAUUAUAAAGGUGCUCUACAGGUGUCUCCGAUGGUAUUUGUUGAGUUGGCAUGGAUCAAGAUUAUGAUUUGUCACUCCGAUUGUCAGAGAGGUAUCUUUGGGCCCUCUCGGUAUGUACAUCACAAUAAGCCUUGCAAGCAAUGUAGCUAAUGAGUUAGUUACGGGAUGUAGCAUUACGGAACGAGUAAAAGAGACUUGCCAGUAACGAGAUUGAACUAGGUAUUGAGAUACCGAUGAUCGAAUCUCGGGCAAGUAACAUACCGAUGACAAAGGGAACAACGUAUGUUGUUAUGCGGUUUGACCGAUAAAGAUCUUCGUAGAAUAUGUAGGAACCAAUAUGAGCAUCUAGGUUCCGCUAUUCGUUAUUGACCGGAGAUAAGUCUCGGUCAUGUCUACAUAGUUCUCGAACACGUAGGGUCCGCACGCUUAAUGUUCGGUGACGAUCGGUAUUAUGAGUUUACGUGUUUUGAUGUACCAAAGGUAGUUCGAAGUCCCGGAUAUGAUCACCGACAUGAUGAGGAGUCUCGAAAUGGUCGAGACAUAAAGAUCGAUAUAUUGGACGGCUAUAUUCAGACACCGGAAGUAUUCCGGGUGAUUCCGAAGAAAACCAGAGUGCAUGAGGGGUUGCCGGAACCCCCCGGGGAAGUAUUGGGCCUUAGUGGGCUUAGGGGAGAGAGAGGGCAACAGCCCAGGAGGUGCCCCCCAAGGGGAGUCCGAAUAGGACUAGGAGAGGGGGUGCGGCCCCACUUUCCCUCUCCCUCUCCCUCUCUUUCCUUCCCCCUUCCUCCUUCCUAGUAGCACUAGGAAAUGAUGAAUCCUACUCCUACUAAGAGGUGGAUUCCUCCUCUCCUUGGGUGCCACUAGGGCCGGCCGGCCUCCCCCCUUACUCCUUUAUAUACGGGGGCAGGGGCACCCUAAGACACACAAGUUCGCUGUUCCAAGCCGUGUGCGGUGCCCCCCCCCCCACCACCAUAAUCCACCUCCACUACUAGGGAAAACCUUAUAUACAGAAUUUUAGCAGUAGUGAGGGUCAAAAAAGCACGCUGGUGCUAAGUAGCAGUAGCGCGCCUGUGCAAACCGCGCUGCAGAUAAAGUUCUAGAAGUAGCGCGUUACAUCAUAAACACAUUACUACUAAAAUUCCCAUGACCCCGCCACGAAGCUAGUUCUAGCAGGAGCGCGUUUACUCGGACAACGCUACUGAUAGGUAGUUUAGCAGUAGCGCCUUUGCCUUUAGAGCGCUACUAUUAAAACUAGCUAUCUCCACCCCCACUACCGCUCCUCUCCGCGAUANNNNNNNNNNNNNNNNNNNNNNNNNNNNNNNNNNNNNNNNNNNNNNNNNNNNNNNNNNNNNNNNNNNNNNNNNNNNNNNNNNNNNNNNNNNNNNNNNNNNNNNNNNNNNNNNNNNNNNNNNNNNNNNNNNNNNNNNNNNNNNNNNNNNNNNNNNNNNNNNNNNNNNNNNNNNNNNNNNNNNNNNNNNNNNNNNNNNNNNNNNNNNNNNNNNNNNNNNNNNNNNNNNNNNNNNNNNNNNNNNNNNNNNNNNNNNNNNNNNNNNNNNNNNNNNNNNNNNNNNNNNNNNNNNNNNNNNNNNNNNNNNNNNNNNNNNNNNNNNNNNNNNNNNNNNNNNNNNNNNNNNNNNNNNNNNNNNNNNNNNNNNNNNNNNNNNNNGCCAUCGCCUACCCCUCUUCCCUCUGUGCCGCCGUCAACUUCUCCUCCUCGCUGGACUCGGUACCGCCCUCCUCCUCCGUCCUCCCUCGACUCGCCGCCGGCCGGCCCCUCCUCGCUCCGCCUUCCUCCUCCGUCCUACUCUCUUCUCCCUCCUCGAGUCGCCCCUCCUUCUCCCUCCUCCCUGCUACAUUUUGAUUUAGUAGGCUAGUUCAUAUGCAACAUUUUGAUUUAGUUGAUUUAGUAGGCUAGUUGAUUUGGUUGAUUUAGAACAUUUUGAUUUAGUAGAUUUAGUAGGCUAGUUGAUUUAGUUGAUUUAGAACAUUUUGAUUUAGUUGAUUUAGUAGGCUAGUUGAUUUAGUUGAUUUAGUAGGCUAGUUGAUUUAGUAUGCAUCAUUUUAUUGUUAUUUUUUCUGUACAUGGAUAUGUAGAUGUUUUUGUUUUUUUGUAAUAAGUUAUUUUUUGGCAAAAUGUAGGUGCCAAUUUAGUUACAAUCACAUGCUACUGUUUUUCUUCCCUGUGAAGUGGAUCAUUAAUCCUUUGCUCAUAUUGCUUUAGGAAAAUGGCGCCGCCACCACCACCACUAUGUCGACUGUGCAAGUCAAGGUGCGCCAGCAGCCUUGCAACUGGCAAGCUGUUCGGUAUCUACUUCCAGCCGAGUUUUCAUCAUGCGGCGGUAAGAAAUUAGAUGAAAUGUAACAACUACUUUAUUUUUAGUGUUGACAUUACUGCAUUGUGUCAUUUUGCUUUUUUUACACAGAUCGUCCCAUGCAAUGUGAGGUUGAAAUUCAACAAGCUGACAGGAGACACUGUGACAUUUGAGGCUCCUGGGGGCCCGUACACUAUGGAGGUCGAGAAAGGAAGCAAUAUGUCGCAGAUUGGAGGAGAUGGAUGGGCCCGUUUGUCGCCCACAUGCGUCUUACUGGUGGUGAGUUGAUUAGGUUCUCCUUCAGAGCAGAAAGACCCAAGCUGGGUGUCAUAUAUCUCAACCUGGAGGAAGAUGAUGAAGAUGACGAAGAUGAUGAAGAUGACGAAGAUGAUCAAGAUGAUGAGAACCCACUUCGUGAAGCCAUCAUAGCUCAAAGAAUGAGGCUGGCGCGAGGAGGAGGUGCGCAACCUAUGGGACAUAAUUCCGCCACGUGAUGACUUUGUCGGGGUGCCAUUCGUGACCCGCCUGACAAGUACCAUGGUCGAUCGGCAUGAAAUGGUAUGUUAUACUGACUGUAGUAAGUUGAUGAUAUAUAUAUAUAUAUAUAUAUAUAUAUAUAUAUAUAUAUAUAUAUAUAUAUAUGCUUUAUUGUUAUACUUACAAAUGCAAAUUAUCCGAUGAUAUGCUUAGUGAAUCCGAUGAUAUGCUUAGUGUAGAGUCCAAUGAUAAGCUAUGUGGACUCUAGUUGAUGAUAUGCUAUGUGGAAUCUAGUAGAUAAUCCAUAUAUACUUAUUAGUAGAAUUCAUGAUUAAUUAGUACAAAUGCGUAGUACUGUGUCUUUUGAUAGUGUAGAAAUGUAGACUUAAUAGAAAUAUAUUUGCAAGAGUAUGUGCCAAGCUAUUUAUUAAUUGAUAUGUUUUUCUUAUUCAGAAAUUGCCAAAGAACCUAUCUGCGAGUUGUGGUAUCGAGCCUGAUGAAGAAGGCUCAGCUGGACUACGCCUUACCGCAAGGGGCUCCGUCACCACCUGUACUUACCACAUGGACACAGACGACGGUCGCACACACUUAAACUCGAUUGGCUGGACGAGAUUCCUCGUUGGCAAGAAUCUUCGUGUUGGGCAGGCCAUCCUAAUUACUAUCAGGAACACCCGCCGUCCAGGCUUGAGGAUGAUGAUCGUCGUCGAUAUCAUCUAGAACUACAUAUGUGUGUGUGUGGCUAUAUCAUCUAGAACUACAUAUGAUGAUUGCCGUCGAUAUCAUGUAGAACUACAUAUGAUGAUCGUCGUCGAUAUCAUCUAAAACUACAUAUGAUGAUCGUCGUUGAUAUCACCUAGUACUGCUUGAGGAUGCAUGUUGAGUAUAUAUGAAAUUGUUAUCUGGUACUCCGUCCAUUUCAAAUUACUCGUUGUGGUUUUAGUUCAAAUUUGAACUAAAACCACGACGAGUAAUUUGGAACUGAGGGAAUACUACCUAGUACCUAUAAUGCUUUAUGCCUUUAUGAAAUUGAUAUCUAGUAGUACCUAGUAUCUCGAAAUUGUAGUUUAUUGAAGCUGAAACGGGGUUGAAAUGAUGAAAGAUAUAGCAGUAGCGCAGGGCUAGGAAAUCGCUAUAGCUAACUAAUAGCAACGCGUUCUGUAAAAGUGCUGCUGCUAUAGUCAAUAGUAGUAGCGCGGGUGAAUACAUCGCUACUACUAGGAGUUAGCUGUAGCGCCUUAUUGGUAGNNNNNNNNNNNNNNNNNNNNNNNNNNNNNNNNNNNNNNNNNNNNNNNNNNNNNNNNNNNNNNNNNNNNNNNNNNNNNNNNNNNNNNNNNNNNNNNNNNNNNNNNNNNNNNNNNNNNNNNNNNNNNNNNNNNNNNNNNNNNNNNNNNNNNNNNNNNNNNNNNNNNNNNNNNNNNNNNNNNNNNNNNNNNNNNNNNNNNNNNNNNNNNNNNNNNNNNNNNNGUUGAUAGCCUAAAAACCCGCGCUACUACUAGGCUUUUCCCUAGUAGUGCUCGGUCAUAUCGUAGCCGUGCUUAGGCGAAGCCCUGUUCUGGUAGGAACAUCAUCACCGUCAUCACGAUGUCGUGCUGACGAAGCUCUCCCUCGAAGCUCUACUGGAUCAUGAGUUCGCGGGACGUCACCGAGCCGAACGUGUGCAAAUCGCGGAGGUGCCAUACCUUCGGUGAUAGGAUCGGUCGAUCGUGAAGACGUACGACUACAUCAACCGCGUUGUCAUAAUGCUUCCGAUUACGAUCUACGAGGGUACGUAGACGAUACUCUCCCCUAUGCAUCACCAUGAUCUUGCGUGUUCGUAGGAAAUUUUUUAAAUGACUGCGUUUCCCAACAGUGGCAUCCGAGCCAGGUUUUUGCGUAGAUGUUAUAUGCACGAGUAGAACACAAAGGAGUUGUGGGAGUGGGUAUAUACAUAUUGCUUGCCGUCACUACUUGAUCCUUGAUUCAGCGGCAUUGUUGGAUGAAGCGGCUCAGACUGACAUUACGUGUACACUUACGCGAGACUGGUUCUACCGGACGUGCUUCGCACAUAGGUUGCUAGUGGGUGUCUGUUUCUCCAACUUUAGUUGAAUCGGAUUCAAUGAACAGGGUUCUUUCUGAAGAUCAAAAAGCAAUCACUAUACUUGUGGUUUUUGAUGCGUAGGUAAGAAUGGUUCUUGCUCAGCCCGUAGCAGCCACAUAAAAAUUGCAACAACAAAGUAUAGGACGUCUAACUUGUUUUUGCAGGGCACGUUGUGAUGUGAUAUGGUCAAGACGUGAUGAGAUAUAAAUUGUUGUAUGAGAUGAUCAUGUUUUGUUGAAGUUAUAGGCAAAUGGAAGAAGCCUUAUGGUUGUCUCUUUAUUGCAUAAGAUGCAAGUGCCAAAUAAAUUGCUUUACUUUAUCGCUAUGCAAUAGCAAUAGUUGCAAGAGAAAUAGUUUGCGAGACGACCAUGUGAAGACACGUUGAUAGAGAUCAAGAUGAUGGAGAUCAUGGUUGAGGGAGUCAUGGACAAAGGGGUCCUCGGGCGUCCGGCCUGUUAUCCAUGGGCCGGACUAAUAGGCUGUGAAGACAUGAAGACCGAAGAUUGUACCUAUGUCCGGAUUGGACUCUCCUUUAUGUGGAAAGCAAGCUUGGCGACCGGCUAUGAAGAUUCCUUCUUAUGUAACCGACUCUAUGUAAACCCUAGAUCCCCUCGGUGUCUAUAUAAACCAGAGGGGAUAGUCCGGAGAGGAUACAUUCAUUACCAUAGUCAUAUAGGCUAGGCUUCUAGGGUUUAGCCAUCAUGAUCUCGUGGUAGAUCAAUUCUUGUAACACCCAUAUUCAUCAAUAUCAAUCAAGCAGGAUGUAGGGUAUUACCUGCAUAGAGAGGGCCCGAACCUGGGUAAACAUUGUGUCCCCUGUCUCCUGUUACCAUCGAUUCUAGACGCACAGUUCGGGACCCCCUACCCGAGAUCCGCCGGUUUUGACACCGACAUUGGUGCUUUCAUUGAGAGUUCCACUGUGCCAUCCACGAAAGGUUCGAUGGCUCCUUCAAUCGUCUAAGCGACGCUGUCCAAGAAGAAACCUUCCUCCCCGGACAGAUUGUCGUGUUCGGCGCCUUCGUACUGCGGGCCAACUCGCUUGGCCAUCUAGAGCAGAUCGAUAGCUACGCCCCUGGCCACCAGGUCAGGUUUGGAAGCGUGAACUAUGUCAUGGAUAUCCGUGGAGACUUGAUCUUCAAUGGAUUUGACACUGCAGCGAUCGCUGCCCCUCGCUCCGAUGAACAUGACCUAAAUCUGUCACCGGAUCACAUCUAGCGGAUGGUCCCUGCUGCUGUGACGACCUUAGAACCGGAGCAGGUCGUGUCAUUCGAAGCCACAGAGUCCCUGGCAUUGGAGCCGCACACGGACUCGGCACCCCGCGAUAUCUAUGUCAAUGGAACUCCGGACUCGUCUCCGGCUAUGAGUCCCGAAUCGGGAACGCUUGCGGACAUCGAGCUAGAUCGGUUAUCGAUUUUUGAAUUUAGCGCCGCAGACAUCUUCCGGCACUCGCCCUUGGGUAAUGUGCUAAACUCUUUAAAGAACUUGUCCUUGGAGAAGGACUCACAGCCGAACUAUGUCCGGUUCGAGCCAAAGGCUGAUGAUGGGUAAUUUUGUUUCCCACCCGCCACCCACUUCAUAGCCACCGUCGAUGAUUUAACCGACGUGCUCGAUUACGGCUCGAAAGACAUCGAUGGUAUGGACGACGACGCCGACAUGGACCAAGGCCAAGACCCACCAUUCACUGGACAUUGGACGGCCACCUCUUUGUAUGAUGUGUACAUGGUCGACACACCUAAAGAAGCUAGCAAUGAUGACAAAGGGGAUCCAGUCGCGGAUAAACCUUCGGAGACACAGUCCAAGCGCCGGCGCCCCAAACACCGCUCCAAGCUUCGUCGCUCAAGAAAUGACAACACUGGCACCAGAGAAAAUGGUACUCCAGGCGACGCCGAAAACAAUGAAGACCCUGUUGGAGCCGCAUCCGAACAGGAGGAACAAGACAACGGGCAAGAUGACCCUGAUAAACAGGCCAUGCCCAAUGACUCGGAUGAUGAUAGUUAUCAUCCAGUUUCCGAAGAUGAGGAGAGCCUCAGCAGCGAGGAUUUCAUCGUGCCAGAGGCACCCCUAGAGCAGGAAUGCUUCAAGCGCCAGCUAAUAGCCACCGCCAGAAGCCUGAAAAAGAAACAACAACAGCUCUAGGCUGAUCAAAACUUGCUCAUUUACAGGUGGACUGAUGUCCUGGCAGCCGAAGAAUAUGGCCUCGAGCGCCAAGUCAAGAGUUACCCAAAGCGUAGACUGCUACCUCAGUUUGAUGAGGAGGCACCAAAUCCCAUACCUCCCUCACGCAAUGCGGACCAACCACCACGCGGUCGGGAUAGUGCGGUGGACCGACCACUCCGCGGUCGGGAUAAAGCAGCAACUCAGGCCGAACAACAGCCCGCCCCACCACCUCGCAAAAACAAGGACAGAACAGCUCGGGACCAUACAUACGACCUUCGGUAGGAGCUGGACAGCAGAGCAGGACACACCAGAUCAAUCUACGGAUCGCGAGGACGCUUCCCGACUUGGGAUGAUGGCUACCUAUUCGGGCGUGACAAACCUAGUCACACCCGGGCCGAUAACCGCAGACGCACUCCAUCAGAGGUGCGCCGUGAUGCGACCCGAUAUAGAGGCGCCACACACCCUCUCUGCUUCACAUAUGAGGUGCUAGACCACGAAUUCCCCGAAGGGUGCCAGCCCGUCAAUAUCGAAUCAUACGAUGGAAGAAACGACCCCGCAGUAUGGGUCGAAGAUUUUAUUCUCCACAUCCACAUGGCCCGAGGAGAUGACCUCCAUGCUAUCAAGUACCUCCCAUUAAAUCUCAAAGGACCAGCUCGCCACUGGCUGAACAGCCUGCCUGAAAAUUCCAUCGACAGCUGGGAGGACUUGGAAGAAGCCUUCCUCGACAACUUCCAAGGUACAUAUGUCCGGCCACCUGAUGCCGAUGACCUAAGCCACAUAGUUCAACAACCCAGAGAAUCGGCCAGAAAAUUCUGGACUAGGUUCCUAACCAAAAAGAACCAGAUCGUUGACUGUCCAGAUGCCGAAGCCCUAGCGGCCUUUAAAAAUAGCAUCCGUGAUGAAUGGCUAGCCCGCCACCUCGGCCAAGAAAAGCCAAGAUCCCUGACAGCCCUCACGGCACUUAUGACCCGCUUUUGUGCGGGAGAAGAUAGUUGGAUGGCUCGCAGUACAAACACAGCCAAUGAAGCAGGCCCCUCUAAGGCCAAAAAUAGCACCAGCAAGCUCCGGCGCAAACAGACACAAACGCCGAAGCAAUGGCGAUAACACCGAUGACACCACAGUUCAUGCCGGAUUCAGCGGCUCCAAAUCCGGCCAGCGAAAGAAGCCCUAUAAAAGGAACGGCGGUGGACCAUCCAGCUUGCACUGCAGACUCGAUCGCCCUUGCGAGAUACGUGGCACCCCAGACAAACUGGCCAACCAUACUAAUAGGGAUUGUCGGGUCCUUAAGCAAGCGAGCAAGGUAAAUAGCGGAAACAAGGGAGGGGAAUCGCAGAGCGAGGACGAAGACGAGGAGCCUCGACAGCCGAACACUGGGGGGCAGAAGAAAUUCCCGCCUCAAGUCAAAACGGUGAACAUGAUAUAUGCUACACACAUCCCCAAAAGGGAGCGCAAGCGUGCACUUAGAGCUGUUUACACGGUAGAGCCAGUCGCCCCAAAGUUCAACCCAUGGUGGUCUUUCCCGAUCACCUUCAAUCAUAGUGAUCAUACAACUAGCAUCUGUCAUGGCGGUUCAGCCGCAUUGGUACUGGACCCAAUCAUCGACGGAUUUCACAUGACACGAGUCCUAAUGGACGGUGGUAGCAGCCUCAACCUGCUCUAUCAGGAUACAGUACGCAAAAUGGGCGUUAAUCCCUCACGCAUCAAGCCCACGAUAACUACCUUUAAAGGAGUUAUACCAGGCAUAGAAGCCCGCUGUAUGGGCUCGAUCACGCUGGAGGUGGUCUUCGGUUCCCCAGACAACUUUCGAAGUGAAGAGCUAAUCUUCGAUAUCGUCCCCUUUCGCAGCGGCUACCACGCACUGCUCGGACGAACCGUGUUUGCUAAAUUCAAUGCGGUGCCGCAUUACGCUUAUCUCAAGCUCAAGAUGCCCGGUCCAUGCUGCGUCAUUACAGUAAAUGGAAACACAGAACGUUCCCUCCGCAUAGAGGAACAUACCGCAGCCUUAGCAGUAGAAGUAUAGAGCGGCCUUCUCAAGAGGCUCCAUAAUCCGCCCGCUGAAUCUCUGGACAUCGUCAAGAAGGUCCGGACUACACUGCAAAAGGGCAGCCCGGUUUGUCAAGAGCCAAAUUAGUAAAUUCGGCCUCCGUCCCAGCCCCGAGGAGGAAAGGGCAUCUGUGCCGCGCGUACAUAAUUACACACUCAAAACUUCAUGGGUACUAACGGAGGCAUAACUCGCUCGCGAUCCACAGUGCGGCUUGACCGACCCUGGGAUUCGCACGCCUUUAUUUUUUCUUUUUAUUAUCACGGGUAUUUUCUCUUUUCGAGGUCUAUAUGGAUGACCCACUUAUAGAACACACCAAGGAGGCAAGAAGCUCUAGCAUACAAGGGAUUCCCCAGGUGGUCUCCAUUAAACGAUUGCCAUACUUGUUUUACAUACCCGCACGUAGCUUGCCCUUGGUUUGCGACAUGUUAAAUAGCUUUACUUGCUUAUCACAUUACUCGCACAAAGUACGCCUCGGCGUACUAAAUACAUCACAAUGGUGAAUAAAUGGUGACGUCAGCUUAUUACUUAAUUUUUCCUCUUUCCUCACCUUUGUGUAUAUUAUAUAUUACACACGUAUACUAUGGUACGUAUUACUACGCCAGGGGCUCCAUUACACCCCGUUCUAUGGCAAUAAAAGUCCAAACAUUUUUUUCUGUAUAGUUCGGCACCCCAAACUUAUAGCAUUAUAUGCAUCGGCUUCGAAUCAUGUCUUUGGUCAAUAGUUGGGUUGCCCGGCUCCUAUGCUUACUACCUUACAUUCCGAUAUAUCGGCUAGGGUAGUAAAGGGAGAACUACUGCGAUUGUGUCCCAGUUCUUCCGGACGAGCACCUCAGUAGAGAAAGCCGAAAACUGACUAUCAUGAUGCGGCGAGAGCCGGUCAGCCGUUCGAGAGGUUUCAAAUCGUUAGAGAUUUUUUCCGCUUCGUGCGAAGAAUCGGUCCCUCCGAUUUGGUGUGUAUAACGCCCCUAGUUCGGCCUUCCGAAUACCAGGGGCUUUGCCUACUUUUUAAAUUGUCAAACUCCUAUGGCUAAGUGAGGGCGGUAAAGGCCACAUAGUCUGAUUGCCUUGUUCGUUGCGCUAAACACCUUCUUUAAGGACCAGAAUGUGGAGUAAAGAGUGUUUAGAUUUAUCCCGAACACCCCCGUACUAUCUACGUGGGGGCAGAAGCCGACGACUGGUUAACCCUCAGGUUUCAUAAACGGCCGCACAGGAGGUAAAAUGUAAAUCAUAAGCAUUAUAAUACAUAACAUCACUGCUCCAUAUUACAGGACAUGAUAAUACAAAUGUUCUCAUGGGAAAAUGAUAUCCUUCAAACAUUGUUCCGCCGCAAGGCGGGACCCCUCCCGGACGCCAUCAAAAUAGAGCUCGGGUCGACGAUGCUCCUUGCCCUCCAGCAGUCCCUCAGUCAUCAGCUUCUUGGCAUCCAGCUUUGCCCAAUGUGUCUUGACGCGGGCAAAGGCCAUACGCGCACCUUCAAUACAGACCGACCGCUUCACGGUUUCGAGCCGCGGACAGGCAUUUACAAGCCGCUUAACAAGUCCAAAAUAGCUGCUAGGUACAGGCUCGGCAGGCCACAACCGGACUAUCAGGUCCUUCAUGGCUAGCUCUGCCGACUUGUGCAACUCAACCAACUGCUUCAGCUGGUCGAGGAAGGGCAACUGAUGUUCGGUUCCAAGAUACUGGGACAGAAUAGCUUCUCAGUAGACAUCCCUUCUUCGGCUCUGUAAUGCUCGACAGCAUCCGAUAUACUGCGCGGCAAAACCGCAAACGGCCCUGGAAAACCCAAAUUCGGAUAAGUACAUGGAACGUUUCUUUUACAUACUUGAUUUGCAUGGUGAAAGAAUUACCCGCCGCAAUCUCCUUGGCCGCCUGAAUUUCCUGGAGGGUGUUCUGGGCUUUGGCUCGUGCAUCCCAUGCGCUCCGGCGGGCCUUCGCCAGUUCGGACUCUUGCGCCUUACAAUCACGCUCCAAGGACUCAAAUCUCUUGAUCGCGUCCUGGAUCUGUUGUUGCCCCUCGCCGACCCGGGCCUCAUGCUUCUCACGCGCGGCACGUUCCUUGACCGCUUUGUCCUCGGCCUCGGCCAACGCCUUCUUGAGGGCUGCCACCUUAGUCGUGGCCCCUAAUAAAGUUCACGACAACUCACUCUGGAUGGACUUUUCAUUUUUUUUCUUAAAAGGUACCAGUAGAUCAGCACAUACCUUGGCUAUCCUCUAGCUGCUUCUUUACGAGGCCGAGCUCUUCCUCGGCCCGCUCCAGUUUCCGCCUCAGUCCAGAGACCUCUGCAGCAUGAGCGGUGGCAGCCUGCAGCAACACUUGCUUAUUCACAAAGACAACUUAUGUUAGACUCCUGCAAUUUUUCUUUUCGAUCCUCUGUUCGGCUUCUUCUUUCCGAACACCAAACAGAGCAUCAGGGGCUACUGUCUAUAAUGUGAUAUGCUUCCUACAAACGCAUUACUUACCUCAAAGCCUGAUAGAAGGCUAGUGCAGGCUUCGGUCAGUCUGCUUUUCACGAACUGGACCUUCUCUAUUACCAUGCCCAUAAGGGCGCGGUGUGCAUCCACAAUAGAGGCGGAAUAGGCACACUCCCUCCUUUCGGAGCAUGCCGUUCACUGGACUCCGGAGCCGCAAAGGUCUCCGGAAUGGUAUCUAGCUCAGGUCCGAAGUGAACCCGUCCCCCAUCACUGGUCCUCGCAGGGGCUUUUUCCCUCAUGUGUCCGGCAAGUGAGGAAUCGUCCUGGGGCACCGCCCCAACGAUCUCCGGAAGCCCCCCCCCCGGUCGGGGAAGGUAUUUUGUGACACCACCUCAUCGUCACCCUUGGGAGAGACGGAAUGAGCAGUUGGCGGAGACAUGCUAGCCAUCUCCUUUGAGUCUAGCGAUCCCUCUAACGAAGACCGCAGGGAGCCAUCGCGCGCUGGAUUGCAAUAAAAAGGUUUAAGGUAUAUCAAUAUCACAAACCGGGAAAGCUAGAUGUUUUCGGAUCCUGGUACUUACGAGGCGGCCUGAGGCUUGGUCCGGCAAGGUCGCUCCGGACUGCUUUCCACAUCCCACACAGAGUUAUCCGCGCAGGAACUUCAGGUGGGGAGUCACUUUCUUCUUCCUCUUUGUCAUCGUCGUCAGCGGACGAAGAGGAAGUCUCGUCUUCGGACAUCAUGUCCGGAGCGCCUUUUCGGCAAAGGCCCUUCUUGGCCCUUUUGGCGCUUUCUUGGCCGUCUUCUCCGGCACCUCAUAUGAUGCUGGAAAAAGUAUUUUCGUCAACAAUGGGAACUCUUGGUCUUCGGGUAGCGGAGCCGGACUGUUAAUCCCCUCUGCUAUCUUGAUCCAGGCCUGAAACCACGGGUAGGAAGGCUUAGGCUUUUUCUAAAAAUAUGCUAGUAAAGGGUAUGCCUUGAAAACAUUAGAAGAGCUUACCGGGUUAGCCUGGCGUUUUAAGCUAAGCCCGCGAUCUUCGGUCGUGGGCGGUGGCAUCUCGCUGGCCUUGAAGAUCACUUUCCAGAUUUCUUUGUGUGUUGUGCCAAAGAGCUCUUGUAGCGUCUGGUGCUUGGCUGGAUCGUACUCCCACGGAUAGCAAGUCCGGCGUUGGCACGGAAGAACCCGACGAAUGAGCAUGACCUGGACCACAUUGACGAGCUUGAUCUUCCGAUCCAUCAUAUUCUGGACACACGUCUGGAGCCCAGUCAGUUCGUUCGAGGGACCCCAGGUUAGGCCCCUCUCUUGCCAGGAGGUGAGCCACAUCGGGAAUCUAGAUCUGAAUUCGGGGGCCGCCACCUAGUUGACGUCGCGCGGCUCGGUGAUAUAGAACCAUAUUGAUUGCCACCCUUUCACCGUCUCCGUGAAUGAGCCUUCGGGCCAGGUGAAGUUGGGCAUCUUGCCCACCAUAGCGCCUCCGCACUCUGCUUGUUGGCCGCUCACCACCUUCGGCUUCACGUUGAAGGUCUUCAACCAUAGGCCGAAAUGAGGCGGGAUGCAGAGGAAGGCCUCGCACACGACAAUGAAUGCCGUGAUGUUGAGGAUGAAGUUGGGGGCUAGGUCAUGGAAGUCUAGCCCAUAGUAAAACAUCAGUCCAUGGACGAAGGGGUGGAGAGGGAAACCCAGCCCGCGGACGAAAUGCAUGAGGAAAACAACCCUCUCGUGGGGCUCUGAAGUAGGGACGAUCUGUCCCUUAUCCGAGAGUCGGUGAGCGAUCUCCUUGGCCAGAUAUCCGGCCUCCCGGAGUGCCUUGAUAUCCUUCUUCUUGACAUCCACUUACCACCAGCUCCGGAUCCGGACAUUUUUGGAGUGCUUUCUUGGUUGAGGGAAAAGCUAGAAGGUUGGGCGCUGGAGCUCGGGGACGGAAGGACUGGGGAGUGGUUGAGGUGUGGGUGUAGGUAGGGAAUCCUUAUCCCCUUAUGAAGGCCGCGAAUAUCAAGCUUCUCCCCACUCGCCUUGAACUCACCUAUUCCGGUCAUGCAAAACGACACGGUUGGGUCACCCAUGCUCGUAUUGAUGAGAAUCCCGUAAUAAGGGGGGCAUGAUCUCUGCUUCGACAAGACAUGCCAAUGACAACCACGUCUCGAAACGUGGAGCGGCAGACGAAAAACGGUUUGAAAUUAUGACCGGACAGACGUGAUGCCAUAUUGUAAAAACUGUCAGCGGAUUAGACUCGUGUAGAAAUAUAUAUAUUCUCUCUACGGUUAUGUAUGGUGUGUGUGACAGGUACGGAUACUAUCAUCGCAUCCGAAGACUAUCUUGAAGUUCGGAUAAAAAGGAACCCGCCUUGCAAUGUCGGAGACAAUCUGCACGCCGAACUCAUCGUCAUUGAAGCCAGGUUCAGGGGCUACUGAGGGAGUCCUGGACUAAGGGGUCCUCGGGCGUCCGGCCUGUUAUCCAUGGGACGGACUGAUGGGCUGUGAAGACAUGAAGACCAAAGACUAUACUUGUGUCCGGACUGGACUCUCCUUGGUGUGGAAGGCAAGCUUGGCGACCGGCUAUGAAGAUUCCUUCUUAUGUAACCGACUCUAUGUAAACCCUAGAUCCCCUCGGUGUCUAUAUAAACCAGAGGGGAUAGUCCGGAGAGGAUACAUUCAUUACCAUAGUCAUAUAGGCUAGGCUUCUAGGGUUUAGCCAUCACGAUCUCGUGGUAGAUCAACUCUUGUAACACCCAUAUUCAUCAAUAUCAAUCAAGCAGGACGUAGGGUAUUACCUCCAUAGAGAGGGCCCGAACCUGGGUAAACAUUGUGUCCCCUAUCUCCUGUUACCAUCGAUCCUAGAUGCACAGUUCGGGACCCCCUACCCGAGAUCCGCCAGUUUUGACACCGACAAUGGUGUCAUGCCGGUGACGAUAGAGAUCAUGACGGUACUUUGGAGAAGGAGAUCAAAGGCGCAAGAUGAUCAUGGCCAUAUCAUGUCACAUAUUUUGAUUGCAUGUGAUGUUUAUCCUUUAUGCAUCUUAUUUUGCUUAGUUCUAUGGUAUCAUUAUAAGAUGAUCUCUCACUAAAUUUCAAGGUAUAAGUGUUCUCCCUCAGUAUGCACCAUUGCUACAGUUCGUCGUGCCGAGACACCACGUGAUGAUCGGGUGUGAUAAGCUCUACGUUCACAUACAAUGGGUGCAAGCCAGUUUUGCACACGCAUAAUACUCAGAUUAAACUUGAUGAGCCUAGCAUAUGCAGAUAUGGCCUCGGAACACUGGAGACCCAAAGGUCGAACGUGAAUCAUAUAGUAGAUAUAAUCAACAUAGUGAUGUUCACCAUUGAAAACUACUCGAUCUCACGUGAUGAUCGGACAUGGUUUAGUUAAUAUGGAUCAUGUGAUCAUUUAGAUGACUAGAGGGAUGUCUAUCUAAGUGGGAGUUCUUAAGUAAUAUGAUUAAUUGAACUUUAAUUUAUCAUGAACUUAGUCCUGAUACUAUUUGCAUAUCUGUGUUGUAUAUCAAUUGCUUAGCUUUCCCGUUUUAUUUAUGAUAUGUUCCUAGAGUAAACUAUGUUGAAAGAUGAUAGUAGCAAUAAUGCGGAUUGGAUCCGUGAUCUGAGGAUUAUCGUCGUUGCUGCACAGAAGAAUUAUGUCCUUGAUGCACCACUAGGUGACAUAACUAUUGUAGGAGCAAAUCCAGACGUUAUGAAUGUUUGACAAAGCUUGGUAUGAUGACUACUUAAUAGUUUAGUGCACCAUUCUUUACGGCUUAGAACCGGGACUUCAAAAAUGUUUUUGAACGCCACAGAGCAUAUAAGAUGUUCUAAGAGUUGAAAUUGGUAUUUCAUACUCAUGACCGUGUCGAGAGGUAGGAGACCUCUGACAGUACUUUGCCUACAAGAUGGAGGAGAAUAGCUCGACCAGUGAGCAUGUGCUCAGAUUGUCUGGGUACUACAAUUGCUUGAAUCAAGUGGGAGUUAAUCUUCCGGAUAAGAUAGUAAUUGACAAAGUUCUCUAGUCACUAUCACCAAGUUACUAGAACUUAGUGAUGAACUAUAAUAUGCAAGGGAUGACGAAAGUAAUUCCCAAGCUCUUCGCGAUGCUGAAAUCGGCGAAGGUAGAAAUCAAGAAAUAGCAUCAACUGUUGAUGGUUAACAAGACCACUAGUUUCAAGAAAAGGGCAAAGGGAAAGAAAGAGGAACUUCAAAGAAGAAUAGCAAGCAAGUUGUUGCUCCAUGAAGAAGCGCAAAGCUAGACCCAAACCUGGAACUGAGUGCUUCUACUGCAAAGAAAAUGGUCACUGGAAGUGGAACAACCCUAGAUACUUGACGGAUAAGAAGGAUGGCAAAGUGAACUAAAGUAUAUUUGAUAUACAUGUUAUUGAUGUGUACUUUACUAGUGUUUAUAUAAACCCCUCAGUAUUUGAUACUAGUUCAGUUGCUAAGAGUAGUAACUCAAAACGGGAGUUGCAAAAUAAACAGAGACUAGUUAAGGGCGAGGUGAUGAUGUGUGUUGGAAGUGAUUCCAAGUUUGAUAAGAUCACCAUCGCACACUACCUUUACCUUCGGGAUUAGUGUUGAACCUAAAAUAAAUGUUAUUUGGUGUUUGCAUUGAGCAUGAAUAUGAUUGGAUAAUGUUUAUUGCAAUACGGUUAUUCAUUUAAGUCAAAGAAUAAUUGUUGUUCUAUUUACAUGAAUAAAGCCUUCUAUGGUCAUACACUCAAUAUAAAUGGUUUAUUGAAUCUCGAUCGUAGUGAUACACAUAUUCAUAAUAUUGAAGCCAAAAGAUGCAAAGUUAAUAACGAUAGUGUAACUUAUUUGUGGCACUGCCGUUUAGGUCAUAUUGGUGAAAAGUGCAUGAAGAAACUCCAUGCUGAUGGACUUUUGGAAUCACUUGAUUCUUACGAACCAUGCAUCAUGGGCAAGAUGGCUGAGAUUCCAUUCUCCGGAACAAUGGAGCGAGCAACUGACUUAUUGGAAAUAAUACAUAGUGAUGUAUGCGAUUCGAUAAGUGUUGAGGCUCGCGGCGCGUAUCGUUAUUUUCUGACCUUCAUAGAUGAUUUGAGCAGAUAUGGGUAUAUCUACUUAAUGAAACAUAAGUCUGAAACAUUUGAAAAGUUUAAAGAAUUAGAGAGUGAAGUGGAAAAUCAUCGUAACAAGAAAAUAAAGUUUCUACGAUCUGAUCGCGGAGGCGAAUAAUUUAGUUACGAGUUUGGUCUUCAUUUGAAACAAUGUGGAAUAGUUUCGUAACUCACGCCACAUGGAACACCAUAGCAUAAUGGUAUGUCCGAAUGUUGUAAUCGUACUUUAUUGGAUAUGGUGCGAUCUAUGAUGUCUCUUACCGAUUUACCACUAUCGUUUUGGGGUUAUGUGUUAGAGAUAGCUGCAUUCACAUUAAAUAGGGCACCAACUAAAUUCGUUGAGAUGAAACUGUAUGAACUAUGGUUUGGCAAGAAACCAAAGCUGUCAUUUCUUAAAGUUUGGGGUUGCGAUGCUUAUGUGAAAAGGUUUAAAACUGAUAAGCUCGAACCCAAAUCGGAGUAGUGCGUCUUCAUAGGAUACCCAAAAGAAAGUGUUGGGUACACCUUCUAUCACAGAUCCGAAGGCAAGAUAUUUUGUUGCUAAGAAUCAAUCCUUUCUAGAGAAGGAGUUUCUCUUGAAAGAAGUGAGUGGGAGGAAAGUAGAACUUGAUGAGGUAAUUGUACCUUCUCCCGAAUUGGAAAGUAGUUCAUCACAGAAAUCAGAUCUGGUGAUUCCUGCACCAAUUAGUGAGGAAGCUAAUGAUGAUGAUCAUGAAACUUCAAAUCAAGUUACUACCAAACCUCGUAGGUCAAGCAGAGUACGGUCUGCACCAGAGUGGUAUGGUAAUCCUAUUCUGGAAGUCAUGUACUAGACCAUGACGAACCUACGAACUAUGAGGAAGCGAUGAUGAGCCCAGAUUCCGCAAAAUGGCUUGAGGCCAUGAAAUCUGAGAUGGGAUCAAUGUAUGAGAACAAAGUAUGGACUUUGAUUGACUUGCCCGAUGAUCAGUGAGUCAUUGAGAAUAAAUGGAUCUUCAAGAGGAAGACGGACGAUGAUAGUAGUGUUACUAUCUACAAAGCUUGAAUUGUCGCAAAAUGUUUUCGACAAGAUCAAGGUGUUGACUACGAUGAGAUUUUCUCACUCGUACCAAUGCUUACAAGUAUGUCUAAAUCAUGUUAGCAGUUGUCGCAUUUUAUGAAAUUUGGCAAAUGGAUGUCAAAACUGCAUUCCUUAAUGGAUUUCUUAAAGAAGAGUUGUAUAUGAUGCAACCAGAAGGUUUUGUCAAUCCUAAAGGUGCUAACAAAGUGAGCAAGCUCCAACGAUCCAUCUAUGGACUGGUGCAAGCAUCGCGGAGUUGGAAUAUAUGCUUUGAUAAAGUGAUCAAAGCAUAUGGUUUUAUACAGACUUGCGGUGAAGCCUGUAUUUACAAGAAAGUGAGUGGGAGCACUACAGCAUUUCUGAUAAGUAUAUGUGAAUGACAUAUUUUUGAUCAGAAAUAAUGUAGAAUUUUCUGGAAAGUAUAAAGGAGUAUUUGAAAGGAGUUUUUCAAAGAAAGACCUCGGUGAAGCUACUUACAUAUUGAGCAUCAAGAUCUAUAGAGAUAGAUCAAGAUGCUUGAUAUAUUUUCAAUGAGUACAUACCUUGACAAGAUUUUGAAGUAGUUCAAAAUAGAACAGUCAAAGAAGGAGCUCUUGCCUGUGUUGCAAGGUAUGAAGUUGAUUAAGGACUCAAAACCCGACCACGACAAAAAAUAGAAAGAGAAUGAAAAGUCAUUCCCUAUGCCUCAGUCAUAGGUUCUAUAAAAUAUGCUAUGUUGUGUACCAGACCUAUUGUGUACCUCAUCAUAAGUUUGGCAAGAGGGUACAAUAGUGAUCCACGAGUGGAUCACUGGACAGCGGUCAAAAAUAUCCUUAGUGGAUAAGGAAAUGUUUCUUGGUAAUGGAGGUGACAAGGAGUUUGUCGUAAAUAGUUAUGUCAAUGCAAGCUUUGACACCGAUCUGGAUGACUCUAAGUCUCGAUCUAGAUACAUAUUGAAAGUGGGAGCAAUUAGCUAGAGUAGCUCCGUGCAAAGCAUUGUAGACAUAGAAAAUUUGCAAAAUACUUACGGCUCUGAAUGUGGCAGACCCGUUGACUAAAUUUCUCUCACAAGCAAAACAUGAUCACUCUUUGGGUGUUAAUAACAUAGUGAUGUGAACUAGAUUAUCGACUCUAGUAAACCCUUUGGGUGUUAGUCACAUGGAGAUGUGAACUAAUCACAUAAAGAUGUCAACUAUUGGUGUUAAAUCACAUGACGAUGUGAACUAGAUUAUUGACUCUAGUCCAAGUGGGAGACUGAAGGAAAUAUGCCCUAGAGGCAAUAAUAAAGUUUUUAUUUAUAUUUCCUUAUAUCAUGAUAAAUGUUUAUUAUUCAUGCUAGAAUUGUAUUAACCGGAAACUUAGUACAUGUGUGAAUACAUAGACAAACAGAGUGUCACUAGUAUGUCUCUACUUGACUAGCUCGUUAAUCAAUGAUGGUUAUGUUUUCUAACCAUACAUGAGUUGUCAUUUGAUUAACGGGAUCACAUCAUUAGAGAAUGAUGUGAUUGACUUUACCCAUCCGUUAGCUUAGCACGAUGAUCGUUUAGUUUGUUGCUAUUACUUUCUCCAUAACUAUACAUGUUCCUGUGACUAUGAGAUCAUGCAUCUCCAGAAUACCGGAGGAACACUUUGUGUGCUAACAAACAUCACAACGUAACUGGGUGAUUAUAAAGGUGCUCUACAGGUGUCUCCGAUGGUAUUUGUGGAGUUGUCAUGGAUCAAGAUUAGGAUUUGUCACUACAAUUGUCGGAGAGGUAUCUCUGGGCCCUCUCGGUAAUGUACAUCACAAUAAGCCUUGCAAGAAAUGUUGCUAAUGAGUUAGUUAUGGGAUGUAGCAUUACAGAAUGAGUAAAAGACAUUUGCCAGUAACAAGAUUGAACUAGGUAUUGAGAUACCGACGAUCGAAUCUUGGUCAAGUAACAUACCGAUGACAAAGGGAACAACAUAUGUUGUUAUGUGGUUUGACUGAUAAAGAUCCUCGUAGAAUAUGUAGGAACUAAUAUGAGCAUCUAGGUUCCGCUAUUGGUUAUUGAACGGAGAUAAGUCUCGGUCAAGUCUACAUAGUUCUUGAACCCGUAGGGUCCGCACGCUUAACGUUCGGUGACGAUUGGUAUUAUGAGUUUAUGUGUUUUGAUGUACCGAAGGUAGUUUGGAGUCCCGGAUAUGAUCACGGACAUGAAGAGGAGUCUCGAAAUGGUCGAGACAUAAAGAUCGAUAUAUUGGACGGCUAUAUUCGGACACCGGAAGUGUUCCGGGUGAUUUCGGAGAAAACCAGAGUGCCGGAGGGGUUACCGGAACCCCUCGGGGAAGUAUUGGGCCUUAGUGGGCCUUAGGGGAGAGAGAGGGCAGCAGCCCAGGAGGUGGCACCCCCCUGAUACCUCUUGAGCACUGCAUUGGUUUUCCCUUGAAGAGGAAAGGGUGAUGCAGCAAAGUAGUGUAAGUAUUUCCCCUCAGUUUUUGAGAACUAAGGAAUCAAUCUAGUGGGAGACUAAACACAAGUCACCUCGCACCUACACAAACAAAUAAGAACUUUGCAACUAACGCGAUAAAGGGGUUUCAAUCCCUUCACGGCCACUUGCAAAAGUGAGAUCUGAUAGAGAUAAUAAGAUAAAUAUUUUUGGUAUUUUUAUGAUAUAGAUUGAAAUUAAAGAUUGUAAAGUAAAAUAGUUUGGAAACUUAUAUGAUGGAAAAUAGACCCGAGGGCCAUAGGUUUCACUAGUGGCUUCUCCCAAGAUAGCAAAUUCUACGGUGGGUGAACAAAUUACUGUCGAGCAAUUGAUAGAACAGUACAUAAUUAUGAGAAUAUCUAGGCAUGAUCAUGUAUAUAGGCAUCACGUCCGUGACAAGUAGACUGAAAUGAUUCUACAUCUACUACUAUUACUCCACACAUCGACUGCUAUCUAGCAUGCAUCUAGAGUAUUAAGUUCAUAAGAACAGAGUAACGCAUUAGGCAAGAUGACAUGAUGUAGAGGGAUAAAAUCAAGCAAUAUGAUAUAAACCCCAUAUUUUUAUCCUCGAUGGCAACAAUACAAUAUGUGCCUUGCUGCCCCUGCUGUCACUCGGAAAGGACACCGCAAGAUUGAACCCAAAGCUAAGCACUUCUCCCAUUGCAAGAAAGAUCAAUCUAGUAGGCCAAAUCAAACUGAUAAUUCGAAGAGACUUGCAAAGAUAACAAAUCAUACAUAAAAGAUUUUAGAGAAGAAUCAAAUAUUGUUCAUAGAUAAUCUUGAUCAUAAACCCACAAUUCAUCGGAUCUCGACAAACACACCGCAAAAAGAAUUACAUCAAAUAGAUCUCCAAGAAGAUCGAGGAGAACUUUGUAUUGAGAUCCAAAGAGAGAGAAGAAGCCAUCUAGCUAAUAACUAUGGACCCGAAAGUCUGUGGUAAACUACUCACACAUCAUCGGAGAGGCUAUGGUGUUGAUGUAGAAGCCGUUCGUCAUAAAUUCCCCCUCCGGCGGAGCUCCAGAAAAGGCCCCAAGAUGGGAUCUCUUGGGUACAUAAGGUUGCGGUGGUGGAAAUAGGGUUUCAUGGUGCUCCUGGAUGUUUUCGGGGUAUAUGGGUAUAUAUAGGAGGAAGAAGUACAUCGGUGGAGCUACGAGGGGCCCACGAGGGUGGGGGCGCGCAUGCCCUCCCUAGGCGCCCCCUUCCUCGUGGCCUCCUUGCUUCUUUCUUGACGGCCACUCCAAGUCUCCUGGAUCACGUUUGUUCCAAAAAUAACUCUCCCGAAGGUUUCAUUUCAUUUGGAUUCCGUUUGAUAUUCCUUUUCUGUGAAACACUGAAAUAGGCAAAAAAAACAGCAAUUUGCACUGGGCCUUUGGUUAGUAGGUUAGUCCCAAAAAUAAUAUAAAAAGGUAAAUUAAAGCCCAUCAAACAUGUAAAAUUGAUAAUAUAAUAGCAUGGAACAAUUAAAAAUUAUAGAUACGUUGGAGACAUAUCACCCCCCAAGGGGAGUCCGAAUAGGACUAGGGGAGGGGGCGCGGCCCCUCUUUCCCUCUCCCUCUCCCUCUCUUUCCUUCCCCCUUCCUCCUUCCUAGUAGGACUAGGAAAUGACGAAUCCUAAUCCUACUAGGAGGAGGAUUCCUCCUCUCCUUGGGCGCCACUAGGGCUGGCCGGCCUCCCCCUUGCUCCUUUAUAUACGGCGGCAGGGGGCACCUGAUACAUCUCCAACGUAUCUAUAAUUUUUGAUUGCUCCAUGCUAUAUUAUCUACUGUUUUGGACUAUAUUGGGCUUUAUUUUCCACUUUUAUAUUAUUUUUGGGACUAACCUAUUAACCGGAGGCCCAGCCCAGAAUUGUUGUUUUUUGCCUAUUUCAGUGUUUCGGAUAAACAGAAUAUCAAACGGAGUCCAAACGGAAUAAAAUUUUCGGAAACGUGAUUUUCUCACCGAACGUGAUCCAGGAGACUUGGACCCUACUGCAAGGGAUCAAAGAGGUGGUCACGAGGGUGGGGGCGCCCCCCCCCCUAGGGCGCGCCCCCUUGGUGCUCCACCGACGUACUCGUUCCUCCUAUAUAUACGCACGUACCCCCAAACGAUCAGAACAAGAGCCAAAAACCUAAUUUCACCGCUGCAACUUUCUGUAUCCACGAGAUCCCAUCUUGGGGCCUGUUCCAGAGCUCCACUGGGAGAGGGCCGUCAUCACGGAGGGCUUCUACAUCAUCAUAGCCCCUCCGAUGAAGUGUGAGUAGUUUACCUCAGACCUUCGGGUCCAUAGUUAGUAGCUAGAUGGCUUCUUCUCUCUCUUUGAAUCUCAAUACAAAGUACUCCCCCUCUCUUGUGGAGAUCUAUUCGAUGUAAUCUUCUUUUUUGCGGUGUGUUUGUUGAGACCGAUGAAUUGUGGGUUUAUGAUCAAGUCUAUCUAUGAAUAAUAUUUGAAUCUUCUCUGAAUUCUUUUAUGUAUGAUUGGUUAUCUUUGCAAGUCUCUUCGAAUUAUCCGUUUGGUUUGGCCAACUAGAUUGGUAGUUCUAGCCAUGGGAGCAGUGCUUAGCUUUGGGUUCGAUCUUGCGGUGUCCUUACCCAGUGACAGAAGGGGCAGCAAGGCACGUAUUGUAUCGUUGCCAUCGAGGAUAACAAGAUGGGGUUUAUUUCAUAUUGCAUGAAUUUAUCUCUCUACAUCAUGUCAUCUUGCUUAAGGCGUUACUCUAUUUUUAACUUAAUACUCUAGAUGCAUGCUGGAUAGCGGUCGAUGAGUGGAGUAAUAGUAGUAGAUGCAGAAUCGUUUCGAUCUACUUUUCACGGACGUGAUGCCUAUAUACAUUAUCAUGCCUAGAUAUUCUCAUAAUUAUGCUCAAUUCUAUCAAUUGCUCAACAGUAAUUUGUUCACCCACCAUAGAAUACUUAUGCUCUUGAGAGAAGCCACUAAUGAAACCUAUGGCCCCCAGGUCUAUUCUCAUCAUGUUAAUCUCCAUCACUUUUAUAUUGUUUUGCUAUUUACUCUGCCUUUACUUUUACUUUGCAUCUUUAUAUCAAAAAUACCAAAAAUAUUCUAUCUAUCAGAUGUCACUCUCGUAAGUGACCGUGAAGGGCUUGACAACCCCUGAUCGCGUUGGUUGCGAGUAGCUAUCGCUUUGUGCAGGUACGAGGGACUUGAGCGUGGGCUCCUACUGGAUUGAUACCUUGGUUCUCAAAAACUGAGGGAAAUACUUAUGCUACUCUGUUGCAUCAUCCCUUCCUCUUCGGGGAAAACCAACGCAAGCUCAAGAUGUAUCAAGAAGGAUUUCUGGCGCCGUCGCCGGGGAGUCUAUGCAAAAAGUCAAUAUACCAAGUACCCAUCACAAUCCCUAUCUCUCGCAUUACAUUAUUUUCCAUUUGCCUCUCAUUUUCCUCUCCCCCCAAUUCACCCUUGCCGUUUUAUUCGCCCUCUCUCUCUAUCCUCCCUCUCUUUUCGCCUCUUUGUUUGCUUGUCGUCAUGGCUAGUCUCAUAUCUUCUCCGUUGUCUCCCGAGAGUGAAGUUCUAGAUUUUAAACAAAGGGAGGGAGAAAAUCUAAAAGAUGCUUGGUAUAGAAUUUUCAAUGCUCAAAAUAGAUCUACUAGGAAACAAUCUACCUUAGUUCUUCUUCGCAAUUUUUAUGUAGGUGUUAAUCCUUGGUAUAGAUAUAUCCUCGAUACCAUUACCGGAGGGAACUUCUUGGGUAGCCAUACUUUUGAUUCUUAUAAUGCUAUGAUAGAUUUAUUUCGCUCACCACCUCUUUUGGUUAAUGGAACCAUGUUAACUUUGGAGCAUGUUAUGCAAAGACUUGAAAUUAUUGAAAAUAAAGUUGCUACUAUUGAAUCAAUUGAAAAUCUAGAUAAAAAGAUCCACAAUCAAAUCACUAAAUAUGGAUCUAAGGUAGGAAUGACUUUGAAAAAUGUUAAGGAAAAGGAACCCAUAGUUAAUGAGAAGAUGAACUUAGAUUCUACUAGAAUUGAUAAACUUGAGGGUAUCAUUACAAAUUUGGGAACCGCUUUUUCUUCCGUAAAGAAUACUCCUAGUCCUCCUACUAAAAUUGCCAAGCUCAUGUAUGUUCCUAAAAAUAAGGGUGAAUCAUCUAGUAAGGAAACUGCUGAUCUUAAAUCUAUAAGUAUUCAUCCCAAUCUUUUUGCUAUCAUUAAAGAACCAUUUAUUACAAAUGAAUUUUUUGAUCUUGUGCCUAAAAAUUUGAUAAUUAAUAAAAAGAAAGAAAUUCAUAAAGAUGGUAGAUGCCUAAUUGAAGAAUUACCUACCAAAGAUGGCAAUACCUAGAUCUAUUCUUGCUCGUUAUGCCUAGCUAGGGGCGUUAAAUGAUAGCGCUUGUUGGGAAGCAACCCAAUUUUAUUUUUAUUCCUUGCUUUUUGCUCCUGUUUAGUAAUAAAUAAAUUAUUUAACCUCUGUUUUGGUUGUGUUUUUUGUGUUUAAUUAGUGUUUGUGCCAAGUAGAACCGUUGGGAAGACUUGGGGAAAGUCUUCUUGAACUUGCUGUAAAAAACAGAAAUUUUAGCGCCCACGAGAACUGCUGUCAUUUUUAUUUGAAGAGUGCUAUUUAGUUAAUUCUUUCUGCAGAUGAUUAAUAGAUAAAUUCCUCACGUCCAGAAAUUUAUUUUAGAAUUUUUGGGGUUCCAGAUCUUGCGCUAGCUACAGAUUACUACAGACUGUUCUUUUUUUGAAAGAUUAUAUUUUUCGUGUGUUGUUUGCUUAUUUUGAUGAAUCUAUGGCUAGUAAAAUAGUUUAUAAUCCAUAGAGAAGUUGGAAUACAGUAGGUUUAACACCAAUAUAAAUAAAGAAUGAGUUCAUUACAGUACCUUGAAUUGGUCUUUUGUUUUCUUUCGCUAACAGAGCUCACGAGUUUUCUAUUUUGAGUUUUGUGUUGUGAAGUUUUCAAGUUUUGGGUGAAUUCUUUUGAUGGAUCAUGGAACAAGGAGUGGAAAGAGCCUAAGCUUGGGGAUGCCCAUGGCACCCCCAAGAUAAUCCAAGGACACAAAAAAGUCAAAGCUUGGGGAUGCCCCGGAAGGUAUCCCCUCUUUUCGUCCACUUCCAUCGAUAAUUUACUUGGAGCUAUAUUUUUAUUCACCAACAUGAUAUUUGUUUUGCUUGGAGCGUCUUGUAUUAUUUGUGUCUUUGUUUUUUAGUAUGCCACAAUCAUCCUUUAUGUACAAACCUUUUGAGAGAGCUAUACAUGAAUUAAAAUUUGAUAGAAUACUCUAUGUGCUUCACUUAUAUCUUUUGAGCUAGAUAAUUUUGCUCUAUGUGCUUCACUUAGAUCUUUUAGAGCACGGUGGUGGAUUCGUUUUAAAGAAACUAUUGAUCUCUCAUGCUUCACUUAAAUUAAUUUGAGAGUCUCUUCAUAGCAUGGUAAUUUUCCUAAUAAUAAUAUGCUUGGUAUUCAAGAUUUGUGAAACUUUCUUUUGAGUGUGUUGAAUACGAAGAAAAGAUUGAAGCAUGAUAAUUGUUUUGAGAUAUGGAUAUGAUAAUAUUAAAGUCAUGCUAGUUGAGUAGUUGUGAAUUUAAAGAAUACUUGUGUUGAAGUUUGUGAUUCUCGUAGCAUGCACGUAUGGUGAACCGUUAUGUGAUGAAGUCGGAGCAUGAUUUAUUUAUUGAUUGUCUUCCUUAUGAGUGGCGGUCGGGGACGGGUGAUGGUCUUUUCCUACCAAUCUAUCCCCCUAGGAGCAUGCGCGUAAUACUUUGCUUUGAUAACUUCUAAAUUUUUGCAAUAAGUAUAUGAGUUCUUUAUGACUAAUGUUGAGUCCAUGGAUUAUACGCACUAUCACCCUUCCACCUUUGCUAGCUUCUCUCAUACCGCGCAACUUUCGCCGGUAUCAUACACCUACCAUAUACCUUCCUCAAAACAGCCACCAUACCUACCUAUUAUGGCAUUUCCAUAGCCAUUACGAGAUAUAUUGCCAUGCAACUUUCCACCAUCUAGUUUAUCAUGACAUAUCCAUCAUUGUCAUAUUGCUUAGCAUGAUCAUGUAGUUGACAUAGUAUUUGUGGCAAAGCCACCGUUCAUAAUUCUUUCAUACUUGUCACUGUUGAUUCAUUGCAUAUCCCGGUACACCACCGGAGGUAUUCAUAUAGGGUCAUACUUUGCUUUAGUAUCGAGUUGUAAUCAUUGAGUUGUAAAUAAAUAGAAGUGUGAUGAUCAUCAUUCAAUAGAGCAUUGUCCCCAAAAAAAGAGAAAGGCCAAAGAAGAAAAAAGAAGGCCCAAAAAAUAUAAAUAAAUAAAAAAGGGACAAUGCUACUAUCCUUUUUUCCACACUUGUGCUUCAAAGUAGCACCAUGAUAUAGCGAGUCUCAUAUAUUAUGCUUCAAAGUAGCACCAUGUUCUUCAUAUAGAGAGUCUCAUAUGUUGUCACUUUCAUAUACUGGUGGGAAUUUUACGUUAUAGAACUUGGCUUGUAUAUUCCAAUGAUGGGCUUCCCCAAAUUGCCCUAGGUCUUCAUGAGCAAGCAAGUUGGAUGCACACUGUCGGUGUCAAAACCGGAAGAUCUCGGGUAGGGGGUCCCGAACUGUGCGUCUAGGCCGGAUGGUAACAGGAGAUAGGGGACACUUUGUUUUACCCAGGUUCGGGCCCUCUCGAUGGAGGUAAAACCCUACUCCUGCUAGAUUAAUAUUGAUGAUAUGGGUAGUACAAGAGUAGAUCUACCACGAUAUCAAGGAGGCUAAACCCUAGAAGCUAGCCUAUGGUAUGAUUGUUGUCUAUGGACUUGAUUCUGUCCUACAGACUACAACCCUCCGGUUUAUAUAGACACCGGAUAGGGUUUAGGGUUACAUAGAGUCGGUUACAAUGGUAGGAGAUCUUGAAUAUCCGCAUCGCCAAGCUUGCCUUCCACGCCAAGGAAAGUCCCAUCCGGACACGGGACGAAGUCUUCAAUCUUGUAUCUUCAUAAUCCAGGAGUCCGGCUGAAGAUAUAGUCCGGCUACCCGAACACCCCCUAAUCCAGGACUCCCUCAGUAGCCCCUGAACCAGGCUUCAAUGAUGACGAGUCCGGCGCGCAGAAUCGUCUUCGACAUUGCAAGGCGGGUUCCUCCUCCCAGUCCUUUAUAGAAGAUUGUAAACACCAAGAGUAGUGUCCGGCUCUGUAAAAUAAGCUUCCACAUAUUGUCAUAGAGAGAAUAAUAUUAACACAAAUCAAAUCUGCUGACGUAUUCUGCAGUGCGCCAUCACACUACAGCCAAGCCCUUUACUCGUAUCGUUUUUACUUUUCCACCUCAGCAUGUUUUGCGAGGCGGUUUCCUUGACACGUCUUGUCAAAGCAGAGAUCGUGUACCCUUUUUACGGGAUUCUCAUUAAUACGGACGUGGGUAACCCAACCGCGCCAUUUAUCACGGUGCUCGGGAGGCAAGCGAGUUUCGUUAGGUAGGUGGGGAUGCAUAACCGCAUCCGCCUAUAUAAGGGGAUAAGGAUCCACCCUUUUUACCUACUCCUUCUUCCUCCCUUGCCUAUCCAUCUCUCGCGCACCCGACCUCCAGCGCCCAAGCCCGCACAUCCCACCUCAACCUUCUCUAGCAAUGUCCGGAGCGGGAGGCAAAUGGAUGGUCUCCUCCGUUACGGAGGGUAAAGUAAAAAAGCUAAGGAAGGCCGGAUACCUGUCCAAGGACAUCGCGCACCGGCUUCCCGAAGAGGGGCAGCUUAUCCCCACCCCAAGGCCCCAUGAGAGGGUCAUGUUUCUUCCCCACUUCCUCCGCGGACUGGGUUUUCCACUCCACCCAUUUGUCCGGGGGCUCAUGUUCUACUACGGCCUGGAUUUCCAUGAUCUGGCUCCUAACUUCAUCCUCAACAUCUCGGCGUUUAUCGUCGUGUGUGGGGCCUUUCUCCACAUCCGCCCCCAUUUCGGCCUCUGGCUCAAGACCUUCAACGUCAAGCCCAAGGUGGUGCGCGGCAGCCAGGCGGAGUGCGGAGGCGCUAUGGCGGGCAAGAUGGCCAACAUCCUAUGGUUCGAGGGCUCUUUCGUGGAGACCCUAAAGGGAUGGCAAGCCGGGUGGUUUUAUAUCACCGAGCCACGCAAUCCGGAAUGGACCGCAGCCCCUGAGUUCCGCUCCGGACCCCCCACGCGGCUUAUGUCCUGGAAAGAGACGGGCCUGUCGUGGGGUGACGAAAAAGAGGUGACCGGAUUGCAAACAUGCAUCCAUUCCCUGGUGAACAAGCCAGUCCGGCUUGUUAAUAUAAUCCAGGUUAUGCUCAUCCGCCGGAUCCUCCCAUGCCAACAACGGGAUUUUAAUCUAUGGGAGUUCGACCCGGCGCAGCACCAAACCCUCAACAGGCUUUUCAACACGACGUAUGAGGAUGCCUGGAAGGUGCUAUUCAAGGGCGCUGAAGCUCCCUCAUCCGCUUCCGAGGACUGCGGAUACAUCUCGCAGCGUCACGCUAACAAGGUAUGCCAUCUACACCUUUUACAGGAUGUUUAAGCUUUUUUCAUAGUUUGACUCUAUGCGGGAUCUAAACUCCCUUACCUUUGACAAGCUUGGCGGGCGAUAGCCGAACCGAUUAACUGUCCGGCUCCGCUGCCCGAAGAUCCAGCCCAGCUUUACUGGUGAAGCUGCUGGCUCCGGCGCCUUAUGUGGUGCCGGAGAAGAAGGCCAAGAAGAAGAAGACCACGGGGACUCGAAAGAGUGCCCGUAACAUGGUGGUGUCGGACUCGUCAUCUGAUGAGUCCGAGGCGCCGUCCUCCCGCGAGAACGAGGAGGAGGAAGAAGAAAACUCUCCCUCUCCAGUGGAGGGAGGAGAGAAGAGGAAGGCCGCCCCAACGGGGGAGGCCGAGGGGUCUAAGAAGAGGAAGACCCCUCCGCCGGACUACGCCCCUGACGCCGAAGAGGGCGAAGAGGAGUGGCCGGACAGGGCCAAGCAUCCGGUGAAAUCGUAAGUUCGGGUAUCAGAGUAACUCAUGAUGUUCCUUUAUUGCGCAGCUUUCCCUAAUGUCGAAUGUAAUCAUGCAGCCCGCCCCGGGCCGCACUCAACGAGUCAUCGAGCGGCUCCCUGGAUUCAUCGGAUGUGAACUCUGUUCCGCCCGCUGUCUCCCCCCGCACUGUGGACGACGCCGAAGUGGCGUCGCGGCGAGCUCCGGGGCAGGAGGAGGUGGUCCUGGAGGAGCCGCAAGGCGACCUCCCGGACCCCAGGAGUGAAGGGGACAAGGCCCCCCAGGGCUCCAAGUCCGGCCUUAAGCCGGACACCAUGCCGGAAUCUUCAACAAUUCCGGACCGCGGCAGGCGAACUCCUUCCAAGAGGAGCAAGCCUUCUGAGCUGGCAGCCUCCGUCCAACCGGAGGCGCCGAACAAUCUGUUGGAGGUGCUUGAAGGCGCCUCCAUCGACGAGGAGCAUCGUACUAUUAUGAGUACGGUGAUCCAGAAGGUUCAGUCCACCAAGAGCGGGCUGAAUGAAGCUUGCGCUGGCCUCCUAGCAGGCUUCGAGGUAAGUAAAAAUAUGUAAAAAUAUUACCGCAUAGACAGUAGCCCCUGAUGCUCUGUUUGGCGUUCGGAAAGAAAAGCCGAAUAGAGGAUCUAUGAAAUUUCACAGGAGUCUAAUAAUGAAGAGUCAAUAUGCGUAUGCAGGCUUUGCUGCUAGCCACUGCCGCACUGACUGCGGAGGUGGAUACCUAAACAGGGACUCGAGCGGUCCGAGCAAGAGCUCGGCCGUGCCAAGCAGUAGCUCGAGGAGAAACAAGGUAAGAAAUACCUUAUAAAAAGGUGCCUAUAGAGAGGCGUGAUUGCAAAAAAUAACAGGAUUGUACUACUUAUUGUAGGGGCCACGACUGAGGUGGCGACCCUCAAGAAGGCGCUGUCCGAGGCCGAAAAGAAAACAGCCGCGGAGCGCACCGAGCGAGAGAAACUUGGGUCUCAGGUCGGCGAGGUGCAACAAGAGCUUCAGGCUGUCAUGAAAAAACAUGAGAGUUUGGAGCUUGAGUCAAAGAUCCAAGCAUCCGAGCUCGCGACGGUCCUUGAGACUGCCAAGUCUGCCAAGGCCGAAGCCCAAAAGGCUCUCCGAGAGUUGGAGGAUAUGAAGAAGAUAGCAGCGGGUAAGGCAUUCUUUAUGCAAAGCAGAAACAUAAAAGUAAACUACUUGUUACUUACCCGAAUCCGGAGUUCUCCAGGGGCCUUCGCGGAUCUUCCCCGCAGUGUAUCCGAUGCCGCCGCAUUCUACCGAGCUGAAGAGGGCAGCUCGACAGAGAAGGUGUUCUGGUCUUAGUAUGCUGAGGCCGGACACCCUGUGCCCUUGAGCGACCAGCUGAAACAGCUGGUCGAACUCCACAAGGCGGCCGAACAGGCCAUGAAGGGCUUCAUAGUUCGGCUGUGGCCCGGAGAGGCCUUGCCUGGGAGCUACUUCGGGCUGGUGCGGCGGCUGGUGGAGGCCUGUCCAUGGCUCGAGGCCAUCAAGCGCUCCGUCUGCAUCGAAGGUGCCCAUAGGGCCCUUGCCCGUGUAAAGGUGCACUGGGGUAAGCUGGACGGUGAGAAUCUUGUGACGGACGGGCCGCCGCCGGGGAAGGAGCAUCGCAAGCCGGAGAACUACUAUAAGGAUGUUCUUGCGGGUGCCCGCCUUGUGGCGGAUGAGUGCACCAAGGAUGUAAUUUUUGAAUGAAUUCGCUCGUGUUUAUCAUGUGCGCUGAAAACUUGUUCAUAUGCGCUUAAGCAAUGCUUAUUGAAUUUAAAAUAUUGUUUUCUGUGCGGCCGUUUAUCGAAAAUUGAGAGAUGGCCAGUCGUCGGCUUCUGCCCCCAUGCCACUAGUGCUGGGGUGUUCGGUGAUAAACCUGGGUGCUCUUUUUCCCAUGGUUGGGUCCUUCGAGGGAGGCGCUCAGCACGACGAACCAGGCAAUCGGACUAUAAUGCUUGAACACUCUCACUAAGCCAUAGAACUUUAUAAUUUUAAAUUUUGGCGAAGCCCCUAGUUCGGAAGACCGAGUUCGGGGCGCUAUCCACGCCUUGGCUGGGGUUAUCCAGCUCUUCGCUCGAAGUGGCAUAAGCCUUUAGGGACUCGAAAAACCUCUCGAAUAGCGACCGGUCUCUCGCCUCAUCAUGACAGUCAGUUUUAGCUUUCUCCACUGAGGUGCUUAACCUAGCUCAACCGGGGAACAAUCGCAGUGGUUCUCCUAGUGCUACCUUAGCCGAUAUAGAGGAACGUAAGGCACCAGAACAUAGGAGCCGGGCAAACCCAACUAUUGACCCAAAUCAUGAUUCGGAGCCGAUGCAUAUAGUGCUAUAAAUUCGGGGUGCCGCACUUGUGAAAGUGUACGGACUUCUCACACCAUAUUAAAGGGUACGGAAGCCCCUGGCGUACUUGUCGUACCACAAUGUACGGGUGCAACAUGUCAUUAAUGAACAUAUAUAUGAAAAGAGUAAUGCAAAAAAUAGACAAAAAGCUAAGCAUUAUUUAUGGAGAGGCUAUUUAUCAAAGCCAAACGAUACAAAUGGUGCGGUAAGCAAAAGAUAUUGGACUAUUCAGUAUGUCCUGACCAGGGGCAGGCCGCGCAAUUAUAUAUAAAGUAGGUAUACCGCUCGCAACAGAUACCACCUGGGAGUUCCAUAAUGCGGCAUUGCUUAUCUGCCUCCCUGGAUCUUGCAUCAUUUGUGCGGCAAUCGAAUUGCCGAACAGGUCGUCCGAAGUAUGGAAUCCUGAAAGUAAGAAAAAAUUAAAAAAAGAAUCCGGCAGCUCCUGGUACGUUUUAAGCCGUAUUUUGGGCGUGCCGUUAUUUUGCCCCUUCCCCUGUGCCCAUGGUAUUUCAAGGGCGUAGUUAUGUACGCGAGGUACUAGUUUCGCUAGGUCGGGAAAGCUGGGUUGGGGCCGCAUUGCUACGCUUGCUCAGAGUGUGCCAGGCGGUCCUGCUGUAGGUUACUCCGGGCACGCUUGGCAGUGUCUGGCUUUUUAAUGGCCGGACUGGAGAAUUGCCUAAGAAGGCUACUCUGUACCUCCGCUGCGAGAGCCGCCGUAUGCUCCUCCGUACGGAGGGAGCGUUCGGUGUUUCCGUUGACCGUGAUUACUCCUCGAGGGCCUGGCAUCUUGAGUUUGAGAUAUGCGUAGUGCGGAACCGCAUUGAAUUUUGCGAAUGCGGUUCGUCCGAGCAGGGCGUGAUAGCCACUGCGAAACGGGACUAUAUCGAAGAUUAACUCUUCGCUUCGGAAAUUAUCCGGGGAUCCGAAGACCACGUCAAGUGUUACUGAGCAUGUACAGUUGGCUUCUACACCUGGUAUGACGCCUUUAAAGGUCGUUCUUGUGGGUUUGAUCCUUGAGGGGUCUAUGCCCAUUUUCCGCACUGUGUCCUAAUAAAGCAGGUUCAGGCUACUGCCGCCGUCCAUGAGGACUCUUGUGAGGUGAAAUCCGUCGAUGAUUGGGUCGAGAACCAAUGCGGCGAAGCGACCAUGACGGAUGCUAGUGGGAUGGUCCCUUCGAUCAAAAGUGCUCGGGCAGGAGGACCAUGGGUUGAACUUUGGGGCGACUGGCUCCAUCGCGUAUACGUCCCGUAGCGCACGCUUCCGCUCCCACUUGGGAAUGUGGGUUGCGUAUAUCAUGUUCACCGUCCGCACUUGUGGGGGAAAGCCCUUCUGUCCAUUGUUGUUCGGCGGCUUGGGCUCCUCGUCAUUGUUGUGCAGCCCCUUGUCUCUGUUUUCGGCUCUUAACUUGCCUGCCUGCUUGAACACCCAACAAUCCUUGUUGGUGUGAUUGGCUGGCUUUUCGGGGGUGCCAUCUAUCUGGCACAAGCGAUCGAGUAUUCGGUCCAAACUGGACGGGCCCUGAGUAUUCUUUUUUAAUGGCUUUUUCCGCUGACCGGAUUUAUAGCCUCUGAAUCCGGCAUUGACUGACGUGUCUUCAUUGCUGUCGCUGUUAACGCGAUGUUUUUGUUUGUUCCGACGUGUCCUGCCGCUUUUGUCCUUGGUAUCCAAAUUACCAGGGUUCUUUGAUAGAUUGUUACUGCGAGCUAGCCAGCUGUCUUCACCCGCGCAAAAGCGGGUCAUCAGUGUCGUGAGGGCUGCCAUGGAUUUCGGCUUUUCCUGUCCCAGGUGUCGGGCAAGCCACCCGUCGCGGAUGUUAUGCUUGAAGGCUGCUAGGGCCUCUGCGUCCAGACAGUCGACUAUCUGGUUUUUCUAUGUUAGGAACCGUGUCCAGAAUUGUCUGGCUGAUUCUUCUGGCUGUUGAAUUAUGUGGGUUAAGUCGUCGGCAUCCGGCGGUCGCACAUAAGUGCCCUGGAAGUUGUCGAGGAAUGCGGCUUCCAGGUCCUCCCAAGAACUGAUUGAGUCCGAUGGCAAGCUGUUAAGCCAAUGCCGGGCCGGUCCUUUAAGUUUGAGCGGGAGGUACUUGAUGGCGUGUAGAUCAUCGCCGCGUGCCAUGUGGAUGUGAAGGAGAUAAUCCUCAAUCCAUACCGCCGGGUCUAUGGUGCCAUCGUAUGAUUCGACGUUUACGGGUUUAAAGCCCUCUGGGAUUUUAUGAUCCAUUACUUCAUUCGUGAAGCAUAGCGGGUGUGCGGCGCCUCUAUACUAGGAUAUAUCACGACGCAGCUCGGAAGAGCUAUGUCUGUUGUGCUUGGCCCAGCCGGAUUUGUUGUAUCCGGCGUGAGGAUCAUUGUCACAUGCCGUAGGGCGCCUGCGCGAUCCGUAGAUCAAUCUUGUAUGUCUUGCCUUAUCCUCCAGUAUGUCUCGCAGGUCGGGCGCAUUUUCCCGUGCCUUAGUUGUGCAGCAUCGGGGCAUGGCUUGGGUGGAGGGCUGAGAGGCCUCUCUGUCACGGCCACGAGGUGGCCGGUCUGCCAUGUCAUGCACUGGUGAUGUAGUCGCCUCCUCUGAUCGGGGUAGUGACCUGCGCUUCGGGUAACUCUUGGAGGGGCGUUCGAGUUCAUACUCUUUGGCCGCAAGGACUUCAGUCCAUCUGUCAGCUAGCAGAUCUUGGGCAGCUCUAAGCUGUUGCUGAUUUUUCUUGAGGCUGCUUGCCGUGGCUAAAAGCCUGCGUUUAAAACGCUCUUGUUCGGUGGGGUCUGAUGGUAUGACGAAUUCGUCGUCAUCGAGGCUUGCCUCGUCUUCGGAGGGAGGCAUAUAGUUAUCAUCCUCGACCUCUCGGUCUGCUGCUCUCUCAUGAGGGCUGGCUUCUCCAUCUUCCUGUGCCGAACCUUGCUGGGGUGGGUGUUCUUCGGCACUAUCCGGGGUAGUAUUAUCUCCCGUGCCAGAAUCACCAUUUUUGCUUUGGCGGGAUUUAGAGCGGCUCCGCUGACGCCGGCGCUUUGGCUGUUUCUUGGGGGCGUCAUCCCCCAUUGUUCCAUCGCCAUCUCCGUCUUUUGGAGUAUCCACCAUGUAUAUGUCAUAUGACGGGGUGGCGUUCCAGCGCCCUACAGGUGCUGAUUCCUGUUCGUCUCCUAUAUCGUCGUCCAUGCCGUCGAUGUCUUCGGAGCCAAAGUCCAGUAUGUCGGUUAAAUCGUCGACAGUGGCUACAAAGUGGGUGGUGGGUGGGUUUUGAAUUUCCUCACCGUCUGUAUCCCACCCUUGCUGACCGUAGUUCGGCCAUGGCUCUCCUGAUAAAUAGAGAGACUUAAGGGAAUUCAGGAUGUCGCCAAAAGGCGAAUGCUGAAAGAUGUCCGCGGCGGUGAACUCCAUUACCGGCGCCCAAUUGGAUUCGAUUGGCAGGGGUGCGGGGGGCUCGGAGUUCGGAGAGGAAUCCGGCUCCUCGGAGUCACGGGCCACGCGGAGUGCGGGGCUAGAGUUCGGCUCGAUCGCCUCUGAGAUCGCAGCCCCUGAGGCAGCGUCCAACCGCUGAUCCUCGAUCGGCACAGUAGGUUCCGAAUCAAUGGUCGAAACCGAUGCGUGUGCGGCCUCCAAAGCGUUGUUCGACAGCAGAGCUAUAUCAUGCCCGUCGAGACAGUGCGGCACGCUUGGCUGUGGCUCGAAUCCGUCGAAGAUCAAGUCCCCGCGGAUGUCAGCCGUGUAGUUUAGGCUUCCAAACCUGACCUGACGGCCAGGGGCGUAGCUUUCGAUCUGCUCAAGGUGGCCAAGCGAAUUGGCCCACAGUGCGAAGCCACCGAAGACGAAGAUCUAUCCGGGGAGAAAAGUCUCACCCUGGACCGCAUCGUUGUUGAAGAUCGAAGGAGCCAUCGAGCCUAAAGGCGACGACACAGAGGAACUCUCAAUGAAAGCACCAAUGUCGGUGUCAAAACCGGCAGAGCUCGGGUAGGGGGUCCCGAACUGUGCGUCUAGGCCGGAUGGUAACAGGAGACAGGGGACACUUUGUUUUACCCAGGUUCGGGCCCUCUCGAUGGAGGUAAAACCCUACUCCUGCUAGAUUAAUAUUGAUGAUAUGGGUAGUAUAAGAGUAGAUCUACCAUGAGAUCAAGGAGGCUAAACCCUAGAAGCUAGCCUAUGGUAUGAUUGUUGUGUAUGGAGUUAAUUCUGUCCUACGGACUACAACCCUCCGGUUUAUAUAGACACCGGAUAGGGUUUAGGGUUCAUAGAGUCGGUUACAAUGGUAGGAGAUCUUGAAUAUCCGCAUCGCCAAGCUUGCCUUCCACGCCAAGGAAAGUCCCAUCCGGACACAAGACGAAGUCUUCAAUCUUGUAUCUUCAUAAUCCAGGAGUCCGGCUGAAGAUAUAGUCUGGCUACCCGAACACCCCCUAAUCCAGGACUCCCUCACACACCCACUAGUUUCUUUUGUUGAGCUUUCAUACAUUUAUAGCUAUAGUGCAUCCGUUGCAUGGCAAUCCCUACUCACUCACAUUGAUAUCUAUUGAUGGGCAUCUCCAUAGCCCGUUGAUACGCCUAGUUAUUGUGAGACUAUCUUCUCCUUUUUUGUCUUCUCCACAACCACCAUUCAAUUCCACCUAUAGUGCUAUAUCCAUGGCUCACUCUCAUGUAUUGCGUGAAGAUUGAAAAAGUUUUGAAAAAGUUAGAGUAUGAAACAAUUGCUUGGCUUGUCAUCGGGGUUGUGCAAGAUUUAAAUACUUUGUGUGGGGAAGAUGGAGCAUAGCCAGACUAUAUGAUUUUGUAGGGAUAACUUUCUUUGGCCAUGUUAUUUUGAGAAGACAUAAUUGCUUUGUUAGUAUGCUUGAAGUACUAUUAUUUUCUAUGUCAAUAUAAACCUUUGUCUUGAAUCUUUCUAAUCUCAAUAUUCAUACCACAAUUAAGAAGAUUUGCAUUCAAAUUAUGCCAAGUAGCACUCCGCAUCAAAAAUUCUCUUUUUAUCAUUUACCUACUCGAGGACAAGCAGGAAUUAAGCUUGGGGAUGCCUGAUACGUCUCCAACGUAUCUAUAAUUUUUGAUUGCUCCAUGCUAUAUUAUCUACUGUUUUGGACUAUAUUGGGCUUUAUUUUCCACUUUUAUAUUAUUUUUGGGACUAACCUAUUAACCGGAGGCCCAGCCCAGAAUUGUUGUUUUUUUGCCUAUUUCAGUGUUUUGGAUAAACAGAAUAUCAAACGGAGUCCAAACGGAAUAAAAUCUUCGGAAACGUGAUUUUCUCACCGAACGUGAUCCAGGAGACUUGGACCCUACUGCAAGGGAUCAAAGAGGUGGACACGAGGGUGGGGGGUCGGUGUUCCACCGACGUACUCCUUCCUCCUAUAUAUACACACGUACCCCCAAACGAUCAAAACAUGAGCCAAAAACCUAAUUCCACCGCCGCAACUUUCUGUAUCCACGAGAUCCCAUCUUGGGGCCUGUUCCGGAGCUCCGCCGGAAGAGAGUCGUCAUCACGGAGGGCUUCUACAUCAUCAUAGCCCCUCCGAUGAAGUGUGAGUAGUUUACCUCAGACCUUCAUGUCCAUAGUUAGUAGCUAGAUGGCUUCUUCUCUCUCUUUGAAUCUCAAUACAAAGUUCUCCCCCUCUCUUGUGGAGAUCUAUUCGAUGUAAUCUUCUUUUUUGCGGUGUGUUUAUUGAGAAUGAUGAAUUGUGGGUUUAUGAUCAAGUCUAUCUAUGAAUAAUAUUUGAAUCUUCUCUGAAUUCUUUUAUGUAUGAUUGGUUAUCUUUGCAAGUCUCUUCAAAUUAUCCGUUUGGUUUGGCCAACUAGAUUGGUAGUUCUUGCCAUGGGAGAAGUGCUUAGCUUUGGGUUCGAUCUUGCGGUGUCCUUACCCAGUGACAGAAGGGGCGGCAAUGCACGUAUUGUAUCAUUGCCAUCGAGGAUAACAAGAUGGGGUUUAUUUCAUAUUGCAUGAAUUUAUCUCUCUACAUCAUGUCAUCUUGCUUAAGGCAUUACUCUAUUUUUAACUUAAUACUCUAGAUGCAUGUUGGAUAGCAGUCGAUGAGUGGAGUAAUAGUAGUAGAUGCAGAAACGUUUCGAUCUACUUGUCAUGGACGUGAUGCCUAUAUACAUGAUCAUGCCUAGAUAUUCUCAAAAUUAUGCUCAAUUCUAUCAAUUGCUCAACAGUAAUUUGUUCACCCACCGUAGAAUACAUAUGCUCUUGAGAGAAGACACUAGUGAAACCUAUGGCCCCCGGGUCUAUUCUCAUCAUAUCAAUCUCCAUCACUUUUAUAUUGUUUUGCUAUUUACUUUGCCUUUACUUUUACUUUGCAUCUUUAUAUCAAAAAUACCAAAAAUAUUCUAUCUAUCAGAUAUCACUCUCGUAAGUGACCGUGAAGGGCUUGACAACCCCUAAUCGUGUUGGUUGCGAGUAGCUAUCGCUUUGUGCAGGUACGAGGGACUUGAGCGUGGGCUCCUACUGGAUUGAUACCUUGGUUCUCAAAAACUGAGGGAAAUACUUACGCUACUCUGCUGCAUCAUCCCUUCCUCUUCGGGGAAAACCAACGCAAGCUCAAGACAUAGCAGCACCCUAAGACACACAUAAGUUGAUUCUUCCAAGCCGUGUGCGGUGCCCCCCCCCCUCCACCCUAAUCCACCUCGGUCAUAUCGUAGCGGUGCUUAGGUAAAGCCUCAUACGUCCAUUUUGCAUCAUGCUUUUAUAUCGAUAUUUAUUGCAUUAUGGGCUCCUAUUACACAUUAUGUCACAAUAGUUAUGCCUAUUCUCUCUUAUUUUAUAAGGUUUACAUGAAGAAGGAGAAUGCCGGCAGCUGGAAUUCUGGGCUGGAAAAGGAGCAAAUAUUAAAGACCUAUUUUGCACAACUCCAAAAGUCCUGAAACUUCACGGGAGCACGUUUCAGAAUAUAUAAAAAUAUUGGGCGAAAGAAGUACCAAAGGGGGGCCACCUACCAUCCAUGAGGGUGGGGGCGCGCCCUACCCCCUGCCUCGUGGGCCCCCUGGCAGCCCUCUGAUGCCCAUCUUCUGCUAUAUGAGGUCUUUCGUCCAGGAAAAUAUCAUAAGCUAGCUCACUGGACGAAACUCCGCCGCCUGGAGGCGGAACCUUGGCGGAACCAAUCUAGGGCUCUGGCGGAGCUGUUCUGCUGGGGAAAGUUCCCUCUGGGAGGGGGAAAUCAUCACCAUCAUCAUCACCAUCGAUCCUCUCAUCGGGAGGGGGUCAAUCUCCAUCAACAUCUGAUACCUCUCCAACAUAUCUAUAAUUUUUUAUUGCUCCAUGCUAUUAUAUUAUCUGUUUUGGAUGUUAAAGUGCUAUUUAGUUAAUUAUUUUUGCAGAUGAUCAAUAGAUACAUUCCUCACGUCCAGCAAUUUAUUUUAGAAUUUUGGGGUUCCAGAAGUUUGCGUUAGCUACAGAUUACUACAGACUAUUCUGUUUUUUAUGGAUUCUGUUUUUGGUGUGUUGUUUGCUUAUUUUGAUGAAUCUAUGGCUAGUAAAAGAGUUUAUAAACCAUAGAGAAGUUCGAAUACAGUAGUUUUAACACCAAUAUAAAUCAAGAAUGAGUUCAUUACAGUACCUUGAAGUAGUGUUUUGUUUUCUUUCGCUAAUGGAGCUGACGAGAUUUUCUAUUUUGAGUUUUGUGUUGUGAUGUUUUCAAGUUUUGGGUAAAGAUUUGAUGGAUAAUGGAUCAAGGAGUGGCAAGAGCCUAAGCUUGGGGAUGCCCAUGGCACCCCAAGGUAAAAUCCAAGGACACCAAAAAGCCUAAGCUUGGGGAUGCCCCGGAAGGCAUCCCCUCUUUUGUCUUCGUCUAUCGGUAACUUUACUUGGAGCUAUGUUUUUAUUCAUCACAUGAUAUGUGUUUUGCUUGGAGCGUCUUGUAUGAUUUGAGUCUUUGAUUUUUAGUUUACCACAAUCAACCUUGCUGUACACACCUUUUGAGAGAGACUCACAUGAUUUGAAAUUUAUUAGAAUACUCUAGGUGCUUCACUUAUAUCUUUUGAGCUAUAUAGUUUUUGCUCUAGUGAUUCGCUUAUAUCUUCGAGAGCAUGGCGGUGAUUUUAUUUUAUAGAAAUAAUUGAUCUCUCAUGCUUCACUUAUAUUAUUUUGAGAGUCCUUUAGAACAACAUGGAAAUUUUCUUUUAGGAAUAAUAUAAAAAACUUUCAUAGAAGUGCAUUGAAUACUAUGAGAAGUUUGAUACUUGAUAAUUGUUUUGAGAUAUGGAGAUGGUGAUAUUAGAGUCAUACUAGUUGAGUAGUUGUGAAUUUCAGAAAUACUUGUGUUGAAGUUUGUGAUUCCCGUAGCAUGCACAUAUGGCGAACCGUUACGUGAUGAAGUCGGAGCAGGACUUAUUUAUUAAUUGUCUUCCUUAUGAGUGGCGGUCGGGGACGAGCGAUGGUCUUUUCCUACCAAUAUAUUCCCCUAGGAGCAUGCGUGUAAUACUUUGUUUCGAUAACUAAUAGAUUUUUGCAAUAAGUAUGUGAGUUCUUUAUGACCAAUGUUGAGUCCAUGGAUUAUAUGCACUCUCACCCUUCCACCAUUGCUAGCCUCUCUAGUAUCGCGCAACUUUCGCCGGUACCAUAAACCCACCAUAUACCUUCCUCAAAACAGCCACCAUACCUACCUAUUAUGGCAUUUCCAUAGCCAUUCCGAGAUAUAUUGCCAUGCAACUUUCCACUGUUCCGUUAUUAUGACACGCUUCAUCAUUGUCAUAUUGCUUGCAUGAUCAUGUAGUUGACAUCAUAUUUGUGGCAAAGCCACCGUUCAUAAUUCUUCAUACAUGUCACUCAUGCAUCAUUGCACAUCCCGGUACACUGCCGGAGGCAUUCACAUAGAGUCAUAUUUUGUUCUAAGUAUUGAGUUGUAAUUCUUGAGUUGUAAGUAAAUUAAAGUGUGAUGAUCAUUAUUAUUAGAGCAUUGUCCCAGUGAGGAAAGGAUGAUGGAGACUAUGAUUCCCCCACAAGUCGGGAUGAGACUCCGGAUGAAAAAAAAGAGGCCAAAAAGAAAAGAGGCCCAAAAGAAAAAAGGAAGAAGGCCCAAAUAAAAAAUAAUAAUGAGAGAAAAAGAGAGAAGGGACAAUGUUACUAUCCUUUUUCCACACUUGUGCUUCAAAGUAGCACCGUGGUCUUCAUGAUAGAGAGUCUCCUAUGUUAUCACUUUUAUAUACUAGUGGGAAUUUUACAUUAUAGAACUUGGCUUGUAUAUUCCAAUGAUGGGCUUCCUCAAAAUUGCCCUAGGUCUUCAUGAGCAAGCAAGUUGGAUGCACACCCACUUAGUUCUUUGUUGAGCUUUCAUACACUUAUAGCUCUAGUGCAUCCGUUGCAUGGCAAUCCCUACUCACUCACGUUGAUAUCUAUUGAUGGGCAUCUCCAUAGCCCGUUGAUACGCCUAGUUAAUGUGAGACUAUCUGCUCCUUUUUGUCUUCUCCACAACCACCAUUCUAUUCCACAUAUAGUGCUAUAUUCAUGGCUCACGCUCAUAUAUUGCGUGAAGAUUGAAAAAGUUUGAGACCAUUAGAAGUAUGAAACAAUUGCUUGGCUUGUCAUCGGGGGUGUGCAUGAUUUAAAUAUUUUGUGUGGUGAAGAUAGAGCAUAGCCAGACUAUAUGAUUUUGUAGGGAUAACUCUCUUUGGCCAUGUUAUUUUGAGAAGACAUGAUUGCUUAGUUAGUAUACUUGAAGUAUUAUUAUUUUUAUGUCAAUAUUAAACUUUUAUCUUGAAUCUUUCGGAUCUGAACAUUCAUGCCACAAUAAAGAAAAAUUACAUUGAGAAAUAUGUUAGAAAGCAUCCCACAUCAAAAAUUCUUUUUUUAUCAUUUACCUACUCGAGGACGAGCAGGAAUCAAGCAUGGGGAUGCUUGAUACGUCUCCAACGUAUCUAUAAUUUUUGAUUGCUCCAUGCUAUUAUAUUAUCUCUUUUGGAUGUUAAUGGGCUUUAUUUUAGAAAUUUAUAUAAUUUUUGGGACUAACCUAUUAACCAGAGGCCCAACCCAAAUUGUUGUUUUUUGCCUAUUUUAGUGUUUCGUAGAAAAGGAAUAUCAAACGAAGUCCAAACGGAAUGAAAACUUCGGGAACAUGAUUUUCUCAACAAACGUGAUCCAGGAGACUUGGAGGCCUCGAGGAAGGGGGCACGCCUACCCCCCUGGGUGCACCCUCCACCCUCGUGGGCCCCUCGUUGCUCCACCGGCCAACUUUUUCCUCCUAUAUAAGUCCACGUACCCCGCAAACAUCCAGGAGCACCAUGAAAGCCUAAUUCCACCGCCGCGGCCUUCUGUACCCGAGAGAUCCCAUCUUGGGGCCUUUUCCGGAGCUCAGCCGGAGGGGGCAUUGAUCACGGAGGGCCUCUACAUCAACUCCAUGGCAUCUCCGGUGAUGUGUCAGUAGUGUACUUCAGACCUUCGGGUCCAUAGCUAGUAGCUAGAUGGAUUCUUCUCUCUCUUUGGAUCUCAAUACAAAGUUCUCCUUGAUUCUCUUGGAGAUCUAUUCGAUGUAAUCUUCUUUUACGGUGUGUUUGUCCAGAUCCGAUGAAUUGUGGGUUUAUGAUCUAGAUUAUCUAUGAACAAUAUUUGAUUCUUCUCUGAAUUCUUUUAUGUAUGAUUGGUUUAUAUUUGCAUGUCUCUUCGAAUUAUCAGUUUGGUUUGGCCUACUAGAUUGAUCUUUCUUGCAAUAGGAGAAGUGCUUACUUUGGGUUCAAUCUUACGGUGCUCGAUCCCCGUGACAGUAGGGGAAACGACACGUAUUGUAUUGUUGCCAUCGAGGAUAAAAAUAUGGGGUUUAUAUCAUAUUGCAUGAGUUUAUCCCUCUACAUCAUGUCAUCUUGCUUAAGGCGUUACUCUGUUCUUAUGAACUUAAUACUCUAGAUGCAUGCUGGAUAGCGGUCGAUGUGUGGAGUAAUAGUAGUAGAUGCAGGCAGGAGUCGGUCUACUUGUCGCGGACGUGAUGCCUAUAUACAUGAUCAUACCUAGAUAUUCUCAUAAUUAUUCGCUUUUCUAUCAAUUGCGCGACAGUAAUUUGUUCACCCACUGUAAUACUUAUGCUAUCUUGAGAGAAGCCACUAGUGAAACCUAUGCCCCCCGGGUCUAUUUUCCAUCAUACAAGUUUCCAAUCUAUGUUAUUUUACAAUCUUUACUUUCAAUCUAUAUCAUAAAAAUACCAAAAAUAUUUAUCUUAUUAUUAUUAUCUCUAUCAGAUCUCACUCUUGCAAGUGGCCAUGAAGGGAUUGACAACCCCUUUAUCGCGUUGGUUGCGAGGUUCUUAUUUGUUUGUGUAGGUACGAGGUGACUCGCGUGUGGUCUCCUACUGGAUUGAUACCUUGGUUCUCAAAAACUAAGGGAAAUGUUUACGCUACUUUACUGCAUCACCCUUUCCUCUUCAGGGGAAAACCAACGCAGUGCUCAAGAGGUAGCAAGAAGGAUUUCUGGCACUGUUGCCGAGGAGAUCUAUGCCAAGUCAAGACAUAUGAAGUACCCAUCACAACCCUUAUCCUUUGCAUUACAUUAUUUGCCAUUUGCCUCUCGUUUUCCUCUCCCCCACUUCACUCUUGCCGUUUAAUUCGCCCUCUUUUUCCGUUCCCCUUCUCUUUUUCUAUUUGCUUUUUUUGCCUGUUUCUUGUUUGCUUGUGUGUUGGAUUGCUUGAUUGUCACGAUGGCUCAAGAUAAUACUAAAUGGUGUGACUUUGUCAAUACCAACAAUAAUGAUUUUAUUAGCACUCUGAUUGCUCCUCUUACCGAUGCUGAAGCUUGUGAAAUUAAUACUGCUUUGCUGAAUCUUUUCAUGAAAGAUCCAUUUUCUGGCCUUCCUAGUGAAGAUGUCGCUACCCAUCUAAACAACUUUGUUGAUUUGUGUCAUAUGCAAAAGAAGAAAGAUGUGGAUAAUGGUAUUAUUAAACUUAAGCUAUUUCUGUUUUCGCUUAGAGAUCAUGCUAAAGCUUGGUUUUCAUCUUUGCCUAAAAAUAGUAUUGAUUCAUGGAGUAAGUGCAAAGAUGCUUUUAUCUCUAAGUAUUUUCUUCCCUCUAAGAUCAUCUCUCUUAGAAAUGAUAUCAUGAAUUUUAAGCAACUUGAUCAUGAAUAUGUUGCACAAUCUUGGGAGAGGAUGAAAUAAAUGAUACGUAAUUGCCCUACACAUGGUUUGAAUUUAUGGAUGAUUAUACAGAAUUUUUAUGCCGGGUUGAAUUUUGCUUCUAGAAAUCUUUAAGAUUUGGCCGCGGGAGGCACUUUUAUGGAAAUUACUUUAGGAGAAGCUACUAAACUCCUAGAUAAUAUUAUGGUUAAUUAUUCUCAAUGGCAGACUGAAAGAUCCACUAGUAAAAAAGCGCAUGCAAUUGAAGAGAUUGAUGUUUUGAGUGGAAAGAUGGAUGAACUUAUGAAAUUGUUUGCUAAUAAGAGUGCUCCUACUGAUCCUAAUGAUAUGCCUUUGUCUACUUUGGUUGAGAAUAAUAAUGAAUCUAUGGAUGUGAAUUUUGUUGGUAGGAACAAUUUUGGUAACAACGCGUAUAGAGGUAAUUUUAAUUCUAGGCUGUUUCCUAGUAAUUCCUACAACAAUUCUUAUGGAAAUUAUAAUAAGAUUCCCUCUGAUUUUGAAUCUAGUAUUAAAAAAUUUAUUACUUCGCAAAAGAGUUUCAAUGCUUUGAUUGAAGAAAAAUUGCUUAAGAUUGAUGAGUUGGCUAGGAACAUGGAUAGAAUUUCUCUUGAUGUUGAUUCUUUGAAACUUAGAUCUAUUCCACCUAAGCAUUAUAUCAAUGAGUCUCUCAAAGCCAUGAGAAUUUUCAUUGAUGAGUGCAAAGAAAGAACCACUAGGAUGCGUGCAAAAAGAGAUUGUGUUGUAAAAGCGUGUUCUUCUAGUUUGCAUGAUAAUAAGAAUGAAGAUCUCAAAGUAAUUGAUGUGUCCCCUAUUAAAUCUUUGUUUUGCAAUAUGAAUCUUGAUAAUGAUGGGACUGGAGAUGAGUCAACUUUAGUUAGAAGGCGUCCCAAAAAUUCGGAGUAUUUAGAUCUUGAUGCAAAAGUUGAUAAAAGUGGGAUUGGAGAGGUCAAAACUUUAAAUUACAAUGAACCCACUAUCUUGGAUUUCAAGGAAUUUAAUUAUGACAAUUGCUCUUUGAUAGAUUGUAUUUCCUUGUUGCAACCCGUGUUAAAUUCUCCUCAUGCUUAUAAUCAAAAUAAAGCUUUUACUAAACAUAUCGUUGAUGUUUUGAUGCAAUCUUACGAAGAAAAACUUGAGUUGGAAGUUUCUAUCCCUAGAAAACUUUGUGAUGAGUGGGAACCUACAAUAAAAAUUAAAAUUAAAUAUCAUGAGUGUUACACUUUGUGUGAUUUGGGUGCUAGUGUUUCCACGAUUCCAAAAACGUUGUGUGAUUUGCUUGGUUUCCGUGAUUUUGAUGAUUGUUCUUUAAACUUGCAUCUUGCGGAUUCCACCAUUAAGAAACCUAUGGUAAGAAUUAAUGAUGUUCUCAUUGUUGCAAAUAGGAACUAUGUUUCUGUAGAUUUCAUUGUUCUUGAUAUAGAUUGCAAUCCUUCAUGUCCUAUUAUUCUUGGUAGACCUUUCCUUAGAACGAUUGGUGCAAUUAUUGAUAUGAAGGAAGGGAAUAUUAAAUUCCAAUUUCCAUUAAGGAAAGGCAUGGAACACUUCCCUAGAAAGAAAUUUAAAUUACCAUAUGAAGCUAUUAUGAGAGCCACUUAUGGAUUUCCUACCAAAGAUGGCAAUACCUAGAUCUAUCUUCGCUUUUAUGCCUAGCUAGGGGCGUUAAACAAUAGCGCUUGUUGGGAGGCAACCCAAUUUUAUUUUUAUUCCUUGCUUUUUUUUUCUCCUGUUUAGUAAUAAAUAAUUUAUCUAGCCUCUGUCUUGGUUGUGUUUUUUGUGUUUAAUUAGUGUUCUUUCCAAGUAGAACCAUUGGGAAGACUUGGGGAAAGUCUUUUUGAUCUUGCUGUCAAAAACAGAAACUUUAGCGCUCACGAGAAUUGCUGCCAUUUUUAUUUGGAAAAUGAUAUUUAAUUAUUUAUUUUUUAAGAUGAUUAAUAGAUACAUUCCUCACGUCCAGAAAUUUAUUUUAGAAUUUUUGGGGUUCCAGAAGUUUGCGUUAGCUACAGAUUACUACAGACUAUUCUGUUUUUGACAGAUUCUGUUUUUGACAGAUUCUGUUUUUCGUGUGUUGUUUGCUUAUUUUGAUGAAUCUAUGGCUAGUAAAAGAGUUUAUAAACCAUAGAGAAGUUUGAAUACAGUAGGUUUAAAACCAAUAUAAAUCAAGAAUGAGUUCAUUACAGUACCUUGAAGUGGUGUUCUGUUUUCUUUCACUAACAGAGCUCACGAGAUUUUCUAUUUUGAGUUUUGUGUUGUGAAGUUUUCAAGUUUUGGGUAAAGAUUUGAUGGAUUAUGGAACAAGGAGCGGUAAGAGCCUAAGCUUGGGGAUGCCCAUGGCACCCCAAGGUAAAAUCCAAGGACACCAAAAAGCCUAAGCUUGGGGAUGUUUUUGGGGAACGUAGCAAUAAUUCAAAAUUUUCCUACGUGUCACCAAGAUCAAUCUAGGAGAUACUAGCAACGAGAGAGAGGGAGUGCAUCUUCAUACCCUUUAAGAUCGCUAAGAGGAAGCGUUACAAGAACACGGAUGGUGGAGUCGUACACGCAGCGAUUCAGAUCGCGAUCGAUUCCGAUCUAAGCGCCGAACAAUGGUGCCUCCGCAAUCAACACACGUACAGCCCGGGGACGUCUCGUCCUUCUUGAUCUAGCAAGGGGAGAAGAUAAGUUGAGGGAGAACUCCGACAACACGACGGUGUGGUGGUGAUGGAGCUCGUGGUUCUCCACUAGAGCUUCGCCAAGUGCUACGGAGGAGGAGGAGGUGUACGAGAGGGGGAGGGGCUGCGCCAGGGGAAGGGUGCAGCUACCCUCUCUGUCCCUCACUAUAUAUAGGGGGAAGGGGGAGGAGGAGGCUCCCUAGGGUUUCCCUAGGGUAGGGGCGGCGGCCACAAGGGAAACCCUAGAUGAGUUUGGGCGCCCCCACCCCUAGGAAACUUGCCCCCCAAGCCGGGAGGGGUGGCUGCCCUAGGGGAGGCGCCCCCACCUCUCCAGGUUACGUGAGAUGGGGUGGGAGGGGCGUUUAGCCCCUUAGUGGGCUGAUGUGCCCCCCUCCCCUUGGCCCAUAAGGCCCCCCCACAACGCUUGGCGAGGCCUCCGAAACCCCUUUCUGACACGCUGGUCGUCACCCGGUACCCCCGGAACAAUUCCGGACUCCAAUACCCUUCGUCCAAUAUAUCGAUCUUCACCUUUGGACCAUUCCGAAACUCCUCGUCACGUCCGGGAUCUCAUCCGGGACUCCGAACAACCUUCGGUAACCACAUACUAUUUCCCAUAACAACUCUAGCGUCACUGAACCUUAAGUGUGUAGACCCUACGAGUUUGGGAACCAUGUAGACAUGACCGAGACAUCUCUCCGGCCAAUAACCAACAGCGGGAUCUGGAUACCCAUGUUGGAUCCUACAUGUUCCACGAUGAUCUCAUCGGAUGAACCACGAUGUCAAUGAUUCAAUCAAUCUCGUAUCCAAUUCCCUUUGCCUAUCGGUAUGCUACUUACCCCAGAUUCGAUCGCCGGUAUCCCCAUACCUCGUUCAAUCUCGUUACCGGCAAGUCUCUUUACUCGUUCCGUAACGCAUGAUCCCGUGACCAACUCCUUAGUCACAUUGAGCUCAUUAUGAUGAUGCAUUACCGAGUGGGCACAGAGAUACCUCUCCGUCAUGUGGAGUGACAAAUCCUAGUCUCGAUUCGUGCCAACCCAACAGACACUUUCGGAGAUACCUGUAGUGCACCUUUAUAGCCACCCAGUUACGUUGUGACGUUUGGUACACCCAAAGCAUUCCUACGGUAUCCGGGAGUUGCACAAUCUCAUGGCCUAAGGAAAUGAUACUUGGCAUUAGAAAAGCUUUAGCAAAUGAACUACACUAUCUUGUGCUACGCUUAGGAUUGGGUCUUGUCCAUCACAUCAUUCUCCUAAUGAUGUGAUCCCGUUAUCAAUGACAUCCAAUGUCCAUGGUCAGGAAACCACGAACAUCUAUUGAUCAACGAGCUAGUCAACUAGAGGCUUACUAGGGACAUAUUACAAUCUGUGUAUUCACACAUGUAUUACGGUUUCCGGUUAAUACAAUUAUAGCAUGAACAAUAGACAAUUAUCAUGAACAAGGAAAUAUAAUAAUAACCAUUUCAUUAUUGCCUCUAGGGCAUAUUUCCAACAGUCUCCCACUUGCACUAGAGUCAAUAAUCUAGUUCACAUCGUUAUGUGAUUAACACUCAUAGUUCACAUCGCCAUGUGACUAACACCCGAAGAGUUUACUAGAGUCAAUAAUCUAGUUCACAUCACCAUGUGAUUAACACUCAAUGAGUUCUAGGGUUUGAUCAUGUUAUGCUUAUGAGAGAAGUGUCAGUCAACAGGUCUACAACAUUCAGAUAUGUGUGUUCUUCGCAAAUGUCAAUUUCAUAUUGUAGAUGUUGCUACUAUGCUCCACUUGGAGCUAUUCCAAAUGGUUGCUCCACUAUACGUAUCCGUUUGCUACUCAGAGUCAUCCGGAUAUGUGUUAAAUAUUGCAUCGACGUAACCCUUUACGCCGAACUCUUUAUCACCUCCAUAGCCGAGAAACAUUUCCUUAUUCCUAAGGACAAUUUUGACCGCUGUCCAAUGAUCCACUCCUGGAUCACUCUUGUACCCCCUUGCCAGACACGUGGCAAGGCACAUCGCGGUACACAGCAUGGCAUAUCGUAUAGAGUCUAUGGCUAAGGCAUAGGGGGCGACUUUCGUCCUUUCUCUUUCUUCUGCCAUGGUCGAGCUUCAAGUCUUAACUUCACACCUCACUACUUAAGCGAGAACUCCUUCUUUGACUGCCAUCUUGAACUCCUUCAAGAUCAUGUCAAGGUAUGUGCUCUGUGAAAGUCUUAUCAGGCGUCUUGAUCUAUCUCUGUAGAUCUUGAUACCUAACAUGUAAGCAGUUUUACACAUGUCUUCCUUUGAAAAACUCCAUUCAAACAACCCUUUAUGCUUUCUAGAACUUCUACAUUGUUUCCUAUCAACAAUAUGUCAUCCAUAUAUAUCUAUCAGAAAUGUUGUAGUGCUCCCACUCACUUUCUUGCAAAUACAAGUUUCUUGCAAACUUUGUAUAAACCCAAAUGCUCUGAUCGCCUCGUCAAAGCAUUUGUUCCAACUCUGAGAUGCUUGCUCCAAUCCAUAGAAAGAUCGCUGGAGUUUGCAUACCUUUUAGCAUCCUUAGGAUCGACAAAAACUUCUGGUUGUAUCACAUACAGCCUUUCCUCAUGGAGACCGUUAAGGAAACUUUGUUUUGACAUCCAUCUACAAUAUUUCGUAAAUGAAAAAUGCAGCAACUGCUAACACAAUUUUAACAGACUUUAGCAUCGCUAUGAUUAAGAGAGUCUCAUCAUAGUCAACUCCUUGAACUUUUCGGAAACUUCUUUGAGACAAGUCGAGCUUCACAAAUGGUGACAUUACCGUCAGCGUCUGUCUUCUUCUUAAAGAUCCAUUUAUUCUCAAUGGUUUGUCGUUCAUCGGAAAAGUCCACCAAAGUCCAUACUUUGUUCUCAUACAUGGAUCAUAUCUCGUAUUUCAUGGCUUCCAGCCAUUUGUUGGAACACGGGCCCACCAUCGCUUCUUCACAGCUCAUAGGUUCAUCAUUGUCCAACAACAUGACCUUUAAGACAGGGUUACCACUGAGAAGUUGUACACACCCUUGUCGACCUACGAGGUUUGCUAGUAAUUUGAUCUCAAGCUUCAUGAUCAUCAUCAUUAGCUUUCUCUUCAGCUGACGUAAGUGCCACAGAAACAUCUUUCUGUGAUGCGCUACUCUCUGGUUGAAGUGAAGGUUCAACAACCUCAUCAAGUUCUAUCUUCCUCCCACUCAAUUCUUUCAAGAGAAACUCUUUCUCGAGAAAGGACAUGUUCUUAGCGACAAACACUUUUGCCCUUAGAUCUGAGAUAGAAGGUAUACCCAAUCAUCUUGUUUGGGUAUUCUAUGAAGAUACAAUUUUCUGCUUUGGGUUCGAGCUUUUCUGGCCGAAGCCUAUCGACAUAAGCAUCAUAGCCCCAAAUCGUAAGAAACAACAACUUAGGUUUCUUGCCAAACCAUAGUUCAUGCGGUGUCAUCUCCACGGACUUAGAUGGUGCCCUAUUUAAAGUGAAUGUAAUUGUCUCUAAUGCAUAACCCCAAAAUGAUAGCGGUAGAUUGGCAAGAGACAUCAUAGAUCGCACCAUAUCCAAUAGGGUGAGAUUACGACGUUCGGACACACCAUUACGCUAUGGUGUUCCAUGUGGUGUCUACUGUGAAACGAUUCCACCUUCUCUUUAGUGAUUGCCAAACUCAUAACUCAGAUACUCUCCCCUUGAUCAGAUCGUAUGAACUUGAUCUUCUUGUUAUGAUGAUUCUCAACUUCACUAAAAUUGCUUGAACUUUUCAAACGUUUCAGACUCAUGCUUCAUUAAGUAAAUAUACCCAUAUCUACUCAAUUCAUCGGUGAAGGUGAGAAAAUAACAAUAUCCACCGCGCGUGUCAACACUCAUCGGACCGCACACAUCAGCAUGUAUGAUUUCCAACAAGUCACUUGCCCUUCCAUUAUUACAAAGAAAACGGGGUUUUAGUCAUCUUGCCAAUGAGGCAUGGUUCGCAUGUGUCAAGUGAUUCGAAAUCAAGUGACUUCAAAAGUCCAUCGGCAUGGAGGUUCUUCAUGCGCUUUACACCAAUAUGACCUAAGCGGCAGUGCCACAAGAAAGUGGUACUAUCAUUAUCAACUCUACAUCUUUUGGCAUCAAUGUUAUGAACAUGUGUAUCACUACGAUCGAGAUUCAAUAAACCAUUCACAUUGGGUGCAUGACCAUAGAAGGUAUUAUUCAUGUAAACAGAAUAACCGUUAUUCUCUGACUUAAAUGAAUAACCGUAUUGCAAUAAACAUGAUCUAAUCAUGUUCAUGCUCAACACAGACACCAAUGCAAACAACAUUUAUCUGGGUUCAACACUAAUCCCGAAGGUAGAGGGAGCAUGCGAUGGUUAUCAUAUCAUCCUUGGAAACACUUCCAGCACACAUCGUCACCUCGCCCUUAGCUAGUCUCCGUUUAUUCCGUAGCUUUUGUUUCGAGUUACCAAUAUUAGCAAUUGAACCGGUAUCUAAUGCCCAUGUGCUACUAGGAGUACUAGUAAGGUACACAUCAAUAACACAUAUAUCAAAUAUACUUUUGUUGGAGUUGCCAGCCUUCUUAUCUACCAAGUAUUUGAGGCAGUUCCGCUACCAGUGACCGUUCCCCUAAUAGAAGCACUUCGUCUCGGGUUUGGGUUCUUGGGUUUCUUCACUGGAGCGGCAACUGGCUUGCCAUUCAUGAAGUUUCCCUUCUUGCCCUUGCCCUUCUUUGAAACCAGUGGUCUUGUUAACCAUCAACACUUUGAUGCUCCUUCUUGAUUUCUACCUUUAUGGCCUUAAGCACGACGAACAGCUCCGGGAUUAUCUUACCUUGCAUGUGAUAGUUCAACAUGAAACUCUAGUAGCUUGGUGAUAGUGACAGGAGAACUUUUGUCAAUCACUCUCUUAUCUGGAAGAUUAACUCCCACUUGAUUCAAGUGAUUGAAGUACCCAGACAUUCUGAGCACAUGCUCACUGGCUGAGCUAUUCUCCUCCAUCUUGUAGGCAAAGCUCUUGUCAGAGGUCUCAACCUGUCAACACGGGCAUGAGCCUGAAAUACCAAUUUUAGCUCUUCGAACAUCUCAUAUGUUCUAUGGAGUUCAAAACGCCUUUGGAGCCCCGACUCUAAGCCAUAAAGCAUGGUGCACUAAACUAUCAGGUAGUCAUCGUAACGUGUCUACCAGAUGUUCACAACAUCCACAGACGAUGCCAGAGGGGUUGGCACACCGAGCGGUGCAUCAAGGACAGAAGCCUUUUGUGUAGUAGUGAGGACAAUCCUCAGACUAUGGCCCUAGUCCGCACAAUUGCUUACAAUAUCUUUCAACUUAGUAUUUCUCUAGGAACGUAUUAAAACAAAGAGCUAAAGCGUGAGCUCUUAAUCCACUACAUAAUUUGCAAAGACAAUUUAGACUAUGUUCAUGAUAAUUAAGUUCAUCUAAUCAAAUUAUUCAAUGAACUCCCACUCAGAUAGACAUCCCUCUAGUCAUCUAAGUGAUACAUGAUCCGAAUCGACUAGGCCGUGUCCGAUCAUCACGUGAGACAGACUAGUCAUCAACGGUGAACAUCUCCAUGUUGAUCAUAUCUAAUAUACGACUCAUGUUCGACCUUUCGGUCUCUCAUGUUCCGAGGCCAUGUAUGUACAUGCUAGGCUCGUCAAGUCAACCUAAGUGUUUUGCAUGUGUAAAUCUGGCUUACACCCGUUGUAUUCGAACGUUAGAAUCAUCACACCCGAUCAUCACGUGGUGCUUCAAAACAACGAACCUUUGCAACGGUGCACAGUUAGGAGGAACACUUUCUUGAAAUUUUAGUGAGGGAUCAUCUUAUUUAUGCUACGGUCGUUCUAAGCAAAUAAGAUGUAAACAUGACAAACAUCACAUGCAAAUCAUAAAGUGACAUGAUAUGGCCAAUAUCAUCUUGCGCCUUUGAUCUCCAUCUUCAAGGCGUGGCAUGAACACCAUCGUCACCGGCAUGACACCAUGAUCUCCAUCAUCAUGAUCUUCAUCAUAGUGUCUUCAUGAAGUUGCCUCGCCAACUAUUACUUCUACUACUAUGGCUAACGGUUAGCAAUAAAGUAAAGUAAUUACAUGGCAUUUUCAUUGACACGCAGGUCAUAAAUAAAUUAAGACAACUCCUAUGGCUCCUGCCGGUUGUCAUACUCAUCGACAUGCAAGUUGUGAUUCCUAUUACAAGAACAUGAUCAAUCUCAUACAUCACAUAUAUCAUUCAUCACAUCCUUUUGGCCAUAUCACAUCACAUAGCAUACCCUGCAAAAACAAGUUAGACGUCCUCUAAUUGUUGUUGCAUGUUUUACGUGGCUGCUAUGGGUUUCAAGCAAGAACGUUUCUUACCUACGCAAAAGCCACAACGGUGAUAUGCCAAUUGCUAUUUACCCUUCAUAAGUACCCUCUUCAUCGAAUCCGAUCCGACUAAAGUGGGAGAGACAGACACCCGCUAGCCACCUUAUGCAUCAAGUGCAUGUCAGUCGGUGGAACCAGUCUCACGUAAGCGUACGUGUAAGGUCGAUCCGGGCCGCUUCAUCGCACAAUGUCGUCGAACGAAGAUAAGACUAGUAACAGUAACCAAAUUGAACAAAUCAUCGCCCACAACUGCUUUGUGUUCGUGCAUAGAAUCUACGCAUAGACCUGGCUCAUGAUGCCACUGUUGGGGAACAUAGCAAUAAUUCAAAAUUUUCCUACGUGUCACCAAGAUCUAUCUAGGAGAUACUAGCAACGAGAGAGAGGGAGUGCAUCUUCAUACCCUUAAAGAUCGCUAAGCGGAAGAGUUACAAGAACGCGGUUGGUGGAGUCGUACACGUAGCAAUUCAGAUCGCGGUCGAUCCCGAUCUAAGCGUCGAACAACGGCGCCUCCGCGUUCAACACACGUACAGCCCGGGGACGUCUCCUCCUUCUUGAUCCAACAAGGUGACAGGAGAAGUUGAGGGAGAAAUCCGACAGCACGACGGCGUGGUGGUGAUGGAGCUCGUGGUUCUCCGGCAGAGCUUCGCCAAGCGCUACGGAGGAGGAGGAGGUGUAGGAGAGGGGGAGGGGCUGCGCCAGGGGAAGGGUGCAGCUGCCCUCUCUCUCCCUCACAAUAUAUAGGAGGAAGGGGGAGGAGGAGGCGCCCUAGGGUUUCCCUAGGGUAGGGGCGGCGUACACAGGGGAAACCCUAGAUGGGUUUGGGCGCCCCCACCCCUAGGAAACUUGCCCCCCCCCCAAGCCGGGAGGGGUGGCUUCCCUAGGGGAGGCGCCCCCACCUCUCCAGGUUACGUGAGAUGGGGUGAGAGGGGCGCUUAGCCCCUUAGUGGGCUAAUGUGCCCCUCCCCUUGGCCCAUAAGGCCCCCCAACGCUUGCCGGGGUCUCCGAAACCCCUUUCGGACACGCUGGUCGUCACCCGGUACCCCCGGAACAAUUCCAGACUCCAAUACCCUUCGUCUAAUAUAUCGAUAUUCACCUCUGGACCAUUCCAAAACUCCUUGUCACGUCCGGGAUAUCUUCCGGGACUCCGAACAACCUUCGGUAACCACAUACUAUUUCCCAUAACAACUCUAGCGUCACCGAACCUUAAGUGUGUAGACCCUACGGGUUCGGGAACCAUGUAGACAUGACCAAGACAUCUCUCCAGCCAAUAACCAAUAGCGGAAUCUGGAUACCCAUGUUGGCUCCUACAUGUUCCACGAUGAUCUCAUCGGAUGAACCACGAUGUCAAGGAUUCAAUCAAUCCCGUAUGCAAUUCCCUUUGCCUAUCGGUAUGUUACUUGCCCCAGAUUUGAUCGCCGGUAUCCCCAUACCUCGUUCAAUCUCAUUACCGGCAAGUCUCUUUACUCGUUCCGUAACACAUGAUCCCGUGACCAACUCCUUAGUCACAUUGAGCUCAUUAUGAUGAUGCAUUGCCGAGUGGGCCCAGAGAUACCUCUCCGUCAUGCGGAGUGACAAAUCCCAGUCUCAAUUCAUGCCAACCCAACAGACACUUUUGGAGAUACCAGUAGUGCACCUUUAUAGCCACCCAAUUACGUUGUGACAUUUGGUACACCCAAAGCAUUCCUACGGUACCCGGGAGUUGCACAAUCUCAUGGUCUAAGGAAAUGAUACUUGACAUUAGAAAAGCUUUAGCAAACGAACUACACGAUCUUGUGCUACGCUUAGGAUUGGUUCUUGUCCAUCACAUCAUUCUCCUAAUGAUGUGAUCCCGUUAUCAAUGACAUCCAAUAUCCAUGGUCAGGAAACCACGACCAUCUAUUGAUCAAUGAGCUAUUCAACUAGAGGCUUACUAGGGACAUAUUACGAUCUAUGUAUUCACACAUGUAUUACGGUUUCCGGUUAAUACAAUUAUAGCAUGAAAAAUAGACAAUUAUCAUGAACAAGGAAAUAUAAUAAUAACCAUUUUAUUAUUGACUCUAGGGCAUAUUUCCAACAGAUGCCAGAUACGUCUCCAACGUAUCUACUUUUCCAAACACUUUUGCCCUUGUUUUGGACUCUAACUUGCAUGAUUUGAAUGGAACUAACCCGGACUGGCGCUGUAUUCAGCAGAACUACCAUGGUGUUAUUUAUGAGCAGGAGCAAACGUUCUCAGAAUGACCUAAAACUUCAUGGAGACACUUUUCAGAAAAUAAGAAAAAUACCUGCCAAAGAUGAAGGCCAAGGGGCCCACCAUCUUGCCACGAGGGUGGGGGGCGCGCCUGCCCCCCUAGGGCGCGCCCCCAACCUCGUGGACCCCUUGUUGCGUCUCCACCUCCAUAUAUUGAGUUUCGAUAAGAAAGAAAUCAGAGAGAAGAAAUCAUCGCGUUUUACGAUACGGGGCCGCCGCCAAGCCCUAAAACCUCUCGGGAGGGCUGAUCUCGAGUCCGUUCGGGGCUCCGGAGAAGGGAAUCCUUCGCCAUCGUCACCAUCAACCAUCCUCCAUCACCAAUUUCAUGGUGCUCACCGCCGUGCGUGAGUAAUUCAAUUGUAGGCUUGCUAGACGGUGAUGGGUUGGAUGGGGUCUAUCAUGUAAUCGAGUUAGUUUUGUUAGGGUUUGAUCCCUAGUGUCCACUAUGUUCUGAGAUUGAUGUUGCUAUGACUUUGCUAUGCUUAAUGCUUGUCACUAGGGCCCGAGUGCCAUGAUUUCAGAUCUGAACCUAUUAUGUUUUCAUCAAUAUAUGAGUGUUCUUGAUCCUAUCUUGCAAAUCUAUAGUCGCCUAUUAUGUGUUACGAUCCGUUAACCCCGAAGUGACAAUAAUCGGGAUACUUACCGGUGAUGACCGUAGUUUGAGGAGUUCAUGUAUUCACUAUGUGUUAAUGCUUUGUUCCGGUUCUCUAUUAAAAGGAGGCCUUAAUAUCCCUUAGUUUCCGUAAGGACCCCGCUGCCACGGGAGGGUAGGACAAAAGAUGUCAUGCAAGUUCUUUUUCCAUAAGCACGUAUGACUAUGUUCGGAAUGCAUGCCUACAUUAUAUCAAUGAACUGGAGCUAGUUCUGUGUCACCCUAGGUUAUGACUGUUACAUGAUGAACCGCAUCCAGCAUAAUUCUCUAUCACCGAUCCAUUGCCUACGAGCUUUCCAUAUAUUGUUCUUCGCUUAUUUACUUUUCCGUUGCUAUUGCUAUCAUCACUACAAAAUACCAAAAACAUUACUUUUACUAUUGUUACCUUUUGCUACCGUUAUCACCACUAUCAUAUUACUUUGCUACUAAAUACUUUGCUGCAGAUAUUAAGUUUCCAGGUGUGGUUGAAUUGACAACUCAGCUGCUAAUACUUGAGAAUAUUCUUUGGCUCCCCUUGUGUCGAAUCAAUAAAUUUGGGUUGAAUACUCUACCAUCGAAAACUGUUGCGAUCCCCUAUACUUGUGGGUUAUCAAGACCUUUUUCUAGCGCCAUUGUCGGGGAGCAUAGCUCUAUUCUUUGAGUCACUUGGGAAAUAUAUCUGCUUAUCAUUAUGAAGAACUUGAAAGAUCCAAGAACUAAGAUCUAUCCCUCAACUACGAGGGGACGUAAGGAACUGCCAUCUAGCUCUGCACUUGAUUCACCUUUUGUUUUGAGUAAGCUUGCGACACCUACACUUGCUUCUGCUAUUCGUUCUAAUAUGUCGCAUGUUAUUGAUGAUGCCACUUCUGCUAUGCAUGAUACUUAUGAUGAAACUACCUCUAUGCCUGAUACUACUAUGUCACUUAAUGCUUUUCUUGAUGAACAACUUGCUAGGGCUAUAGAAAUUGAAAAUAUUGAAUCUGAUGAUACUGAUGAAAGUGGUGAUGAAGAACCACUUGCUAUUCCUAAGGGUUAUGUAUUUGAUCAAGAUGCUUGUUUAGCUAUUUUAGCUUGCAGAAAUAGAACUAAACUUAAAAAAUUAUUAGCUAAAUGGAGUAAGCAAUCCCUAAAUGAUAGAAUGAAACCUGACCAUGCUUUUGCUACUUCACCUAUCUUUGUUACUGAUAAGGAUUAUGAAUUCUCUGUUGAUCCUGAUAUAAUUACUUUGGUUGAAUCUGAUCCUUUUCAUGGUUAUGAAUCUGAAACUGUUGUGGCACAUCUUACUAAAUUGAAUGAUAUAGCUACCUUGUUCACUAAAGAUGAGAGAACUCACUACUUUUAUAUCCUUAAAAUAUUUCCGUUCUCAUUAAAGGGUGAUGCUAAGAUAUGGUUUAAUUCUCUUGAUCCUGGUUGUGUGCAUAGUCCCCAGGAUAUGAUUUAUUACUUCUCUGCUAAAUAUUUCCCUGCUCAUAAGAAACAAGCUGCUUUAAGGGAUAUAUAUAAUUUUGUGCAAAUUGAAGAAGAGAGUCUCCCACAAGCUUGGGGCAGGCUUCUCUAAUUACUUAAUGCUUUGCCUGAUCAUCCUCUUAAGAAAAAUGAAAUACUUGAUAUCUUUUAUAAUGGACUAACCGAUGCCUCCAGAGAUUACCUGGAUAGCUGUGUUGGUUCUGUUUUCAGGGAAAGAACAUCGGAUGAAGCUGAAAUUCUAUUGAAUAAUAUGUUGACAAAUGAAAAUAAUUGGACACCUCCGGAGCCAAUUCCUGAGCCUAUUCCUAAACCAACUCCAAAGAAGAGGGGUAUUUUAUUUCUCAGUCCUGAAGAUAUGCAAGAGGCAAAGAAGUCUAUGAAAGAAAAGGGUAUUAAAGCUGAAGAUGUUAAGAAUUUACCUCCUAUUGAACAUGGUCUUAAUUUACCGCCUGUUGAAGAAACAUAUAAUCCAAAUCAUCUACCUAUUGAAGAAACUCAUGGUCUUGAUAACCCGACACAGGUAGUAAAGGUAAAUUCUCUCUAUAGAUAUGAUAAAGCUAUAAUCCCAUUUACUAAGAUUGCUAGCCCAUGCUUAGAUGAGUUUGAUAAAUUUAUGGAUAAGCAAGAAGACUUUAAUGCUUAUUUUGGUAGACAAUUAAAAUACAAUUCAAAUAUGCUUGGACACUUGGGUGAUUAUAUGGCUAAUGUCAAAGGUGAACUUAAACUUAUUAGUAAACAUGCUUCUAUGUUUACCACUCAAGUAGAACAAGUACUUAAAGCUCAAAAUGAUUUACUCAAUGAAUUGAACAGUAAGAAUAACAAUAAUGCUGUUAGAGUGGCUACUAGAACUAGUAGAAGGACUUAUGAACCUUUGUAUCCUAAAGGCCACCCUAAGAGAAUUGAACAAGAUUCUCAGAGAAAUAAUUUAGAUGCACCUAGUUCUUCUAAAAAGAAGAAAAAGAAAAAUGAUAGGACUUUGCAUGCUCCUAGUGAUCCUAUUGUUGAAACACCUGAAAAUCCAAAUGAUAUUUCUAUUUCUGGUGCUGAAACACAAUCUGGUAAUGAACCUAAAACUAAUGAUAAUGUUAAUAAUAAUGUUCAUGAUGAUGCUCAACCUAGUAAUGAUAAUGAUAUAGAAAUUGAACCUGCUGUUGAUCUUGAUAACCCACAAUCAAAGAAUCAACGUUACGAUAAGAAAGAUUUUGUUGCUAGGAAACAUGAUAAAGAAAGAGAACCUUGGGUUCAGAAACCCAUGCCCUUUCCACCCAAACCAUCCAAGAAAAAGGAUGAUGAGGAUUUUGAGCGCUUUGCUAAAAUGAUUAGACCUAUCUUUUUACGUAUGCGAUUAACUGAUAUGCUCAAAACUAAUCCUUAUGCUAAGUACAUGAAAGAUAUUAUUACAAAUAAAAGAAAGAUACCGGAAGCUGAAAUUUCCACCAUGCUUGCUACUUAUACUUUUAAAGGUGGAAUACCAAAGAAACUUGGAGAUCCAGGAGUACCCACUAUACCAUGCUCCAUUAAAAGAAAUUAUGUUAAAACUGCUUUAUGUGAUCUUGGAGCCGGUGUUAGUGUUAUGCCUCUCUCUUUAUAUCAUAGACUUGAAUUGAAUAAGUUGACACCUACUGAAAUAUCUUUGCAAAUGGCUGAUAAAUCAACUACUAUACCUGUCGGUAUUUGUGAGGAUGUGCCUGUUGUAGUUGCAAAUGUUACUAUUUUAAUGGACUUUGUUAUUCUUGAUAUUCCCGAGGAUGAUAGUAUGUCUAUUAUUCAUGGAAGACCCUUUUUGAAUACUGCAGGGUCUGUUGUUGAUUGCACUAAAGGCAAUGUCACUUUUCAUGUUAAUGGUAAUGAGCAUACGGUACACUUUCCGAGGAAACAACCUCAAGUUCAUAGUAUCAACUCUAUUGAAAAAAUUCCAUCGGUUAUAUUUGGAGGAUUUGAAUUUCCUCUUCCUACUGUCAAGAAGAAAUAUGAUAUUCUUAUUAUUGGGGAUGUGCAUAUCCCCGUUGAGGUAACAUAGUGUUAUUCGAAAUUUCUCUGGUUCCAUGUUAUUCGGAAUGGGUUCGUUAACAAGACUUGAUCAACCUUGUUAGUGGAUUCCUUUUGAUGAUCAUGAGAUGGAUGAAACUAGAAGGCACAACCUUCUGUACCCCACUUUUACUUUAUGUUAUUUAUAAUAAAUAAAAUAGAAAUAAAUAUUUUGGGUCUGUUAUCUGAUUAUCCGUGCAAUAUAAAAAUACCUCAAAAAUAAAAGUUCUCCAAAUGCCCCGAAAUUAAAUAUGAUUUUUUCUAGAAUAUUUGAGGAUUUAUGGAACAAAGAACACACCAGGGGGCCAACCACCUUACCACGAGGGUGGAGGGCACGCCCACCCCUCUAGGGCGCGCCCCCUACCUCGUGGGCCCAUGGUGGCCCUCCUCCACUUAUUCCUGCACCCACACACUUCAUCUUCCUCCCACAAACAUGAAUAACCAUCUCAAGCACGAGUUCUAGCUCAUCUUGCUGCCAUUUUCGAUCUCCUUGCUCAAAGCACCUCUCACAAAACUGCUUGGGGAGAUUGUUCCUUGGUAUGUGACUCCUCCAUUGGUCCAAUUAGUUUUUGUUCUAGUGCUUUAUUCAUUGCAAAUUUUUGCUUCUUAGGUGACCCUGUUCUUGAGCUUGCAUGUCAAAUUUAUAUGGUUCCAAGUAGUUUUGAUGCAUGAUAUAGGCCCUAGGCACCUGUAGGAGUAGUUGCUAUCAAUAUUAUUGAGUUUGGUUUACCUUUAUUUUGAAGUUACUAGAAAUUUUCAGAAUUUUUCAGAGGAAGAAAAAUGCUUAGGAAAAUGUUCCAAGGUGGUUCUUGAAAGAAGCAAGGACCCAGGCUUGCAAUGUGUGAUGCUGACGAAGAGCCACCAAGAGACGUUCCAGUGCGUCCUUGUGAGUGGCCUUCUAAAAAUUUUAUGGAUCAAGCGGGAAUAAAAGAAGAAUUCAACGCAUAUUUGCGUAACGCUGAUCUCGGGAGCUUCGAGGAAGAGAAGUGCAAUCAGUAUCAUGAGCUCACUAGCUCCUUUGUGAGGAGGUUUGAAUUUUCCACUUCACGUAAUUCUCCAACUGUCAUGCUUGAUCUUUAUGAUAAAUCUUAUACCAUCGACUUAGAGGAUUUUACCGCUGCAUGUAAACUUCCACAAUGGGGUAGUAUAAGGGAUCCUCGCAAAUAUGAAUUUAGAGAUUUCCUUGCUAAUAUAACUGUGGGAGAAUCUAGGGAUAUUACACAAGCAACCAUAGGGAGCAUUCACUUUCCCGCCAUACAUUAUUUUGCUCUCUUCAUAGGUAGAUGCAUAAAUGGUAAAGAUGAGGCAUGUCACGUGUGUGUCCCUGACCUUAGUAUUCUUAGGAGUGUUGUGUUAGGAGACAAAUCAUAUAAUUUGGGAGCCAUUGUUGCACGUAGGUUGCAUCUUAAUAGACGUAAUGGAGAUUUCUUUGGUGGAAUUUAUGCAACCCGCGUAGCUAAUUUUCUUGGUAUAGAUGUGCGCGAAGAUGAUAUUGAAUUACCUCUUGCCUAUCUAGAUUUUAAUGCUAUGGUUCACCACCAGUUUGUCGAGAGGAAUGAAUCACCUCUCCAGUAUUGACUAAUCUUUGACAGACGUCGUGCUGUCCGUAUUACUCUCCCUGCUCCUGCUUUCUUUGAUUAUCAGGCAAGAGGAGGAUAUACAAUUACCAGAGAGGAGGCAUAUGAGUACGAGAGGAAAGAGGAGGCUGCUCGUCGCCACGCUGCAGCUCAGUAGGCGAUAGUUGCUGCAUCACAGUACGACCCCAACAACUAUUAUUAUGGAUACCCGCCAGGCCAGCCAUGGCCAUAGACCAACUUAGGCCAAAAGCCUAAGCUUGGGGGAGUACGUAUUUCCCACCGACAUUACAUUUAUGCUCACACACUCAUUGCUAGAUGUCGGUGCUCAUACUUUUUCAUUGUAUCAUCCAUGCUAGUUUAAUUUCCUUUUUAUGCUUUCUUCUUGUGUGUUUAAUAAACCUUAAGAAAAACCAAAAAAAUUAGUUGUAGUUGUUAAUCAGUUUAAUUUCCAUGCUUGUAGUAGUAAAUUAAAAGAAAACCCAAAAAUAUUUCAUGUUCUUCUUUUGCUUGUUGGGAGCUUUCCCGUGUAAAUAGUUUUAUUUCUUUUCUUUUCUUUGGGGGUUGAUAGGAGAAGACCAUGAUUAAAUUGUUGAAGUGACUCUUAUAUGCAUUAUUGUUGAUCUGACAAAAGAGCCCAUAUUUCCUUGUCUUCUCUUGUUUAUUGAAUGCCUGCAGAUUCCAGCUUAGUCCAAUGCAUGUGCACUAUUAUUUUUAUUCACAUCGUUCGGUCAUGCAAGUGAAAGGCAAUUAUGACGAUAUAUGAUGGACUGACUGAGAUGAGAAAAGCUGGUAUGAACUCGACCUCUUUUGUUUUUGUAAAUAUGAUUAGUUCAUCGUUCCUGAUUCGGCCUAUUAUGAAUAAACAUGUUUGCAAUGACAACUAGAGAUCAUAGUUUCUUGUGCCAUGCUUGCUAUGAGUUAUAAUGGUUUACCUUGCGUGCCAACAUGCUAUUAAAAUGGUUAUGAUGUGGUAUGAUAGGGUGGUAUCCUCCUCUGAAUGAUUUAAGUGACUUGACUUGGCACAUGUUCACACAUGUAGUUGAAACAAAAUCAAAAUAGCCUUCACGAUAUUUAUGUUCAUGGUGGAUUAUAUCCUACUCAUGCUUGCAUUCGAUGUUGAUUAAUUUUAAUGCAUGUUCAUGACUGUUGUCGCUCUCUAGCUGGUCGCUUCCCAGUCUUUUGCUAGCCUUCACCUGUACUAAGCGGGAAUACUGCUUGUGCAUCCAAAUCCUUAAACCCCAAAGUUAUUCCACAUGAGUCCACUAUACCUACCUAUAUACGGUAUCUACCUGUCGUUCCAAGUAAAUUUGUAUGUGCCAAACUCUAAACCUUCAAAUAAAUAUCCUGUUUUGUAUGCUCGAAUAGCUCAUGUAUCAACUAGGGUUGUCUGUAUCUUCCAUGUUAGGCGGGUUAUUCUCAAGAGGAGUGGACUCCGCUCCUCACUCACGAGAUAAAUGGCUGGUCACCAGGAUGCCAGUCCCAUGCUUGAUGCAAACUAAAUCAAAAUAAUUGCAAACAAAACUCCCCCUGGGACUCUUGUUAGUUGGAGGCACUCGUUGUUUAGAGCAAGCCAUGGAUUGAUGCUUGUGGUGGAAGGGGGAGCAUAAACUUUACCAUUCUGUUUGGGAACCGCCUAUAAUGUGUGUAGCAUGGAAGAUGUCGCCAUCUCUUGGUUGUUAUGUUGACAAUAAAAGUAUACCGCUCAAAAUAUUAUUCACCUCUGUUUCAAAAUCGAGCUCUGGCACCUCUACAAAUCCCUGCUUCCCUCUGCGAAGGGCUUAUCUAUUUACUUUUAUGCUGAGUCAUCAUCCUCUUAUUAAAAAGCACCAGUCGCUGUCAUUUGCAUUCAUUACUGUUAGUUUACAUUGAGUAUGACUUGACUGGAUCUCUUUUACCAUGAAUUACAAUGUCUAGUCAGUCCUUGGUCUUUAAAGGUGCUCUGCAUUUAUGUUUCGCGGUCUCAGAAUGGGCUAGCGAGAUACCAUCCUGUUAUAUCAUAUUAUGAUUGUUUUGAGAAAGUGUUGUCAUCCGAGUUUUAUUAUUAUGGCUCGCUAGUUGAUUAUGCUAUGAUAUGAGUAAACUUGAGACCUAUGUGUUAUUGCGAAUGUGGUUAGUUAUAAUCUUUGCUGAAAACUUGAAUGCUGGCUUUACAUAUUUACAACAACAAGAGCAAACAGAGUUUGUAAAAGUUUUUCUUUAUCACUUUCAGUUUGUCAACUGAAUUGCUUGAGGACAAGCAAAGGUUUAAGGUUGGGGAGUUGAUACGUCUCCAAUGUAUCUGCUUUUCCAAACACUUUUUCCCUUGUUUUGGACUCUAACUUGCAUGAUCUGAAUGGAACUAAUCCGGACUGACGCUGUUUUCAGCAGAACUACCAUGGUGUUAUUUAUGUGCAGGAGCAAACGUUCUCGGAAUGACCUGAAACUUCACGGAGACACUUUUCAGAAAAUAAGAAAAAUAUCUGCCAAAGAUGAAGGCAAGGGGGCCCACUGCCUUGCCACGAGAGUGGGGGCACGCCUGCCCCCCUAGGGCGCGCCCCCUACCUCGUGGGCCCCCUGUUGCGUCUCCGACUCCAACUCCACCUCCAUAUAUUGACUUUCGAUGAGAAAAAAAUCAAAGAGAAGAAAUCAUCGCGUUUUACGAUACGGAGCCGCUGCCUAGCCCUAAAACCUCUCGGGAGGGCUGAUCUGGAGUCCGUUUGGGGCUCCAGAGAGGGGAAUCUGUCGCCACCGUCAUCAUCAACCAUCCUCCAUCACCAAUUUCAUGAUGCUCACCGCCGUGCAUGAGUAAUUCCAUCGUAGGCUUGCUGGAGGGUGAUGGGUUGGAUGGGAUCUAUCAUGUAAUCGAGUUAGUUUUGUUAGGAUUUGAUCCCUAGUGUCCACUAUGUUCUGAGAUUGAUGUUGCUAUGACUUUGCUAUGCUUAAUGCUUGUCACUAGGGCCCGAGUGCCAUGAUUUCAGAUCUGAACCUAUUAUGUUUUCAUCAAUAUAUGAGUGUUCUUGAUCAUAUCUUGCAAGGCUAUAGUCACCUAUUAUGUGUUAUGAUCCGUUAACCCCGAAGUGACAAUAAUUGGGAUACUUACCAGUGAUGACCGUAUUUUGAGGAGUUCAUGUAUUCACUAUGUGUUCAUGCUUUGUUCCAGUUCUCUAUUAAAAGGAGGCCUUAAUAUCCCUUAGUUUCUGUAAGGACCCCGCUGCCACGGGAGGGUAGGACAAAAGAUGGCAUGCAAGUUCUUUUCCAUAAGCACGUAUGACUAUGUUCGGAAUACAUGCCUACAUUAUAUCAAUGAACUGGAGCUAGUUCUGUGUCACCCUAGGUUAUGACUGUUACAUGAUGAACUGCAUCUGGCAUAAUUCUCUAUCACCGAUCCAUUGCCUACGAGGUUUCCAUAUAUUGUUCUUUGCUUAUUUACUUUUUCGUUGCUAUUGUUAUCAUCACUACAAAAUACCAAAAACAUUACUUUUACUAUUGUUACCUUUUGCUACUGUUAUCACCACUAUCAUAUUACUUUGCUACUAAACACUUUGCUGCAGAUAUUAAGUUUCCAGGUGUGGUUGAAUUGACAACUCAGCUGCUAAUACUUGAGAAUAUUCUUUGGCUCCCCUUGUGUCAAAUCAAUAAAUUUGGGUUGAAUACUCUACCCUCGAAAACUGUUGUGAUCCCCUAUACUUGUGGGUUAUCAAUGCCCCGGAAGGCAUCCCCUCUUUUAUCUUUGUCUAUUGGUAACUUUACUUGGAGCUAUAUUUUUAUUCACCACAUGAUAUGUGUUUUGCUUGGAGCGUCUUGUAUGAUUUGAGUCUUUGCUUUUUAGUUUACCACAAUCAUCCUUGCUGUACACACCUUUUGAAAGAGACUCACAUGAUUUGAAAUUUAUUGGAAUACUCUAUGUGCUUCACUUAUAUCUUUUGAGCUAUAUAGUUUUUGCUCUAGUGUUUCACUUAUAUCUUUUAGAGCACGGCAGUGGUUUUAUUUUAUAGAAAUAAUUGAUCUCUCAUGCUUCACUUAUAUUAUUUUGAGAGUCCUUUAGAACAACAUGGAAAUUUUCUUUUAGGAAUAAUAUAAAAAACUUUCAUAGAAGUGCAUUGAAUACUAUGAGAAGUUUGAUACUUGAUAAUUGUUUUGAGAUAUGGAGAUCGUGAUAUUAGAGUCAUGCUAGUUGAGUAGUUGUGAAUUUGAGAAAUACUUGUGUUGAAGUUUGUGAUUCCCGUAGCAUGCACGUAUGGUGAACUGUUAUGUGAUGAAGUCGGAGCAUGAUUUAUUUAUUGAUUGUCUUCCUUAUGAGUGACGGUCAGGGACGAGCGAUGGUCUUUUCCUACCAAUCUAUCCCCCUAGGAGCAUGCGUCUAAUACUUUGUUUCGAUAACUAAUAGAUUUUUACAAUAAGUAUGUGAGUUCUUUAUGACUAAUGUUGAGUCCAUGGAUUAUACGCACUCUCACCCUUCCACCAUUGCUAGCCUCUCUAGUAUCGCGCAACUUUCGCCCGUACCAUAAACCCACCACAUACCUUCCUCAAAACAGCCACCAUACCUACCUAUUAUGGCAUUUCCAUAGCCAUUCCGAGAUAUAUUGCCAUGCAACUUUCCACUGUUCCGUUAUUAUGACACGCUUCAUCAUUGUCAUAUUGCUUGCAUGAUCAUGUAGUUGACACCGUAUUUGUGGCAAAGCCACCAUUCGUAAUUCUUCAUACAUGUCACUCAUGCAUCAUUACACAUCUCGGUACACCGCCGGAGGCAUUCACGUAGAGUCAUAUUUUGUUCUAAGUAUUGAGUUGUAAUUCUUGAGUUGUAAGUAAAUUAAAGUGUGAUGAUCAUCAUUAUUAGAGUAUUGUCCCAGUGAGGAAAGGAUGAUGGAGACUAUGAUUCCCCCACAAGUCGGGAUGAGACUCCGGAUGAAAAAUAAAAAAAGAAAAAAGAAAGAGGCCAAAAAGGAAAAAGGAAGAAGUCCCAAAUAAAAAAUAAUAAUGAGAGAAAAAGAGAGAAGGGACAAUGUUACUAUCAUUUUUCCACACUUGUGCUUCAAAAUAGCACCAUGGUCUUCAUGAUAGAGUCUCCUAUGUUAUCACUUUUAUAUACUAUUGGGAAUUUUACAUUAUAGAACUUGGCUUGUAUAUUCCAAUGAUGGUCUUCCUCAAAAUUGCCCUAGGUCUUCAUGAGCAAGCAAGUUGGAUACACACCCACUUAGUUCUUUGUUGAGCUUUCAUACACUUAUAGCUCUAGUGCAUCCGUUGCAUGGCAAUCCCUACUCACUCACGUUGAUAUCUAUUGAUGGGCAUCUCCAUAGCCCGUUGAUACGCCUAGUUGAUGUGAGACUAUCUUCUCCUUUUUGUCUUCUCCACAACCACCAUUCUAUUCCACAUAUAGUGCUAUAUCCAUGGCUCACGCUCAUAUAUUGCGUGAAGAUUGAAAAAGUUUGAGAACAUCAAAAGUAUGAAACAAUUUCUUGGCUUGUCAUCGGGGUUGUGCAUGAUUUAAAUAUUUUGUGUGGUGAAGAUAGAGCAUAGCCGGACUAUAUGAUUUUGUAGGGAUAACUUUCUUUGGCCAUGUUAUUUUGAGAAGACAUGAUUGCUUAGUUAGUAUACUUGAAGUAUUAUUAUUUUUAUGUCAAUAUUAAACUUUUAUCUUGAAUCUUUCGGAUCUGAACAUUCAUGCCACAAUAAAGAAAAAUUACAUUGGGAAAUAUGUUAGAAAGCAUUCCACAUCAAAAAUUCUUUUUUUAUCAUUUACCUACUCGAGGACGAGCAGGAAUUAAGCUUGGGGAUGCUUGAUACAUCUCCAACGUAUUUAUAAUUUUUGAUUUCUCCAUGCUAUUAUAUUAUCUGUUUUGGAUGUUACUGGACUUUAUUUUACACUUUUAUAUCAUUUUUGGGACUAACCUAUUAACCGGAGGCCCAGCCCAAAUUGCGGUUUUUUGCCUAUUUCAGUGCUUCGCAGAAAAGGAAUAUCAAACGAAGUCCAAAUGUGUCAGGACCCCGAUUCCAAGUCACAUCUAUCUAGCCGGUAACACCUCAUAUCACUUUGCGGCCUCACGCACGGUAUUCCCACGGGUGUCGCCUUGCCAUGGCCCGGGACCGUUUGCGCCUUUUGGCUCACGUAUAUGAUAGUGUCGCUAGCAUCCAUAUGAUAGAGAACCCGGGCCGACAUGGCUAGUCGUCAACCCAAAGCGGCACUAACCUAUGGGGACAGGCAUACAUGAAUCACAUCGAGCAUGUCAGUCAGCAGCGUGUGAAUCCGGACUGUAGCACUGGGCUAACAGGACUCCGGGAACCCGGGCUGUAGCAGGCUAGGCAGGACUCCGGAUGUCACCACGUGACAUUUCCCCGAAGGGACAGACACGGGAAUGAAGUGAAACACAUGCCGGCCAGUCAAGUGUCCUGAGCAGUAGAGCUGGGAUAACAGGACUCUGAUGAACCGGGCUGUAGCGGACUACUAUGGCUCAUGGAAGCACUAGACUACAUUUCCCCAUAAGAGAGGCUGCCAAGGAUAAACAACUAGAUUGUCGGAUCCCACACAUACCAAGCAUUUCAAUCAUACACACAAUAUGCUCGAUAUGUGUAAAUACAACAUGGCAUCACAACAUAACUCUACAACUCAAGUAUUUAUUCAUUAGGCUCCGAGGAGCGAGAUAUUACAAACAUGGGUCUCAUGACCCAACAAUCAUAGCAUACAAAUCAAAUCACAUGCGGAAGCUUAACAUGUCUGAGUACAGACAUCUACAAAUGAAAAAGGCUAAGAAGCCUGACUAUCUACCAGAUCCUGCCGAGGACACAAGAUCGUAGCUGAGGUAUCAAGCUAAACGUCGAAGUCCACACGGAACUACUAGCGAGACUGACGUCUCUCUGCAAAACAUAAAAUAGGCAAACGUGAGUACAAAUGUACCCAGCAAGACUUACAUCACAACUAACUACAUAUGCAUCAGUAUCAACAAGGGGGGUGGUGGAGUUUAACUGCAGCAAGCCAGCUUUGACUCAGUGGCUAACCUGAACUACGACUGCAAGCAACUCUUUUGAGGUGGCGCACACGAGUCCACAUAUUCACCAUAUCAAUACACCACUAUGGAUCCACUCUCGUCUCCCUACGAGAAGGCCAUCCAUAGCACUCACGCUGAUCUUGCGAGUUUUAGAGUAUCCACUUUCACUUGUCUAUGAACUAUGCAAGGGGUCCAAGUUUCCAUAUCCGAGGAAUCCGGUUUUUCGAAUAGAUAAUGAAAACCCUGCAAGGGUGUACUUAUUCACACACGCUCCCACCACUUACCAUCGUUUACACGACAUGUACUCGGCAACCUUCAAGUGGAAGCCCAACGAGGGUGUCGGCCACGGCCUACCUAAACACUCAAGUCUCUAGUCCAGGUUUAUCGCCUAUCCAGGUUCCAUCCGCAGGGAGUCCGGCCGAGGUUUCCACAUACGGCCCCGAACGAUGUGAUCAGGGUUCCCGAGACACCAAACGGGCGCCCGGUACACCGUGCCAUGGUGUAUCUACCGCAUCAUAGCCCACCCUUAGGGUCAGCGCUACGCACGGCCGCCAACACAUAACCUACAAACACCAGAAACUAGUUGCAACUCCUGGACAGAGUACUAGGGUGAUUAAGAAGCCGAGAGGGUUAAUUAAGGAUCCCAAUGAGUGGUAGUAGCUGUUCAUGGAUCACAGACACAGAACUCAGUUCCUAAGGACGGUUUCAAUGAGACAACCCACCAUGUACUCCUACAUGGCCUCUCACCGCUACCUUUACCAAAUCGUGUUCACACACUUAGCUCACACAUAGUAGGACAUGUUCACACACCUCCGAUUCAUCCCCGAUGAAUCAGACCUGACACAACUCUAUGCAAUAGCAGGCAUGACAAACAAGCUUGAAUGAGUAGGCACAUCAGGCCUCAAACAACUCCUACUCAUGCUAGUGGGUUUCAUCUAUUUACUAUGGCAAUGACGGGUCAUGCAGAGGAUAAGGGGUUCAACUACCGCAGCAAGUAACAGAUGAAUCGUUGUUGUCCUAAUGCAGUAAAAGAGAGCAGGAGCGAGAGAGUGGGAUUGUAUCGAAAUGGACAAGGGGGUUUUGCUUGCCUGGCACUUCUGAAGAUAAUAUAGUUCUUCAUCGGUGUCAUCGAUCACGUCAUCGGAAACAUCGUUGUCUGAGAGGGGACGGUUACCGGCAAACAGAGAAGGACACAAUCAAUGCAAUGCAACAAUAUGAUGCAUGAAUGUGACAUGGCAAUAUGCUAUUGAUUAGCCUAAUGCAACUAGCAACAAGUUAAAUGGAGUUGGUUUGAACACUAGGUUCAAAUUCAAACUCCAUAUGUGCUUUCUUAAAUGCCAUUUAAUUAGUUUGUCCUAAACAGCAAUGUUAACUUGCUCAAAUAUGCAUGAAAAUGCCAUAAACAGAUUCCUUGAAUUUUUUUGAUAAUUUUUCAUAUAUAACUUAUUUCAUUUGGAGUUACGGUUGAAUUUCUAUGAUUUUUAGAAGUUUAUAAUAUUUUCUGGAAUUUUCUGAAAAAGAAUAAAUCUAUAAAAUAAUUAACUGCGUCACUGUGACGUCAGCGGUCAACGGGGCCGGCCAGAGUCAAACCUGACGCAUGGGACCCACUGGUCAGUGACUCAGGGCCAGUUAGUGUCACUGACAGGUGGCCCUGGUCAACUGCCACGUCAGCCAGUCAACCCUGACGCGUGGUUCCCGCUGGGUUAAUCUAAACUAAACUGGAAAUAAAACUCGGGGUUAAUUAGGGUGUGGGGCCCACGUGUCAGUGGAUGUGGGGUUGGUUAGCGGGGUUAUUAGCAGGUAGUUAGGUGCUAAUGACGGCGCCACAUCGGCGUUGCCGGAGUUCGACGCCGACGACCUGUAACUGCGGCGGUGUCCGCUCAGGAGGCCACGGGAGGACCACCCGAGCUCACCAGGCGGGAGAGCGCACUCGCGCGCAUCCACUGAAAGUGGCAGAAGGGCGCGGGGUAGCCGGAAACAAUGUCGGUGAUGACCUCGCGUGGCGGCGCACACAUGGGCUCAACGGGGAGGAGGCUACGGAGCACGGGCGAGCAAGCUGAAGCUUUCUACGGCCAUCUGGGAGCGUAAGGAGGAUGGUAGCAUCCUCAGGCCCUACUGGUUCGAGCUCAGGCUACGACGGCGACGAGGCCGUGUGACGGCGAGCUUCGACUCGUGCGGGCAAGGAAGAUAGAGGGCACGAGAGAGCAGGAGAGAUGGGGGAUUCGAUGCGUCAGCUCACAGCGGUUUGGAAGAAGCAGACGGCGAGCUCGGGGAGGCGGAGACGGCGAAGAAUCGUCGGCGAAGAUCCAUGGCGGCCGAGGAGGAAGACGAGGACGCUAGCGACGAAACAAAGCCCUCCGGCUCCUUUCCUUCGGCUUGGGGGUGUGGUGAUCGAUGGUGGAGCUUCUGGUCACGGUCACGGGGCGAGGGGCGGCCGGUGGACGCGGUGGCAGCGAGCGGCGGCAACGGUGGCGUUCGGUCGCGGGAGAGAAAGGGUGGCAGAGGAAGGGAUUAGCACGAGAGGGAGUGAGAGGGCCUGGGGGUGCGUGGCGUCUCCAGGGAGUCGCAGGAGGAAGGACGUGGCCUAGGCGCGUGCUCGCGUGCACUGGCCACGCGCCCAUCCUCCUGGCGUGGUGGAGAAGAUGACAGGGGUUGCGCUGCUGGGCUGGGCUGCCAGCUACAGUGCUGGACCAGGUAGGCCGGCCCAGGUAAUUCCUCUGCCUCUUUUUUUAAAAUUGUUACUGUUUUCUAUUUUUGUUCUGUUCGUUUUGAUUUAGUAGGAGUACUAAACAAAUUUAUUUUCUUCUGUAAAUUAUUGUAUGGACUAGAGAUAUUAUUCCAGAGCCCCACAAUAAUUUCCAGAAUUAUUGGGCAUGUAUUUCUUUUAUAACAGAAAUGAAGCCAAUUCAAAUACAUUAUGAUUUAAUUCAAAUGCCCAAAAUAAAUAUUUCUGUGACUCCAAAAAUAUUGGUUUGAAUUUUACCUCUUACCAAUAUUUUCACAGGAUAAUAGGAACAUUUCCUUGGACUCAUUUGAUGAGAAUUAAAUGUUGAUUAUUUUUGAACUGGUUUCUGAGGGUUUCAACAAACCUCAAUUCAACUUUCAGAAAUUUUAGACAUGAUGCAUGAGUGCAGAUGCAACUAUUUCACUCAGGUACUCUAGGGGCUGUGACAACUCACCCCUACUAAACAAGAAUCUCGUCCCGAGAUUCAGGUCGUGAGGUAAGAAGACAGAGGGGGCACCAACUAACACAAUCUUCUUGAUCCAACUGCUCUUCUCGAAGAUGUUGAUUCAUUGCAUCAUAUUAAUCUUGACAUCUUUGCUUUCGAGAUCUUCACCCAACACGACAAGGGAAAGAGAGGGAAGCUCUACAGGAUUCGAUCUUCACGAAGAUCAAGCAAAUCAUGAUCAACUCACGGAAUGAGAUGUAGUAACAUCUCUUGAACUAAGACACAAAACACACAUAGAAAGGGAUGGAAGAAACAGAUGGCGGAAGUUCAAUUUGGUAAGCAACAAUUCCACACCUAAGAAGAUGGUGGACGAAGUCAGAGUAGCGAGGAGUUAAUUGCUAUGAUUCCAUAACGGGGCACCUUAGGAAAGGUGACUCGUAGAAUUAUUCCCUUAAGUGGCAAAAAAAAUUACUUUUGAUUUAGAAAUCAUUGAGACUCUUUAUACCAGCCUAAGGCAAUCACAAUCGAUCAUUUGAAGGAGUUCGAAGAAAUGGCAUACCCGGACUAGAAUGGACGAUGUGGACUACCUUGUUGAAGACAACACAAUGGAUGACUUUUGCUUAUCACCAGAAAUGGAUGGGACCCAUGAAAGGACCACUUUUGAAGAUGAUCCUGGAUAGAAACUACCGAGAAGAACAUUCCAUGGAAAAUUGACACGAUGGGGUGCAAGCUGGGAACAAAAUACAAAUGUUGGGAAUGUUCCAACCAUCAUAUCUUCCUGAGAUUCGGAUCUGGUUAGAAGCAGGAUACUUCAGACUCACAUGUCUGAAAAGAAAAGUUUCGACACAAAUCGACGAGAUAACGUUGCGAUACACUCAGGAGAAGAACUACGAUAGCGAGCUCCAAAACAUGAGCGGGUUCUGCUACACUCCUGUGGACACACUGUCCUAGACAAGCAUGACGACAUGGUAGUCUUAUAAUAAAACACUACCGAGUUCUGGUUGGGAACCAACAUCGAGGAUAAUGAAAUCCUGUACAAAUCCGUCUGGUACCUUCAAGACUAGCACUUAGAACUUAUUAUCCUUGAACAAGUCAAUCAGUGGCUUGGCGUGCUAGGAAAUACAUUUGGAAUGGAGGUAGCUAAUCUCACAAACCAAUGUAUACUUCACACAUGCAUGACUGACUUGGGAUGAUUCCAGAGGAAGCAACAACAAACUUUCUCGAAUCCAUGGCGGCAACUUACAUCGAUUGCACGUGAACUUUGAGUAAGUCACUACUUUCAUCCAAACAUAUGCUUCAUGAACGGAACAUGAAGGCAUCGUUUACAAAGUUUCCAACACUAGCUUCAUGUUUAACACAAAUCAUGGUGGAGACAAGAUGCUGCUGAUGGGCUCAACAGCAACUCAUCGGAAUUUUCCAUAUCACUGGAAUUCCACCAUUAUGUGAACAAUAUGAUAGUAUUGGUCAAACCAAAGGAUGUAAUGGUGUAUACUCGAGGAACAACCACGAUUAGGACAACAUUAUGAAUAUCGUUGGUUCUAACUUGAUUUGACGAUAGCCCACACUCAAAUCAAGGUUUGGAUAAGACGAUAGAUUCAACAACUGAUCACGAGGAACAAUCGAUGAAGAUAUCAUCUCUCGUCAACACACACACACACAAGAUAUCCCCUUUAAAGUGAACUAAGUGGAUUAAGCUUUUAUCUUCCAACUCUCCAAGUUGUUGUUUGGUUUAACCAACUAGCUCAGGGGUAUCCAACACAGAUUCUUGGAGAAAGGGUGGUUUGGAGAAAAACCAACAUGAUCACGAACUCAACAUAGCGGUCAGGGGACAACCUGGUAAUGCUUCCGAGAAGAUAUUCAGAAAAUCACGAACCACCGAUAUGUUACAAGGCUCGAGAACAAUCUUUCUUUUUAGGGCAAGAUGAUAUGAUCAAAAGAGCGAGGAAUGACACAAUCCUAACUCAUUGAUCGAAGAGUGCACCGGAAAUAAGGACAAGGUAGCACAGUCAAUCCUAGAAUAGUGUUUCAAUAACCAACACGCUAAGAAUGAUAUUAGUGUCCAUUAACUACCAAGCAACAUGGUUGCUAGGAGUAUUGAUUUCACACAUCAUGGUUCACUUGCCGGCAUUAUGGUUGCGACAACAUAGGAACGAGGAAUGAAUGAUGAUGGUGCGAAGUAUCACUGCAUCAAGAAUUCAUAAGAGAUGGUGCAAUUCCCACGAUAUUCUUGACAUAAAGUGGGUAAUACUUCAGGGUAGAACAGAAUCAAAAGCUUGAUUGCAUUUGAUCUGCGGAAUACAACUGCUUUGACCCAAUCCUAGAAAUGGAUGAGGUACUGGAGCUUGUUUCUCCUAGUCAUUCUGGAAUAGAAUGGCUUGACGAACCACAAGAAUAAUAAGCAUUGAUAACACGGAUGCACAAUUACUCCUGACUAUCAAUUGAUAGAUGAUAGUCGAAAUACAAAUGAAGAGGAACAACUCCAGGAACAUAUAAUUUUCUGAGUUAUGGAUGCAUGGAUUAGCAUGUUAUUUCUUCUGGAUAACCCAUGCAGAAAUGUUGAACUGGCAGAGUCACAAUAUAGAAUGGAGAACUCCUCAAGAGUACUCUGAUUGUAAUAUUUUGGUUCAAGAGAACUCCUGCCAUAUUGGUUCAUGGUAUUGGAAGAACGUUGUACCACGGACCUCGAGGACUAUCGCAAAGGUUGCUAAUAUCCUAAAGGAACUAUCAAACACUAUCAACAUGAGGUAAGUAGGGUGAAUCUCGGGUUCAAGAACCCAUGAAUAGAAUACCUACCACUACAUGGCAUCACGGGAUGCUUUCAAGAAUGAUGGCCAGAAUCAUCACACUGGGGAUACGAAAGCAUUGCUAAAUUACUAGGUGACUCCCUAAAACACCUAGGGUCAUAAUAAUAGCUCCAACAUAUAUGUCGAGGUAGUAGAGUACCUCAACAGACCGUUAGUGUGCUUAAUCUGGCCCAAAAGGACAUCGGAAACGGGAAGAAGGGAUUUGCAAAUGCAUCAGACUAGUUAGAGACCUGGGAUGACUCGGACAGCAUAAAGGCUGUAAAUGCUCAAAAGAUUUGAGACAUCCUGCAAAAUGGUGGCAUAACCACUCAACAACACAAUAUCAAGGUUCCGAGAUCAACUGUCAACAUACGGAAGUAGUGGGAACGAAACUGAGGCUUGAAACUAUCAAUUCUAUAAGUCUAUGGAUUAGUAACACGUCAUCCUGAUAGAUAGAUGAGAAGGCCUAGUUCUUAAUCCCCGUAGAAAAGAAGAGGUUGACUCGGAUCAGAAGGGCAUAGGGUAAAGGAGUAAAAAGAGCCUUACGUUCCCUUCCACAAUCAAUUCCCUUACAUAACUAAAGCAUUUCUAGACUCGACGUCGGCCAGUUUGGCUUGGUAAUCCUACAGGCAGUCAGGCUCUGAUACCAAAGCUUUCAGGACCCCGAUUCCAAGUCACAUCGAUCUAGCUGGUAACACCUCAUAUCACUUUGCGGCCUCAAGCACGGUAUUCCCACGGGUGUCGCCUUACCAUGGCCCGGGACCGUUUGCGCCUUUUGGCUCACGUAUAUGAUAGUGUCGCUAGCAUCCAUAUGACACAGAACCCGGGCCGACAUGGCUAGUCGUGAACCCAAAGCGGCACUAACCUAUGGGGACAGGCAUACAUGAAUCACAUCGAGCAUGUCGGUUAGCAGCAUGUGAAUCCGGGCUGUAGCACUGGGCUAACAGGACUCCAGGAACCCGGGCUGUAGCAGGCUAGGCAGGACUCCGGAUGUCACCGCGUGACAUUUCCCCGAAGGGACAGACACAGGAACAAAGUGAAACACAUGCCGGCCAGUCAAGUGUCCUGAGCAGUAGUGCUGGGCUAACAGGACUCCGGUGAACCGGGCUGUAGCGGACUACUAUGGCUCAUGGAAGCACUAGACUACAUUUCCCCAUAAGAGAGGCUGCCAAGGAUAAACAACUAGAUUGUCGGAUCCCACACAUACCAAGCAUUUCAAUCAUACACACAAUAUGCUCGAUAUGUGUAAAUACAACAUGGCAUCACAACAUAACUGUACAACUCAAGUAUUUAUGCAUUAGGCUCUGAGGAGCGAGAUAUUACAAACAUGGGUCUCAUGACCCAACAAUCAUAGCAUACAAAUCAAAGCACAUGCGGAAGCUUAACAUGUCUGAGUACAGACAUCUACAAAUGAAAAAGGCUAAGAAGCCUAACUAUCUACCAGAUCCUGCCGAGGACACAAGAUCGUAGCUGAGGUAUCAAGCUAAACGUCGAAGAUCACACGGAACUACUAGCGAGACUGACGUCUCUCUGCAAAACAUAAAAUAGGCAAACGUGAGUACAAAUGUACCGAGCAAGACUUACAUCAUAACUAACUACAUAUCCAUCGGUAUCAACAAGGGGGGUGGAGUUUAACUGCAGCAAGCCAGCUUUGACUCAGUGGCUAACCUGAACUACGACUACAAGCAACUCUUUUGAGGUGGCGCACACGAGUCCACAUAUUCACCAUACCAAUACACCACUGUGGAUCCGCUCCCGUCUCCCUACGAGAAGGCCAUCCAUAGCACUCACGCUUAUCUUGCGAGUUUUAGAGUAUCCACUUUCACUUGUCUAUGAACUAUGCAAGGGGUCCAAGUUUCCAUAUACGAGGAAUCCGGCUAUUCGAAUAUAUAAUGAAAACCCUGCAGGGGUGUACUUCUUCACACACGCUCCCACCACUUACCGUCGUUUACACGACAUGUACUCGGCAACCUUCAAGUGGAAGCCCAACGAGGGUGUCGGCCACGGCCGACCUAAACACUCAAGUCUCUAGUCCAGGUUUAUCGCCUAUCCAGGUUCCAUCCGCAGGGAGUCCGACCGAGGUUUCCACAUAUGGCCCCGAACGAUGUGAACAGGGUUCCCGAGACACCAAACGGGCGCCCGGUACACCGUGCCACGGUGUAUCUACCGCAUCAUAGCCCACCCCUAGGGUCAGCGCUACGCACGGCUGCCAACACAUAACCUACAAACACCAGAAACUAGUUGCAACUCCUGGAUAGAGUACUAGGGUGAUUAAGAAGCCGAGAGGGUCAAUUAAGGAUCCCAAUGAGUGGUAGUAGCUGUUCAUGGAUCACAGACACAGAACUCAGUUUUUGAGGAUGGUUUCAAUGAGACAACCCACCAUGUACUCCUACAUGGCCUCUCACCGCUACCUUUACCAAAUCAUGUUCACACACUUAGCUCACACACAGUAGGACAUGUUCACACACCACCGAUUCAUCCCCGAUGAAUCAGACCUGACACAACUCUAUGCAAUAGCAGGCAUGACAAACAAGCACGAAUGAGUAGGCACAUCAGGCCUCAAACAACUCCUACUCAUGCUAGUGGGUUUCAUCUAUUUACUCUGGCAAUGACGGGUCAUGCAGAGGAUAAGGGGUUCAACUACCGCAGCAAGUAACAGAUGAAUCGUUGUUGUCCUAAUGUAGUAAAAGAGAGCAGGAGUGAGAGAGUGGGAUUGUAUCGGAAUGAACAAGGGGGUUUUGCUUGCCUGGCACUUCUGAAGAUAAUAUAGUUCUUCAUCGGUGUCAUCGAACACGUCGUCGGAAACAUCGUCGUCUGAGAGGGGACGGUUACUGGCAAACAGAGAAGGACACAAUCAAUGCAAUGCAACAAUAUGAUGCAUGAAAGUGGCACGGCAAUAUGUUGUUGAUUGGCCUAAUGCAACUAGCAACAAGUUAAAUGGAGUUGGUUCGAACACUAGGUUCAAAUUCAAACUCCAUAUGUGCUUUUUAAAAUGCCAUUUAAUUAGUUUAUCCUAAAAAGCAAUGUUAACUUGCUCAAAUAUGCAUGAAAAUGCCAUGAGCAAAUUCCUUGAAUUUUUCUGAUAAUUUUUCAUAUAUAACUUAUUUCAUUUGGAGUUACGGUUGAAUUUCUAUGAUUUUUAGAAGUUUAUACUAUUUUCUGGAAUUUUCAGAAAAAGAAUAAAUCUAGAAAAGAAUUAACUGCGUCAGCACUACGUCACUGUGACAUCAGCAGUCAACGGGGCCGGCCAGAGUCAAACCUGACGCAUGGGACCCACUGGUCAGUGACUCAGGGCCAGUUAGUGUCGCUGACAGGUGGCCCUGGUUAACUGCCACAUCAGCCAGUCAACCCUGACACGUGGGUCCCGCUGGGUUAAUCUAAACUAAACAGGAAAUAAAACCCGGGUUAAUUAGGGUGUGGGGCCCAUGUGUCAGUGGUUGUGGGGUUGGUUAGCGGGGUUAUUAGCAAGUGGUUAGGUGCUAAUGACGGCGCCACGUCGGCGUUGCCAGAGUUCAACGCCGGCGACCUAUAACGCGGUGGUGUCCGCUCAGGAGGCUGCGGGAGGACCACCCGAGCUCACCAGGCGGGAGAACGCACUCGCGCGCAUCCACUGAAAGUGGCAGAAGGGCGCGGGCUAGCCGGAAAUGAUGCCGGCGACGACCUCACGCGGCGGCGCACACACGGGCUCAACGGGGAGGAGGCUACGGAGCACGGGCAAGCAAGCUGAAGCUUUCUACGGCCAUCUUGGAGUGCAAGGAGGACGGUAGCGUCCUCAGGCCCUACUGGUUCGAGCUCAGGCUACGACGGCGACGAGGCCGUGUGACGGCGAGCUUCGGCUCGUGCGGGCAAGGAAGAUAGAGGGCACGAGAGAGCGGCAGAGAUGGGGGAUUCGAUGCGUCAACUCACAGUGGUUUGGAAGAAGCAGACGGCGAGCUCGGGGAGGCAGAGACGGCAAAGAAUCAUCGGUGAAGAUCCAUGGCGGCCGAGGAGGAAGACGAGGACGCUAGCGACAAAGCAGAGCCCUCCGGCUCCUUUCCUUUGGCUUGGGGGCGUGGUGAUCGAUGGCGGAGCUUCUGCUCACGGUCACGGGGCGAGGGGCGGCCAGUGGACGCGGUGGCAGCGAGCGGCGGUGACGUGGCGUUCGGUCGCGGGAGAGAAAGGGCGGCAGAGGAAGGGAUGAGCACGAGAGGGAGUGAGGGGGGCCUGGGGGGUGCGUGGCGUCUCCAAGGAGCCGCGGGAGGAAGCAGGGAGGCAUGAGGUGGCCUAGGCGCGUGCUCGCAUGCGCUGGCCACGCGCUCGUCCUCCUGGCGCGGUGGAGAAGACGACAGGGGCUGCGCUGCUGGGCUGGGCUGCCAGCUAUAGUGCUGGACCAGGUAGGCUGGCCCAGGUAAUUCCUGUGCCUCUUUUUAAAAAAAAUUAUUAUUGUUUUCUAUUUUUGUUCUGUUCGUUUUGAUUUAGUAGGAGUACUAAACAAAUUUAUUUGCUUCUGUAAAUUAUUGUAUGGACUAGAGAUAUUACUCUAGAGCCCCACAAUAAUUUCCAGAAUUAUUGGGCAUGUAUUUCUUUUAUAACAGAAAUAAAGCCAAUUCAAAUACAUUAUGAUUUAAUUCAAAUGCCCAAAAUAAAUAUUUCUGUGACUCCAAAAAUAUUGGUUUGAAUUUUACCUCUUACCAAUAUUUUCACAGGAUAACAGGAACAUUUCCUUGGACUCAUUUGAUGAGAAUUAAAUGUUGAUUAUUUUUGAACUGGUUUAUGAGGGUUUCAACAAACCUUAAUUCAACUUUCAGAAAUUUUAGACAUGAUGCAUGAGUGCAGAUGCAACUAUUUCACUCAGGUACUCUAGGGCUGUGACAAAAUGGAAUGAAACCUUUGGGAAUGUGAUUUUCUCAACAAACGUGAUCCAGGAGACUUGGAGUGGGCGUCAAGAAACAAUCGAGGAGGCCACGAGGCAAGGGGCGUGCCUUCCACCCUCGUGGGCCCCUUGUUGCUCCACCGACCUACUUUUUCCACCUAUAUAAUUCCACGUACCUCGCAAACAUCCAGGAGCACCACGAAAACCUAAUUCCACUGUCGCAACCUUCUGUACCCGAGAGAUCCCAUCUUGGGGCCUUUUCCGGAGCUCCGCCAGAGGGGGCAUUGAUCAUGGAGGGCCUCUACAUCAACUCCAUGGCCUCUUCGGUGAUGUGUGAGUAGUUUACUUAAGACCUUCGGGUCCAUAUCUAGUAUCUAGAUGGCUUCUUCUCUCUCUUUGGAUCUCAAUACAAAGUUCUCCUCGAUUCUCUUGGAGAUCUAUUCGAUGUAAUCUUCUUUUACAGUGUGUUUGUCGAGAUCCGAUGAAUUGUGGGUUUAUGAUCUAGAUUAUCUAUGAACAAUAUUUGAUUCUUCUCUAAAUUCUUUUAUGUAUGAUUGGUUUAUCUUUGCAAGUCUCUUCGAAUUAUCAGUUUGGUUUGGCCUACUAGAUUGAUCUUUCUUGCAAUGGGAGAAGUGCUUAGCUUUGAGUUCAUUCUUAUGGUGCUUGAUCCCACUGACAGUAGGGGAAACGACACGUAUUGUAUUGUUGCCAUCGAGGAUAAAAAGAUGGGGUUUAUAUCAUAUUUCAUGAGUUUAUCCCUCUACAUCAUGUCAUCUUGCUUAAGGCGUUACUCUGUUCUUAUGAACUUAAUACUCUAGAUGCAUGCUGGAUAGCGGUCGAUGUGUGGAGUAAUACUAGUAGAUGCAGGCAGGAGUCGGUCUACUUGUCGCGGACGUGAUGCCUAUAUACAUGAUCAUACCUAGAUAUUCUCAUAAUAAUUUGCUUUCCUAUCAAUUGCUCGACAUUAAUUUGUUCACCCACCGUAAUACUUAUGCUAUCUUGAGAGAAGCACUAGUGAAACCUAUGGCCCCGGGUCUAUUUUCCAUCAUACAAGUUUUCAAUCUAUUUUAUUUUGCAAUCUUUACUUUCAAUCUAUAUCAUAAAAAUACCAAAAAUAUUUAUCUUAUUAUUAUUAUCUCUAUCAGAUCUCACUCUUGCAAGUGGCCGUGAAGGGAUUGACAACCCCUUUAUCGUGUUGGUUGUGGGGUUCUUAUUUGUUUGUGUAGGUAUGGGGUGACUCACGCGUGGUCUCGCACUGGAUUGAUACCUUGGUUCUCAAAAACUGAGGAAAAUACUUACGCUGCUUUACUGCAUCACCCUUUCCUCUUCAAGGAAAAACCAACGCAGUGCUCAAGAGGUAGCAACAUCUUCACCAGCACCAUCUCAUCUCAAACCCUAGUUCAUCUCUUGUAUCCAAUCUUUGUCCCAAAGCCUCAGAUUGGUACCUGUGGGUUGCUAGUAGUGUUGAUUACUCCUUGUAGUUGAUGCUAGUUGGUUUAUUUGAUGGACGAUCAUAUGUUCAUAUCCUUUAUGCAUAUUAAUACCCCUCAGAUUAUGAGCAUGAAUAUGAUUUGUGAGUAGUUACGUUUGUUCCUGAGUACAUGGGAGAAGUCUUGCUAUAAGUAGUCAUGUGAAUUUGAUAUUUGUUCGAUAUUUUGAUGAGAUGUAUGUUGUCUUUCCUCUAGUGGUGUCAUGUGAACGUUGACUACAUGACACUUCACCAUUGUUUGGGCCUAGAGGAAGGCAUUGCAAAGUAAUAAGUACAUGAUGGGUUACUAGAGUGACAGAAGCUUAAACCCUAGUUUAUGCGUUGCUUCGUAAGGGGCUGAUUUGGAUCCAUAUGUUUCAUGCUAUGGUUAGGUUUACCUUAAUACUUAUUUUGUAGUUGCAGAUGCUUGCAAUAGGGGUUAAUCAUAAAUGGGAUGCUUGUCCAAGGAAGGGCAGUACCCAAGCACCGGUCCACCCACAUAUCAAAUUAUCAAAGUACCGAACAUGAAUCAUAGGAACGUGAUGAAAACUAGCUUGACGAUAAUUCCCAUGUGUCUUCGGGAGCGUUUUCCUUUAUAUAAGAGUUUGUCCAGGCUUGUCCUUUGCUAUAAAAAGGAUUGGGUCAUCUUGCUGCACCUUAUUUACUUUUAUUACUUGUUACCCGUUACAAAUUACCUUAUCACAAAACUAUCUGUUACCGAUAAUUUCAGUGCUUGCAGAGAAUACCUUACUGAAAACUGCUUAUCAUUUCCUUCUCCUCCUCAUUGGGUUCGACACUCUUGCUUAUCGAAAGGACUACGAUAGAUCCCCUAUACUUGUGGGUCAUCAAGACUCUUUUCUGGCGCCGUUGCCGGGGAGUGAAGCGCCUUUGGUAAGUGGAAUUUGGCAAGAAAAAUUUUAUAUAGUGUGCUGAAAUUUACUGUCACUUGUUACUAUGGAACAUAAUCCUUUGUGGGGCUUGUUCGGGGUAUCUUCACCCCGACUAGUAGAGCAAAGAGUUGCUCCUCAACCUACUGAAAAUGUUUACGUUGAAAUUCCUUCGGGUAUGAUAGAGAAACUGCUAGCUAAUCCUUUUACAGGAGAUGGAACAUUGCAUCCCGAUUUGCACCUAAUCUAUGUGGAUAAAGUUUGUGGAUUAUUUAAGCUUGCAGGUAUGCCCGAGGAUGUUAUCAAGAAGAAGUUGUUCCCUUUAUCUUUGAAGGGAAAAGCAUUGACAUGGUUUAGGCUAUGUGAUGAUAUGGGAUCAUGUAACUACAACCGAUUGAAAUUGGAAUUUCAUCAAAAGUUUUAUCCUAUGCAUCUUGUUCAUCGUGAUUGCAAUUAUAUAUAUAUAAUUUUUGGCCUCGCGAAGGAGAAAGCAUCACUCAAGCUUGGGGGAGUCUUAAGUCAAUGUUAUAAUACUAGAACACCUACACCCUCUGAGCAAAUUAAAGUUGAACCUAGUAUUGCUAUGGUUAAAGAUCUCUUGGCUGAUAAUAUUGAUGGGCAUGUUAUUUACUUUUGUGAUGAAGCUGCUAGAAUUGCUAGACCUGAUACUAAAAAUAAACAUAGACCAGUUGUAGGCAUGCAUGUUAUUUCUGUUAAAAUAGGUGAUCAUUGUUAUCAUGGCUUAUGUGAUAUGGGUGCUAGUGCAAGUGCAAUACCUCAUUCCUUAUACAAAGAAAUUAUGCAUGAUAUUGCACCUGCUCAGAUAGCGGAAAUUGAUGUUACAAUUAAGCUUGCCAAUAGAGACACUAUUUCACCAGUGGGGAUUGUUAGAUAUGUUGAAGUCUUGUGUGGGAAAGUUAAAUAUCCUGCUAAUUUUCUUGUUCUUGGUUCCCCACAAGAUGACUUUUUCCCCAUUAUAUUUGGUAGACCCUUCUUGAAUACUGUUAAUGCUAAGAUAGACUGCAAAAAGGAUGUUGUUACUAUUGGUUUUGGGGGAUAUGUCUCAUGAGUUUAAUUUUGCUAAAUUUCGUAGACAACCCCAUGAUAAAGAAUUGCCUAGUAAAUAUGAAAUUAUUGGUCUUGCUUCUAUUGAUGUGCCUCCUAGUGAUCCUUUAGAACAAUAUUUGCUCAACCAUGAAAAUGAUAUGUUUAUGAAUGAAAGAAUGGAAAUAGAUGAAGUAUUCUGUAAACAGGGACCUAUUUUGAAACACAACUUGCCUAGUGAAAUUCUAGGGGAUCCUCCUCCACCCAAGGGUGAUCCUGUGUUUGAGCUUAAACCUUUACCUGAUACUCUUAAAUAUGCCUAUCUUGAUGAGAAAUAUAUAUAUCCUAUUAUUAUUAGUGCUAACCUUUCAGAGCAUGAAGAAAAGAAAUUAUUGAAAACUCUGAAGAAGCACCGUCCUGCUAUUGGAUAUACUCUUGAUAAUCUUAAGGCCAUUAGUCCCACUCGAUGCCAGCACGAAAUAAAAUUGAAGGAAGACACGAAACCGGUUGUUGAUCACGAGCAACGGUUAAAUCCUAAGAUGAAACAAGUGGUAAGAAAAGAAAUACUAAAGCUUCUGGAGGCAGGUAUAAUUUAUCCCAUUGUUUAUAGUCAGUGGGUAAGUCAUGUCCAUUGUGUCCCUAAGAAAGGAGGUAUUACUGUUGUUCCUAAUGAUAAAGAUGAAUUGAUCCCAUAAAGAAUUGUUACAGGUUAUAGAAUGGUAAUUGAUUUCCGCAAAUUAAAUAAAGCUACUAAAAAGGAUCAUUACCCUUUACCUUUUAUUGAUCAAAUGCUAGAAAGACUAUCCAAACAUACACUUUUUUGCUUUCUAGAUGGUUAUUCUGGUUUCUCUCAAAUACCUGUGUCAAAAGAGGAUCAAGAAAAGACCACUUUUACUUGCCCUUUCGGUACUUUUGCUUAUAGACGUAUGCCUUUUGGUUUAUGCAAUGCACCUGCUACCUUUCAAAGAUGUAUGACUGCUAUAUUCUCUGACUUUUGUGAAAAGAUUGUUGAGCUUUUCAUGGAUGAUUUCUCCAUUUAUGGAACUUCUUUUGAUGAUUGCUUAAGCAACCUUGAUCGAGUUUUGCAGAGAUGUGAAGAAACUAAUCUUGUCUUGAAUUGGGAGAAGUGCCACUUUAUGGUUAAUGAAGGUAUUGUCUUGGGGCAUAAAAUUUCUGAAAUAGGUAUUGAAGUUGAUAAAGCUAAAGUUUAUGCUAUUGAAAAUAUGUCGUGUCCUAAGGACAUCAAAGGUAUAAGAGGUUUCCUUGGUCAUGCCGGUUUUUAUAGGAGGUUCAUUAAGGAUUUCUCAAAAAUCUCCAGGCCUCUAACUAAUCUCUUACAAAAAGAUGUUCCUUUUGUCUUUGAUGAUGAUUGUGUAGAAGCAUUUGAAAUACUUAAGAAAGCUUUGAUUUCUGCACCUAUUGUUCAGCCUCCUGAUUGGAAUUUACCCUUUGAAAUUAUGUGUGAUGCUAGUGAUUAUGCUGUAGGGGCUGUUUUAGGACAAAGGGUUGAUAGGAAAUUAAAUGUUAUCCAAUAUGCUAGUAAGACUCUGGAUAGUGCCCGGAGAAAUUACGCUACUACUGAAAAAGAAUUUUUAGCAGUUGUAUUUGCUUGUGAUAAGUUCAGACCUUGUAUUGUUGAUUCUAAAGUAACUGUUCACACCGAUCAUGCUGCUAUUAAAUAUCUUAUGGAAAAGAAAGAUGCUAAACCUAGACUUAUUAGAUGGGUUCUCUUGCUACAAGAAUUUGAUUUGCAUAUUAUUAAUAGAAAGGGAGCUGAGAACCCCAUUGCGGACAACUUGUCUAGGUUAGAGAAUGUUCUUGAUGACCCACUACGUAUUGAUGAUAGCUUUCCUGAUGAACAAUUAGCUGUCAUAAAUGAUUCUCGUACUGCUCUAUGGUAUGUUGAUUAUGUUAAUUAUAUUGUUGCUAAAUUUAUACCACCUAGUUUCACAUACCAACAAAAGAAAAAGUUCUUCUAUGACUUAAGAAAUUACUUUUGAGAUGACCCACACCUUUACAAAGAAGGAGUAGAUGGUGUUAUUAGACAUUGUGUACCUGAGCAUGAGCAGGAACAUAUCCUACGCAAGUGUCAUUCUGAGGCGUAUGGAGGACACCAUGCUGGAGAUAGAACUGCACAUAAGGUAUUGCAAUCCAGUUUUUAUUGGCCUACUCUCUUCAAGGAUGCCCGUAAGUUUGUCUUGUCUUGUGAUGAAUGUCAAAUAAUUGAUAAUAUUAGUAGACAUCAAGAAAUGCCUAUGAAUUAUUCACUUGUUAUUGAACCAUUUGAUUUUGGGGCUUUGAUUAUAUGGGACCGUUUCCUACCUCUAAUGGGUAUACACAUAUUUUAGUUGCUAUUGAUUACGUUACUAAGUGGGUAGAAGCUAUUCCAACUAGUAGUGCUGAUCAUAACACCUCUAUUAAGAAGCUUAAAGAAGUUAUUUUUCUGAGGUUUGGAGUCCCUAGAUACUUAAUGACUGAUGGUGGUUCACAUUUUAUUCAUGGUGCCUUUCGUAAAAUGCUUGCUAAGUAUGAUGUUAAUCAUAGAAUUGCAUCUCCAUAUCAUCCAUAGUAUAGUGGCCAAGUAGAAUUGAGUAAUAGAGAGCUUAAAUUAAUUUUGCAAAAGAUUGUUAAUAGAUCUAGAAAGAAUUGGUCAAAGAAACUUGAUGAUGCAUUAUGGGCUUAUAGAACUGCAUAUAGAAAUCCUAUGGGUAUGUCUCCGUAUAAAAUGGUUUAUGGAAAAGCAUGUCACUUACCUAUAGAACUAGAACACAAGGCAUAUUGGGCAAUUAUGAUUUCAAACUUGCCGGUGAGAAGAGGCUUUUUGACAUUAGCUCACUUGAUGAAUGGAGAACCCAGGCCUACGAGAAUGUCAAACUGUUUAAAGAAAAAGUUAAAAGAUGGCAUGACAAAAGGAUACAAAAACGUGAGUUUAAUGUAGGUGAUUAUGUAUUGUUAUACAACUCUCAUUUAAGGUUUUUUGUAGGAAAACUCCUCUCUAAAUGGGAAGGUCCUUACGUUAUCGAGUAGGUCUAUCGCUCCGGUGCCAUAAAAAUCAACAACUUCGAAGGCACAAAUCCAAGGGUGGUGAACGAUCAAAGAAUCAAACAUUAUAUCUCAAGUAAUCCUAUAAAUGUUGAAACUAAUGUUAUCGAAACAGUAACCCGGAGGAAUACAUAAAGGACACUUCCAGAACGUUUCAGACUCCGAAAAGGAAUAGGUAUGAGGUACAGUAAGUAAACCGACUCCAAAAUAGUUCUAAUAGCAAUUUUUCUCCGUUUUGGAAUAUUUAAGAAAAUAGGAAAAUGAGAAGCAGUCCGGGAAGGACACGAGGCUUCCAUGAGGGUGGAGGGCGCGCCCUACCCUCCUGGGUGCGCCCCCUGCCUCUUGUGCUCUCCGAACUCCAUUUUCUUGCACGAUACUUCUUUUGGUCUGUAAAAAUUCAUUAUAUAAUCUCCCGAAGGUUUUGACCACCAUAUCACGCAAAUAUCUCAUGUUUUUGUUUCGAGCUAUUUUCUGCCAGGGUUGUCAAGGCCAGGCAUCAUGUCGUCUCCCUCCUCCUCCAACAAUGAGGGCAACGAUGCUUGGCUAAUGAAGAUAGAGCUGAAGAGAGAAGAGCCCGGAGAGAUCAACAAGGAUGACGGGAUCAAGAAGGCCAUGGGAGAUCAAGUGCCGGCAGUAGUAGAAGAAGACAUCCUUCAACCUCCUCACAAUCUCUUUACUCCAACGAAGAUUGAAGCUUUCAAGAUGACUGAAUUAGCUCGCAUUCAAAACAAGUAUCUCACAAGUGAAAAUAUUUUGUUGAAGGAGCAUAUCAUCGCACUCAAGGGCAUUAUCCGCAAAUUGGAGGAUCUCCUACGCUCGAUGUGCGAUUAUCCAUCAUCACAAACACCUUCUUCACCAACAAAGAAGAACUGAGUAUCUGGUAUGGGCACUCCCCUUGGCAACUGUCAAGCUUGGGGGAGUGCACCGGUAUCGUAUCACCAUCACACCAUUAUCUUUACCAUUUUUCUUAGUUCGAUCCUUUUGGUAAUAUUUUGAUCUAGUAGAAUAAAGUUUUAGUAUGAUCUAGUUUUGAGUUUUUCUUUAUGAUUCUCCUAUGUAAUUGAGUCCGUGAGUUAUAUAAUAAAGAUUAGUGUUGAGUCAAGGGCUUGGUUAUCUUGCUAUGAUCUUGAGAGAAUAAAAAUAAAAGAGAAAGAAUAAAAAGAAAUAUAGAGAUCUUAUGUAUCUUAUGGAGAGUAAUGACUUCACAUAUAAAGAGUAUGAUGAAUAAAAGUUGUUGAAAGUUGACAAGCAUAGUUUUGGUCAUCGUUGCAAUUAAUAGGAAGUAAUAAAGAAAGAGAGGUUCUCACAUAUAAAUAUACUAUCUUGGACAUCUUUUAUGAUUGUGAGCACUCAUUAAAAUAUCACAUGCUAAAGAGUUGAUGUUGGACAAGGAAGAUGACGUAAUGGGUUAUGUUUUCUUACAUCUGAAAUAAAUUAUAUUGUCAUGGAUCAUCCACCAUGUUGAGCUUGCCUUUCCCUCUCAUGCUAGACAAGUUCUUUGCACCAAGUAGAGAUACUACUUGUGCUUCUAAAUAUCCUUAAACCCAGUUUUGCCAUGAGAGUCCACCAUAUCUACCUAUGAAUUGAGUAAGAUCCUUCAAGUAAGUUGUCAUCGUUGCAAGCAAUAAAAAUUUCUCUCUAAAUAUGUAUGAUUUAUUAGUGUGGAGAAAAUGAGCUCUAUACGAUCUUGUGAUGUGGAAGAAAUAAAAGCGAUAGACUGCAUAAUAAAGGUCCAUAUCACAAGUGGCAAUAUAAAGUGAUAUUCUUUCGCAUUAAGAUUUUGUGCAUCCAACCAUAAAAGCAUAUGAAAACCUCUGCUUCCCUCCGCGGAAGGCCUAUCUUUUAUUCUUGUCUUAUACUUCAUACAAAAGUCUUGGUGAUCUUCACCUUUCCUUUUUUACAUUUUAUCCUUUGGCAAGCACAAUGUGUUGGAAACAUCCAUAUAUAUAUAUAGCUAAUUGGAUGUGAGUUUUCAUGAACUAUUAUUGUUGACAUUACCCUUGAGGUAAAAGGUUGGGAGGCAAAACUAUAAGCCCCUAUCUUUCUCUGUGUCUGAUUAAAACUUCAUACCCAUAAAUAUUGCGUGAGUGUUAGCAAUUGUGAAAGACUAAAUGAUAGUUGAGUAUGUGGACUUGCUGAAAAGCUCUUAUAUUGACUCUUUCCAAUGUUAUGAUAAAUUGCAAUUGCUUCAAUGACUGAGGUUAUAGUUUGUUAGUUUUCAAUGAAGUUUAUGAUUCAUACUUGAAACUGUGAAUGAAUUGUUACUUUAGCAUAAGAGAUCAUAUGACAAACUGUGAAUGAUCAUGAUGCCCUCAUGUCCAUAUUUUAUUUUAUUGACACUUCUAUCUCUAAACAUGUGGACAUAUUUUUCGAUAUCGGCUUUCACUUGAGGAAAGGGAUGUCUAAACUUGGGGGAGUUGAUACGUCCAUUUUGCAUCAUGCUUUAUAUCGAUAUUUAUUGCAUUAUGGGAUGUUAUUACACAUUAUGUCACAAUACUUAUGCAUAUUCUCUCUUAUUUUAUAAGGUUUACAUGAAGAGGGAGAAUGCCGGUAGCUGGAAUUCUGGGCUGGAAAAGGAGCAAAUAUUAGAGACAUAUUCUGCACAACUCCAAAAGUCCCGAAACUUCACGGGAGCACGUUUCAGAAUAUAUAAAAAUAUUGGGCAAAAAAAUACCAGAGAGAGGCCACCCACCGUCCACGAGGGUGGGGGCGCACCCUACCCCCUGCCUCGUGGGCCCCCUGGCAGCCCUUUGAUGCCCAUCUUCUGCUAUAUGAGGUCUUUCGUCCAGGAAAAAAAUCAUAAGCUAGCUCACGGGAUGAAACUCCGCCGCCACGAGGCGGAACCUUGGCGGAACCAAUCUAGGGCUCCGGCGGAGCUGUUUUGCUGGGGAAACUUCCCUCUGGGAUGGGGAAAUCAUCAACAUCGAUCCUCUCAUCGGGGGGGGUCAAUCUCCAUCAACAUCUUCACCAGCAACAUCUCAUCUCAAACCCUAGUUCAUCUCUUGUAUCCAAUCUUUGUCCCAAAGCCUUAGAUUGGUACAUGUGGGUUGCUAGUAGUGUUGAUUACUCAUUGUAGUUGAUGCUAAUUGGUUUAUUCGGUGAACGAUCAUAUGUUCAGAUCCUUUAUGCAUAUUAAUACCCCUCUGAUUAUGAGCAUGAAUAUGAUUUGUGAGUAGUUAUGUUUGUUCCUAGGGACAUGGGAGAAGUCUUGCUAUAAGUAGUCAUGUGAAUUUGGUAUUCGUUCGAUAUUUUCAUGAGAUGUAUGUUGUCUUUCCUCUAGUGGUGUCAUGUGAACGUCGACUACAUGACACUUCCCCAUUGUUUGGGCCUAGAGGAAGGCAUUAGGAAGUAAUAAGUACAUGAUGGGUUGCUAGAGUGACAGAAGUUUAAACCCUAGUUUAUGCGUUAUUUCGUAAGGGGCUGAUUUGGAUUCAUAUGUUUCAUGCUAUGGUUAGGCUUACCUUAAUACUUAUUUUGUAGUUGCGGAUGCUUGCAAUAGGGGUUAAUUAUAAGUGGGAUGCUUGUCCAAGGAAGGGCAGUACCCAAGCACCGGUCCACCCACAUAUCAAAUUAUCAAAGUACCAAACGCGAAUCAUAUGAACGUGAUGAAAACUAGCUUGACGGUAAUUCCCAUGUGUCCUCGGGAGCGUUUUCCUUUAUAUAAGAGUUUGUCCAGGCUUGUCCUUUGCUACAAAAAGGAUUGGGCCAUCUUGCUGCACCUUAUUUACUUUUAUUACUUGUUACCCGUUACAAAUUACAUUAUCACAAAACUAUCUGUUACCAACAAUUUCAGUGCUUACAGAGAAUACCUUAUAUACUUAAAACUGCUUAUCAUUUCCUUCUGCUCCUCGUUGGGUUCGACACUCUUAUUUAUCGAAAGGACUACAAUAGAUCCCCUAUACUUGUGGGUCAUCAAAGCCCUGUUCCGGUAGCAACAUCAUCACCGUCAUCACGUCGUCGUGUUGACGAAGCUCUCCCUCGAAGCUCUAUCGUGAGUUCGCGGGACGUCACCGAGCCGAACGUGUGCAGAUCACGGAGGUACCGUACCUUCGGUGCUAGGAUCGGUCGAUCGUGAAGACAUACGACUACAUCAACCGCGUUGUCAUAACGUUUCUGCUUACGGUCUACGAGGGUACGUAGGCGCUACUCGCCCCUCUCAUUGCUAUGCAUCACCAUAAUCUUGCGUGUGCGUAGGAAAUUUUUGAAAUUACUGCGUUCACCAACACUCUUUAUACUCAGUAGUGAUUACUGUAAGCUCUAUGUGAUGGACAAUGGGUGCAUAUGCACCUAGGAGCCAUAGCCAAUUUCCAUACCAGCACACGCUUCUCUCUCCCUUAGACGUUGUUUAAACUUUCUUCCAUUGUUGGCCACGAGGUCAGAUUUAUUGUAGAAAAUCGAAGGGGGGGAAACGUAUGGCCAUUGUUAGUUAGGUAAUUCAUUUAUAAUUACCAUCAGCGCGAACCUCCAUCUCUGUGAUCGGCUGAGAGAGGAAAAAUAACACGAGGAACCAAAAACGCCUAUGCAUAUGCAUGUUCGGCAUAGAAAUGUUGAUGAAGAGUGAAAAUAUAUUUAAAAUAAUAUUUUAUUACAGAAAAACUCCUCCUGAAAAUUUAAAAACAAUGUGUUUUUUAACACGCUUAAAAGCGCAAACACACACCCACGCUUACAUACCAUCUACUAAAGAAUGGAGUUGCCAAUUUUAAUACUCAUUCCAUUAGAAAGCAUAAGGUAUAGUUUGACCAUCAUAAUUUCAUGCUUUGACUAUCAAUGUUAUAGAACAAAACCAUAUCUAAUAUUUAAACUACACAUUGAUUUUAUUUUUUUCCGUUAUACUCGUUUUAAAAUUCUCCGUGUGGAAGUGUUCCAUUGGUAUAUAUUUAUGUUUACAAAAUACCAAGACAUAAAAAUCAUCGAACAAAUUACUUAGUGUAGUAGUUUCAAGUUGCUAGACAUUGCUACAUUAACUAUUAAAUACCAUCUUUGAAAUCAGAGAAAAUAGCGUAAAACAUUCUAAUCUUUACUACACUAGAUAUUGAAAGUGCUAAACUUAAAUUUAUAUGCAUUCUCUUGGAUCGGAUUGGUUUAUAGUUUUUUUUUUUGCAGGGGGUUGAUUUAUAGUAAUAGUCAUCUAAUAAUAAGAGGAAGAGGAAUAGAAAUGUUUUCUAAAUUUAGGUACUGUUUUCAUAUUUUGUGUGUGUGUGUGUGGACACACACACAGCAUAUUUAAUAAAAAUAACGUAUGAUCAACAAUAUCUCAUAAUAGGCAUAUGUUUAUGGACAGAAUAAAUCUCAGUGUUACAAUUUUAUGAAAUAUCCAUCUCUAAGAGGGCUGCUGUGUUAGUUUAAUUAGUCUAAAUAUAAAAUUAAGAUGAUGCAUCGCAUCGAUCCUACCAGGCUACCACUUGGUUCUAGCUAAGGAUAUAGCAAAGGGGGUUGACAAGGAAUGAGGAGACUCAACGAAGAAGAGCCAAACAUGGUGGAGGGAUCUUUUUAUACAUGACUAUUAGUCAAGGGGGUUUCCAUAAAAUGCACAGAAGUUCCACCAAUUCCCGAUGCAUUGAAUCUGAGACAUCCAUUGAAAAUCCGAUGGAUGUCACUGAUUUUUUUCUAUUUUUGCACACUAGGUGUUGCUUACACUAUCUCUCCAACAUAAAGUCCUAGUAACUCCAGAGCGCGACAUCAGCUCCGGCUCCGCCGUCGGCGCAGUCUCCGUUGUCCCAGUACGCCCCGGUGGCCAUGGUAGGCGGUGGCUCCAUGAGCAGGCCCUGCGCAAGGUUCGCGUAGUAGUACGUGUCCGAGUCCGUCUCCCCAAACAGGCAGUCGAGGUCGAACAUGUCCAUGCCUAAUGCGGCCGCCUCUUCAAAAGUGGCAUCACCGGAAGUCUUCGCCGUCUCGGACGAGGGGACGCUGCACGCCGCCGACGACGGGACGGCCACGCUGGACGUGACUUCCUGGCCCGCCCCAGCGGCGGCACCCGUGGCCUCCGGACGGCGCAGGAAGUCCGCGACGGCCUGGACGGCCGCGCGCCGGACAUCAGAGAGAUUGGAGAAGGCGGGCGGCACCGCAAGCAGCCACGCGGAGUCCCGGAAGUUGAGGCACGCGGCGGAACGGCCGCGCAGCAUGAGCAUGGCGGCGUCGUGCGCGCGCGCAGCCGCCUCGGCGGUGAAGUACGUCCCGAGCCAGAGGCGCGUGCCGCGGUCCCCGGGGACGCGCACCUCGCAGACCCACCGGCCGGCGUUCCCGCGGCGCCGCACGCCGCGGAACACGGGGUGCCGCGUCUCGCGGAACUUGGUACGGCCAGCGGGGCGCUUCGGCGGCCACGGCCAUGCCGUCCCGCCGCGCUCGGUCGUGAACGAGGAGGAGGCAGAGCUCGAGUGCCCGAGGCUCAUGUCCAUGGCUGCUGGCUGCCGGUGGAUGGCUCGCUGGUGGUAUCUAGCUUGAGGCUUGUGCUCGAGCGAGAGAGUGAGAGUGUUGCUUGGUGUAGUGCUAGUGCGUGUGCGUAUUUAUACGUGUGACAAUAAGAUGACAGCUGUUUCCUUAGCCGCGUUGCUGCAUCGCGUCCACUCGCCAUAUGACAAGACGCGUUUUGGCAACGCAGCUUACGCCGCUUUGUGUGCACUCCAGCGGGCAAGACGCGGCUUGGUCUAGCAUCUCUGAUCGUAGCCGCCAGCUGAGUUCACGUGUUGUCAAGUCGCUAUCCGAAACGUCGAUUUGUGGCAUGGUGGCGCUUUCCUGCAGCGCGUUAUGUUACCACGUGGGAAGGAUGGCGCUUUCAUGCCGGGCGUUUGCCUGUUCGCUAAGUGAGUGUGAAGAAAGUCAGGUCAGGUCAGGUCAGAUGCCACGCGUGACUCGUGAGGCUAGCAACUGGCAUAGUGGUGGCAACUGGCAAGGGCUUUGCUGAAACUGAAAGCUUGCGUUUAGUUUCAGGGGCGUUUGGGUUCCAUGUACAUCGCAUGUCAGUAUCUAUUGAAAACAUGAAUAAAGCUAACAUCAGAGUUUUAGCACCUCAAAACGAACGCAUUUUUCAACAUUAGAUUAUUAGCACGAAUCUCAGGGCUAAUCUACUGCCAUGUAGGCUUCUGCCAUCCCUUCUUAUGGUCGAACGAACGGAACGACAACCGGCAGCCCACCCAGUCAUCUCCCUGCUCACAGGACGUCUAGGCUUAAAUAAAUGCGGAAUAAAACUAAGUAUACCAGGUUUAACUAUGUGCACCUACAAUUUGUGCUAAACCAGAUACACAACUAUGUGGUUGCAAGAUAUAUAACCUGAAGCAUAAUCCAGCAACGGCGACGGUGUGAGCUUCGGGGGGAAACCCUAGAUCUGGGUCUACCGGAUCGGGUGAUGAUAGCAUCUUCGAUGUCGUUGUCCCUUCUGGAGGCAUUGUUUUGGAGCACGCGCUGGCUGGAGGGGACAAGAGGAGGAGCGAUGUUACAUCUACCGCAAGGCCGGCGGCGGAUCCUGGCGGCAUGGCGCCGCAGAGAUUCGGCGAUGGGCGCGUCUGGAGAUGGACUCGCGCAGGAGGAGGAAGCUGUCUGGCGUCAUGGUGGCGUUGAUGGCAGAGAGGCUUGGCAAGGUCGGUGCAACAAUUUGCUUUGAGGAUGGACCGAGGGAUGAUGGAGGUGACGGCCCUUGCAGCGUGCGGUGCUCACUGGGAGUGUGCCUGACCGGUGUGGGACCCAAUCCAGGUAGUGGCUUGGAGGGGACACCCGGCUUUAGAUGUUAGGUUUUAGUGCGAUGUCUAUUUGGUAUUAGGCCCGGACAUUUGGCACGCCUUCAUCAAGGGGAUAGAAGUAGCAACGGUGUUGUCAAGAUGGUGACUUCAGGCUUAUUGAUGUACCACCUUAUAUGGUCUUUGUGAAUAAUUAAUAAUAUGGCUGCAUGCAUCGUCCAGAUGCAGAGGCCGGGGAUACAUCCUCCUUUUCUAAAAAAAUAAAAUAACCUGAAGCAUAAUGACUAUCACAAAAUAAGUGCAUAAGUAAAGAGCUCGGUUAAGAGAUAACCAAGGCUUGCGGAGACGACGAUGUAUCCCGAGGUUCACCCCUUUACAGAUGCUAAUCUUCGCUAGAACGGUGUGGAUGCACAUUGCUCCCUAAGAGCCACAAUGGCUCACAAUAUUCUCCUCACGCCAUCACACAAUACAAGGUGUUGUGAAUCUACUAAGAGAACCUUGAGGGUGAUCACCGAACCCGUACAAAUGAAGACCCUUAAGGGCGGUUACCGAACACGUACAAAUUGCCCGGGGCAAUCUCCACAACUUAAUUGGAGGCUCUCAAAGAUUUCCCAAAGCUUUACACCAUAAUGAUUGAGCUCCGUAACAACACCAACCAUUUAGGGCACCCAAUCACCCAGGAGGAACAAAUUGUAGGGUACCAAGCACCCAAAAGUAAAAAACUUCUCAAAAUUUCACUUUCAUGUAUCACUGUGGAGAACUCAAAUCUAUGCACCAAAUACAAUGGCAAGAGCACAUGGGAUGCUCAAGUCCUUCUCCCCAAAUCCCAACACAACAAAAAAUGUUAUGCAGAAAUAUGAGAGAAAGAACAAAGGAGAAUAACACAAAAGAAUGCCAAGAUCUAAAUCUAAAGGGUUCCCCUCACUUAGAGGAGAUAUGGAUUGGUGAAAAUGUAGAUAUAGAUAUCCUCUCUCUUUUCCCUCAAAUAGACGCAAGAAUCAGAGGAAGAAUAGAGAGAAAGCAAACUACAAGAGGUCAACAAUGAUGGGGGAAAACUUGCUCAGAUUAAUUGGGGCCAUUGGGGAAGAAGACCCCCUUAAAUAGGCUCCUACGAAUCUAAAUGUUAUGCUGCAGAGAAACACUAGAGCAGUACAAGCACUUGAAUAAAUGGUACAACCACUCCAAACAGUAAAAGCAGGCAGUAGUGGCCUGAGCGGUACAACCGCCUAUCACACCGGUUGCACCGUUUACUAAAACAUAACCGGAACUACGGUGCUCCCACCGCUCAGUACCGCACCCCAAACCCAGAGGAAUCACCCUCGAGCAGUAGUUGGGGCGGUGCAAAUGCCGGAAUAGCCGUCUCAAAAGCUCACAUGAGUGGCUAUAAGUUUCAUUGCGGUACAAAUGUCGAAACAACUGUCCCAAAACCAUGCACAUGCCAGUCAAGCAACCCAAACCGCCAAAGUCGUUGACAGAACCGAGAAUAUCCGUUAACGCAUGAGUGGUUACAUUUCAUUGACCAAACUGCUAAGAAGAGACCAUCUGUCCAAAAUCCAACAUUGAAGAUGCUACGGUAAGCUUACGCAUCCGACACAAGUGUAUGCCAAUAAUAAAUCUGGGUGUUAUCUCACGUCCCAGAAAAUACAUCGCCUUUGCUGCACCUUCAUAACCGCAACUAGCCAUCACUAAUUUUGUCAAGCAUGACCUGACCAUUCCUUUUCAAAAAAAUAACAUGGCCACCCAAACGAGACUAAAUUGGAAAAGUAAAAAAAAAAUGGAACAUGAUAUUCAAAUAUGGUACUUGUGUACAAAUCAGACUUGCAAGAGCAAGACACAUUUUUCUCUAUUGAUCCCAAAUUACGAUAUCAUUCUUUCUUUUUUUAGGAAGAAGAAUUUAUUAAUAAUGGGUAGAAGUACAUUCAUUACAAAAUAAAUAAUGACCCCUCCAUUCCAAAAUACUUGUCGUGGUCUUAGUUUUAUUUACAUGCCACACUUUACUUUGUAGAAAUACACAAUUAAUUUUAUGCUGAAGUUCCAAAAUCCUGACAGUAUUUUCUUUUCUUGCUACAGCUUUGCUCUUGUUGUAUCAGAUAGGCUUGUCCCCUGUCCUGCCCUGUUACAAGUACGCGCGCUUCUGUACUAUGGGAACAACGGGGAGAGGCAGAUGGCCCUUUUUCUGCAAGCACGUCACGGUCUCGUACAAGCUUUGCCUCAGCGGAGUGAACUCCAACCCCAGCUCCCUCAACCUCAGGUUUGAGAACUUGUACGGCUUCGCCGUGGGCUUGCC
rnacentral:lncRNA from 1 species